rnacentral:lncRNA from 1 species
AGACGGUGAUAAUCACCGACAUGAACUACUACCCCGUCGCCAAGUACCACUUCGACCUCAGCGGCACGGCCUUCGGCGCCAUGGCCAAGCCAGGCCGCAACGAUGAGCUCCGCCAUGCCGGCAUCAUCGACAUCCAAUUCAAGAGGUGGGUACCAUGCAUUGCUGCUCGUUGCACAGAGCCGCAGAACAGAAUCAUUAGCUCGACCGUCUAGCUUACCUGUUCUGUGGAGCCCUUGUACUUUUGCUCAACCGAUUUUGACGACACGACAGCCAGUUUUAAAUGGGGGGCUGGGGCCCACGUAGAUUCGCAGAAAUAUUUAGUACCAGUACUUCCAAUUCACUCCGAAUUUGGAGUCUGCAUGCACUGUGGAUCGACAAAGGUUGCUUAAUUUGAAGCCUAAUCCAUGUCCAAACGCACCACAUGGCUUGUUCCUGCAGGGUGCCCUGCAACUACCCCGGCCAGAAGGUGACGUUCCACGUCGAGGAGGGCUCGAACGCCGUCUACUUGGCGGUGCUCGUCGAGUUCGAAGACGGCGACGGCGAUGUGGUGCAGGUGGACCUCAUGGAAGCCAACUCUGGGUCAUGGACUCCGAUGCGCGAGUCCUGGGGAUCCAUCUGGAGGCUGGACUCCAACCACCGGCUGCAGGCGCCCUUCUCAGUGCGCAUCACCAACGAGUCCGGCAGGAUGCUGGUGGCCAACCAGGUCAUCCCGGCCAACUGGGUGCCCAACACCUAUUACCGCUCCAUCAUCCAGUACUAGCUCAUGCAUGAUCUGGUUCUGCCAACAAUAAUUCGGUCACUGAUAGAUUUUCGAUUCAUUUGGUACUAUUUCGUUGUUCCAUUGGAUUGAGGUGCCUUAAUUAGUUAGUAGGUGAGGUAUCAGGAGUCCGGCUAUGCUGGCAUCAGUAGGAGUUGUUUGUGUCUGUAAGAGAUUGACGUGUGGGAAAUAGAGGAGGCAAGUUUGCAUGUGCUUUCCCGGCCCACUGUCUAUGAAUGUAAUGGUGUGAUCAAGGUUUUAAAUUAUAAACACUGUUUUGUGCACCAUUAAGUAAAGGCACCUGCUAAGCUUCGGUUGUAUGGAAACGCGAGACCUCACUGGCGACGGACAUUUCAGCACAAUGUGAUGGUCUUGUUCGUGUGUGCACGAAUGGGGUUCUGUUCGUGCUUGGGGUUCCCUUCCUGCUCCCGCUGGACUCAGAGGAUAUGCACGAAAAAACAGAGGUUGAAGAUAAGGCUGUUCGAAAAGCUAGGGUCGUGAGCUGCUCGUGUUUGGUUCAUCUUAGGCUUGUUUUGAGAUCGGUCCUAAUUCUAAACAAGCUAAGCUCGAGCUUGAUCUCGAGAUCGAAAAGCUCCAUUAAGCUUGUGUAUUACUAUCAGUUAUGACUCUGAAAUAUGCAUACAUGUAUCUAAUUUUCUUUCCCAAUUGCAUUUUCCAAAUUGCCAAAGUCUACAAACAAGACAAUGGCUCAAGUCUAAUUACUAUAUGAUUAACUAAGUUUGUAACUGAUAAAAUCUCAAGGAUCGUGAACUAUUGGUGUUUGACUCCCUUAAAGCUCGACUCCAGAUUGGCUUGAAAUGAUCCAAGCUUGAGCCUAGCUAUAGGCUCGAACGGUUCUGAGGCUCGGAUCAAGCUCGGCUCGACGCUCUUAAAAGCUCAUGCUUGAAGCGAUAAGCUCGAGGUUGGCUCAUUUACAACCCUUGUUGAAGUCUAUCUCAUAUCAUUUGGAUUGAGAUCCGUUGGUGGCAAAGCAUCACUAAAGGCAAUUUUCAAGCAUGUCCUUUUGCUAAUCAGUAUGACACUUUACUUUUCAUUUUCUUGUGUUGAUUAUCUGGCUGGACUUCAUAUUUUUUUCAGUUAUUCAGUCAUAUACCCCACCUCCAAUUACAAAUAAUUAAUGUUUGGACACCAGAAUGAUCUAAUAUAAAAAACACAGAUUUAACUAGUACUUUUGGAUUACUCAUAUCAUACCCCAAAAUUAACACAUAAAAUGCAAUAUAUAACUAGAAUUUGAAACGGUUGACUACCCACAAGUAGAUAGGGGUACAAAUAAUAUGGAUAUUUUCCGACUAUUCUGAUCGACCAAGGAGGGUCGGAUACUGGUUCGGAUAUAAAUUUAGAUAGUCUUGUUGGAUGUCGGCUACAAAUACAGGAAGGGUGAUAUCUGUAGAUAUUGGAUACCAAAUCCUGACGUGUAGGCUCAACUAAAGGCCCAAGAGGGUAAGUGAACAAUAGUUUCUUGUUUUUUCUUUGUAAAGUAUUUUUAACUUAAAAAUAGUUUCUUGUUUUCUCUUUGUAAAGUGUUUUUAACUUAAAAAGGAAUUAUAUUCAAAUUCUAACUUCACUAAUAUUUAAGUAAAUUAAAAUAAAUCUAAAAAAUAAUACGUCAAUAUAACAACUUUGUUCUUAUAAAAGUUGUUAAUCUGAGGAAAAAAUCAGUGUUUGAGAAACAUGUAAGUACAUGUUUUUAUUUUGGUAGAAAUUGUAAAGUUUUAAAUUAUAGUGAGUUUGUUGAAAAGCUCAACUUAAUUGAAAUGCAAAGUGCUACAAUAGUUGGCUCAUUGCAAUGCCUUUGUAUUAUCAAUUUUUCUAUGUAAUUAACGUGUCAGAAUGUAGAAUGUUGUGUACUCGAGCAUCCAUAAGAAACAAGCUACUUAUCUACCCCAUGUAUCUAUGCAACAACGGUAAAUUACUAUUUUGCUUCUUUAAGCACAAUUUAGUUGGAAUUUGGACUUGUGGAAUGCUCAAAUGAUUAGAGCACUUGUGGUAUAUAUGAUUGCUUUUACUCAAUGCCUGAGAAAAUAUUCGUGAUCGACUCAUUCCGUAUUAGAUACACAUUUAUUCGUAACCAAGUCAAUCCACAUUCGUAUCCAUCUCUGAACAACAUAUGUGUGCGACUUUGACUUCGAAGAAAAACAUGGAUAUGAAUAUAGGGUCAGUCAUAUCCGUUCAUAUACGAUCUGAUCGCAGAACAUCAUUUAUUUUGUGACUUUGAAGAAAAAUAUGAAUAUGAAUAUAAAUAUGGGGUCAGUCAUAUCCGUUCAUAUACGAUCUGAUCGCAGAACAUCAUUUAUUUUGUGACCGGAUGGACGACUAUCAUUGAUAUCUAUUUGAAAGGUAAGAGUCGUCUUCAUUCUACGGAAAUCAAUUUGUUCCCUGUGAAAUUCUUGUGUUCUGAAUAGUCCCACGCAGAAUUGCUUUGUGUGUCCUGCGAAAGUCUUCUUUCCCAAAUAGUCCCUAAACCUCACCUUUCCCCCCCUUUUGCGUUUUCUGGAUCUUCCAAUAUUCAGUCUAGGCGCCAAGAAUGCACCAGUGCAGUGGCGGACCUAGAGGUUUUGUACAGCAUGGGCAGAGGCUGCAGCCUGGGGACGUGCUUUGGCCCUUGUCCUUGCUGUGUGCCUUUGCCCAGUUGCCGAUGCAUCACGCUGAAGGUAUUUUUUGCUAGCUUAAUUGUUCAUUCAGUGGACUACUGCUCAAUGAGCCCGGGCAGAUGGUCAGGGUGGCCGGGCCUUGGGUCCGCCCCUGCACCAGAGGAAAUCGGAUCCUGACUUUGUAACCAACAGCAAUUCUGCCUUCGGAAGAUUUCUGAGUUCCGGGUCAGAAGAUUUGGAUGUUCCGAGGGGGCAGCAUUUCAGUGCAGACGUUCUGAAUUAGCGUAGACCACCUUUCCGACUGUAAAGGCGAAAAAACACUUGGAGCGACAGUUCGGAGGGAUGCGAGUGCAUAGCAAAGGUUUCUUUCCUGAUGAGGCCUUUUGCUUAUGGUACUCCAUUCCAACGAGAUACGGCAAUCCUGCAAAGGAACAGCAUCAUUGUCCAUGCACCGGCCAAAGCAUGCAGUACAACGAACAAGGUAUGAGUACUUAACGACCAGUGCGUUGGUCGAACGCAAAGGAUGCUGAUUGUAUAACCAUAUAUCAUAGAAUCAUUCGUCGCUUUUCACUACUGUGAGAGCCGGCCAAGUCAACCUUUUAGAGUGAGCUAAUAAACCGAAUUCAUGCCGUAAUUACUGGCGUCAAACUCUCGCUUCAGUCACUUGCAAUGACCGCACUAAAUCAAGGAGAGCUACAGGGUACAUGACGGCAUGAGCUUCAUAUAUAGGCAUUUUGUGGGUGUUUUACAGGAUUUUGCUGUCUAAAUUGUGGCAUCCGCAACCAGGUUUCCUGAAAAAAGGGUCAAAUGAUGCUUCUCAAAGCAUCACUGCGCUUGGUGGACAACAAGAACAGUGUGCUCUGUUGGUCCAGCAGUUCAGCUGUCGACAGCAUUUCUUUUUCCGUUGCAUAAAGACCCGAGAGCCAAGGUGACCGACGCAUUUUAUUUUCGCCCGUCCAAACAGUAUCCCCGGAAAGAGACGAAGUAACUGAUGCACGACGAAUCCAGGCGCAUGUGCGCGCGCGAGGGAUCGGAUGCCGACGGCCGCGCUGCAUGCUUGCAUGUGAGGUGCGGGCCGCCGGCGGCGGCGGCCGGGCCCGUGCUGUCCAUCGAACCAGCGGCCGGCAAGCGGAACGCAGCGAUCAGCCGAUUGAUCACCACCCACCCGGGACAUCAGUAAAAAUCUCAGAUGGCAAUAGAAUUAAUGAUGAGAGAGAGGAAAAUUCCUAGACGCCAUUUCUCAACUGAGAAAUCAAAUCGGCUCGGCAACCAACGUGCGAAGACACGACCGAUAUCGCGGCCUGCCUCCAAACUCCCAACUUUAACACUAUGCAAAAAAAAUUCCCCAUCACAUCAAACUUGCGGUACAUGUAAGGAGUACUAAAUGUAGACGAAAUUAAAAAUUAAUUGUACAGUUUUGUUGUACUUUGCGAGACGAAUCUUUUGAGCCUAAUUAAUCAAUAUUUGGACAAUAAUUCACAAAUACAAACGAAACGCUACAGUUGCGCAUUUAUGACAAAAUGCCAAUUUUGCUACUUCCAAAUUGGGAACUAAACAAGGCCCGCGUUGGGCACUUCGGUGUUCUCCCCACACCAUCUAUUAUCUUGACACAAUAAUAUUAAAAGAAGCUACUUGGCUUCAAGAGGUCUAAAAAUUACCACAUUAAUUGAAAAAAGAGAAAAAUAUACACCGUUAGAUCUUAUGAAGAUCCAACGGCCUAGGUCAGCCAAAAAGUCAAUAUCCAAUACAACUAUAAUAAUUAAUUUCGGAAUUAAAAUAUGAAGAAUAAGUAGUUUGAUUCCUAUAUAUGUCUUAACUUAAAGUAUGUGUUGAAUACAAACAAUAAAUAAUAAAGAAAAAUAUUCAGAAUAAAAAGGAAUUAACACAGACCAAGGGAUUAUUCCUUUAUAUAUAAGAAAAUACAUCUUUCCAUGUACCAUACACGAUGUCAAGAACUAUUUCCUUUAUUUAUACGACUGGAAAGGAGAGAAAAUUAAUCGAUCCUAUUUGUUGCCGUCAGAGCAAGCUAUAGAACGAAGCAUGGAGUAGAAAAUAACAUAAGCAUCCAUGAUGAAAACAGAGCUGUAAUAUCGUGUUCACACAUUCAACCCCCUAGAUACAGCAUCAUGUGCGACCAUAGUGCCGGCAGCGUUGUCAAGCCAUGCAUGCGUGUUUUGAGCCUUGGCGUUCAUAGCCGCAUAUAGCAGCUAUUUGCGAUGCUAAUGAGUUGGAUUUAGCCUGCACAUCGGUUAAGUCUUUCCAUGUGGUCGUCGAUAGAUCGAUGCUUGGCUCUUUCUAUAACAAGUGAAAAUUUGUUUCAUUGGAACCAUGAGUCAAAUUACUUUGGUUACAUGAAAGAUUUAGUGAUUUUUUUGUUGGUCAAGCAUUACAUAAGGAGCAACGUCAUUUGUGCAUCAAUGGACAUCCAAUCGGUGCAGCCAUUGCUUACUGGGGCUGACAUCCAAUCGGUACAGCCAUUACGGACGAUUAUGAAUCUAUGGCAAGAAUUCUUAUCUACGCAAUAUGCCAUGAUAGAGCAAGCAACUGAUCGACUUCGAUCUAUGGUUUGAUUUUUGAUGAUCUAAUGGAGCGUUUGAUUUUUGAUGAUCUAAUGGACAAGAUUUCAACUACAAAAAGUCCAGCUAUAUAUUUGAUUUCUUUUCAUCUCAUCCAUAUCUCUUGCGCUCCAUUGCUAGAAGUUUUAUUAGGAAAAAACGAUUAAAGACGAGAAGCCCUAGAAAUAAUAGCACAAAAUAGUUCUAGCUUCCUAUUUCCAAUGAGUCCGUGGUUUGCAUUGGAAGCACAAAAUUUUCCUCUCGAAUUCCCCAUUGUUUCAGCUGCUACAGAGCUUUGAGUAGACGGACUCCUGGUCUGCGAGGAGUUCACGAAGUUCAUCCAGAAGUAGACUGUAGACUCCCUUUACUCCACCAGCCUGAAGCUUGACAAUACUGUCUGUCACGCCCGUGCUGGCGAUGGCGACCAAGCGGAUGACUGAGGGCGUCCUCGGCAUGGGCAAGGUGUUAGGAACGAACGGCGUAUGGAAUAAGAAGUAAAGAAUCAAACCGCAAGGAGACACACGAUUUACGUGGAAAACCCCUUCAAUGUGAAGGGGAAAAACCACGGGCACCAGCCGGCAACAAUCUUACUAUAUCAAGAGUUUUGGGUUACACGCCUAUGGCGGCUUACAAGAGAAUCUGAUAAUCUAUCUCUCUUCUCUCUUCUGUCUCGGUACAAAACCCUAGCAAGGGUGCUAGUAUAUAUAGUACCGACACCCCAGACAGGGGGUAUUGAGCGGUACGGACUCUUGGUCCCGUAGGAGGAUGGAACUCCUCCUUGCCCGACCUUUGAGUCCUUCGUCCUGGAGUCGGAUGCGCCUGGGACUUCGCCUCGUCCGACCCCAAGCCUGGGGUCGGAUGCGUCUGACCCCUUGAGGGUCGAUCUCCGAUUCGCCCGACCCCGAGUCCUGGGGUCGGGAGAUGCUCCGACUCGCCCGACCCCAAAGUCCAGGGGUCGGAAGACGCUCCGCCUCGCCCGGCCCCGAGUCCCGGGGUCGGGAGAUUCUCCGCCUCGCCCGACCCUGAGUGUUAAGGGUCGGGAAGGUCGGCCUUUAUCCUGGAGUGAAUUUGGAACAACUCCAACAAACUCCACCUUGAGACAAAUUCAUCUUGUAUCAUCAACCCUUCAUCCUGAACAGAACAAAGACAGGAAAAACCACUGGUGCCAAUAAUAGUCUCUUGGACUAUCCAAUUAAACCAACUAAGCCUGAGCACAGCUCAAACUUAGUAACAGGAACAGGCUUUGUCAUCAUGUCGGCAGGAUUAUCAUGAGUACUGAUCUUGCAUACCUUCAGCUUACCUUCUUCGAUCACAUCACGCACAAAAUGAUACUUGAUGUCAAUGUGCUUAGUUCUUUCAUGGAACAUUUGAUCUUUAGUGAGGUAAAUUGCACUUUGGCUGUCACAGUGCAAACUUAUGCAAGCUUCAACUCCACAAAGCUCGGCGUACAAACCUUUCAGCCAAAUCAGUUCUUUGCACGCUUCACAAAUCGCCAUAUAUUCUGCUUCAGUAGUAGACAAAGCAACAACUGACUGUAAAGUAGCCUUCCAACUCACAGCACAACUGCCAACAGUAAACACAUAACCCGUGAGUGAUCUUCGCCUGUCCAGAUCAGCAGCAUAAUCUGAGUCCACAUAGCCAACAAGACCCUCAUCAGUUCUUCCAAACUUUAAACAGGAAUUUGCUGUGCCUUUGAGGUAUCUGAAAAUCCACUGAACUGCCCUCCAAUGUUCUUUGCCGGGAUUAGACAUAUAUCUACUAACAAGACUCAUAGCAUAUGACAAAUCUGGGCGAGAGCAAACCAUGGCAUACAUCAAGGACCCAACAGCACUAGAAUAAGGAAUCUUUGACAUGUCUUUGACCUCUGCAUCUGUACUAGGACACUGAGCAGCUGACAACUUGAAGUGAGGUGCAAUAGGAGUACUUACAGCCUUAGCAUCUUGCAUGUUGAAACGCUGAAGAACUUUCUUGAUAUAAUUCUGUUGACUAAGAAAUAGCAAACCAGAAUUUCGGUCUCUACUAAUUUCCAUACCAAGAAUUUUCUUAGCACUACCAAGAUCUUUCAUAUCAAAACCACUACUCAAUAGUUUCUUUAACUUAUUGAUUUCAUUCUUACUCUUGGCAGCAAUCAGCAUAUCAUCAACAUAUAUCAGCAAGUAUAUAGGUGAUCCAUUAACAUGCUUGAUAUAAACACAGCUAUCAUACUUAGAUCUUUUAAAACUGUGUGAUAACAUAAAUGAAUCAAACCUCUUGUUCCACUGUCGAGGGGACUGUUUCAAACCAUACAAGGAUCUCUUCAACUUGCACACAUAUUUCUCCUUGCCAGGCACUAUGAAACCUUCUGGUUGGUCCAUGUAUAUGUCCUCCUCAAGCUCUCCAUGCAAAAACGCAGUCUUCACAUCUAACUGCUCAAGCUCGAGAUCAUGUGAAGCAACAACACUAAGGAAAGUGCGAAUUGAACUGUGUUUUACCACUGGAGAGAAAACAUCAUUGUAGUCAACACCCGGAAUUUGGCUGUAGCCUUUAGCAACUAACCUUGCCUUAUAUUUUGGAGGCUCUCUUGGAGAUAAACCCUCCUUUCUCUUGAAGAUCCACUUGCAGCGGAUGGCCUUCUUUUUCUUAGGCAAAGGUACAAGUUCCCAUGUACUGUUCUUCUCAAGAGAUUGCAUCUCCUCAUGCAUAGCCGAAAUCCAGUUUUCAGUAUCAUCACAAUGAAUAGCUUCUUUAUAGGUUGCUGGCUCAUGAACAUUCUCCACCUGUUCAGCACAACUCAAAGCAUGGUAAGACAAGUUACAUUCUUCAAUUAGACGGUUAGGAGGGACAACAGUCCUUUUGGACUUGCGUUUAGCAAUGGGUAGAUCCUCCUCUGGAGUUUGCUGGACAUCAUCAUGAGCAUCAGCCGACCCCGAGACUGAGGGGUCUGGCGCAUCAGCAACAGCCGACCCCAGAGCCAAGGGGUCUGGCGCAGCAACAUCCGACCCCGGAGCCAAGGGGUCUGGUGCUUGAGCAUCAGCCGACCCUGGAGCCAAGGGGUCUGGCGCAUCCGACCCCGAGACCAAGGGGUCGGGGUUAUCAGCAUCAUCGCGAGCUUGCUCCACCUGCAUGCGCAUACGCUGCAGGUCUUUGUCUGGAACUUGAUCUGAGGGCAAGCUAUCGGUAAACAUCACAGAUUCAUUGAAAAUAACGCUUCUGCUCAGAAAGGUCUUUCCAGUUUCCGGGUUCCACAAUUUAUAACCUUUGACACCCGAACCAUAACCAAGGAAAAGACAUUUAACAGCUCUAGGCUCCAAUUUUCCAUUAUCAACAUGAGCAUAUGCAGUGCAUCCAAAAACUUUCAACUGUGAGUAAUCAGCAGGCGUACCAGACCAUACCUCAAUAGGAGUUCUUUUAUUUAGUGGAAUAGAAGGCGACCUGUUGAUCAAGUAACAGGCAGUAUUAGCAGCUUCAGCCCAAAAACGCUUGCUCAUCCUGGCAUUAGACAGCAUGCAACGGGCCUUGGAUAUGAUGGAUCUGUUCAUGCGUUCGGCCACACCAUUCUGUUGUGGAGUAUGGGGUAUGGUGUGAUGCCUUACAAUGCCUUCUGAUCUGCAAUAAUCAUUAAAUUCACGCGAACAAAACUCUCCACCAUUAUCAGUGCGAAGCAAUUUCACCUUCCUUUCAGUUUGCCUUUCAAUCAUGACUUUCCAGUCCUUAAAAGCAGCAAAGGUAUCAUCUUUUCGUUUCAGAAAAUAAGGCCAAACCCUUCUAGAGUAAUCAUCAAUAAUUGUGAGCAUGUAACGAGCACCACCAAGCGAGGGCUUACGAGAAGGUCCCCAUAAGUCAGCAUGUAUAUAAUCAAGAGUACCUUUUGUGGUGUGAACAGAAGUGUUGAAACGUACCCUUUUAUGCUUCCCGAAAACACAGUGCUCACAAAACUUCAUUUUACUCGAAGUGCAGCCAUCCAGUAGGUUUCUCCUCAUCAAUUCAGCCAUACCAAGGUGACUCAUAUGUCCCAGACGCAUAUGCCAAAGGUUAGUUUUACUAGGUUCCUCAUUAGUAACAGCAGCAACAGCGGAAUCAGAACCAGGUAAAGUACACCCUCUAAGGACAUAUAAUUUAGCAGAAUUGAGAUCACCUUUUAAGCAGACGAGAUUACCUCUUGAUACCUUCAGAACACCAUCCGAACCGGAAUAUUUGUAACCUUUUGCAUCAAGCGUGCUCAAUGAAAUAAGAUUUCUGGACAUCCCUGGUAUGUACCUGACGUUUUUCAGAGUGCGUGUCAUGCCAUCAUGAGUCUUGAUCUGAACUGAUCCAAUCCCCACAAUAUCACACGGGCUAUUAUCUCCCAUCCGCACAACAUCCCCUUUCGGCAUAGCCUUGUAAGAGCUAAACCAAUUUCUGUUAAUGCAAAUAUGAAAUGAACAUGCGGAAUCAAGGAUCCACUCAUCAUGACCAGCAACACAACCGGCAAAUACAACCAGACUAUCUCCAGAUUCUUCAUCAGACACGGCAGCAGCAACAGAGACCUUACCAGCCGACUUGUUUUUCUUCUUCUCCUUAUUCUGUACUUUUCUGCAAUCCUCAACAUUGUGAUUUGUUAGCUUGCAAUAAACACAGAAUUUUUUGUUACCAUGCGGCUUGGACUUUGAACGGCCUCGUCUUUCAUAGUUUUUUCUUCCAUCAUCAUUGGAGGAUCUGUUAUCAGUUCUGCCUCUCACAAGCAAAGCAUCGCCUCUGGAGGACGACGUCCUGUCAUUCUGCACCAUACCUUUCAUCUUCUCCCUUGAUUGGAGAGCCUCAUAAACUUCCUUUAAGGUUAGUUCAUCACGGCUCAAGAGUAUGGUGUCACGAAAAUUUGUAUACGAAGUUGGCAAAGAACAUAACAGUAAAAGACCUAAGUCCUCAUCAUCAUACUUCACCUCCAUUGAUACUAGAUCGGCGACGAUCUUCUUAAAUUCAGCGAUGUGGUUUAUCACUGAAUCUUCUUCCUUCAUCUUCAGGGUGAACAGCUUCAUCUUCAUCUGCAUCUUACUGGUUAGAUCCUUGGACAUACAGAUCGAUUCCAGUUUCAGCCAUAGUUCUGCAGCAGUUUUUUCUUUCAGACACUCCUGCAAAAUAUCAUUAUGAAGAUGCAACUGUAUUAAGGCGAGAGCCUUCUGAUCCUUGCGGAUCUCUUCUUGAGUCCACUCGGCCUUCGUCUUCUUCCCGAAGCUAUCCAGCGCCUCAUCAUAAUCGUGAGUUUGCGCCAGAAUUCCCCUCAUCUUGACUUGCCAUAGCGAGAACCGCGUGUCGUAGUUUAGCAGCGGUAGAUCAAACUUCAUCGACGUCGACAUGAAAUCCAAACAGCAACCAAAGCUCUGGUACCACUUGUUAGGAACGAACGGCGUAUGGAAUAAGAAGUAAAGAAUCAAACCGCAAGGAGACACACGAUUUACGUGGAAAACCCCUUCAAUGUGAAGGGGAAAAACCACGGGCACCAGCCGGCAACAAUCUCACUAUAUCAAGAGUUUUGGGUUACACGCCUAUGGCGGCUUACAAGAGAAUCUGAUAAUCUAUCUCUCUUCUCUCUUCUGUCUCGGUACAAAACCCUAGCAAGGGUGCUAGUAUAUAUAGUACCGACACCCCAGACAGGGGGUAUUGAGCGGUACGGACUCUUGGUCCCGUAGGAGGAUGGAACUCCUCCUUGCCCGACCUUUGAGUCCUUCGUCCUGGAGUCGGAUGCGCCUGGGACUUCGCCUCGUCCGACCCCAAGCCUGGGGUCGGAUGCGUCUGACCCCUUGAGGGUCGAUCUCCGAUUCGCCCGACCCCGAGUCCUGGGGUCGGGAGAUGCUCCGACUCGCCCGACCCCAAAGUCCAGGGGUCGGAAGACGCUCCGCCUCGCCCGGCCCCGAGUCCCGGGGUCGGGAGAUUCUCCGCCUCGCCCGACCCUGAGUGUUAAGGGUCGGGAAGGUCGGCCUUUAUCCUGGAGUGAAUUUGGAACAACUCCAACACAAGGUGGUCAGCAAGCCAUCACUUUGAGCGUUGUACUGGUGCAAAAUUUCAUCGAUGGCAUCGAGUGACUUGAAAGCCGAAUUAACUGCGAAGUGCUAAUAUAUGCAUGCCACCACAAAUAAACAGCAACCUCAAAAUGGAGCAUUGUGCUUUGAUGGAAGAUGGUGCGAGCUUUGGAACUAGAAGUUAAAAGAACGGAUCAAGCAAGAUGAAGAACCUUAGUAGUCGCUUGACAUGGUCGAAUGUUACUCUGACCAACAGCCCGUCCAACCAUAUUGUGGCUCGAUCGGUGGCUUGGUCAGAAGCGUUGUGCAGCUUGCCUGGGUGGCCGGUCAUGGCAGUCGUGGCCAGCGUUUGUGUUUGUGGCUACAACAAGCAGGAUUAUACGAAGGCAAAGCAAUACGAAUAGAGUCUAAAAGAGAUUUCAAGACAAGCAAAUGUGCCUUAAGCCGCUUGCCAUAAUUUUGUUUGGAUUUUGCUUCAAAAUAGCAAUUGGCCAUGGCAAGCAGUGCCACAGCAGAUUUGGCAAAGAUUCAAUCUCAAAUUUUGCUAUUGUAUUUUACAACAGAUUCCUCUCUUCAUAAAUAACACAAUUGUUCCAACAAAUAAAUUAUUCUCCUGUUUACGAUUUUUACUAAUUGCUUUUACCAGGACAUCCCUGUGAGAUCCUUGCUUCCAAUAUUUACAGAUCCAAAGGAAAAUAAAAACAGAUUGGCAAUACACACAAUGAGAUUAUACGGAAACUUUAUGCAAAUAUAAAAUGGUGCAUUUACCAUCCUGGCUUGAAGGCAUGCAAGAUAAUUUCAUUCAUGUCUAUAGGAUGCCACAAAAUAUGGAUGGGCCAAUCUCUAGCUGGAUGGGAAGCAUGAUGCCGCUAACAAAGUAACGACAGACUAAACCUCGGCAACAAGAUGGGCCAUGUAAAUUGCACCAAAUACCCUGUCAGAGAAGAUGAUGAUGUUGAAAGUGUCAUCAGAGAAGAGGAAAAGUAGACAAGAUUGAAAACUCAAACCAGACCUAUUAGACUCUCCAUGGGAGCUCCAAAAAAACUUACAGUACUAAAGAUGCAGGGCAGCUUAGUUACCGAAGAAGGAAGAAGAAUCCAAGGAGAAAAAUAGAGAAAAUGAUGGAUAAAUCUUUGGGCCUAGGUUUUUUUUACCGUAAUCAGCAAGGAAGCCCCUAUGUAUUUUUUAUAGUUUUUUUUAUUUCAAACUCGUUUAAUUCGUUCCCACGGGGAGUCGAACCCGGACCUGCUAGGUGCUACUCAAGUGCUUUAACCACUACGCUACAUGCCCUUUUGCAUCUUUGGGCCUAGGUUAAUGGACCAAAAUAACAAUAUUGGAGAGAAUAAAAAAAGUUAUUUGACUACUCAUUUAAAAUUUACUAAACGUAUCACUACUAAAUAUAUUACAUAAUCUUUCCUAAAAUAAUAUAGUACAGUUACAACUAGAAUCUGACCGAAUCUCGCUGGGUUAGGGAAAGAAGAGGGGGAGGAGGAAGCCGAAUGGAGAGGGAAAAGAAAGGUACCAGCUCACUGGUGGUUAAUUAUCACAAAAAUUUAAUGGACAUUUUGGUAAAAGAUCAUAUUAUAAUAUGAAAUAAGUUGGUAUGGAUAGCUUAUAGGAUUAUCAGGAACUUAGAUUAUAUAAUCAAGAUUAUAAUUUGGAGUAUUUUUUACCACUUGAGAUUAUAUAAGCUCGAUUAUACAAUCUAGGGUAUAAAAAAAGACAUAAUUCAUAACAUACAACCAUUUGCGGCGGAGCAGGGGUCGGAGCACUGCACGAGCCACGAUUGGGAGAUACACUUGAAGUGGCAAAGCAAGUGAUAGGGUACACACAUUAGGACAUUGGCGAUGAGGAUGCCGGAGAGGUUGGGCGCGAAGAAUCUUUGUGUGUAUCUUCUUCAUUUGCGGUAAGGGCGGUGGCGUGGGAACUGAUCUGCAAGUGUGGAGGGAUUUGACGGAGUCACAGAUAAGAUGAUAGGUUUGGUGAAAUGGAAGUGUAGAUGAAAUCAUAGAAUUUAACAAGGUCAACCCCUCAACACCACAUCACCUACACAAAAAGUGAAGACGCAACGCUGUUGUUGCUGGAAGGGUAGAUUGAUCAACUUGAAAAUGAAUUCAUUCACCAAUACAAAAUCAAAGACAUAAGUAAAUAUAUGUGUGUAUGUGCGCGUCUAAUUGACUACAUCUAUAUUGUUAUUCGCAAAAAAAAAUACUAUGAGCUAGUCCACUUAGAUUUAACAACUGAAAGGGCUAGGUGUAUUCGCCAGCUCCUCCGAAAAACGGACUAUACAUAAAAACUACUAAUUCGGCCAUAGCUCCGAACAAAUUUUUAUGAUAUUUCUUUCACCGUGAAUAUAUAUUUUACGCCACAAAAUAUGAUGAUAAAAGAAGUUGAUAAAUUGUCUAAUUACAAUGAGAAUUAAAAAGUAAAAAUAAGAUCAAAUAAAUUCACUUCUAAGUAUAAAAAAAACUAACUACCCGCCCUAUUUGUGCGGGGGCAGACGACCCCACUGCUGGAGACUGCCGCACUGAGCCAGGGAGCUUGACGCUGCCGCCCGCGCUAGAGAGCUUGGUGCUCGCAGUCGUCGGAGGCCGCCGCCCGCGCUGGAGAUCUCGGCGCCCGGACUCGCCGGAGGCCGCGACUCGCGCACGGCUGCUCUGGCUCACCGCCGCGAAACGCUCACGUGCGUCCUGCCCACGUCCGCCCCGGCCGGCCCCGACGGCACAAAGCUCCUCACCCGUUGCCUUGAUGCUGGCCGUUCGUGCCCGCAGCGUAGCGCCGCCCGUCCGCUCGCCCGUGUCCUACCACCGCCUGCGGGGACGUCGGAGCUGGCCGGCCACCGAAUUAAUCUUCUUGCGGCUAGGAACGUGUCCUCAAUCUAAGGAAUAACAACAGAAUCAGCGAGUUCCACCUCAAUCUUGCGCUCCUCUGUUUCUUUGGGGUGAAGUGUGAUGGUACCUGGACUCACUGGACCAUGGAGCCUGCCGCUAGCCCCGCAGCGGCUGCCUGCGCUCCAACAGGCUGCAGCCCGCCAUUGACUAAAUUGGGGAAGGUAGGAAGGAAGUGGUUUAAUUUGAGCAGAGAAGAUCGAUGGAGAGGGGGCUGCAGGAUGGCUGGUGGUUGGGAGCUGCAGCUUCGUGUUUUGCAUGUUGAAAAUGAGAGUAGAGAGGGGAAGGAGAGGAGGAAGGGAUAGAGAGAGAAAGGAUAAGCAGAGAAUCUAAAGAAAUCUGGAGGGGUGGUUUUUAAGGUAUUCUUAAUGGAAGUUUCAUGGAUAAUAAAUGAGCGGCUACGUAGAUAAUUUUGAUGACAUGACACACUAUUUAUAAGGUGAAAGAAAAAAAUAAUUUUAUGAGGAUGAAACUAUAUGUACACUAUUUCUAAGAUCUUUAUGUCAUGUAGUUUUGGAAACACCAAAAGAUGAAACUAUACAUUGUGUGAGCUAUUUCAUCUAUGAACUAAAUACAUUCCUGCUUAUGUGACAUUCUUGGAAAUAUAAAUUUAUGAAACUUUACAUUAACAAUGAGUUAAGAAAGAUGUCUCGCUUAGUGGCAACGUACAUAGACUUUACCUAUAAAAACUAAAAAAACUAUGGCUCCGCACCAGAUUUCCGGAACCCGCGCCGUCGCCGCGCCUAGCGUUGUUGCCGCGCGCGCAGGUUUCAGCGCUCACUGCGUGCCCCGGCCCCCCGGCCCCGGGUCUCGUCGGCUCUGUGGCGUCUCGGUUGCGGGCGGACGGGCGACUUCUGGAGCCGGUGGCCUUGUGGGUAUGUUCUCGGUUGUGCACGCACGGCGGCAUGGGCUCCCUGUUUGUCAGCUGCGUGACGUAUUAUAAGCAGAUAAAAACUAUCCACUUCCGCUAUGAUGUGAGAUUGUAUUAUUUGUACAGGGACCCUGUGCAUUCAGCACGACAGUUUUGUAUUUGUAGAGAUGAUCGAUCAGAUGAAUUACCGGUCAAAACUCCACCCGUUCAAUCUGAAACAGCCCAAAUUGCUGCCUUUUCUUCUGAGGUUGAUUCCGUGGACUCUGCUUUCUUGCGUUCGCCGGUGUACCGUGUACGAAAUGUUUUAACAGCUUAAACGUGAAACGGGUUGUGCGCAAGUGUUAGGCCGACAGCACGUACCACCACUAGCUCAAUGAUCUUCAGAAAACGCGCGCACCACGCACGCGAGGCAUAUGUCAUGCGUGAAGGAAAAGGAAUCAACGCAACGCCACCCAAGUUCGAUCCUGCACGCAGGCCGCAGCCACAUGCUAGUUUGGACUUUGGAAGUGGCGGAGAUCAUGCCAGCCAGUACAACGGUAUGGAGCAGACGGACUAGCUGCACGGUCGUCGCACAGUGUACGUGUGCCGCAUCUGAAGGAGCACUCAACGAUCCCGCAGGUACAAGGAAAGUCGUAUACCAGCAACGCUUUUGCGCCUUGCUAAAAUUAGGUUAAAAUCCCAUGGCCCAAAUUAUCCCCAAAUCAUACCCUCAGUCGCUAACAAACUUGCAAGUUUAGAAAACACCUGCAAGCUACAAUAGUCUUCAACAUUAAAUACUCACAUAUGCAAAUCACUUCCUUACGGUCUAGAUAGCACUUGCAAUUUUUAUGUUUUUUCAAAUACCCUCGUAUGCCUGUUGACCAAGCGAUAUACUUGUUGCAUAGCCUAUGGGUGAAUUGUCUUGUCGCUAAUAAGCUUGCCAAAUAGUUUUAUGAGAGUUUGGCUAAUGAGAGGCCAAAUGACGGUUACACGCCGGUCAAAAGUCUCCACGGUGCUAGUGAGGAAAUCACAAGUUUCAAACAUAUUCAAUUUAACUGCAAAAACUAUUUAGCCUUGGCAAAUCGCAAACACCACCGAAUGUCACAAAAAAAAUUAUAGUUUCAAAAAAAUGUCACCAAAAACCACGCUAGAUUUGAGCCAAGGUUGAAAAGACAACAGUUUUAAUAGUUUAGGGUUAAAAGGUAAAUAGUUUUAUAGUUGAGGGUUGAAAAACUAUACUCUAGGGAUAGUUGAAGCUUGUACUCCCUCCAUACUGGUAUUAGGAGUCGUUCUGGCGUUUGGAUGGAAACGAGUAAAAGAAGUCGUUCUGGCGUGGUUAGGCAAAAUUUGACGCUGCUGCCCCUCCGCUUGGGCUCCAGCGCCGCUAUUAACGCGUCGUUCGCCUCCCACGACUCGCUGCCGCGUUAAUCGCUAUUAAUAGCGCCGCAUGCCGCUCGCGUCGUCCACUCGCCUGCUUGCCUCUUGCCUCGUCUACUCGCUGCUCGCGCUCGCUGCUAGACGCGCGUACGCUCGCCGCUCGCCCAAGUCAUGGAGUCCAAGCCGGCGUCCGAGGAGAUCGUCGUGCCGGAGGAGAUCGCGCCGGCGUCCGAGGAGAUCGUCGCGCUGGAGUCCGAGGAGAUCGCCGCGCUGGAGUCGGAGGAGAUCGUCGCGCCGGAGUCCGAGGAGAUCAUUGCGCCGGAGUUGGAGGAGAUCGUGCCUGAGUCGGAGGUAGAUACCAUCCCCUCGCCGGAGUUGCAGGAGCUCGCGCCAGACUCGGCGAUGGUGCCGGAUUCUUUGCCGCCGGACGCUUUUAUUUGCCGCCACUGUCAAGUCGUUCAUGAAAACCGCGAAGCAUGGGAUCGUGUGCACAGUGGGCGCUAUCCAUGCUCUCACUGUGGUCUCAAGCACGCAGACUACAUGAUCUUCGCCGUUAUUCAUGGCUUCUACGAAUUCGAGUGUGAGUUUUUCAUUCCAGAUGUCGACAAUAUCGUGUUUGAUGGCGAUCAAAUCGUGCUGCCUCCAGACAUGCUCAAGACGGUCAAAGAGGAGGCUAAGGAGAGGCGCGAGCGUAAGCUCGCUGCCAAGAAGGCUAUGGAGGACGCCAAAGCAGCGGUAAGAUCAUUAACAUUGAAUUCUAAUUAACUGAUAAUUAACAAGAUUUGUCUCCAUUACUAAAACUAACAACCAUCAAUCUACUUGUUUCAUGCAGCAAGAGUAGCCUCGGCUUCAUCCAGUAAAGAUGGAUCACAAGGGAUACAAGAUGGCAGCCGACCUUGUCUUUCCAAUGUUCCUAUUUUCAUGUGAGGUAUCUUGAAGUUGUUGCAACCUUUCUUCUUCAUAGCUUCCACGAAAACACCUUGUAGUGUUAGAAACAUUCGGUUUGCAAGGCGUGGUGAGUACUCCAUGAAUGCCUACAUAACAAGUGUGAACAAUUGUUGUGGAAGUUUAAUUCGGUUUGCAAAUUGUUGUGGAAGAAAACAUCUAAACAUGUGUGAACAAUUGUUGAGCAAAUUACCUCUUGCACGGCUGGAAGUAGAGCCUCCAUUGUUUUUGCAUUCUUCUCAUAUUGAAUUGCUUGUAUAGCUUGAAAAAAACCCAAGUCGAGAAUGUUGAAAUCUGGAGAGUUUGGUGGCUGACAUAUUAGGCGAAUAUCAAAUCCUCCUAGCUUAGCGGCCUCACAAAAUUGUGGGUCAUCCAAUUUCAAGUGAGAAGGUGCAUUGUCCUGUUGAAUGAAUAUUGGUCUACCCACAUCUUCUCUUGGCCACUUAGCAACACUUUGUUGAUCAUAAAACCUCUAAUCACUUCUCUAGUGAUCGAAGUUAUGGGCUUCAUAACCAAGUCUCCACGGACACGGCCUGUCCUCUCAUUACCUCUUUGAGCCGCUUCAUACUGAACAAGUGGAAAACAACCAAUCCUACCAUCAAAAAUACAAUUCACAUCCCUAAACCUUGGCCGAGCGCAAACACACAAGAAUAUGAGCCUAGGGAUGUAGUUCUUAUUCUUACAAGUCCGAUGGGGUUCAUCUUCUUCGGGUAGCAAAUAAUAUCUUUCAGAUUUUUGAUGUAGGUAGAACCAUUUCUCAUCAAUGAACACAAAGUCAUACAACUCCUUAAACCUUGGAUCAUCAAGCAACUCCCUAUUAACCAUGUCAACACACCAUUGUAACCUAGACUUCUUGUUAGCUUGAGUGAGAUAUGGUUUGAUGCUACUAGAGUGGCGCCUAAUCAAUCCUAGUUUCAAACACCUUUGAACCCUCCAUUUGCUCAUGUUUAGUUUGGCGCACACAUCCUCUAUAGUCAUUCUUUCCUUUAGAGGAAUGUUUCGCAAUGCUUCCAAAUCAAAAGGUAUUGCUUUACGUCCAACUCUACCCUUCUUUAGACUACAAACCACAACCGGAACACUGCUUCUAAGUUGUAUUUUACCUCAGUUCCAAACACGCUGAGCUGUCCGUAUAUGAAUGUCAAAUUGAGCAGCAACAAAUGCAGUGUCUUCCUUGUGUAGUGUACCAUCGUUGCUUCUAGCUAACAAAGCUUGGUAAACUCAUUUUCGGAGAGCUGCAGUCAUUUCCUUCCUUCGGUGGGGUAAUCCUCCAUGAACUGCUUCCACGUUGGGGUUCUGGACAGCAUGUUCUAUUACAAGAAAAAAGAAUCACGUUCGUAGCUCUAAUUAUAGGGAAAAACCUUAUUCACGGCAUGUUUAUACUACUUAUUCAUGGCAUGUUCUAAUUAUAGGGAAAAAACAAACACUUUCAUGCAUGAUCUAGUAGAAGAAUGUGAUUGUGACAAAAAAAAAUUACCAGCAAGAUUUUGUACAAAGUCCAAAUCAACUGCACCGAACUCAUCUACUGGUAAGUUUAAAUCCAGUACUGUAAAAAAAACAAUAAUGAGAACCGAAAUAAUAUGAACAAGCAAUGAACGGAUAGAUCGAAGCGAUGCAUUUACCGUCGUCUUGUUGCUCUUGGAGAUCAAACACGCCGCCGUCGGCAUCAUUAGCGCCGUCGUAUUCUGGCUCGUCGAAAUCAAGCACGUCGUUGGGGUUGGGGCCGUCAUCUUCUUAUACGGGAAAGUUGAGAUCACCUCACGUUAAUGCUGUGAAUAUAAAAAAAGGAAAGAAAAAAUGAGUAAGAAUGAGCACGUUACCAUUGUUGUUGUGGUCCUCCAGUAUAGGCUCGUUGAGAUUGAAGGGAUGAUUGCCGUCGUCAUCUUCCUCCAUACGAACGUUCAAAUCGAAGCCAUGGAGGACAUGAGCCAUCACGCCGUACAGAUUGCUGUGGAAGGAGCAGGUAGAAAGCUAGAGAAGAAGCUAAGCCAUGGCUAGAUGAACAAGCAAGUGAAGAACAGUCAAGGCAAGGCAGUAGUACUGCACGCACUCGAGUCUUAAUACCGCAGGCACUCCAACCGUCGGACCUGCUGAGCUGUGAGCGCCAAACGAACGAAAUUAACGCGUCGAACCGAAAAAACGAGUGAACGAAAAAAAAAGCGCCCAGACGAUAGCCAGCGCAUAGCGCCAUGCAAAAUCCACGUCCAAAAAAAUAGUGUGUCACUAGGGGUUCGAACACUUGACCACCAACCUCGGGAACAGGGGUGCUCACCACUUGGUCUAUGAAGAAUUGUUGUAUAAGGGACACCCGCAGCGCUAUUUAAUAAGGGCAAAGAAGGAAAACUUCCCUUAACUAGUUACUCUUGGUAAGCGCAAUCAUGUCUCAAACGACUUCUAAUACCAGUAUGGAGGGAGUAUUUUUUGUAAAAUAAAUUGAAGAAUUGACACAUGCCCUACCAAUCUUAGGGCAGUAUCUGGCUUUCUGCAUUCACUUCGCAAGGUAUCUCAACGAACAAGGAUUUCGUCCUAAGUGGCUAAGUAUAUAUAUAAUCAUUGUUGCUCAACAUAUCAUUGUAGCUUUACUAUAUCUCAUCGAUAAGGGCAUAUAGUAUCACUUUGCUUACAGGAAACUGAAACGGAUUAGGUACCUAUCUUCCAACGCAGCUUCCAACGAUUAACUGAUUCAGUACACAGAAUCGUGACAAAUUAAUGAUGUCCGUGUAUUGGUCGUAAACCUGCCGUUAGUUUCUUCUAUUUCCGUUCGUUUACGCGCAUCAUCGUAGAGAACUGUGCAUCACUAAAGAGAAGAGUAUAUAUUAAUAAACUUUCACAAGAAUCCGUAUACAGGUACUAUGUCCUUUUCAUACUACAAAACCUGCGAAUAUGCGAUAACCGCCAAGGAACCGUUACUUUGUAAAAUAGUGCACGCAUGACCUGAAGGCUCCAUCCCUGAUCCCUCCCAUGAUUUGCUCCAUAGCCAUGUGACCCCUACCAAAGGGCGUCGGGUGCAACGGCCGUUGAUGGCGAUCGCGGCGCACUGCGUUCGUUUCGAUUCUUUUUCCCGCCUAUAAAUACCCCGGCAAUGUGCUUCUCCCGACCAUCGAAACACAGAGCUUCCUGUCUGCCCAGUACUAGCAACUAACGAGCUAGGCAUCGACGAUGAUCGCCUCGUUCAAGGUGGUUGCACUUGGUGCACUGGUCUUCUCCCUCCUUGUCUCGUACGGCUCGUGCGCUAGGCCGGUGAGCUUUAACGCCUCUGCCUUCACCGCCGACCCCAACUGGGAGGCUGCCAGGGCCACCUGGUACGGCGCGCCCACCGGCGCCGGCCCCGACGACGACGGUACGUCUAUGAACGCCGGUGCAUGGCGUCGCCAGAUCGUAUAUGCUGCGUGUAAUGGUGUUGGACGAGAUCUGUAAGCUUUCGUGCAUGCAGGUGGCGCCUGCGGGUUCAAGAACGUGAACCUGCCGCCGUUCUCGGCCAUGACGUCGUGCGGCAACGAGCCGCUGUUCAAGGACGGCAAGGGUUGCGGCUCCUGCUAUCAGGUAGUGCGUUACUUGGUCAGAGAUCCUAUUUCCAGGACGACACGUGUCGUUUGCCCUCGUGGAAACGGAAAUGGAGAUGGACCGAGAGAAAAACUAGAUUAUUAGGCACAGUUUUGCCUAACCAUGCAUCCUUGUUGCUGACCUUUUUUCAGAUACGAUGCGUCAACAACCCUGCGUGCUCCGGCAACCCGGAGACGGUGAUAAUCACCGACAUGAACUACUACCCGGUCGCCAAGUACCACUUCGACCUGAGCGGCACGGCGUUCGGCGCCAUGGCCAAGCCCGGCCGCAACGACGAGCUCCGUCACGCCGGCAUCAUCGACAUCCAGUUCCAGAGGUCGGUAAACAUUUGCACCGCUCGUUGCAACACAGAACCACUGACCGACCAAAUAAUCUGAAGGCCCUACACACACGAACAGAAUCAUAUCUUGACCGUCUAGCUACUUUUGUUGUGGAGCCUUUGUACUUUUGCUCAAUCAACAUUUAACGACAACGACCGGUUUAAGUAGAUUCGCACAAAUAUUAGUAGCGUACUUCCACUUUACAAUUUGGCGUUUUUUGCAUGCCUGGCGACAAAUCCUUAACCCAAAUUAAACAUACCACAUGGCAUGUUCAUGUAGGGUGCCCUGCAACUACCCGGGCCAGAAGGUGACGUUCCACGUCGAGGAGGGCUCCAACCCCGUCUACCUCGCGGUGCUCGUCGAGUUCGAAGACGGCGACGGCGACGUGGUGCAGGUGGACCUCAUGGAGGCCAACUCCGGCUCGUGGACUCCGAUGCGCGAGUCCUGGGGUUCCAUCUGGAGGCUGGACUCCAACCACCGGCUGCAGGCGCCCUUCUCGCUGCGCAUCACCAACGAGUCCGGCAAGACGCUGGUGGCAAACCAGGUCAUCCCGGCAAACUGGGUGCCCAACACCUACUACCGCUCCAUCGUCCAGUACUAGCAACCAAUGGUCUCUGCUGCUGGACACGGCAGUGGACACGAUAAUUCGGCAUCAUUGGCUCGAUUAGCUUGGUACUGCAUCGUUUCCAUGGGAUUGAGGUGCCUUAUUAGUUACUACUGAUUAAUUAGCCGGUGAAUAUGCCGGGUGUCCUUGUAUGCUUUAGGUGGUGUUGUGUACGUGUCUUCGGAGAUUUGACGACUGGGAAAUGGAGGAGGCAAAGUUUGCAUGUGCUUUCCCGCCCAUCAUUGUCGAUACGCUUGUACCAGUGUGAUCAAGAUUAUAAAUUAUUAACAGUAUUUUGUGUGCUACAUAGUAUAAGUAUGCUUCUAUCUUUUUCUUAUUAUAGCUUUUUUCAGCAUAUAAGGUUGUGAUUCUCCAAGGUCCUAUUUAAAUUUUAAACUUGAGAAUUAUUUUCUAGGAAAUCAAAAUAUUUUUUUAUGAAAUUCAUGCAUAAUAAAUGGUCUAUAAGCCUCUCACUAUUUCAUUAUUUAGAUGCACUAGAGGAGUCUAUUGAAAAGGCACAAUUGCCGUGGUGGUCGAACCAUGGGUACAUGACUCCGCCUUCCAGGGUUCAAAUCUAGUUGUCCAUCUAUUUACAAUUUUACAUGCUGUAAAUACUCCGUAGCUGUUUGCAUGUCUGAUGGAACCAUGGAGGCCGGAGGUUGUACUUUCUUCUGGGAAAAAAAUAGAGGGGCUGAUCCUGACUUGCUAACCAACAACGGUGGUACCUUACUACCUGUGGAAAGAGUCCUUGACUUGUGACUUCAGAGUUAGACGAUUAAAAUUUGGUCCUAAAAGGAAGACAAUUAAAAUUUGGUGGUUAUAUGGGAUGUGUUUAAUACGUAGUCCAAAUCGAAGGUUCUGCGGCUGACCUAGCAGGUACCCCCUUUUCUGAAUUGAACUGAAACCCUGCAAGCGACAACUCCAGCCCAUCGAGGUUAUUUUCUUUCAUGCCGAAUGCUGAAGCCUUUUGCUCUUUUUCUGAUGGCACUCCAUUCCCGCAGAUUUGGCAAUCCUGAAAAGGACCGUCACCAUAAUUCUAGCAACGGCCAAAGCAGUACUCCCUCCGUCUUAAAUUGUAGAUCGUUUUAAUUUUUUUAGGUUCAUAGUUUUUACUAUGCAUCUAAAUAUAGUGUAUGUCUAGAUACAUACAAGUAUCUAUGAACCUAGAAAAAUCAAAACGACCUACAAUUUGAAACGGAAAGAGUACUAUUGCGUUGGUUGAACGCAAAGGAUGCUAACCCUCCAACACAAGUCUCUUUCAGUCCAAAGCCCUUUGAUUUCCCCGUCACAAAAGUAGUAUAAUCUACCGUGUGUGACAACGAUCCGUCGCUUUUCCACUAUUGUGAUGAGAGCCGGCCGGCAAAGUCGCCGGCCGCUUAAAGGGGCCGGCCUGACUGAACUGGAUUCUUGCCGUAAUUACUGGAGUCAAACUGCCCUCCAGUCACUUCCAAUGGCCGUACCAAAUUACGGGAAGCUAUACAGGGAACAGGAUGCAGACACUUCCUCCGAUCCUAUAGGCUUCUGAUGAUUAACCUUGCUGCAUCAGCAUGCUGCAUGCAGGUUCGCGGUAGCCUGUAGGUGUUCAACAAAGACCACUAUACUAAAACGAGGCAUCAGCAUGUAGGUUCUAGAUUCACUUCGAAAAAUGGAAGAUGCUCCUGAAAUAAAAGAAAACAAUGUUUUGUGUCCAGCAGUUCAGCUGUCGAUUUCAUUUUUUCCUUUUCAGUUGCAUAAAGUGGUACUAACAUGCAUAUGACAGCGUGAGAAAACGAGAGACCUCAAUGAUCCAUUUCCUUUUGGGCUCGUCAAAACAAUUUAGCCCACCGGAAAGAGACCAAUAAUGGGCUCCAGGCGCAUGACAGCCUUCUGCAUCUGAUAGGUGCGGGCCGCCAUGGCGGAAAAGAAAGGCAACCGCCGCCGGGCCCGAGAGCGAGCCAACGGCCCGCAUAGAACGUCAACAUCGCCGCCGAACGCCGCCCGGAGGUCUCGCGCCGGAUUUCUGCGGCCUACGAGGUCGUCGGCCCUCGCGCUCUCGUAACCUUUAAGGGGCCGGCAAACCGCCCACUCUCAACUUCGGCUGAGCUGACAGCUGAGCUUUUAGCGGUCCCGGUGUGGCAAGCAAGCAUCUUUGCUGCUGGCGGAAUCGCAGGCGGCUGCGAUAGAUAGUUUGUGGAGGCCUUGUGUACUGUUUUCUGAAAACUAGCUACUCCUUCUGAAGAUUCCUUAAACUGGUUUUUUACCCUAAUUUAUAGAAAGUUUUGUUUCUUUACUCUAACUAGGGUGGAUCCAAGACUUGAAGAAUGGGAGGUCUGAUUUUUCCCCUUCUUUCAUCCCCUUUCCUUUUUUUUUCUUCCUCUUCUUCAUCUAUAGCUAAAAUUUUUAGAGGAGCUCCGUGAACUGCGCAGGGAUCUACCCCUGCUACCUUCGGACAAGUAGUACCAUCAUGAAAUCGGAAUUUCGAGAUUUAUCAAAAUCAAUUAUUUCUUUUUUUUAAUAAAAAAUCAGUUCAAUAAGUCCUUGUUUCAACCUCAACAACGGACAUCACAUCGAGAAGGACUCCACAAACUAUGGGGAAGCAUACAUUGGCCCAUGAUAUUGAAAGAAAAAUUAUAAACUACUCGAUUUUUCUUCUCCUCUCCACAUCUUCAUCCAACCAUCUCCAACAAGAUUAGGGGAUAUGGGUUCUCUUACGAGGUUAGGAAGGAGGUGGGUCUCCAGCAAGCUUUUGGAGGUACUGCAGCGAAUUGUUUGGAAGCUAGGGUUCACCAAAAUGCUCCUGCUUUAGAGGCAUGCUAAGGGUAACAGGUUUGCCGAGCAAAGAUGGCGCGGCAAGGGAGCGGAGGCACCGUGGGCCACGACAAAAAAAUAUGUGGGCUAGGAUGGGGUUGGGAGGGUGAAGCGAGAAGUAUACUGUGGCAGCAGGUUGUAGCGGUGGACACAACAAGUCAGCAACGGCAAGAUGAAGGCAGUACGGACUACUCAAAACUGAUUUUUCAAAAACUACUAAGGCAUGUACACAUUGGGAUGACAUUAGCUGUCUAGGAGAGGUGCCAUGUAGGUUUUUUAUAUGACGUGGAGGGGAGAGGAAGAGGAGAGAAAAAGUUGUCAUCUAGUAAUUAAUGAAUGGGCUGGAUGAACCGAGCUGUAUCUCACUGGUAAGGACGUAAAGUUCCUUGUGGUGGAACCUGUCCACUCAGAUUUGAGUCUUCCACUCGCUACAGUGUUUGUAGUUUUUUAGAUUUAUUUUAGGAUUUAAUCGUUAUUAUUCUUUCAGUAGUAGGCGAUGUGCCCGUCGACAGAGGGGCACAUGUAGUGACUUCGUCAAUCUCGAAAUCCGUUAGUUCAGUCUUGCGGAGGUGCUCAUAGAAGUAGAGUUACAUACUUAUAUUUAUAGGAUUGAGCGUGUGAAUGCGUGUAUAUAAACAUCUGUAUUUGUAUUUGUAUUUGUACUUUAUUUUUGGGGAAAAAAUAAUCUAGAACAGCAUAAGAGAAACUCUUAACGACAACAUUUUACCCGUUAUAAAGAUGAUGUACGUUACUUGUGUCCACAGCUCCACAUAUCACUCAACUAUUUUUCUUUUGAACGAACGUGCACUGAAUGUGUCUAUUUCAUUGAUAAUGGAGUGAAACAACCGGGAGACCCGGGGAAAAACAAAAAACUUUUGUACCCAUAUCACUCAACUAUGAGGUGUCAUUCAGACUCUCUACACACAACCCAUACAAUGUAUUGCAUACACCAACCUUCUGUACCAUGGUACACAUCCUCGUAAAACUUAUUCUGUGAGAAGUAGUUUAUUUUCUACAGAUACAGACAAACCGCUCAAUCUGGCGCACGUUUUGGGGCCUCUUCUAGCCUUGUCCAGAUAAAUUGAAGUCCAACUCCAUGCGUUCAUUCUGGGUCAAACAAACCAAGUUUCGCUGCCCUUUUUCCGGUGGCGCUUCAGUGCUCCUCUGCUUCCUUUUGCCGGUGGACGAUAAAUGUUUUGACCGGCCAAAUGAGCACGAGCUGACGAGCUGCGCUGUGCAAGUGCCAGUCUCUGAUCGAUCAGAUGAGAGACAUAAGGACGGGCGCCAAGCACAUGUCAUGCGUGAAGAAAAAGGAGAAGCAACGUCACGUUCUCUCCUGGUUGCGGCUGUUGCGGCACAUUAUUGCCAAUUUGCAAAUGGCAAGCUGGUGGAGGAGGACUACGAACGAGAUCGCAACUAUACGUGCAAUCGGUGGGAGACUGCUGCACAGCACCGCACGUACAGUACGUGCGACAACGCCCCGUUCCGCUGGGUGCCGAACGUAUACGCUACGCAUUAUCGUUGAUCGACUACACAUAGAUAACGAAAAUAAUAGCGCCGGCCUUCACCUCCUUUUAAUUUGCGCAGGUAAGAUCAGGGCCGUCGUCGUCGCCUAUAUGGGAUCAUGGGGUCUCCGAUUCCUUUUGCAAUUUGCCAACCUUUUUUCCCGUGUUGCGAAAUGGAAUUGAAUGCUCCGCUAAAUAAAAAAUCCUGAUAAGUACAGAUCGAUGUUGACGAGAUGCAAAGUCUCCGAUCUGGCGCUAAAGUAAUCCACUGAUCAUAAAAUAUGCAUGGUGGCCGAUAAGCAGAACAUGCAUGCUCAAGGAUUGAGGGUCAGAUGUUUCAAUGCAAGGCGUCGAUGAGAAAGUCAGCUGCGCGGUUGUGUCUCGCAUGGCUACAGUAGUUACAGAGUGCGACUCUCCAUUCACAUUUGCAUGUGGAAGUUGUACACACACAUUACAUGCGUAUGAAACCAUCAAAAGACAAAAAAAAAAAGUCAUCCCACAAAAAGGAAAAUCUAAAGUCAAAUGAUAGGCCGGCAAGUGGUAACGAUCGAUGAAUCUGUAUUCGGAGAUAGUAGAACAAACGAUAGAUCGAUUGUUUUGAUGCAUGAUUGCCUCCCAGUGUUCGGAGAUUAACGUCCAGGUGUAGUUUAACCCACCAGCAGUUCGUUUUUCAGUUGCUUGUGAGUUGUGACCGAACGAAUCUCCCGAUUAUUGCUAGGCCAACGCGUCAGCCGUCAGGUGUCAAUCUAAUCUACAAUUAGAUCGAAAAGAUUUCGGUUAGCUUGCCAUACUUAAUUGGCAUCCCGAUGCGUGGUGCAGUCAGGAUCAACGGUGAUCGCAGGCAGCACGGUAUAGCUACUAGGAGUGUAGGGCCCACCGUCACCAGAUUCGUGGUCCCGGUCCCGAUCCGACGGUUCAGAUUCCACGACGGUUGUUGAGAGGAAAGUUGGUCCGCUGAGAUGGCUGCGCGGGAUGAGUUGGGAAUCAUUGGCUCAUUGGCUGGCUGGCACCGCCACACCGGCGUACGGUAGGGGAGAGCUGCGCGUACGACGACCAUGUGGGUAACUGCCAAAGAGCGCGUUUAAUUUGUAAUGGCAGACUGGCUCGCGGACCGAGUACUCCAUUUCCACCAUGAUUAGCUCGGAUCGGUACGGUGGCCAUGUGACCCUGUACCUCCAAACACGGCACGUCCGAUGUGGCGACGACCACCGAUGCCCAACUGCUCGAGCUCCUUUGCCUACCUACUUGUUGUCCGUCUAUAAGUACACCGGCAGUCUCGCCCCUUACACCAUCACCAAACUACAACACAUAAGCCAACAAGUACACAGACAGAAGGUUCUUCUUGGCUUACAAGCUGAGAUAGAUGGCCGCCCGGGCAGCUGCACUCGUCGUCGCCCUCCUCGCCGUGCUUGUCGCCCAUGGCGUCCGAGCACACCCGGAGUUGAACCACACCUCCUCCGCCGCCCGCCAACUCCGCGGCUCCGGAGGCUGGCUCCCGGCCAAGGCCACAUGGUACGGCGCGCCCAACGGCGCCGGCCCCGACGACAACGGUAUGUAUGCGUUCGUUGCCGCUAAUUAGCGCUGUCGUGUUAACAUGAUGUUGCAUUGGUUUCGCAUGCCGUGUGCCGUGGUGGCUGACAUUGUGUCGUGCAUCCCCCGAUGGUUUCUGCAGGUGGCGCGUGCGGGUUCAAGCACACGAACCAGUACCCGUUCAUGUCCAUGACGUCGUGCGGCAACCAGCCCCUGUUCAAGGACGGCCAGGGCUGCGGAGCAUGCUACCAGGUAUCUCCGUUUUAAAUUAUAAAUUAUUUUAAUUUUUUUGAAAGUCAAAUCAUUUUAUAUUUGACUUAAAUCAUAUGGCAUCAAAUAGAUAUACUAUAAAAAUAUAUUUAAUGAAGAAACUAAUAGUAUUUAUUUGGUAUCUUAAUAUUUUAUUAUAUAAAUUUAGUCAAAGAUGAUAUUUUGGUUGAGGAGUAGCGGUUAAAUUACCCGGAUCAUUUAAUUCAUAAGAUCGCUCGGUCAAAUGUACAGACCUACACUGCCAGAGUAGUAGGAGUAGUAUAUUUUUUCCUCGAAGUUAACGACAUUUUUUAGUAGCCACUAGACUGAGGACUACUAGAAUUAAUUCUCGAAGUCAAACUAAAACAUGCAAAGCGCAUCUUUUCACGUUCUCUGCUAACUUAAUUACUAAACUCCAGAUAAAGUGCACCAACAAGAACAACCCCGCCUGCUCCGGCCAGCCCAAGACGGUGAUGAUCACGGACAUGAACUACUACCCGGUGGCCAAGUACCACUUCGACCUGAGCGGCACUGCGUUCGGCGCGCUGGCGCGGCCGGGCCUGAACGACCUGCUCCGGCACGCCGGCAUCAUCGACAUCGAGUUCCGGCGGGUGUCCUGCGACAACCGGGGCCUGACCAUCAACUUCCACGUGGAGCAGGGGUCCAACCCCGUGUACCUCGCCGUGCUGGUCCAGUACGCCAACAAGGAAGGCACCGUGUCGCAGAUGGACCUCCUCGAGUCCGGCUCCCGCUACUGGACGCCGAUGCGCCGCUCCUGGGGCUCCGUCUGGCGCCUCGACUCCAACCACCCGCUGCGCGCGCCCUUUUCCCUGCGCAUCCGCGGCGAGUCACGCAGGACGCUCGUCGCCUACAACGUCAUCCCGGCCAACUGGAGGCCCAACACCGACUACCGCUCCUACGUCCAGUACUAAUCAGCUUGGUGGGUUCGGUUGUUGAUUUUAUUUUGGUACCGUACCGUGUGAUUAUUGCAAAUUUUCAUUUUGCAAUGGGUUUGGCGAUUUUUCAGUAACGUGUGUGUGUCCUUGUGUGUGUGCGCGCGCGCGCACUUGGGGCGCGUGGGAAAUGGAGGAGGCAAAGUGUGUUAUACAUGUGUGCUAGCUCUCCCGCCCACCGGCGAAAGUGCGUACAACUAGUGUGCGUUCCAUGACUAGAGUGAUAUACAGCGUGUAACCAAAUCGCGGGGGUUAUGCCUCGUCAAUGGAUCAUUAAUAACUACUUUGUCGAUCACAUGAUUCCGAUUAUAUAUUCUAGUAGAUGCGGAUCCACAGCACACUUUAUUAUGAGCUUUUCAGAUCAGAGAUCACCGUAGAAACCGCAUUGCACUGUUUUUACAUUAGCAGAUGUACUGUGACCCCACGUUGCCAUGUGGUAGUGGGACGUGUAUUCAUGUUUUUUGUUUGAGGACUGGCAUCUCAUGUCUUCUUUUAAUUUUAAAAUUUUUCUUAACUCUUUUAUACAUGAUGUUUUAUUUUUAAUCUGCUCCAGCGAUAAUUUUAAAAUAGCCUAUUUGGUCAUUCUCAUGACGUAACAUAAACACUCUAUGAAGCCUUAUGCAUAAGGCGUGACAUAGUGUUUUUGUCAUGCCGUGUAGCCUGGUGUGAUAAAAAAAGGCUAGUUUAGAAAAUAUCAUCUCGAAUGGGUCCAAAACUAAAAUAUUUAUUUAAAUGGAUUGCAAUAAAAAUAGAACUACCCUCGUUCAUAACGAGAUAGUAUGUCAUGAGUUGAUCCUAUGAACUUUGGCAGGGCCGUCGAUGAGGGAGUGCGAGGUGAGCGACCGAAUAGGGCCACCAAAUUGUUAAUAUGUGAUUAAGUAUGGAUUUAAUCAGGAAGGGAAAAGGAAAAGGCCCAUUGCAUGUCCAUUCGUGGCCAUCACUGCUAGACAGUAUCCAGAAGAAUGAAUGCAUCAUGUAUGCCAUCACUGCUAUACAGCAUGCAUGACAAGCCUCUUGGUGAGUGUGUCGAUCGAUCAACUAAUGAUGAAAUUCAGCAAUUAUUUUAGUGUUUGAUUACUUCUAUAAUUGCUUUGCCGUAGAAGGUUAAAACUUCGGAUAGGAAGUUUUUUUUUUAAGAGUAAAGUGCAUGACCGGUUCUUAAACUUGUCCAGCUGUUAUCGGUAUUUUAGACCGACAACCCGCCUAGGGAGUUCCCAAGGUGGUGUUUUGUGCGUGGUGUCGUCGAGAAUCAAGGAGUCGAUGGUGACGCAAGGAACACGAUUUAGAUAGGUUCAGGCCGCUAGAUCGCGUAAUACCUUAUGUCCUGUGUGUUGAUUGUAUUGAUCUUGUUCUUCGUUGUUUUGGAGGGGGUCCCUGCCCGCCCUUAUAUAGUCGGGGGAGCAGGGUUACAAGGCGGAUUAUGUAUAAGAGUCCUAGUCGAGUAUGUUACAGAGUCCUACUCUAACUCGGUAGAGUAGUUUCCUUUUGAUCCGACUAGUCUUCGGGGAGUCCAUGAAGCCUACGCGCCCUGCAGGGUAGUCUUCAUGUCCAAGUAGGUUUUGGGUACGUUCCUUUGAGUGGAUCCGUACAAGUCUUCUGGUGGGCCCGAGGGUGCCCAACCAACAAGCCCCUGAGUACUUUGUAGUUGAGAGGAACAGUUCCGAGUACUUGAAGAACAUUGCCCGAGUCUCCUGGUGCUCCCCGAGUACUUCUUACUGCGGUCAACCUUUGAGUACUGAACCUGUACGUGACUGGAAGGUACUCUUAGCAGUUCCCGACGUUUGCUUCGAGUAACCUUUGUCUUGAAACUUUUCAUAUGGUAGUGUGAUGACAAUCGCACUCCAUAUGGAGUAGCCCCGAGCCUUAGGUUGAAUCGAAGAAUCAGGCUGAGGGUCAAACUUGUAAUUUUGCUUCGACUUAUCUUAGUCUUCAGAAAAAGAAAACUUUAUCCAACGGGUAAGGUACACGCAGCCCCCGAGCACUUGGUCGAUUACUUGUAGUCGGAGAAGGGAUCAAUGUCUUGGUCUGAGUAGCCGUCGGAUACUAUAUGGUGGUAAAUCUGAGUCGUAUCUGACCAUUGCUUGAUUAAUGGUUGGAAUCCGAAAAUGUUGCUGAUAUAAUAGGAGGGCCCAACGCUAAUUAUUGGCACGCCUGUUGUAGCAGAUCUGCAAUUUGCAUCCUUUUUGCAACCCUAGUGCCGCUGCUCCUGUUUGCGCUGCUGCUUCCAUUAUUGCCCUACCCAAUCUUUUGAAGAGAGAUCACUGCAGCCUUCUUCACCCCCUUUUUUCCUCAAGAUUAGUUGAUGCAUACCAAGAAGAUGGGCAAGAAACCUGAGAAGAUCUAGGGGGAGGCCACGACCACCAGCAAGUUGAGAUCUAGAUCCAAGAAGGGCAAGGAGCCUGAGUUGCCGGUGCCCAAGUGUGGCUCGACGAACCAGACUGCGCCACCGCCUCUUGGGGCCACCUGCAGCAUUCUGUGAUGAAGGAACCGGUGGUUCAGGCCUUGGUUGAUGCGAAGCUGCUCCAACCAAAGGUGGAGCUUGAGUGGAGGCCUGCAUAUGGAAAUACGUGGAAAUUCAAAGAGCACCCCAAGGAGACAGUGAUGCUGGCUCACGUUAUCGAGAGAGGCCUAGCGGUGCCUACCUCUAACUUCUUCAGAGGUAUUCUCGAGUAUUAUAGUCUUCAGCUAGUCCAUUUGAAUUCGAAUGGCGUGCUGCAUAUGGCUAUCUUUGUACACUUGUGCGAAGUGUACUUGGGUGUUUUGCCUAGUCUGGACUUGUUUAGGAAAUUGUUCUGGUGUAAACCACAACCCAGCACGACUAGGACAUAAGUCUUUGGAGGAGUUGGGUUUCAGUUGAGAAACUCGGGUGCGUAUCUUGAGUACGACCUGCCUAAUUCUCAUGACGAUUGGAAAAAGAGGUGGUUUUAUAUUGGGAACCAUGAUCCUGUCUUACCAGUAGUCACCGGCCAUGCUCUGAAACAUGCAGACAACUGGGUAACGGAGCCUGAGGAUACCCAUGAGAUCACCGACUUGUUGGUGCAGAUUUCCAAGUUGAGAACUUUAGGGUUGACUGGGGUCCAUGUAGCCGCCAAUUUCCUCAAAUGCAGAGUUCACCCCUGCAACAGCGUGCUCAUUGGGGUUUCGAGUACACGGGUUUUAAUGACCCGUCGCGUAUGUCCCCUGAAGACGUAUCCGACGAUGAUGUGGAGGCGUUGUUGGGUAAGUUCUUCAAGAACUAUCAAGGAGUGCCAGUACUCCUAGGAGUCCUCUGAUAGUUUGACGGUUGGUAUGGACCCACAGAGGUAUUUUUGCUUCUCUUUGUUCAUUUUGUGUAGUCGAAGAUGUAGUCGGUUGAUUUUGUUGACAAGUAGUACUUUCCGAGUAACAAUGUUGUCUUUUGUAGUCCCGGGUGCUGGUUGGUUUCUUGACCACGCCUUCCGAGGAUAAGGAGGUAGCCGAGGGUAAAACUGAAGAUGCGCCUUCUGCUCCUCCGGCUAAGAGACGCGGAGUAGUGCGGAAGAAACCCGCUACUCAGCAUACUGCGACUGCUUCGGACUUGACCCCUGAUGGGUCACGAGGUACCAAGGUAUGUAGUCGUGAGUUGUAACUAUUUGAGUACUUUGAGUUUCUUGUUGACUUAGUCGUAUUACUUCCAGAAUACUGACGAUAUUAGUCUGUAUGUUGAAAAGGCCGCCAACUUGACUUUUGGUGAUCACGAGGCUACUUCUGCUGAAGUAGUCAUGAUUGCCAUAGAUGCAGCUGCCGGUGUCGCGGUUGUUGAAGAGCUUUCUGUGGAGGAGGUGUUGUCAAACUUAGGGUCAGCAGCCCCCGAGCGUGUAGCCCCCGAGCCGAUAGCCCCCGAGCUGAGAGCCCCCGGGCAGGCUACUUACCCAGUAGGUGAUGAGGCCACGGCAUCUGUGGUGGCGGAUGCUGUGAAGACACCGGAAGUAGCUGCUGAUGCUUCGUUGUCUGAGGAUGUUACUGGUGGUGAGUACGUGAUCUGUUCUGGUAGUCGUGUGUACGUAGUCUCAACCUUGGUUCUUUUCAGGACUUAGCGAAAGAGUGGAGGACUUUCCUCUUAUGGCCCCUGUGGAGCCAGUGCCAAGUAUCUAGUCGGUGGUAGUCGAAAAGAGGCAUGUUCGUUUGCCACCGCGAUCAGCCUAGUAAGGAUUUUUGUAGUCUUUUCCUUUGUUUGAUGAUUUUUGUACUUUGUAGCCGGAUGAUAAUCUUGUAACUUGAUCGAUCCAGGGAUGCUGAAGACAUUAUUUCCGUCGAGGUGGAGGCGGAGGUUGAGGUUGGCCCGUCAACUACCGUUUCUAAGCCCAUAGUCGACUUGACUAUGGAUGCUGCUCUUGAGAUCGAAGACGCAAGUCUUGUGGGUGCUACCAUGAAUAUGCUACAGGAGGUCAUCCGCUCAGUGGAGGGCCUUACGGUCCUUGAGAGUUCUGGAGAUGUGCCGCCUACAGCGGCUGAAGUUGCGUUGACUGUGAGCGCGACUGGUGCUGAUGCCUUGGCACUGGUUGUUGCGAUAGGAGUAGGCGAAGUCGGCGCAACAGGUAUGUUACUGGAGUAGGUAUGCUUUUGAAAGGGAGCUCCCUUAUACCCAGUAGCUAACCUUGAUUUUUUCUUGUCAGGGUCUGUUGUGAGUAAAGUGCCGAAGCCUCAAGUCGCCAAGAGCACUGGGGAUUCGGUACUCGAGCUUCCAUCGGAGUCGGAGAUCAAGAGAGCUAUCCAGAGCUUUCAGGUGUGUAUGGCCCAUUUUCUCUGACUAAUUGUAUUUUGACAAGUCUUGAUGCUUGUGUUGUGGUGUUGUAGGAUCUGUAUGAUAAGGCCCAGAAAAAUACUCGGGCUCUUCAAGAGCACAGUGAAGUCGCACAGCGGGUAGCGCAAUUGGAGCAAGAGUGUCUCCGCCUUACAGAUUCCUUGAGAGUUCAUGAGGAGGCCGCAAAAUCUUUUGCGAUUGAGAGGAGUGAUCAUGAAGUCCUUCAGGAGUGACUGGAGAAUCGCUAUAGAUCUUUGAAUCAGAGAAUAUCAGGGUGAGUACUCGUGGUUGUUGAGUAUGUUUUAAUCGUAGUCGUAGAUUUUUCUCUGAUUUCUGUGUUGCUUGACGCAGAGCUCAAAGGCAAAGAGGCUGCUACAAGUAGCCAAGUACUUGACUGGAGAAAUGCUCACGACCGGGUAGCCGAUGAGGCCGUCCACCUUAGGGCGUCACUAGCGGAAACUCGGGCAGCUUACGAGCGCGAGAAGGAGAGGAAACAUCGGAUGGGAAUGAUGCUGGCAUUGGCUAUGGUGUCCUAUAGAGGCCAUGCUAAAACUGCGGAGAAACUGGAGGGUGUUCUUCAAGAGUUGACUAGUGCUGCUCAGGACACAGUCAAUGCUAUUGCUCCAACCGAAGAUGAUGCUGAGCCUUUCUCGCUAGUCGAGAGACUGAGAGCUGCCCCGGGUAGAGUCGCUGGACUGUGCAAGACUAUCUGCAAGCAAGUCCACGCAGUUGUCAAGUCAUAUUACCCGAGGGCGAACUUGUCAGCGGCUGGAGAUGGUAUUGCCCGGAACUGCACAGAGGACGCUUAUGCACAGUAUCUUGAAGAGGCUGAGCCCAUUGCAGCGAGGAUGACCGAGUUUAUAUCCUUGGAGGAACCCUUGUCGUUUGAACUCGUGUUGUAUUUUUUGCCGAACACUUGUGACUGUACUUAAACAAUUGUAUUGUAAAUCUUGCUCUGUCGAGAAAUUUAAAUUCUGAUUAUGAACGAUGAUCUUUGUUGGUUGACCUCGUAGUCAGGAAACAAAUCCGAGUAAUCGAGUAGUCGUAGUAUUUGGUGUGGUCUUCAAUUAUUGAAGUUGCUGGUAAGGGUAUUGUAGCUAUUAUUGCCUUGUACUUGAGAGGGUGCAUGGGUACACUGUUCACUUUUGUCCGUUGUGCUCAGUGUGGUCACAUGCAUGGAGUUAAGUCGUUUUUCUGACCUUUGUCAGUGUCUCAGGUUAUUCGUCACGAGCGAGCAGUAACUGCGAGUAGUUGGCAGUUGCAGCCCUUCAGCUAUAAGUGAGCCUCUGGGUACUUAAUCAGGAUUAUGCCCUUCAGUAUAGUGAUAGCUUGCUUCAGGUUGCUGUUGUUUGAUAGUAGAGAGCUUCAAAUGAGUGUCCCAGUGCUAGAAGAUUCCUCAUAGAUUAGAGCCACCUUCCUUUCACAGACUCUUACGCUCGUAGGGAUAGCCGCGAUGCUAGAAGAAUCCUCGUAGUAGGGUUUGCCGCGUGCCUCAUCUUGCAACUCGUGAUCCAGCUUAGUUCAUGCUGGAACUUGCGAGUGAAGGAUGAUGAGCUCCGCGGUCUUUAUCCGGCUCCUUGAUUAGAGGUGGAGGUGUGGCAUACGGUAAGGACUUGUGCGCUGAAGCUGUCCAGGGAGCAGCUUCGGGGAGUGCACUUCGUCUCCCUAGUGCUUUUCUUCCUGAUCCCACGUCGGGUAUUCAUCCUGUCGCCGUCGAGGGAGCGACGGUGAAGGAGUACCUGGUGUUCCGGUUGUCAGGGGGAGGAACCAGGGUACAACUACCUAUUGCAUAGCUUCCUUGUGUGCAGGUCCUGCCUUUUGACACGGCUUACACCUUGGUAGUUGAGUAGUCACCAGGCUUGUGUAUCCUUGUGAUAUAGUAAAAGCCUGGGACUUCUGUUCUAACUGCCAGUAGGUAGUUGCUUGUGAAAGUAAUAGAGAUUACGUAGAAUGCGUGGGAUAUAUUGCUUGAGCCCCUGGUGGAUGUGAUCGAAGCCAUGGAGGAGGGCGCGGGUCCGAAGCGUCAGCGAAGGCUCUCGAAUACACAAAAGCAGCAGCUUCUUGUCAACAGGGUUAGCAGGACGAUGAGCCAAGCGUGAUGGUAGAUGGUGCAGCUAAAGAGCGCAAUUGCAUCUUCCUUCAGCAGAGUCGAUGGCGGUGUCCGCGAGCGUGCAGCAAUAGGUGCAGACUCGGACCGAGAGCCAGCGUGAUGAGGACCAGAAGCAUGGGUGGUGCCACCGCCUGAAAAGGUGGCGUCGCCGACGAGGAUGGCGUGAUCACGAGCGUCGCCACAGCAGCCUGAAGGGCGCAACAACAACCUCGUCUUCGGGAGUGUCGACGAUGAAGUGACGACGGGAUGGUAGGGCGACGCAACUCGAUCUAUGAUCGGGAAAUGGAAAAAUAGCAGCAGCAGGAAGAGGCCCACAGAGAACCAGUCCGACCGGCGAAGGCCGGCGGAGGACCGGCGUCGCCGACCGCGCUGGUCGGUGCGGUCAGAUGUGCUGAUCGGAGGUGCCGAUGGAGCGGUCGGGGUGGUCGGAUGCGCCGGUCGGAGGUGCCGGCCGGGGGCGGCGCUAGGUUGCGCCUGAAGGGGCGCCCGCUGCCACCAGGGUGGUCGGGAGUUGUCAGGACGGCCGUAUGCGCUGGUUGGACUGGUCAGGGGGUGGCACCAGGAUGCGUUUAGACGGGCGCCCGCCACCACCGGGUGCCGUUGCGGCCUAGAGGGGCGCCUGCACCGGUCGGCGGCAGCGCCAGGAUGCGCUGUUCUGGUCGGAGCAGUCAGGGGCUGCCGGCUGGUGCGGUCAGAUGCGCCGGUCGGAGGUGCUGAGGGAUCAGUCGGGAGCGGUCGAGGUAGCCGGAUGCACCAGUCGGGGGACUUGCAGGCACGGUCGGGCACUUGCUGUUGCGGUCGGAGCGCUCGCCCACGCGGUCGGGUGCUUGUCGGAGGGCGCCCGCCGCUGGGUUCCACUGCGACCUGGAGGGGCGCCCGCUGCCGCCGAGGCGGUCGGGGUGGCCGGAGGUAGCGUCAAGUUGCGCCUAGAGGGGUGCCCGCCGCCGCCGGGUGCUGCUACGUCCUGGAGGGGUGCCCGCCACCGCCGGGGUGGUCGGGGGCAAUCACCAGUCGGAGCGGUUGGGGGUGGCGCACGAUGCACCUGGCCUAGAGGGGCGCCCACCACCGCCGGGUGCCGCUGCGGCAUGGAGAAGUGGAGGGCCGCCCGCCGGCGCCGCCGGGGGCCGCCGCGGCCUGGAGGAGUGGAGGGGCGAUCUGCUUGCUGCUUGACCAUGAUCGGCACGGUGGAUCAGAGGGAUCGGCCACGGAUCCUAUGAGGGCGCUGCCCCUGGCGGAGAUUGAUCUCCCCGGGGGCGGCGCUUGGGCAGCAGAAGUCGGAGGCCUAGGGUUUGUAACCUAGACUCGUGAUACCAUGAAAGUAAUAGAGAUUACGUAUAAUGCGUGGGAUAUAUUGCUUGAGCCCCUUGGGCUGAUUAUAUAGGAGUACAUGGCUUGGAGGGCAAGUGGCCUCUCCUAGAGAUAAGAAAUGUUAUCCCGAGAUUACAAUCAAUUCUAAAGUAACCAUAUCCAGAGUUGCCUAAUAUACUCUAACAACUUACAGUCGUUGUUGCGCAAUUGUGUUGUAUUUUGUAUACCCCGACUUCAUUGGGUAGUCGAUUGUAAUCCUGCGGAGUUUCGUUAAUGCAAAAAAUGCAAGUGUGAAGUGAGUUUGAGUACUCCUUGACUGAUGGUUGCGGCAAUCUUGUGCCUUUGAAGAACGAAUGACUAGCGCCGUAGCCGUGGCUUGUUAUCAUGGAGCAUUGUACCACAGUGAGUCGUGGCUUUGUGAAACCACUUAGUCUUGUAGAGACGAGUCGGCGAGAGAGCAUUAAAACUCGUAGAGCUGAAGAGCUUGAGUGGCUGUGAAUAGCCAACGAGUUGUGAUAACUCGAAGAGACUUGAUGAAAACAAGUCGAGGGCGGAGCGAUGGGGCUCGCUGAGCUGAAGAGCUCGAGUGACUGUGAAUAGCCGAUGAGUUGUGAUAACUUGAAGAGACUUGAUGAAAACAAGUCGAGGGCAGAGUGCUGGGGCUCGCAGAGCUGAAGAGCUCGAGUGGCUAUGAAUAGCCGAUGGGUUGUGAUAACUCAAAGAGACUUGAUGAAAACAAGUCGAGUGCGGAACGCUGGGGUUCGCAGAGCUGAAGAGCUCGAGUGGUUGUAAAUAGCCGACGAGUUGUGAUAACUCCAAGAGUCUUGAUGAAAACAAGUCGAGAGCGGAGCGCUGGGGCUCAUAGAGCUGAAGAGCUCGAGUGGCUGUGAAUAGCCGACGAGUUGUGAUAACUCAAAGAGACUUGACGGAAUCAAGUCGAAGGCGGAGCGCUGGGGCUCGCGGAGCUGAAGAGCUCGAGUGGCUGUGAAUAGUCGAGCGGAGGCAAAGAUAGGUAGUGUUUGCCAAAGAAAUUUGUUGUUUAAUAAACUGUGGGUGAAGACCCGAGUACACGUCCUGUAGUCUGCUAUGGGUAGUAGCGACACAGAUGCUCUAUAUUCCAAGAGUUUGGUACUUCUUCACCUGAGAGUUCCUGUAGUCGGUACGAUUCAGGCCCUAUGACCUUGGAUACGACAUAAGUACCUUCCCAUGAUGAGUUGAGUUUGUGCAGCCCUGAUGUGUCUUGAAUGCAUUUGAGGACCAUGUCACCCACAUUAAAGGAACGUUCCUUGACAUUACGGUCGUGAUAGCGUCGUAGCCUAUCGAGAUUCUGGCUGACGGAACUAGUGCUGCACAUCUUGUUUCUUCUAGAUUGUCCAGGUCUAGGCGUCUUGUUUCCUCUAACACUCCUUCGUCAUACUGCUCAACUGCGGGAGAUUGCCACAUGACGUCGGUAGGGAGGAUGGCCUCUGACCCAUAUAUGAGGAAGUAGGGAGAGUGCCCAGUAGGCUUGCAUGGUUGAGUGCGUAAUCCCCAAAGAACAUUGGGUAGUUCUUUGAGUCAUUUGCCUCCUUUCGUGUUACCGAUGUCAUGCAGUCUUUACUUGAGAGCUUCAAGUAACAUGCUGUGGGCAUGCUCAAGUUGGCCGUUGGCCCUUGGGUGAGCGAUGGAGACGUAUCGUACAUCAAUUCCGCUGUUUUCGCAGUAUUCCCAGAAGUCGUGGUUGUUGAAGUUGGAUCCCAAAUCAGUGAUGAUCCUGUUGGGGAAACCGUAGCGAUGUACGAUCUCGUCCAGGAAGUUAAGGACUCGGUCGGCCUUAGGGCAAGUGACAGGUUUGACUUUGAUCCACUUGGUGAAGUUGUCAAUGGCCAUGAGUACUCGAUUGAACCCUCCUAGCGCAAUUGGGAGUGGACCAAUCAUGUCAAGCCCCCAGCAUGCAAAGGACCAUAUUGGAGGUAUUGUGAUGAGUAGGUAGGCGAGGACAUGUUGUUGCUUGGCGAAGAAUUGGCAGCCUUAGCAUCUGUGGACUAGAUGUUUUGUGUUGGCUAGUGCCAUGGGCCAGUAGAAGCCUGCUCUGAAAGCUUUGCCUACAAUCGUUCGUGAAGAGGCAUGAUUACCACAUAUUCCUUUGUGUAUUUCUUCCAAGAUUUCUUAACCUUCUUCUCGGGUGACACAUUUCAUGAGUAUUUCUGAAGAUGCGCUCCUUCUGUAGAGCUUGUCUCCGACUAAAACAUAGCUCUUUCCUCAUCGCGAGACUUGUUCAGCUUGGUUCUUGUCAGAGGGUAGUUUUUGUUCUUUGAUGUAGUCGAUGAACGGUGAUCUCCAGUCAACUUUGAUCAUCAUGAUCCCUUGGUUGGGUGCUGGAGGUUUUGUGUUGGUAGUUGCUGGAGUGGCUUGUUCUUAUAUGGAAGGCUUACGAAGCUCGUGUACAAAAAUGCUUGCUGGAACUUCUGCAGGAAUUGAGCCCAUUUUUUAUAACACAUCAGCAGCUACGUUGUUGUCGUGUACGACAUGGUGAAACUUAAGGCCUGAGAACUUGUUCUCUAGCUUGCGGACUUCCUUGCAGUAGGCAUCCAUGUUUUUCUUGUUGUGAUCCCACUCAUCAUUGAUUUGGUUAAUGAUGACUAGCGAGUCACCAUAUACUAGUAAUUGCUUGAUACCGAGUGGUAUUGCGAGACGAAGGCCAUGUAGAAUUGCUUCGUACUCGGCUUCAUUGUUUGAUACUUCCCAAAAGAUCUAGAGAACGUAUUUGAGUUGUUCACCUUUUGGAGAGAUCAAGAGUACUACUGCACCGGUGCCUUCAAGCUUGAGGGAAUCGUCGAAGUACAUAACCCAAUGUUUUGACCUUUCAACUGGUGUUGGUACCUAGUUUUCCCUCCAUUCCGCCAUGAAGUUGAUUAGAGCUUGGGAUUUGAUAGCUGUUCUAGGUUUGAAAUCUAGAGACAGAGCUUCGAGUUCUACUGCCCACUUGGAGAUUCUACCCGUUGCAUCCCUGUUAAGAAGGAUUUCAUCGAGUGGAAAGUCGGUGAUGACGGAUAUGCUGUGUUCUUAAAAGUAGUGUCGUAGUUUCCGUGAGGUAAGUAGGAUCACGUAGAGUAGCUUCUGCACCGGUGGGUACCGAGUUUUGGAGUCCGAGAGUACUUCACUGACGAAGUAGAUGGGUCUCUGGACUUUGUAUACGUGGCCUGGUUCAGACCUUUCGACUACUACUGCUAUGCUGACAACAUGAGUAGCAGCAGCUAUGCAUAGGAGCAAGUCCUCGUUUGGAGAUGGAUCCGUAAGGAUUGGUGGUUUUGACAGGAAGUCCUUAAGCUAUGUGAAGGCUUUGUCUGCCUCUUCUGUGCAUUGAAACUUGUUUUGUCAUUUGAGUAGCUUGAAGAAGGGUAAUCCGCGUUCUCCAAGUCUUGAGAUGAAUCUAUUGAUGGCUGCCAUGCAGCCUGUAAGCUUCUGCACAUCUUUGAUGCCGGUUGGAGCUUGCAUAUUUGUGAUGGCAAAUAUUUUCUCCGAGUUGGCCACAAUGCCAUGGUAGCUAAUGAUGAAUCCGAGUAAUUUUCUUGAGGGUACACCGAAAAUGCAUUUUGUAGGGUUGAGUUUCCACUAAAAUGCUCCUAGACUUGCAAUGGUUUCCUCUAAGUCCGCGACUAGAUCGUCUGGAUUUCUUGUUUUGACGACUACGUCGUCCACAUAAGCUUCUACAUUGCGGUGUAGUUGCUUUUUGAAACACAUAUGGAUGGCACGUUGAUAGGUCGCACCUGCGUUUUUUAGCUCGAAAGACAUUGUUUUGUAGCAAAAUGCUCCAAAUGGGGUGAUGAAAUCUGUUUUGGCUUGAUCUUCUUUUUUGAGGGCUAUUUAAUGAUAGCCUGAGUAGCAGUCGAGAAAUCAUAGCAAAGCACACCCAGGUAUGGAGUCGACUACUUGGUCGAUCCUGGGUAGUCCAAAGGGGUCCUUUGGGCAAUGGUUGUUGAGGUCUGUGUAGUCGACUCACAUCCUCCACUCAUUCUUCUUCUUGCGAACGAGUACAGGGUUGGCUAGCCAAUCAGGGUGGAAAACCUCCUUGAUAAACCCUGCUGCAAGUAGUUUGGCUAGCUCUUUUUUUAUUGCAUCUCUUCUGUCCUGGACGAACCUUCGUAGUCGUUGUAUUUUUGGGGUAGCUUUGGGGUCGACAUUUAAUGAAUGCUCAAUCAGCUCCUUGGACACACCGGGCAUGUCAGCUGGCUUCCUAGCAAAGAUGUUGUGGUUAGCCCAAAGAAAACUGACGAGCGCGCUUUCCUAUUUAGGGUCUAAUCCUGUUCCAAUCAGGGUUGUCUUGGAUGAGUCACCAGUUUGGAGAUUGGCGGUUUUGAAGUCCUUCUCGCUUGCUGGUUUCACCUUAGUCGAUCCCGACUUGUUUUCUGGGAUCUUGAGUUCAGUGGGGCUGAGUUUCUUUGAAACUGUGAAGACUUGUUGCAUGGGAUUGGGUGCUUGAGAUGUCGCUGCAAUCUCGACAGCUUUCAUGUCGCACUCGUACGAUCGCCUCAAGUAUCGACAUAGUGUUAACUCACCCAUAGGUUCUGGCAUCUUGUGUACUAGGUACAUGUAGUGUGGUAUGGCGAUAAACUUGGCCAGGGCUGGUCUUCCGAGUAUGGUGUGGUAAGAAGUUUCGAAGUUGGCAACCUCAAACCUGAUGUACUCGGUUCGGUAAUGUUUGUUGGUGCCGAAAGUGAUUGGUAGGACAACUUGUCCUAAAGGUAUGGCAGCAUUUCCUGGGACAAUUUCGUAAAAUGGUGAGUCUGUUGGAGUAAGCAUGUCUGUGAUGUCGAAGCGCAUUUUCCUUAGUGUCUUGGCGAAAAAUGACAUUGAGGCCGCUUUCGCCAUCGAUGAGUACUUUGGUAAGUCUUGAGCCUGCGAUGAUAGGGUCGAGUACUAGAGGGAAUCAGCCUAGUUCUGAGAAACUUGUCCAUUGGUCCUUUCUGCUGAAAGUUAUGGGUACUUCAGACCAUUUGAGUGAUGUAGGAGUUGUUGGCUCGAUAGCCAUAAUCUCUCUAAGUACUAGCUUAUUGGACCACUUGGAUGCGGUACCUGGGAUUCCACCAAAAUUGACGUUGACCGUUUUAGAGGCAGUUUGGAACUCACCUUCACCUUCGUUAGCUUCGUCGACCUUGCCUUUGCGCUUGUCCUUCUUCUGACCAAUGUCUUCAAGAGGGGGUGGUGCGGGUAAUUCUUGCAUUACUCGCCGCAUGCUGUAGCAAUCAAUCGCUGAGUGUUUGCUGUUUGGAUUCCAUGGGCAUUGCUUCUUGAGUAACUCGGUGAAGGAGGCCCUGUCAUUGCGUUUGGGUGGCCCUUUUUUUCCUGAGUUGGAGAUAGCCGCGACGGUGUUGUCAGGUUUGCGCUUGCGGUUUUGAUUACCCGAGUAGUUGUUUCGAGUAUCAUUGUUACGUUUCUGUCUUGAUUAUGAUUGUUGUUAUUAUUGUCGCGAUCACAGUUGUGAUGAGAGCUAAAUCUCUCACGCUAUUUAUCUUUUUUGUCUACCCAUUGUUGCACCAUGAUUUUGAGAUCUUUGACAGUGGCUGGUCGACGCCUGCCAAAGUCUUGGUAUGUUCGACGAUCAUAGAGGCUAUUUUGAAAGCACUCGAUGAUGUCCCCCUCUGAAAUGUCGACUAUUGUAGCCUUCUUUUCAAAGAAACGACGUAGGUAGUCGCGAAGUGUCUUGUUUUCCUUUUGUUUGACUUGGCUCAGGUCAAUUUUGUUGCCUGGGUGAGACAUGGAGCCCGCAUAAUUAUUAGUGAAAGCCUUCGUCAAGUUUUCCUAGGAAUCGAUUGACUUGGGCUUGAGUGACUCGAGCCAUGUUAGUGGCGCGGGUUCCAUGCAUAUGGGGAUGUGAAUAACCUUUGUAGCAUCGUAGCUAGUGAGUAGCAUCGUAGCCAUUGGACUGUGUUGACGCAAAAAAUCGGACAGUGGCCCUGACUCUUGCAUCGGACACACGAACCGGGAGAAUCCGCUUAGCACCUGUUCGGGUUAUCGCCCUGAUGCAGUUCACGCGGCGUGCCAGUCAAUUUGACCUGUUGAUUGACAAGAGAGAAAAGAUAUCAAAUUCUAGAGAUUUGAUCGCCUGAAUUUCCGAUCUAUUCCAAACGAUCUAUCCACGGAUUGGCCGAUUUAAUGUAAAGAUGACCGGCUAUGAAACAGCCGAUGAUCAUGUGGCAAUUGUAAAAGAAACUACUGGAGUAACCUAAACAAUGCUACAGAGACAACACUUGGAACAGAUCUAAUCGGCUCUAUGAUAAUAAACAAAAUAUUGAUAUAGCCGACAGUUCAUGCUGCAAGCUGGAUAACUGGUGAUAAAAACUAAAAUAACAGGUAAAACCUAUAAUUCUAGUAAAUAUCGAUAACUAGUGAAUAAAUCUAAAAGAAACAACAGCGAUGCACUCGAAGUUAAAGCUUAGAUAUUACUCGAUACGCGGAACUUACAAAUUGGCCGGAGGUCGUGUUGAUGCAGCACUGCCAACUCGUACGAACUCGUGAAAAGAAAAAGGGUUUGGCGAAGUCGCCAACUUGAAAGUAAAGUUGCGUGAAAAAGUAGAUUUUGUAUUGAUGAUUGUUCGUUGUUCUACAAGCCUCACAAGGCACCUAUUUAUACCCUAUUACAACUGAUUUCCUAACCGACUAUGAUUUUAUCUCUUGUUCAAAAUAACAAAUAUUUACAUACAGAUACAACUCGCAUCGGAGUCGAGGACCAAUCAAUCCUCUAUGGGCCAACUCUGUCUUUAGUUUGUUACCGCCUUGGCCCAUUCAGGUGCAUAUCGGCCGAGCUGCUCUAGCUUCCAAUCGGCUAGUUUCCAUCGACUUCAUCUGCUAAUCGGCCAAAACACUGUAGUUUUAUCGGUCGAUUUCCCUAGCGACAGCCUCCUAUUUGACUUCAUUGGCCAUUCUUUUCUCUCCCUGACGCCGACCCUAACAUGUGUAAAAAACCGGUGUCAACACAUGCCCCACAGUUUUGGAGUGAAACAUAUCUUUUGCUCCGAAAUUUUCUCAACUCUGAUUCCUUCCUUCUGAAGAGAUGCAACAAUAGAUGCGGCAAAACCCUUUUUUCUCCUGAAAUCUUCUCCCUAAUGAUUACAUUUUUCUGAACAUAGCGCCCACAGGAAACCGCCCUUUUUUUAAAUUAGCACAGACGGUGUGGUAAAAAUCCCAUAUUUAUCCCUCUCUCGAGCCAUUCCCAAACACUCAUCUCUUCCACCGCUUCUUCUUCCUCUGGGCGAAAAGGGUUUCCUUCCCAGCGAAUUGUCUCCCAACACACUCCGACGCCCCCGCUUGUUCCACCUCCAGGUGCAUUCCAGUGCACUCCGGUGACUUUCUCCCGUUCUUCAUCGAUCGUGCCGGCUUCCAAGUCCCAAUGGCAGGCCCCACAGCCACCAUGGCCUUCAUCCCGGAGGUAAAGUCUUCUGAGCCCCCAUUUUUACCUAUUCGCGAUUUCUAGAUCUGUUCUUAGUCUUUCUUCACAUUUGCUCAGGAACUUAGGCAGAGAAUUACCAUCCCCAUGGCUGACACCCCUGGACUCAUCGGUCUUGGUCCUAUGGGAGAUCCUGACCCAACUGAUCUGAUUAGCCUGGAAACUCAUAGGAUUCCAUUUAAACAAUCCACUAUGAAUUUGGACAAUUGGACGAACACCUUCAAGUCUUGGCCGAAUCAGACUCCCGGUUGGAGAGAGUGUUUUUUCAGGAUGCCGAAUUCCAAGAGAGUCUUCUGGGAUGAGCGGAAAAUCGACCACUGCAUAAAUUUGUCCCUAUCUCAUAUGGAAAGGAAUGACUCUCUACUCAUCACGGCAUCUUAUUUCGAGUCCGACGCUCUCAAUGCGUUUCUUUUCGGCCACGGACCAAUGACUCCAACCUUGGCCGAUGUUCUAAUGCUGACUGGCCUCGAUAUCUCCUCAGUUGAUAGACUUUUCGAUCUUUUAAUCAAACCCACCGAUUGGCUGGAAAUGAAAGCCAUCGACGGAUGGAAAUGCUUUAUCGAGAAGAACACGAAGACCGGACCUAUCACGAAAAAGGUGCACACAACCUCCUUGAUGAUGUGUCUAGAAAAACAUCUUUUCUUUGGCAAAUUAGCCGGUCCUACCUCCAACACGCAAGCUUUGGCCGAAGCACUAGUAAGAGGUGCCGCCGUCCCUCUGGGAAAACACUUGCUAGGGUCAGUGUACUGCAUGUUGCAUCAAGUUGCCGUGAAGCUAUCAUCUGGGGUACCCAUCGGGAACCCUGGUGGUCCUUGGUGGUUUAUCAAUCUCUAGCUCAAUUUAUACAUGAGCAAAAUCUUCAAAGAGCGGAUCGAGACUAAGACCUUCCCCAAUAUAGAAUCAGAGACUAACCCAUCGGCAAGACGCCGCUGCACCUCUUUCGGAGAAGCUGUAUCUUCUUUCCUGGGCAGCAAGCUUGCUCCCUCAAGAAUAGCCGAGCACUUCAGAUGCUUUUACAAUGGCUUCAAAGAAGAAGUAACGAACUGGUAUCCAUAUCAAAUAGAAGAUCCAACUUUUGAGAAUCCUGACUGCUUUGACUCGCGUACCAAUACUUUUGAUGAGAGAAUCAUGGACAUCCGGAUUAAACCUAGAAUUCUGUCGGUGAACUUCUUUUCUUGGAAGGACUCCCCAACAUAUGAGUUCUACAACCCAUCGGUGGCAGCCAGAUAAUUCGGCUUGGGAUAAAUGCCAAUCGGAGUCCACUUCGUUGGCCGAGUGAAAUUUCGAGAACUGGUUUCAAGAGGAUUUGAAUACAACAGAUUAUGCAGUUUGACACGGAACUCCAACACCAUUGAUCUGAGCACUUGGCUGGUGGCACCCUUCUCUACUUAGCAAUUCAAAUUAUGGUGGGCCGAGUGGAAACAACACCUCUUCUGUGUGGUUCCUGCGGUGUAUUGCAAUCAACUGGACCCCACUCAUGCCGAUCCAAACGCAAAGGUAACAAUAUUUUUCCUGCCGAUUCCUUGCUUUCAUUCUUUCAUGCCAAAGAACUUUUUCAUCACUGUCCAUUCUUCUCCGUGCAGGUCGAUAGCCAAGUGCCUCCAACGCACAGUCGGAGCGGCAGGCUGAUAGAGACCCACCAUCCAUACACGUCGUACCCUCUUAUUGGCUAUCAUGCUCCAUCAAUGGAAGAUAUAGCCACCGGCCGAUUGAAACACAAGAUCAAAAUGUCUACCACAAAGAAAACGAGCCGCAGGGUACGAGCUCAUAUUGAAUCGGCGACAGCUCGGACAGUCGACCAAUCGGCAGCAACGUCGGCCGAGCCCUCAGCCGCACCAAUCCAAGUAGGUGUCUUGCCAACAAUUCAAGACAUUGAUCCUCUGGUGGCAUUAGAAGCUGGGUCGGCGGUUGCAUCUCUCCUAGUGGAGGUCAUAGAGGUAAUCUUACUGCUCUAACUUCUUCAUAUGUAUCACCAAUACUAAAUUCGUUCCUUCUUAAGAGGCCGCACAACUCAUUCCGGAGCAGACUGUUCCUCAAUCGGUCGAUCUCUGAGCCGAAACUGUGCCACUAGCAAAUCUUCAGAUUGAGGUAAAGAACACGCUCUUCACUUAAUCUCCAUCACUCCUUCAACUAAAAUCGGAUGAUUCCUAGCACAGGAUGCUCUAGACACAUCGGUCGUCCCCCGUUGAGUGCCCAUCGGCCGCACGACUCCUAGAGGUAAGAAAACCAAGACCCACAUUUAGAUCUAGUAUCCUUUUUAUACUGACAAAUUCUUUCCUUUCCCUUCUUCAGGAGGUUGGUCCAAGCACAUUACUGGCUAUUACCAGAGAGCCGAUUAUCAUCGAUUCUUCUCCCUCUGAUGAACUACCUCCACCGAUUCCUGAGACAAGAGUAGCAAUUCUGCCAACCCAAGCAGAAGAUAUCUAUUUUGAGGAGGUAAGAACCUUCCAUUUUUGUCAGCCAAUUUUUUCAUUUCUGUCAGCUAAAAUGCUUCUCCUCCAUCUCUGCAGGAAUAGGAUUCACCAAACAACAGCCUCUUCUCUUUUGCUGUCGCGGUCUCUCACGAUGAGGAAGUUGCAUCACGCCAGAUAACCUUGAGCUUAAUACCAGAAGACGUCCACGCCAAGUUCCAAAACAUGUGAGCCCUUCUCCAGGAAAAUGUUGGCCGAUUGGUGGAGGAUGUUGAACCAAUACAUCGAAUAUUCAACGAGAUCAAAGGGUAAGUCCCAGAAGAUGCAGAAGAGGCUUUUACACCCGCGGCAUACAUCGAAACCAUGCGGGUCCUAGUGUUUAGAGCCUUGCGACACAUGGCUGAUCGUGCUAAACUGGAGAAGGUGCGUCAAGAAGAAGAAUCUUACAAGCAUCGUGCGCAAGAGGUACACCAACGGAUCGGCAUCCUUGAGACCUCCCGUCCAAGCAUCAUCAGCGCAAUACAUCAGCUUAAACGGCGCAGAGCGGAACUCGCCAAAGAGAUGGAACAGUUCGUGAAAGCUAUCGCCGCCGAAGAAAAGAAGCUUGAAGAUCUUCCGACUGUCAUCGCCGAUCUGAAACAAGAAAGGCAGACCCUUGCUCAUGAGGCCAUUCGUCUCCAUCGUAACGUGCUAGAAAUCCUAGGAUCGGCCGAUGACGAUCGGCGAGUGCUGGAUGCGGCCGACCAGGUUCGCCUAUGAGCAAUCGAGGCCUUAAACAAUCUCCUCGGAUAAUUGUAAUGAACUCAAACAGCCCUUGAAAGUUUCGUAUAACAUUGAUAUUUUUGACGUUUCUAUCUUGAAUGCGAAUCUAAACGGCCUUUUCCGCAGCCUUUUGACUCAACGGUCACUUGCUUUAAAUGCUCUCCUUUUACUAACCAUUGACUGUCACCAUCUUUUUUUUAUAAAUACGAGUCCUUCGCAGCCCCUCCAAAAGCACUCGCACAGCACCUUGUAGACACUGCCAAGUCUCAGAUCAAGCGACCAAGAUGGCUUCCUCCUCUUCUGCCAAUCAGGUACAAAGUUAACCUCUCCCUCUUUGAUUGAUUUUUUCUUUCAAUUGAUCAUCUAUUACUCUCACAGCCAAACCACCUCAGCCCCGGUCUUGAAUGAGCCAUUGAAAUCAUGCACUCCGAUGAACCAUUGACCCAGGCUGACAAAGAUCUGAUCCAAACUCAUUGCGAGGAACUCAAGGAUCACCUUCCUACACACAUCAAGAGGAUUAUAGAUGACAUCGAGGCCAAAGCUUCUAGAAGACCAACUCAGCAACCAGUCGAAAGGAGCCCUUAACCGCCUCGUCAAGUUGCCCUCGAAGAUGACAUGGCAGAAGUGGAUGAAAAGAACGCCCAUCUUUAGAUCGAAUUAAAUCGACUUCAAAAAGAGAUUGACAUGAAUAAAGCUCGACUGGAACGCCAUUGAAUUAUUGUAACUUAUGAGUAUGUUGGUACUUUUUAUCUGAGGGCGACUUGUACCAUGUCGGCCAUGUAUCCAGUUGAUGUACCGAAUAAUGAUCGGUUUAUUCAUAUAAAUCCUUUCAUCUUAAGGUGAUGUCUCUCGUAUCGGCUAUAUGAACACGACUCAAUACGCGUCAGUCGUGAAAGCCCGAUAUGCCAUAUUAUCGACUAAGCGUCUACCCAUGUACUGGGGUAGUACCUUUUCAAAUAUCUUCCAUUCAGAGCCCUUGUAAAUUCCUCUCCCUCAAAAGUCUCCAGUAUGUAUGCGUUGCCUGGAGCACAUUGGCUAAUCCGGUACGGCCCUUCAUAGGUAGGCGACCAUUUUCCAUACUUGGGAUCUUUAGAUCCUAUCGGCAGGACCAACUUCCAGACUAAAUCCCCUUGGGAAAAUUGCUUGACCUUAACCUUCUUGUCAUACCAUCCAUCGACUCUUUUCUUAUUUUCCUCAAUACUAAUCAAAGCCCUUAGCUGCUAAUUUGCCAAAUCUUCCAGUUCUCCUCUCAUGAGGGUGGAAUAGUUAUCGGCUGACAACUGAUCCAGAAGUGGCACACGUCUAGACCCAGCCUUCAAUUCCCAAGGUAAUACCGCUUCAUGUCCAUAUACCAACUGGUAAGGGGACACCUUGGUGACACCAUGACAAGCCAUCCGAUAAUCCCACAAGGACUCAUUCAGCGUCGUAUGCUACCAUCUUGGUUGUUCUUAAAUCUUCCUCUUAAUCAGCUUAAUAACCCCUUUGUUUGAUGACUCGGCCUGACCAUUAGCCUGAGCGUAAUACGGAGAAGAAUUCCACAACUUAACCCCCAUACUGGCAGUGAACUCCUUGAACUCCCCUGAAGUAAACAUUGACCCCUGAUCAGUCGUGAUAGUCUGAGGAAUACCAAAUCGAUAAAUAAUAUGCUCCUUCACGAAUUCAAUCAUGUUGGCCGACAUCACGACUUUCAAAGGGACUACCCCAAUGCACUUGGUGAAGUAGUCGGUCACCACCAAUAUGAACUUAUGCCCUUUGCUUGAUGGUGGAUAAACCUGUCCGAUAAGAUCAAUUCCUCAGCCUCUAAAUGGCCACAGCUUUAUUAUCGGGUUCAUAGCCGAGGCCGGAGCUCAUUGCACGUGGCCAAAUUUUUGAUAAUCCUGACAGCCUUUAUAAUAUUUAAAACAAUCUUCAAGUAUUGUCGGCUAGUAGUACCCAUUGUUUCUGAUCAUCCAUUUCAUCUUGAAGGCCAAUUGAUGGGCCCCACAAACACAUUCGUGGAUCUCACCCAUCAAGAUUUUUGCUUCCUCCACGCCGAGGCAUUUGAGUAAUACUCCAUCAAUCGUUCGAUAAAACAAAUCAUCUUCAUGUAACACAUACUUUGUGGCUUGGAAGCAUAUCCACCGAUCAACUUUCUUGGAUGGAUCCCUUAGAUAGUUGGCGAUCUCUCUCCUCCAGUCGUCGGGUGCCAACUCUAGAGCCAAAGCGCCAUGAAUCGGCUGGUAACCAGAAGCGUGCUGGGCAAGUCUAUUGGCUUCUUCGUUGUAAUCUCUGGGGAUAUGUUCAAUAACUACAGUCUUGAACUCUUUCAGUAACUGAAGGCAUUCUUCAUAAUAAAUCCUCAGAAUAUCAUCCUUGCACUCACAUUUUCGAGUCAACUGAUCUACGAUAAGCAUGGAAUCCCCAAAUAUUUCCACCGCGUCAGCCUUGACCUCUCUCAACAGUUGGAUGCCCUUUAAGAUAGCCCGAUACUCUUCUUGAUUAUUAGUGGCAGAAGCCUCAAUCAGUAGAGACAAAUCAUAACUUGCCGAUCAAGGCGAUAUGAGGAUGAUGUCGAUUCCUAAUCCAACCCCACAUGAAGAUCCAUCAAAGUAUAAAGUCCACAGAGCUGGUUCGACGACAGUAAUUUUUGGUCCAUAGUGUUGGGCUACGAAAUCAGCCAUCACUUGACCCUUGAUAGCCUUGGCCGAUUUGUACCUCAAAUCGAAUUCUGAGAGGGCCAGAAUCCACUUUCCAAUCCAACCCUUUAAAAUUGGCAGUGAUAACAUGUACUUGACGACAUCAUCUUUACACACGACUACACAUUCCGUCGACAAUAGGUAGUGCCUGAGUUUAGUGCAAGAGAAAUAUAAGCCAAGGCACAACCUCUCCACUGGAGAAUACCUGGUUUCAGCGUCCAAGAGUCUUCUGCUGACGUAAUAAAUUACCCUUUCUUUACCUUCAAACUCCUGGACCAGCGUCGAACCGAUAGCCCGUUCAUCAACUGAUAGAUAUAAUCUGAAAGGCUUAUCAGCCUGAGGAACCAACACGUGAGGGGACACCAGAUAUCGUUUGAUGUCACCUAACGCUUUCUGUUGUUCUUCAACCCAAACAAAUUCUUGGUUGGGCUUCAAUCUCAACAAUGGGCUGAAAGCUUGAAUCCGUCCAGACAAGUUUGAUAUGAAUCUCCGGAUGAAGUUGAUCUUGCCGAUUAAGGACUGCAACUUAAUCCUGUCUUGUUGGGCCACAACUUUGUUGAUGGCGGUUAUGAUCUUCUGGUUGAUCUCGAUGCCGCGCUCGUGGACAAAAAACCCAAAAACUGACCAGCCAAAACGACAAAAGCACACUUGUUCGGAUUCAGUUUCAACCCAUACUUCCUCGUGCACUCCAUCACUUUGCACAAAUCGGCCAAAUGCUGUCGAUGUCCCUUUGACUUGACAACAACAUCAUCGAUGUAAAUUUCUACCAGAACACCGAUAAGCUUGUGGAAUGUAUAAUUCAUGGCCCUCUGAUAUGUAGCUCCAGCAUUAUUCAAACCGAAAGUCAUGACUACCCACUCGAACAAACCGAGAUGACCAGGACACCUGAAGGCCGUUUUGGAGAUAUCUUCUUCGGCCAUUAAUACUUGAUUAUAUUCGGUGUUACCGUCCAUAAAGCUGAUGACCCUGUGUCCCGCGGUGGCAUCUAUCAAAACAUUGGCCGUCGGCAUCGGCUAUCCAUCCAUCGGCGUAGCUUGGUUAAGAUUUCUGAAAUCAAUGCAAACAUGUAGUUUUCCAUUUUUCUUAUAUACAGGAACAAUAUUAGAAAUCCAAACGGCAUAUCGACACUGCCGAAUGAACCCUGCUUCAAUUAACCUCAUGAUUUCAGCCUUUAUAUCAGGUAAAAUUUUUGGGUAACAAUGUCGUGUGGGUUGCUGAUAUGGCCGGUAACCCUGGUUUUAUGGGCAAACGGUGUUCGACAAUCGACCGGUCUAGACCAGGCAUUUCAUGAUACUCCCAAGCAAAGCAAUCUUUAAAUUCCCUUAACAAAUCCACUAACUCAUGCUUAUACUCAGGAUCUAACUUGGCACUAAUAUACGUCGGCCUUGGCUUGCUACCAUCUCUAAGGUCUACCAUCUCUAACGAAUUGGCCGACGUAAACCCAUGCCCAAGCUUCCCAUCCUCUCGGACGUACUCAUCCAUCAAAACGAUGCUUCUGAGCCGACUGCUUAGAUCGACUUUAGACCGAAAUCGGACACCUUCAAGAAAUCAGUGUCCCAGGUCCUGCCAGAUAUGCAUCUGACGUGCUCGUAACUCCACUAUUGCGUGUCGGCUGUGGCAACGCUGUAAGAAGAGUCGGCGGUGACCACUUCAAUCGUGUCGCCGAUCCACUGUACAAGGCAUUGGUGCAUUGUAGACGAGAUGCAACAGUUUGCGUGGAUCCAGUCUCACCCAAGCAGCAUAUUAUAGGACCCUUUACAUUAAUGACAAAGAAAGUGGUGGGUAGGGUCUUACUGCCAAUGGUGAGGUCGACGCAGAGUACCCCCCAGGCUGGAGAUAUGUUGCCUUCGAAGUCCUUGAGCAUCAUGUCCAUCUUGAUCAAGUCUCCUUCCCCUUUGCCAAGUUUUCAGAACAUGGCAUAUGGCAUGAUGUUCACCACCGUGCCUCCAUCUACCAACAGCUUGGUGACUGGUCAUCCGUCAACAUGCCCCUUGAGGAACAAAGGCUUGAGAUGUUGGUGUUUUUCAUCUUCGGGUUUUUUAAAAGUGGUGGUCAUUGGCUCCAUAGCCAAUUGAUCCAUCCGCUCUUCUACCUCUGUUGCAUUAUCGCGGUUAGCGGGAGCCAUGAACUCCAUUGGUAAGAUGAACACCAUGUUAAUGUCAGCAGCCGAACCCUGAUUGUCAUUUUCUUCAUCAGCUUUUCUUCUAGGGCGCCAAACUUGAGAUUUGACUUCUUUUUUCUCCAGCGCUUGCCUUUGCUCUUCCUCCUAUUGUUCCCAUUGGCGUAAGCGUUGGACCCUUCUCUUUUAGGAUUUGGUUAAACCAUCUGGGCACCAUGUGGGGUUCACUAGUUUACCCGACGGCUUCGUACGUUCCCUACCCGGUUCUGGCCCAGAGGAUUUUCGUUAGAGACUUUUGCGUCGGCCAUCUCUCCCAGCCCAUUAUAUGCGUUAGCUCUGCCCCCCGGCUGAUUAUACUCAUUUAUUCUGCCCCUCAGCUGAUCUCGCACUGAAACGCGCCUGUCUUCUUGUUCGAGCCUUUCUGCUGAUCGGCUCCUAUCCUCGAUCUCCGGAGCGUGACCUCUUAAACGGACGGCCGUCGAGGUACUGGCCGUUGCACUUAGGGCAGUUGUCGGCCGAUGGCAAUCUGAGAUUAUUUUCCCAACAGUGGAUGAAGAACGGACAUCUCCAGUGGUCCUUGUGCCGGCGCAUCAUCUUGUCCUGGCGUCUCGCGUCUUCCUUUUGCCUUUGGUACUUGGUGACUAAGUCCCGAGAUGUGAUAGGCCAACGGGGCCUCUCCAAGUUCUCAUCCUCUGUUUCUACUCGGCCUUUACCUUUAACAUCACCGGCCGAGACCUGAUUCCUAGGGUCCACGGCCCCGCUCCUUCUGGCCGAUUCUGACGUCAGCACCUUGGUCUGGAGUGCGUUCUUUCCGCCGACAUCGACCAUGUUGGCUGGGAAGGGAUGCUAGUCGAUUUUCAUCUGUUUUGUUGGUUUUGUGGGGACUUCGAAUUUAAGUCUCCCUUGCUUGAAGGCCAACUUUAUUUGCUGACGAAAGACUUUGCACUCAUUGGUGUUGUGAGAUGUGGCAUUGUGCCACUUGCAGUACUUCAUCUUCUUAAGCUGUUCGGCUGACGGGAUUGUGUGGUAGGAUGAGAGCUUGAUCUGUCCCUCCUGUAGCAAUAAGUCGAAGAUUUUAUCAGCCUUAGAUGUAUCAAAGCCGAACGUCUUUGGUUCCUUUUUUCCAAAUGGGCACGAGAUUGGCAUUUUGCCUUUGACCCAUUCUGCCAAGCCGAUUUCUGCCUCCUCUUUUGAAUCGGACCCUCCCACGUAUGCCACCUUUUUUGGAAAUUUCUUCGUUGGUCAAAGAGGUGCACCUCCUGGCCGGACAGCCGGUGUACUAUCUGGCUCAAACUCUCGAACUCCUGGGAAGCAUAUUUUUCUUUGAUGUGCUGUAGGAGCCCUUGAAAAGCGGUAUCGGCCAGCUGGCCAUCAGUCAAAACCAGACUGUAGCUUUUGUUCCUCACCUCUUUGAACCUCUGUAUAUAUAACUGGCCACCAACUCGUCGCUUCUUUUCUUGAGGCUAGUUAGAUCUGACAGCUUCAUCUCGUGGACCCCCGCAAAGAAGUACUUAUGGAAUUGUUUCUCCAAAUCGGCCCAAGUGACGAUGGAGUUGGGCGGCAGCGUAGUGAACCAUUGAAAGGCCGACUUGGACAAGGAUGAUGAGAACAACUGUACCCUUAGAGCGUCUUGUGCAGCAGUUUCUCCGCACUGGAUGAUGAAUCUGUUGACGUGCUCCACCGUGGACAUGUCAUCUUGACUCGAGAAUUUAGUGAAGUCGGGCACCUUGUACCGAUGAGGGAACGGAAAUAGGUCGUAGGCGGCUGGGUACGGCAUUCUGUAUGUGUAGGUUUGUAUCUUUGGCUUCAAUCCGAACUGGUCUUGUAUUAUAUCAGCUAUUCUUGCGGUCCAAUCCACCUGCUGCUGCUACUGAUGUGCAAUCCGCUGAGCCAUUGGCAUAUGCUGUUGAACUUGCGGCACCAUGAUUGGGAGCGUGGUGUAGAUCUUGCGGCUGGAUUGUCGGCUGAGGAGCCGAUGGCUGUUGACAAGUAGGAUCGACAUGUCGUAGCGCAUCUGCUGCCUUAUCGUACAAUACCAUUGGCACCGCAGUUCUGAGGGGAUCCGGAAUGCCUACCCCUCUGCUGAUUUCCGGAGCAUUUUGUUGAUAUUGCGGGACUUUCGGCCGAGAAGCUGAUGGAAAUGAUGUCUGCACCGGAGAUUUUGGGAUGUAAGCUCUUGGAGGCACUCCGUAACCAGUGGAUGGAUCCAGAUUGGCAGGUAUGCCUGCCAUUUCCAACUGCGCCGCUAUAACCUAGGGGCAAUGUAGUGUUGUACCUCCUGUUCUGCAUCUGCAUCGGCUGAGGAGCCGACUGGAACAUGCUAGGUGCCGCCGAGAAGCCUCUGACCGGUGCGCUGAUAGGAGGGGCGUAAGUUGGCCCGUGAUACCCCUGUGCCACACCAUUGGCCAUGGAGCUGAUGACGGCGUUGUACACUAUGUGAGUCAUCACCAUGGACUGAUCAAUCAUAGCUUGAUAGACAGACUGUUGGAUCAUCUCGGACAUCUUCCCCAAGUCUUCGGGAGUCGGGAGAGCGGUUUUCCUGACGGGUUCCCCGCUCCUGAUCCGACGGUUUUCUUGAAUUCUUCCAUAGCCUUUGCCAUCUCAUCCCUAUGAUCAUCCUUGAGGUCUGCCUUGGUAACUUCAAUGAUGUUGUCUUCAAAGAUUUCAGCAGCCUUCCACAUGUCGAAUCUUCCUUUCAGUCCCACCGGGCAUGCCAAAAGUGUGUUGACGCAAAAAAUCGGACAGUGGCCCUGACUCUUGCAUCGCACACACGACCCGGGAGAAUCUGCUUAGCUCUUGUUCGGGUUAUCGCCCUGAUGCGGUUUCGCGCGGUGUGCCAGUCAAUCUGACCUGUUGAUUGACAAGGGAGAAAAGAUAUCCAAUUCCAGAGAUUCAAUCGGCUAACAUUCCGAUCUAUUCCACAAGAUGUAUCAGCGGAUUGGCUGAUUUAAUGUAAAGAUGACCGGCUAAGAAAUAGUCGAUGAUCAUGUGGCAAUUGUAAAAGAAACUACUGGAGUAACCUAAACAAUGCUACAGAGACAACACUUGGAACAGAUCUAAUCGGCUGUAUGAUAAUAAACAAAAUAUUGAUAUAGCCGACAGUUCAUGCUACAAGCUGGAUAACUAGUGAUAAAAACUAAGAUAACAGGGAAAACCUAUAAUUCUAGUAAAUAUCGAUAACUAGUGAAUAAAUCUAAAUGAAACAACAGCGAUGCGCCCGAAGUUAAAGCUUAGAUAUUACUCGAUACGUGGAACUUACAAAUUGGUCGGAGGUCGUGUUAAUGCAGUCCUACCAACUCGUACGAACUCGUGAAAAGAAAAAGGGUUUGGCGAAGUCGCCGACUUGAAAGUAAAGCUGCGUGAAAAAGUAGAUUUUGUAUUGAUGAUUGUUUGUUGUUCUACAAGCCUUACAAGGAACCUAUUUACACCCUGUUACAACUGAUUUCCUAACCGACUACGAUUUUAUCUCUUAUUCAAAAUAACAAAUAUUUACAUAUGGAUACAACUCGCAUCAGAGUCGAGCACCAAUCAAUCCUCUAUGGGCCAACUCUGUCUUUACUUUGUUACCGCCUUGGCCCAUUCAGGCCCAUAUCGGCCGAGCUGCUCUGGCUUCCAAUCGGCUAGUUUCCAUCGACUUCAUCGGCUAAUCGGUCGAAACACUGUAGCUUUAUCGGCCGAUUUCCCUAGCCACAGCCUCCUAUUUGACUGUGUCAGCCAUUCUUUUCUCUCCCUGACGCCGACCCUAACACGUGUAAAAGACCAGCGUCAACAGACUGGGUCCUACUUGCCAUCAUACUUGGUGAUCCCUGUCGGCUUGAACUUCUCAGGUAGUUUAGUCUUCAUUAUCCGUGUAGUGAAGGUGGGGAAGUGAUCAUAGUUGUUGGCUUAGCUGUCACGUUCGCGGUGAUGGUUGUUAUUGAUUACCUCUCUUUGGUCAUUGAAGAUUGAGGCUUCGCGAUCAGCUCUAUGGUGGCGAGGGCUCUUUGCUGAAUUAGUGCAGCUAGCCUGUUCUGCGUCUUUGCUUCGCCUUGGGGCCUCGCGUUCAUCUGUACUUUGCCUUUAGCUAUGUUGUCUCGACUGGUUGACUACUUCGUUACUAUUUCUUGGAGCCUCGUGAUUGCCACCGUGGACUGCAACGUCUCUGCUGCCGUCCUGAUGGGCCGAGUUGCGAGGGAUAGAUGGGAUUGGCGAUUCCUUGUCGAGUAGUUUGUAAGCUUGUUCUGCGAGUUGUGCUAUUAACUCGUUGCCCCUUUCGGCGAGUUGUGCUAUUAACUCGUUGUCUCUGUCAUGAGGUAUGAGAGUUGAUAUGAGAUUGAUUGAGGCAAUUGCUGCGAGUGGAGUGUUGUGCUCUCGAGCUUGCACUACAUCGAAUGCUCUUUUGAGGUUCACGAUGGGAAUGUUCGUGGCUAGUAGUCGGCGAUGAUCUGCUCGGGCAUCAUUGCGUGCUCUUCUUUGAUUUCUCUGUUCAGAGGUUUCAUCUUGUGGGGCGGAGCUGACAACUCAUCUUGUGAGACUUCGUCGAGUUGUCCAACCCAUCGAGGAGUUUUUUGGUGGCUGGCACCUGCGUCGUUGUUUGGUGAUGUGAUGACGAAGAAAUCUCCGUUAGGGUACUAGCUUCCAGAGCUUGAUGUUGCAAUCUCCGUAGUGCUUCCUUCUUCAUGGGUUUAAGUAAGCGGGAUACCCUCUUGAUACGGGAGGUUGUCUAUGUUAGCGACAAGGCGCGACUUGUAAUCUUGGGUAAGGAACGGUGGCUUCAUCUCAGGCUAAUAAACGAAACUUCCUUGUGGAGUCGAAGUAAUUACCAAGCCUUGAGCUGGGACUGAUAAAGGGAUCUCUUGGAGAGAGUCCGAGUCGUAGUCGCAGUCCUUAAAUGCCUCUAGUCUGGAUUGGCCUCGAGUAAGGAAUCCUUGGUGGACCGUGGUUGCAUUGCAGAGUCCGUGCGGGAAUCAACUUCGAGUUGAAGUCGAUUUGCGGGAUGACUUCUAUGUCAGCCUAUGCGGGCUAGUCCAAAUCAAGGUCGAGUCCGAGCCAUAGUCCAACUCAAUGUUGUUGACGUUGAAAUUUUGUAUUUUCCCGACGAGAUUCUCUGCUUCUUCAUGAAGAAAGUUUUCGUCGAGACACUUAUUUUUCUAGUUGCCGAUGAUGCAGCGUUGAAAGGAUCCAGCGCCGUCAGCGAUGCAAAGCUAGGAACCGAAGACUAGUGCCAUCGAUCUCACGCGUAGAAACUCGGUGACUUCUCCUACCUGGCGUGCCAGCUGUCGGUGUUUUAGACCGGCAACCCACCUAGGGAGUUCCCAAGGUGGUCUUUUGUGCGGUGGGUGUCGUCGAGAAUCAAGGAGUCGAUGGUGACGCAUGGAACACGAUUUAGACAGGUUCGGGCCGCUAGAUCGCGUAAUACCCUACGUCCUGUGUGUUGGUUGUAUUGAUCUUGUUCUUCGUUGUUUUGGAGGGGGUCCCUGCCCGCCCUUAUAUAGUCGCAAGAGCAGGGUUACAUGACGGAUUGUGUAUAAGAGUAAUAGUCGAGUACGUUACAUAGUCCUACUCUAACUCGGUAGAGUAGUUUCCUUUUGACCCGACUAGUCUUUGGGGAGUCCAUGAAGCCUACGCUGUAACAACUCUACCUUAAUUAGGUAUAGUUAAACUUAAGCAAGUCAUUAGUCACUAAGUAAAAGAGGUGAAAUGUUUACAAAAACUUGAGUCUUUAUAUACAAACUUAAAAAUUUGCCCAAAUAAGAGUUGUAAAACUUUUAAUUUCAAAUAACUUUUAUUAAUAACACUUGGCCGAUUCGGAGUAGGAGAAGGUCAAAAACGAGAUUCAAAUUAGGAGUAUAUCAAAACCCUACAAAUGACCUAAGUCCUGGAAUUCAUGUUUUUCCUCAAGUUUGCAACCAGUUAUCUCACGAUUUUAUGUCUAACCUCAAGUCAGACCUUAACUAGAAGUUGUAGUUCCUUGAGUGUGUUCCAACUUUGUUACACUGACCCAGGUCCAAAUCGUAACCGAACCUACUCAAAAACUUGGUCAAAAUCAUGUAAAAUAGUCAACUCAGCCUUUUUACAUGCCAGCGCUGUGUGGAAAACAUCCAGAGCGCGCAUCUUGCCGAGCCUGUUCCUCCAAAAAUCUGAUCUUAAAUCAAGAAAAGUCCUUAAUAGAAGUUGGAGUCCUAAGACCGAAGAACUUUUCCUUCAAUUACACUUUGGCCUGAUUCAAAUGGGAAGCUACUCAAAAUCUUAGCCAAAGUUGGCCCAAAUGCUGAAAAAACAGCAAAACCAACAUCUGCCUAAGUCCCCGGAGGCCGGCGUUCCGCUGAACUUUGCAACUCCAUAGUUUCAAAUUCGUCUCAUUUUCAAGCAAACUCCUUUCAUAAAGUUUGAAGCCAGAUGUUAGGUCUCCAAGUUUUACUUUUGGAGUUUCACGAGUUCUUUUGAAAAGUUUGGAGAAAAAGGCCCCAAAACCGGCCCUGUUUGACUGCCCUGAGGAGCACCCCGCCCCGCGCGCGCCCACACGCUUGCCCGUGCGCCACCCACCGCGUGGCCGCCGUCCACCGGCGAGCUCGCCGUCGCCCAACCGGCCGCCGUGACAAGACUGCUCCCGUGCCCGGCUGCCCAGUAGGCGAGCGCCCUUAUCCCACCCCUAGCAUCAUGCAUCUCUUCGCUCCGUCCCGAGCAAGCUCCGCUCGCCGGAGGACGCCACGCCGCCACCUUGGACCAGCCAAGCUCCGACCGCCUAUUGCCGCCCGGACAGCGACCGCACGCGCGCCUCACUCCGCCAACCCCUGGUCGCGGCAAACCCGUGCUUGCACGACUCGUUUUUCCCAAGGCCAAUGACCGGGAGAUCCUAUCCCGCGGUCUCCACGCCUCGGCCAAUGGAGCCACCUCCAAUGGAGCUCCGGCCCGCAGCCCACCGAGCCUCCCCUGAUCCUAUCCACCCGUGCCUGAAGCUCUGCCUCACUCCCCGCACCUCCGUGGCCCUACAUAAGGACUUAUGGCGCCGCCUACGCCGCCCUCCGCCACUUCCAGCGCCGCCACUCCCAUAUUUUCCAGUGCUGCUGCACAGGUCUCCCGUGGAGCCCCUACCACCGCGCUGCCCCGCACCUCACUGACACCACCGCUCGCUCCGCCGCACCACCACGCACGUCUCUAGUGACUUGUUGCCCUCCCAGAGCCCCGCUGUCGCUGGAACUUCACCGGGACCCCGCCGCUGAAGCUGCUUCCAUCCCCAAGCCAUUCCGCCGCCGCCGAGCCUGGUCCGCCGCCCUAACCGCCGCCAAUCGACCCUAGGUGAGCCCGCGCUCCUCCCCGGUCACUUGUUGCCCUAGCCUGAGCCUCACCUCGCCGGAAUCGGGCGAAGAUCGCCGCCGACCGCCGCAAGGACCUGCUUGUGUCGUUUACCUUCUUACAAGGGCCUUAGCGCAAGAACUAGGGAUCCCUGCGUAAUUAAACCGUAGACCCGAGGGCUAGUUUGUAGGUUCUUUUCGGUUUAUUGUUUUAAAUUGGCAGAAAAUAGGAUAAAACUUUGUAAAUGCACCAUAAAUCGUAGAAAAAUCAGAAAAAUGCCAAACCACAUUUGUUGAACUUAGUGAACUGUCUAGUUUCAUGCAAAAAUAAUCUUGUCCAUGUUAGUGUUGGAAAUAAUACCUUAUAGUUUUAUUUCUUGCUUAGGACUUUUAAAAUCAUAGUAAAUCGAAGAAAAAUGCUAAAAAGGUAAAUCCAACUCUCUGGUGUAUAUUUCAGUGAGUAGAAGCUCAGAAAAAUACUUAGGGCCCUGGAGUAGAAGUCUACUUAAAAUCACUGUUUUAACCUUAUAUUUGAAAUCUAGGGUUAAAUCUUCCUUUUUUCAUAAGUUUUAAUCCAGAGCUGAGAAAAAUGUGAAACCACUUGGAGUAGCUUAGUUUCAAAGUGUAGUUUGUAGGAAAAAUAUGGAACCAGGUCAGAAACAGAAAGAAACCCACCUUCCUUUAUAGAGAAAGAUAAAUAGGAGGAAAAUAUAGGAAAUAGAUGUCCUUCUCUAAAAAUCAUGAAAAUUUCACCCAAGUCUCAAUUACACGCCUUCCAUCUACUGUUAAUUUUUCACCCUCAGAAUCACUGCAGGUUUUGAGAUAAAAAUAUUUCAGUGCAUGCUACCCUUGGUGGUAAAAUACUUUUAAUUCUUAUUGUGGUAAUCCAAUGGAUCCAUAAUUUUAACAGCAACUCAUUGAUGACAUAAGUAAGGAUCUGUAAUUUUCUCAUUGCCUUAUGAUGUUGUUUGCUUGUGGAACCAAAUUUUUGAUAAGAAAUCGGUUUAAGGGAAUAAAGAAAUAUAAGUCCUAAUGCACCUAAUGGGUAAUUUUUGGAAGAGCUACAAAAAAACAUUCAGAAGUAAAUAACUCUCCAAAUGAACCCCGAACAACCCUAACAACGACCCCACCUUCCUUAUGCAACUCUACGUUGUAAGAAUCAUAUAUAUGUACACAAUCGCCAUCAAAGUCAACCUUGAGUUUAAACCACAACCCACCUUACUUUAUGAAGUUAAUGAAAGUUAGAACCUUGUUUAGGUGAAUGUGGCCGAAAUGCAACUUUCUUUCCAGUAAUAAGUCAUGCCUUGCAUCAUUCGUACAAAAGCAUGGAAAACUCUAAACUCUUUGCAUAUGCAUGUCGUAUAGAAGCCAAUAUCGCCGAUGGAACCUAGGAGCUCCACCCUACGCUGGAAGAGGAACCCGCCGCAGAGCUACAUCACGCGGAAGUUGAGCCCGAGCUAGAUCAAGACCCCGAAGAACCACUAACUUUUCCUGAAGGCAAGCCCCGGUGCAUGCUUCCCUGUUUUAAAUUGAUGCAAAUAUGUUGAUGCUUAUGAUUGUGCAGUUACGUUGUAGGAAUUGAUUGAAACCGUAAAUGCAUGAACUUAGUACCUUGAUUUGAAAACUAGUUGCUAAGAUUGAGUAGGUGCUGUGCUAAAUAGGACUCGGUAAAAGUCGAGUGAUUGCCUGUCACUCACGAGUUAUAGGAGUUGUGUGAUUACUCUUUCUACAACUAUAAGGAUGACGGACAAGACCGGGAAUGGUUCCGAUGUGGUGGUUUGCCCCGUCUGUCUAGCAAUGAACUUGCUAAGGUCGAAACGUGUCGGUGUUCGUGAUCAAGUGUUUGAAAGUACUAAUCUCAUACCUAGUAUGGGAUAGGGAAGCCUAGUACCUGACUGAACUGGGGCGUGUCAUACCCCCCUGCUGUCCUUGGAACAACGUUCCCAUGGUGCAUCAUGUGGGUGCAAGUAUGGUCACAGUACGGUAGAGGCCGGGACUAUGGAGCAUUGCAUGCCAAGUUUGAACCUGACACGUGCCUAAGGGAUCGACGGGGACGGCUGACAAAUGAAGCGACCCUUCGUGGUGCGCGGAUGUCGUGAGAUUAGGUUCGCCAUGCAUGGUUAAUAAAUUCGAAUCGAUUCAUCUGCCUCUUACAGUUUGGGACUACUUGAUCGCUAUUUUGCACUGAGUAAAGAUAGAACUCUAGGAUGUUAAACUUGAUGGUUGAUCUCUAAUUGUUUGGAAACAAUGCUUGCUUAGUAUAAGUUGCUAAUUUAGACUGGUUAAUGAACUUAGAACUUGAGCUAAAAUAUUGAAAGUAAGGACCAACUGUAGACGCUUUUGGCAAAAUAAACCCACAGCCAAAAAGUCUUGCAUGUCUAGGAGUUGGUAAAUUAGCUAUCACCUGUCGGGUCAGUCUUGCUGAGUAUUAGUUGCUCAGCCUUGUUGGUGGCUUAACUUUUCAGGUAAUGUCGAUAGUGUGGCUGUUGGCACCACUUGGCCUACCCAGCUCCCUCCGGGUUGGACAGUCGAGUGGGAUCCCUCCUUGGACAGCGAGGGCAGGGAUCAUUGAUGUCAUGAUCGGCUUCGUCAUGAUAUCGUGUAUCGACGUUUAGUUUCCGCUUGUUUUACUUAUUCAUUGUUUAUCACCUUGCAUUGUUUGAAUUUCAAAAACUCUGAUGUAAUAAAUUGUUGAACUAUGUUAAUGUAAUGGGAAUGUUGUAAUCUCUGUGCCCACUCACCUUCGUGUGAGCAAUGCUUCUCGAUCCUGAGUAAGUGGUUUAUUGGAUGAAAUCCGACGGUCGACCAAGUUGACUUGCUUAAAGUGCAUGAUCGCGUGUUAGGCGACUUAAGUGCAUUUUAGUCAGGUUAAUUUGGACAGUUCCGCCACAUACGCGCCCUACAGGGUAGUCUUCAUGUCCGAGUAGGUUUCGGGUACGUUCCUUUGAGUGGAUCCGUACAAGUCUUCUGGUGAGCCCGAGGGUGCCCAGUCGACAGCUAUGUCACUUAGGUCUUGUACUCUCAAAAUGCAUAUCUAGCUCCCUAAACUUGGGCUCGGGUGUUGUUUAGGUCCAUAUACUCUCAGAAUGCAUAUUUACCCUCCUAAACUUUGCUUUGGUACCAUCUAGGUCCAUAUACUCUCUAAAAUUUUGUCAUCUCAAUUAAAUUGAUAAAAACUUAUUUUUAUAUAGAUAUAAUUUAAUUUUAAUCAAAUAAAGUGAAUUUUAGCUCAACGUGUGGAGAAUACUGAUGAGCUAAAUCGAGAAAGAUUGAAAGACGUGAUCUAUUAUUCUUGGAAGAAUAACUCAUAGUUGCACUUGCUAAACUAAAAUAAGGGGUUUAUAAAGAUAAAUGACGAAUAUUGGGAGAAACUAAAGGGGCAAUAAAAUAAAGUGAGGAAAUGUACCAAUGAAAGUAACGAAUGAAAGUAACGACUUGCUUGAAAGUAUAAAAUUUGAUUUUAUCAUAUUUUAUUAGUGGGAUGACACUGCAUUUCAAGAGUUCAGGGACCUAUAUGACACCCGAAGUCAAGUUUAGGGAGUAAGAUCUACAUUUUAAGAGUAUAGGGACCAAAUGACACCUGAUCCUAAGUUUAGGGAGCCAGAUAUGCAUUUUAAGAGUACGGGGACCUAAGUGACACAAAUGAACAAGUUUAAGGACCGGCCAUGCACUUCACUCUUUUUUUGAAGAUAGUUGAUGUCACAAAUCCAAAAUUUACAGAUUAUUGCUCAUUCUAAUUUCAAGCUUCAGCAUUCUUUUGUUUUAUUAUCUUGAGAAGACUAGAGUUCAUGUAAAUUAAUUCAAAUUACUUUUUUCUAUAAAACACGUACCAAAGUUACAUAAUUAUAUAGUAUAUCUUAGAUAUAUUAGACAUAUGAUUUUUCUUUAAAUUUUAGGGGCCCAUUUUACUUUUCACUCUCAGGCCUCAAAUUCCUGGAGACGGCCCUACUUUGGUGACAUGUUGAUUUCUUCUCCAUUUUUAUAAUAUUUUGUCUUAUGCGGAUAUAAAUAAACCCAUUUCAUUCCUUGGACCAAAUAAAAAUAUAAGAAAUAAGAUGAUGGAUCACCUUAUUCCUUAAACCAAGCCAAACACUACAUGAGUGAUUACUCAUGCAUGAAGGCUUCAGCCUGGAUACUCUACUAAACAAAAAUAAAUUUACUAUUAGGCUGCACAAUGGUUCACAUAUUAAAUAUUACAUUGAUAAAGUAUCUUAUGCAAGCCGGGAUAGGUACAAGGCCCAAUAGGACAAACUGCUUCAUAUGGACAUGGACUCAGUAGUACUCCCUUCAUGUCCAUCAUUGUUAGCCAGAUUUUUUUGGUUAGCCAAAAAAGUCUUCAAAAUAAGGUUUGAUUUUUUUUUUUGCAAUGUGUUGUUAUCGGCUACUGAAUAUGAAUCUUUGAUCGAAGAACUCCCUCCCUCCUUCUGCGUGUGUGUGUGUGGAAGAUCGAAGAACUUUCUCAAUCUCAAAUCAAUACGCUGGGGAGUUCUGAAAACAAGAGGACAAGUGUGACCUAUUCGGCCAAAAUCGGCAGCCCAGCAAAACGGGUGGUACCCUCAGCUAUUGGGUUGGGUGGGAUUGGAUUGUACUGUGAUUUUGACCUUGAGGAAUUUUUUUUAUUUUUAUAUUUCUAUUUUCUGAUUUGCAAAAAUAAACGCCCCAUUCAAAAAGUUGCAAAUAUAGAUAUAUAUUUAUAAUUUUUUGAAUAGAGUAUUUAUUUUUGCAAAAUCAAAAAAUAAAAAAAUAAAAAAAUCCUUGACCUUGACGUGACGGGCUUGCUAAUUUUGCAGUGUGUUGUCCAUUAUCUGGGCCGUGGCCCGGUUCAUGAAUGGAUUUUUUUUUCAUAAAAAAAAAAGACUCUGCUCCAGUUUCUAUAAAAAAGUGUUUCUUCUACGAGGAGUUCUUCAUUCGAUUCCUGGAAAAUCAUUCCCCCUUGCGAGCAAUUCAGCGUGGAAAGGAUAGGUGAAAAGCUUUCAGUUCAAGUCAAAAUCUUGCAUUUAGCUAGGCAGCGUAAUGAAUUAUAAGCCGAGACAGUGACAUUCAACCGUCAGCACAGCUCAUGAAUAAAAAUCUAAAAUGUGGUAAUCUAACAGCUUUCCUAGCUGUUUCACAAUAUAUUUCAAUGCAAUAAUAGGUUAGCUCGAGAUGCUUAGGCUGAAAUCUAGAAAUAUUCACCUAGUUGAAAACUCAGUUUUCGAGACAUAUGAUAGUUCUUGUUUUCUGAGUGAGUGUUAGAGCUCUUGAUUUAAUUUUUAUAGACGAAAAUGAUAAAUCACUUUGUUUUGCCACUAUUCCACCUAAAUCCAUAUCACGUUGCUCAAUUGGUUAGCAUAACGUGCCUACUCACCGGUGGCGGAUCUAGAAUUUUACCACAAGGUAUGCCAAAAAAAAUCGGUAAACCAUAUGCACUAAAUAUCAUGAUAAGUCUUAAAUUCAAAGAUUAAGUUAGAAACAAUAACAAGUUACAAUAUAAAUAGUUCAAAUGAAAUAUAAAUAGUUCAAAAUAUAGCAUAAAAAAACUUACAAUAUUCCUUGUCUGUUUUGUUUACCCGCUGCUUUUUGAAUGAUAUGAAUGUCUUGAUUAUAUCAUCUUCGUUCACUUGGAAGAAAAUAUCCCGCUCAAUGAAUGUGACUAGACAAUCGUCCAAAAACACUAUCACCUAGCUUAUUCCUUGACUUUGUUUUCACUAUAACCAAUUGUUGGCGCUAAAAAUCGGUCGAUCAUCCUCAGCGUCGAACACACGACCCGGGAGAAUCUGCUUAACUCCUGUUCGGGUUAUCGCCCUGGAGCGGUUCGCGCGGCGUGCCAUUCAAUCUGACAUGUUGAUUGACAAGGAAAUAAAACUAUUAAAUUCCAGGGGCUCCGAUCGGUUAGAGUUCCGAUCUGUCUUUAAAAACGUAUCAGCGAAUCGGCCGAUUGACUGUAGAGGUAACCAGCUAUAAAACAGCCGAUACCGUGUAGCGAUUGUAAAGAAAAGCUACUAGAGCGAACCAAACAACGCUAGAAAAACAACACUUGGGACAAAUCUAAUCGGCUGUAUGAUAACAAAGAAUGAAAGCAAUAAAAGCCGACAGUUCGUAUCUCAAGCUGGAUAACUGGUGAUAAAAACUAAAAUAACAUGUAAAACCUAUGAUUCUAGUUGAUAUCGAUAACUGGUGAAUAAAUCUAAACAAAACAACAGCGAUGCGCCCGAAGUUAAAGCUUAGAUAUUACUCGGUAAGCGGAACUUAUAGAAUUAGCCGGAGAUCGUGUCGAUGCAGUCCUGCCUACCCGUACGAACUCGUGAAAAAGUAUUUUUGGCGAAGUCGCCGACUUGAAAGUAAAGUACGAGGAAAAAGUAGAUUGGUUGUAUUGAUUGAUGUCUUGUUUUUACAAACCUCUAGAGGUGGCUAUUUAUAGCCUGUUACAACUGAUUUCCUAACCAACUAGGAUCUAUCUCUAAUUUUAAAUGAUAACAAAUAUUUACAAACACAACUCGUAUCGGAGUUGGUUAUCAUAUCUCACGGGCCAAUCUCCUUCUUUAGCUAAUCUUUUCUCCGGCCCACCUUAGGCCCAUACUGGCCAAGCUGCUCUAGCUCCCAAUCGGCCAACCCUUAUCAACCCCUUUGUCAAUCGGCUGAAAUACUGUAGCUUCAAUCAGCCGAUUCCCAAUUGUAGCUUUUAGCUCGCCGCAUCAGCCCAUCUUUCUCCUUCUUUGAUGUCGAUUCAAAACACGUGUCAAAAUCCAGCGUCAACACAUGCCCCCCAGUUUUGGAGUAAAACGCAACUUUUGCUUCAAAAUUCUUCUUAAUUUUGACUCUUUCUCCGAGGCAAGCACGGCAAAAGUUCCUUUCUGUUCCGCAGUCUCCUCUCUGAUGAUUAUAAUCUUUUCGAAUUGGGCGCCUGAAGCAACCGCUCCUCCGAAAUUUGUGUAGACAGCGCGGUAAAAAUCCCACCUUUACCCUUCUCUCGAACCGUCUUUAAAUACACGCAUCCCCCACCGCUUCUUCUCCACGAGCUCAGAAAUUCUUCUUUCCCCGGUGAAUCAUCUUCCGUCACAUUCCGGCGCCCUUUCAUCUACCAGCCGCAUUCCCCCAGCGAUCCUUCUUCCAUCCUCCAACCACCCCGCUUCAUUUUCUCCAAUGGCGGCUCCAUCGGCAACCAUGAGCUUCAUUCCAGAGGUAAAUAUCUAAAGCUUUACCCUUUACUUUUCACUGCUCAUGCACCUUUUAGAUCUAUCCUCAGUUUCCCUUUUCAUCUUCCUUAGGAGGUCAGGCAGCGAAUCACCAUCCCUAUCUCAGACGCACCUGGUCUCAUCAGCCUUGGCCCCAUGGGGAACCCCGAUCCAACCGAUUUUAUCAAUUUGGAAACCCACAGAGUCCCCUUCAAGCAAUCACCCAUGGAUUUGGAUCAGUGGACGAGUGCAUUUAGAUCUUGGCCGAACGAGACCCCUGGCUGGAAGGAGUGGUUCCAAAGGAUGUCCAACUCCAAGCGGGUUCUCUGGGAUGAACUGAAAAUCUAUUUGUCCUUGUCGCAGAUGGAGAAGAAUGAGCCCUUGGUUAUGGCGGCCUCUUAUUUCUGGUCCAAUGCUCUCAACACGUUCCUUUUCGAACAUGGGCCCAUGACCCCCACUUUGGCCGAUGUACUGAUGCUGACCGGCCUCGAUAUUUCUUCCCCCAAUUCACCCUUCAACUUCUUGGUCAAACCAACUCAUCGCCUGGAACAAAGGGAAUCGGCCCUUCUUCCAACACACAAGCUUUGGCUGAGGCCUUGGCAAGAGGAUCUACUGUCCCUCUAGGAAAACACCUACUGGGAUCGGCUUACCAUAUGAUGCACCAAAUCACCGUCAAACUAUCAUCUGGAGAGCCGAUCGGGAAUCCUGAUGGUCCUUGGUAGUUUAUCACUCUCUGGCUCAAUUUAUAUAUGAGCAAGAUCUUCCGAGAACAAGUUGAGACCAAAUCAUUCCCCAACAUUGAAUUGGAAGAAAACCCAUCAGAACGACGACGAUGCACUUCCUUUGGCGAGGCAGCAUCGGCCUUCUCUGGCAGUAAAUUCACUCCCGCCAAAACAGCUGAGUGUUUCAGAUGCUUCUAUACUAGUUUCAGCGAAGAAGCCACGAGGUGGUACCCAUCCUGUCUGUUUCAACUCAACCACCAGUUCCUUUGAUAAUGAGCUUAUAGACAUACUAAUCAAGCCUGGAAUCCUGCCAGCAAACUUCUUUUCAGGGAAGGACUCUCCAACCUAUGAAUUUUAUAAUCCAUCAGUAGCAGCGCGGCAACUCGGCCUCAAACAGUUGCCGAUUGGGAUUUAUUUUGCUGGCCGCGUGAAGUUUCGGGACGAGCUCACCAAAGGACUUGAAUACAAUCGGCUGUGCAACUUGACACCGGACUCCAGUACCAUUGACUUAACCAACUGGGUGGUAGCUCCUUUUGCUAUUCAGCAAUUAAAAUUAUGGUGGGGUGAAUGGAAGCAACACCUCUUCUACGUAUCUCCCGCAACAUAUUGCAACGAUCUGGAUCCUGACAACAUCGACCCAAAUGCAGCGGUACCAAACUUUCUGGCCGAUUUGACAUUGUACCCUUCGUGCUACAGGAUUACCACUGAUCCCUCCCUUUCUUGCAGUCUGGAAGUCAACUCUCCCCAACGCGCAGCCGUAGCGGCAGGCCGAUAGAGAAUCGCCAUCCAUAUACAUGUUUUCCAAUCAUCGGCUUUCAGGCCCCGUCCAUCGAAGACAUCACCACCGGCCGAUUGAAACAGAAACUAAAGAUAUCUUCUUCAAAGAAGACAAGCCGCCGGGUGCGCGCCCGUAUAGAACCAGCCGAUCAAUCGGCGGAGGCACCAGCUGAGUCUCUAGCCACAUCAACUCUGCCGAUUGCCCAAGAGGUUGACCCCAAGGCUGUUACAGAAGCCGGAUCGGUAGCUGCAUCCUUAUUGGUGAAAGCUAUACAGGUAACCCUGUCUGCCUCACAUUUCUUCAAGCAUUUCAUCGGUAUUAAUUUUCAUUUUGCUAGGCUACACAAAUUCCUCUAGAGCAAAUCCUGCAACAAUCGGUCGCUCCUCAGGCAGAAACCGCCCCUUCAUCAACCCCGUCAGCUGAGGUAAUGAAUAUACAUCUUAUUCAAACCUCUCGGUCCUUGACCGAAACUGACCGAUUUUUUGAUGCAGGUCAUCCCGAGCACACUAAUCAUACCUUACCAGCCGCCAUCGGCCGGACGAUCCGCAGAGGUAAAAUAACCAGCAUCAAGUCCUAGAUUUAAUUACUCCUUUAUACUUACAGAGUUCUUCUUAUCUGUUAUCCUUCAAGAAGCUGGUCCAAGCACAACACCAAUCAUCGUCGAAUCUUCUUCUUCUGAUGAGCCAACCGCGUCGAUUCCCGAAACAAGGGUAGCGACCCUACCAACGCAAAUGGAAGAAAUCCGCUUUAAACAAGUAAGAGCCUCUAGUAUAUAUUUCAACUGAUUUCCACUGUUAUCGAUUAACCCGCUCUUUUGUCAUAGGAGCAAGAUAUGCCCAAUAACAGCCUCUUUUCGUUCGUGGUCACUGUCUCUGAAGAAGAAGAGGUAGCCUCUCGAUAGGUGGCCCUGGGCUCAAUUCCCGAUGAAGUGCGUGCAAAGCUCCAGAGCAUCCGAGUCCUUCUUCAGGAUGACCUUGGCCGAUUGGUGGAAGACGCUUCGCCGAUUCGGCAAAUCUUCAGCGAAGUAAGAGGCCGAGUCCCUCUUGCACCUGCAGCAUACAUCAAAUCAAUGCGGAUCCCGGUGUUUAGAGCCCUGCGGCGCAUGGCCGACCGUGCCAAGCUAGCAAAGGUACGCGAAGAAGAGAACUCUUACAAGCAUCAAGCUCAAGAGGUGCAUCACUGAAUCGGCAUCCUUGAAAAUUCGCGCCCAGACAUCGUCAGCGCUAUAGAUCGUCUUAAACGGCGUAGGGCAGAACUUGCCAAGGAGAUGGAGCAGGUCACGAAGGACAUUGCCACUGAAGAGUAGAGACUCCACGACCUCCCGUCCGUUAUUGCCAACUUGAAAUAGGAGAGGAAAAACCUUGCCCAUGAGGCCAUCCGACUUCACCGCAGUAUGCCGGAGAUUCCUGGAUCGGUCGACGAUGAUCAAAGGACUUUAGAUUCGGCCGAUCAGAUCCGUCAGUGGGCGAUCGCGGUCAUCGAUUCCCUUCUUGGGUGAAUGUAUCAGACAUUGAACGUUUCCGUGUAAACAUUUAAUGCUCCUUUCGCCGCUUGUUGUGUGAAUAUGAAUUUGAACACUUCCUCUUCGUAGCUUUUAGCCCAACGGUUAUUUGCUUUGAAUGGAUGCCUUUGCUAACCGUUGCCCCUUACCUUUUUCCUUCCUAUAAAUACGAGGUCUCUCUGCUCCUCCCAGGGGCACUCACAUCAUCUCAUCCACCCUUCUAUAUUCUCCUCGACCGUUUGCAAAUCUUCAACCAGGCGCAAAAAAUGUCCUCUUCCUCCUCCGUCAAUCAGGUAUGAAAUCCUUUUCACGCUCUUCGAUCAAUUCUUCUUGACGACUGACCGCCUAUGGUCUUUUCAGCCGACUCGGCUCAGCCCUGAUCUGGAGCGGGUUAUCGAGAUCAUGCACUCUGAGGAACCACUAACGCAGGCAGACAGAGAUCUGAUUGCAGCCCAUUGCGAGGAACUUAAGGAUCAUCUUCCAGCCCAUGUCAAGAGAAUUGUGGAUCACAUUGAAGCCAACAGCAUCAUGAAACAACCUCCACCAUCAAUCGAGAGGAGUCAUCAGCUACCUCGCCAGGUGGCCUUUGAAGACACCAUGGAGAUUUUGGAGGAAAAGAGCACCCGUCUCUUAAUAGAACUAGAUCGGGUCCAAAGAGAAAUUAAUAAGAACAAAGCUCAGCUGAAAUGUGAUUAAUGAAUGUAUUGGUACUUUUGGUCUAAGGGCGACUUGUACCGUGUCGGCCAUGUAUCCCAUCGUUGAACUGAAUAAUAAAUCGGCCAAACUGGUCAAAGGUUUCGCCCUUAAGGCGAUGUCUCCUUGCAUCGGAUAUAUGAGCAUGAGUCAAUAGGAAUCGGCUGCAAUGACUCGACACGCCAUAUCAUCGGCUACGCGUCCACCCAUAUGCUAGGAUAGUAUCUCUUCAAAUACCUUCCCUUUAGAGCUCUUGUAAACUCCUCUCCUUCGAUGGUCUCUAAUAUGUACGCAUUUCCCGGAGCACAACAGCUGAUUCUGUACGGCCCUUCUCAAGUAGGCGACCAUUUAUCGAAUUUGGGAUCUUUAGAUCCUAUCGGCAGCACUAGCUUCCAUACCAAGUCUCCUUGGGAGAACUGCUUGACCUUGACCUUCUUGUCAUACCACCUGGCCACUCUUUUCUUAUUUUCUUCAAUACUGAUCAAGGCCCUCAAUCGCUGACCCACCAAAUCGUCGAGCUCCCCCUUCAUGAGGAGGGAAUAAUCAUCGGCUAUCAACUGAUCUUGAAGCGAUGUGCGUCUGGACCCCGUCCUUAAUUCCCAAGGCAAUACUGCCUCAUGACCGUAUACCAAUUGAUAAGAAGAUAUUUUAGUAGCUCCAUGGCAAGCCAUCCUGUAGGCCCAUAAAGAUUCAGUCAAGGAUGCGUGCCACCUCUUGGGCUGCUCCUCUAUCUUCCUCUUGAUCAACUUGAUUAUCCCCUUGUUGGAUGAUUCGGCCUGACCAUUAGCUUGAGCAUAAUACGGAGAAGAAUUCAACAAUUUAAUUCCCAUAUCGGCGGUGAAUUCUUCAAACUCCCCCAAAGUGAACAUUGUCCCUUGAUCGGUCGUGAUGGUUUGAGGGAUACCAAACCGAUAAAUAAUGUGGUCUCUCACAAAAUCGAUCAUAGCAGCCGAUGUCACGGUUUUCAGGGGAACUGCCUCCACCCACUUUGUAAAGUAGUCAGUGGCUACUAAUAUAAACUUGUGUCCCUUGCUUGAUGGAGGAUAAAUCUGUCCGAUGAGGUCUAUUCCCCAACCCCUAAACGUCCAUGGCUUAAUUAUUGGGUUCAUAGCCGAGGCCGGUGCACGUUGCACAUUGCCGAAUUUCUGACAAUCCUGGCACUCCUUAUAAUACUUAAAGCAGUCUUCGAGUAUCGUGGGCCAGUAAUAACCAUUAUUCCUAAUCAUCCACUUCAUUUUGUGAGCCGAUUGAUGAGCCCCACAUACGCCUUUGUGAAUCUCUCCCAUCAGAACAUUUGCUUCAUCUAUCCCAAGGCAUUUAGGUAGUACUCCAUCAAUCGUCCGGUAAAACAAAUCGUCUUCAAGCAACACAUAUUUUGUGGCCUGAACACGCACUCGCCGAUCCACUUUCUUGGAUGUAUCCUUUAAGUAAUCGGCGAUUUCCUUUCUCCAGUCGUCAGCUGCAAGCUCCAGAGAUAUAACCCCCUGAAUCGGCCGAUACCCGGAGGCAUGUUGAGCGAGCCUAUUAGCUUCCUUGUUAUAACUUCUGAGAAUGUGCUCAAUAAUCGUAGACUUUAACUCCUUCAAUAAUUGGAGGCAAUCUUCAUAGUAAAUCCUUAAGAUAUCAUCUUUGCAUUCAGACUUCCUAGUUAAUUGAUCGACAAUGAGCAUGGAAUCCCCAAAAAUCUCCACUACAUCGGCCUUGAUUUCUCUCAAUAGUUGGAUACCCUUUAGGAUAGCCCGGUAUUCUGCCUGAUUAUUGGUGGCGAACGCCUCUAUCGGCAGAGAGAAAUCAUAACUUAUCCCCCGAGGUGAUAUGAGGAUGAUGCCGAUUCCUGAUCCAGCCCCACAUGAGGAACCAUCAAAGUACAGUGUCCAUGGAGCUGGCUCAACGACAGCAAUUUCCGAUCCACAAUGCUGGGCCAUGAAAUCGGCCAUUACUUGGCCCUUGACAGCUUUGGCCGAUUCGUACUUCAGGUCAAACUCCGAUAGAGCUAGAAUCCACUUUCCAAUCCUUCCUUUCAGAAUUGGUAAUGACAACAUGUAUUUGACUACGUCAUCUUUGCACACAACUAUGUAUUCUGCUGAUAACAGGUAGUGCCUGAUUUUAGUACACGAAAAAUAUAGACAAAGACAGAGCCAUUCUACUGGGGGAUAUCUAGUCUCAGCGUCCAGGAGUCUUCUACUGACAUAAUAAAUUACUCUUUCUUUUCCUUCAAAUUCUUGUACCAGCACUAACCCAAUAGCUUGUUCAUCGGCCGACAAGUAUAGUUUGAAUGGCUUGUCAGCCUGCGGCGGAACCAACACCGGCAGCGAGACCAGGUACUGCUUGAUGUCCUCCAAUGCCUUCUGUUGUUCCUCUCUCCACAUGAAUUCUUGGUCGGGUUUUAAUUUCAACAAAGGAGUGAAGGCUUGAAUACGUCCGGACAAGUUGGAUAUGAACCUCCGGAUAAAGUUAACUUUGCCGAUUAGGGACUGUAGCUCGGGUUUGUUCUGCGGGGCUACAACUUUAUUGAUGGCAGCUAUAAUCUUCCGGUUGAUUUCUAUCCCGCGCUCGUGGACCAUGAAUCCUAGAAAUUGUCCAGCCGAAACACCGAAGGCACAUUUGCUUAGGUUCAUUUUCAACCCAUGCUUCCCUGUGCACAUCAAUACCUCUCGCAAAUCGGCCAGAUGCUCCUGAUGCCCCCUUGACUUGAUCACGACGUCAUCGAUGUAAAUCUCCACUAGGACACCAAUAAGCUUGUGGAAAAUAUAAUUCAUAGCCCGUUGAUAUGUAGCUCCGGCAUUUUUUAAACCGAAGGUCAUCACUACCCACUAGAACAAACUGAGGUGGCCUGGGCAUCUGAAAGCUGUCUUUGAAAUGUCUUCUUCGGCCAUUAAUAUCUGAUUAUAACCAAAAUUACCAUCCAUAAAGUUAAUGACUUUGUGUCCCGCGGCGGCGUCUAUCAAAACAUCAGCUGUCGGCAUUAGAUACCCAUCCAUCGGUGUAGCCUCAUUAAGAUUCCUGAAGUCAAUGCACACACGCAAUUUCCCAUUUUUCUUGUAUACGGGCACAAUAUUGGAAAUCCACUCGGCAUAACGGCACUGCCGAAUAAAUCCUGCUUCAAUCAAUCUUGCAAUAUCGGCCUUUAUAUCAGGUAGAAUUUUAGGGUGGCAUCGUCGUGCAGGCUGCUGAUAUGGCCGAUACCCUAGUUUUAUAGGCAACCGGUGUUCAAUAAUGGACUGGUCCAGACCCGGUCUCAUGGUAUUCUCAAGCAAAACAAUCUUUAAAUUAUUUUAACAAACUUGUCAAUUCACGCUUAUACUCGGGGUCUAGACUAGCACUAAUAUACGUCGGCCUUGGCUUGCUGCCGUCUUCUAAGUCCACCAUCUCCAAUGAAUUGGCCGAUGUAAAUAUGUGCCCAAGCUUCCCGUCUUCUCGGACGAACUGAUCCAUUUAGUCUGAUUCUUCAGAGCUGACUGUUUGGAUCGGCUGUAGACCAAAAUCGGACACCUUUAGGAAAUUGGUGUCCCAAGUCCUGCCAGACAUGCAUCUGACGUGUUCGCAGCUACAUUGUUGCGCGUCGGCCGCGGCAACACUGUAGGCAGAAUCAGCGGUGACUAUCUCGAUGUUGUCGCCAAUCCACUGGAUGAGGCACUGGUGCAUUGUAGAUGGGACGCAGCAGUUCGUGUGUAUCCAAUCUCACCCGAGCAACAUGUUGUAGGACCCUUUGCCAUUAAUAACAAAGAAAGUAGUGGGUAGGGUCUUACUGCCGAUGGUGAGAUCGACGCAGAGUGCUCCUCGGGUCGGGGACACGUUGCCUUCGAAAUCCUUGAGCAUUAUGUCCAUCUUGGUCAGAUCCUCAUCACCUUUGCCCAGUUUCCAGAACAUAGCAUACGACAUGAUGUUGACUGCAGCACCUCCGUCCACCAGUAGUUUAGUGACCGGCCGUCCGUUGACGUAUCCUUUGAGGAACAGAGCCUUGAGAUGCUGGCCUUUUUUAUCAUCAGGUUUCUCAAAAGUGGCUGUCAUUGGCUCCAAAGCCAAUGGUGCCAUUUGUUCCUCUAUUUCUAUUGCGUCGUCCUGAUCGGUGGGAGCCAUGAACUCCAUCGGCAAGAUGAACACCAUGCUGACGUCAGCUGCCGACCCAUGAUUGUCGUCUUCUUCGCCAGUUUUUCUUCUGGGGUGCCAAACUCGAGACCUGCCCUCCUUCUUAUCUAUCAUCUGCCUCUGUUCUUCUUCCUGUUGUUCCCAUUGGCGCAAACGCUGGACUCUUCGUUUCUAGGAUUUAGUCAAACCGUCUGGACACCAUCUGGGGUUCAAUGGUUUACCCAGCGAUUUUGCACGCUCCAAGUCUGCCUCUCGUCCUAGGGGGUUUUCAUCCGAGACUUUGGCAUCGGCCAUCUUUUCCAGCCGAUCAUCUGUGCUGGGCCUGCCCGCCAGUCGAUCAUGCUGGUCAAGUCUACCCCCCAGCCGAUCACGUACUGAAACGCGCCGAUCUUCUUGUUCGCACCUGUAUCUGCUAAUCGGCUCUAGUCCUCGAUCCCUGGAGCGUGACCUCUUGAACGGGUGACCGCUGCGAUACUGACCAUUGCACUCGGGGCAAUUAUUGGCUGACAGUAACCUAAGGUUGUUUUCCCAGUAGUGGAUGAAGAACGAGCACCGCCAGUGAUCUUCGUGUCGGCGUAUCAUCUCCUCACGGCGUCUCAAACUUUCUUGUUGCCGCUGAUACUUACUGAGUAAGUCUUGGGAGGUGACAGGCCUACGUGACCUCUCCGAUUUUUUUCCCUCGUCUUCGAUUCGUCCUUUUCCUUUGACAUCUUUGACCGUGCCACUUCUCCUGGCCGAUUCUGACGUUAGCACCUUGGUUUUGAGCGCGUUUCUUCCUGCAUCGACAUGUUAGCGGGGAAAGGAUGCUGAUCGAUCUUCAUCGGCUUUACUGGCUUUGUCGGAACUUCGAACUUGAGUCUCCCUUGUUCAAUGGCCGAUUGUAUCUGCUGUUAGAAAAUCUUGCACUCGUUCGUGUCGUGGGAUGUGGCAUUGUGCCAUUUGCAAUAUUUCAUCUUUUUCAGCUGCUCGGCCGAUGGAAUCGUGUGGUAGGGCGAAAGCUUGAUCUGCCCUUCUUGGAGAAGCAAAUCGAAAAUUUUGUCAUCCUUUGAUGUGUCAAAGCCGAAUGCUUCUGGUUCUUUCUUCCCAAACGGGCACGAUAUCAGCUUUUUUCCUUUUACCCACUCUGCUAGACCGAUUUCCGCCUCUUCCUCCGUUUCGGACCCCUCUAGGUAUGCCACCUUCUUCUAAAAAUUCCUUCAUUGGUUGAAAGGGCGCACCUCUUGGGCAGACAAACGGUGGACGAUCUGACUUAAGCUUUCGAACUCCUGGGAGGCGUACUUCUCUUUGAUUUGUGGUAGGAGACCCUGGAAGGCGAUAUCGGCCAGCUGAGCGUCAGUCAGGACCAGGGUGUAGCACUUGUUCUUGAUCUCUCUGAACCUUUGUACGUAACUGGUCGAUUUGUCGCUCCUCUGUUUGAGGUUGGUCAGAUCUGAGAGCUUCAUCUCGUGGACUCCCGCGUAGAAGUACUUAUGGAACUGCUUCUCCAAAUCGGCCCAAGUUACGAUAGAAUUGGGCGGCAGCGUAGUGAACCACUGCAAGGCCGAUCUGGAUAGGGAUGACGAGAAUAAUCGUACACGCAGAGCAUCUUGCGUGGCGGCUUCCCUGCACUGGAUAAUAAAUCUAUUCAUGUGCUCUACCAUUGACAUGUCAUCUAGUCCCGAGAAUUUGGUGAAAUCGGGAACCUUAUACCUAUGGCGAAACGGCAAUAGGUCAUAGGCAGGUGGGUAUGGUGUCUUGUACGUGUAGGUUUGUACCUUUGAUUUCAACCCAAACUGAUCUUGAAUUACUACUGCUAUCCUUGCGGUCCAAUCCACCUGCUGCUGAUGUAUGAUCGGUUGAGGAAUCGGUACAUGCUGCUGGACCAGCAGUGCCACGGCUAGGUGAUGGAUCAGAGUGUGCUGCAGAUUUUGCGGUUGGAAAAUCGGCUGAGUAGCCGAUGGUUGAAGGCGUAGGGAAUCUACCACUCCAUCGUAUAGUAUCAUCGGCGUUGCACCCCUGAGCGUUUCUGCAAUGUCUGCCCCCUGCCAAUUUCUAGCGUGGCCGGCUGAUAUUGUGGGACCGUCGGCCGGAUGGCCGAUUGAAUGAUGCCUGGACUGGAGAGUUCCCGUAACUGGUUGACGGAUCCAGCCUGACCGUCGUUGCUGGUGUUCCCCACGGCACCGAGUUUGAGGGCAGCGAUUGCACGGAAGAAAUUUGAGCAGGUUGGGACGACGCUUGCGAUUGGUAGCAUGGCGCACCGUUGUAUCCUAGGGGUAUUGAAGCAUUGUACCCUCCAUGUUGCAUCGGUAUCGGUUGAGGAGCCGAGUGAGACGCGUUUGGUAUCGCUGAGAAGCCUCUGAUUGGAGCUAUGAUGGGUGGGGCGUAAGCUGGUCCCUGAUACCCCUGAGCUACUCCGCUGACCAAGGAACUGAUGACGGCAUUGUAUACCGUGUUGGUCAUUACUGUGGACUGGUCGAUCAUUGCCUGGUAAAUAGACUGUUGAAUCAUGUCAGACAUCUUCCCCAAGUCGAUGGUGAUGUGGCAGGGAGUUGGAAGAGGAGCUUUCUAGACGGUCUCCCCGCUUCUGGUACGACUAAAGGAUUGCAAGCACGUCUUCCUGUAUUCUUCUAGAUAUCUCGCCACUUCUUCCUUCUGGUUGUCCUUGAGAUUUGCUUCAGUAAUUUCCAUGACGUUGUCUUCGGAGACCUCGGCAGCCUUCGACAUGUUGGAUGUUGUUUGGUCCCACCAGGCAUGCCAAAAGUGUGUUGGCGCUAAACAUCGGCCGAUGAUCCUCAGUGUCGGACACACGACCCGGGAGAAUCUGCUUAACUCCUGUUCGUGUUAUCGCCCUGGUGCGGUUCGCGCGGCGUGCCAGUUAAUCUGACCUAUUGAUUGACAAGGAAAUAAAAAUAUAAAUUCCAGGGGCUCCGAUCGGCUAGAGUUCUGAUCUGUCUAUAAAAGCGUGUCGGCAAAUCGGCCGAUUCACUAUAGAGGUAACCAGCUAUAAAACAGCUGAUACCAUGUACCGAUUGUAAAGAACAGCUACUAGAGUGAACCAAACAAUGCUAGAAAAACAACACUUGGGACAGAUCUAAUUAGUUGUAUGAUAACAAAGAACGAAAGCAAUAAAAGCCGACAGUUCGUAUCUCAAGCUGGAUAACUGGUGAUAAAAACUAAAAUAACAGGUAAAACCUAUGAUUCUAGUUGAUAUUGAUAACUGGUGAAUAAAUCUAAACGAAACAACAGUGAUGCGCCCGAAGUUAAAGCUUAGAUAUUACUCGGUAAGCGGAACUUACAGAAUCAGCCGGAGAUCGUGUCGAUGCAGCCCUGCCAACCCGUACGAGCUCGUGAAAGAAAAAGUAUUUUUGGCGAAGUCGUCGACUUGAAAGUAAAGUACAAGGAAAAAGUAGAUUGGUUGUAUUGAUUGAUGUCUUGUUUUUACAAACCUCUAGAGGUGGCUAUUUAUAGCUUGUUACAACUGAUUUCCUAACCGACUAGAAUCUAUCUCUAAUUUUAAAUGAUAACAAAUAUUUACAAACACAACUCGUAUCGGAGUUGGUUAUCAUAUCUCAUGGGCCAAUCUCUUUCUUUAGCUAAUCUUUUCUCCGGCCCACCUUAGGCCCAUACUGGCCAAGCAGCUCUAGCUUCCAAUCGGCCAACCCUUAUCAACCCAUUUUGUCAAUCGGCCAAAACACUGUAGCUUCGAUCGGCCGAUUCCCAACUGUAGCUUUUAGCUUGCCGCAUCAGCCCGUCUUUCUCCUUCUUUGACGUCGAUUCAAAACACGUGUCAAAAUCCGACGUCAACACCAAUGUAGAAAAUACCCUUUCAACACUCGUUGUUGCCACUGAUAAAAGCAAUAUCAAUUGGAGAAGGAAGUAAACCAUAACAUACAUUUUGUGCCUCCGUGUUUAAACAAGCUUAACUGAGAGAUCAAGGAUGUUGUUUAGACCCUUGAGGCUAUCAUCUCGUCGCAUGUCAUCAAUAUAAUUAUCAAGCUGCAACUCAAGUUUUAGCAAAUCAUUGUUGGAGAAGUCCUUAGGAUAAAAUUCAGCCAAUCUACUUACCUUCUGUGCAUCAAAUGAAGCAAAUAAAUUGGAAGGACUGAAGGCUGACAUACAAGAAAGUAGAUCCAUAUUGAUCUCAUCAAACCGAUUAUCAAGCUCUUGACUAAUUUGAUCAAUGACACCAAUAUAUACUUCUCUUCUAAAAUGUUCAUCAUUUGUUUGGUUUUGGGCACGGGCGUACCUUGCUGGUUUUCCAUACGGCACAUAAUCACCAUCCAUAGCAUGAACUUCAACAUCAUGUUUAAUGCAAAAAGAAGUGACCCUCUCAAGGAAGUGGUCCCAACCAUCAGACCUCAACUAUUGCCUUUUGUUCUUUGCCACAUUAAUAAGGGAGAUUGCAUUAAGAAUAUCUUGAUCCCUUCUCUACAAACACUCAGAUAACUCUUUUGUGUAUCCAAGAAUAACAUACAUUAAGUGCACAAAGAAAACAAACUCAAAGGUUUCAAAUGCUCCAAGCACAAAAUGUAUCUUUGUCCAAUCAUCCUUAUGUGAAAUAUCAUCACCAAGAUCAAUGAGCACAUCAUGGAUUGAGGAAUACAUAGUAAUGAUGUUGUAUAUAGUUUUGUAAUGAGAUCCCCAUCGAGUUCAACCAGGCCUAUGCAAACUCAUCUCUUGAUUUAAUCCACUCCCUAAGUCAAGCUCACCACACUCAAGUGCUUUCUUGAUAUUCUCAAGCCUAGCAUUUCAAAGAAUACCAUGACGCUUGCAAGAAACUCCAAUAAUAUUCAAUAAGAUAGAUACUUGACAAAAAAAGCUCUUAGAACCAGUAUUUCUCUUGGCAACAGCAACAAGAACUAGUUGGAGUUGAUGUGCAAAGCAAUGAAUAUAAUACACAGAAGGUGAUUCUUGCAUGAUCAAUAUUUUUAGCCCUUUAAUAUCUCCUUUCAUAUUGCUGGCCCCAUCAUAACCUUGACCUCUAAUUUGAGUCAUAGUCAAUCCAUGACUAACAAGUAAACCCUCAAUAGCUUCCUUAAGUGACAAAGAAGUAGUAUCAUCUACAUGAACAACUCCAAUAAAGUGUUCACAAGGCCUUCCAAGUUUAUCAACAUAACGCAAGCAAAGAGCUAGUUGUUCUUUAUGUGAUAUGUCAUUGUACUCAUCAGCUAAAAUUGCUUAGAGCUCAUCACCAAGUUCUUCAAUUUUUUUCUUUCUAGUUUCUAUGGCACAACAAUGAAUAAUUUGCUUUUGUAUCUUUGGACUAGUUAAGGUGUAAUUACCUGGAGCAUUAUUCAAGACAUACUUGUUCACUUCAUCACUAUUUCCUGCAAGAAACUUUAAAAGUUCAAUGAAAUUUCCUCUGUUGCUAGACUCUUCAUUUUCAUCAUGUCCACGAAAUGUCAAUCCUUGAUGCAAAAGAAACUUGAUACAUCUAAGUGAAUAUGUCAACCUUUUUUCUUAUAAAUACGAAGAUCCUCAUCAGUCCACUUCUCAAUGUGAUAAUCAAUUGUUACCUUGGGAUUCAUAAAACCAAUGUAUCUCUCCUGAGCUGCAUUGUGUUCCAUAGAACCACUAUGUUUGAGAAGUGCUUUGUUCCUAUAUUCCAAUUAUUCCAUCCAUCAACAAUAAAUGUAUUUGACCUAGUACCCUUCUUGAACAAGUAGCAUAUAAAGCAAAAUGCAAAAUCCUUCUUGAUACUAUAUUCAAGCCACUCAUGAUUAUACAUCCAUACAAAAUUGAAUUGGCGAUCCCUAACUCCAAUUUUUCUUGAUGGAAAAUCAUGCGUAAAAGGUUUGAAUGGGCCAAUAUAUGCUCUUCGAAUUGCAUCUUGAUCAUUAACAUGAUAACUUUCAAUGGGCUGCCUUUCACCUAGAUUAUGAGGAAGGCGAUUGAUGUCAUAAACCGGCGGCUGUGAUGCGGGGGGUUGCAAUGACGGAGGACAUCCAUACAAAAUUGAAUUGGCGAUCCCUAACUCCAAUUUUUCUUGAUGGAAAAUCAUGCGUAAAAGGUUUGAAUGGGCCAAUAUAUGCUCUUCAAAUUGCAUCUUGAUCAUUAAUAUGAUAACUUUCAAUGGGCUGCCUUUCACCUAGAUUAUGAGGAAGGCGAUUGAUGUCAUAAACCAGCGGCUGUGAUGCGGGUGGUUGCAAUGGCAGAGGCGAGGGCACAUGAUCCACGAUUUUUCAACUACCACUCCAUCUUCCUCUUGAUUCUGUUCUUCCACAAAAGUUUCAACUGGAUAUGGGGUAGUGUUUGAAGCAGCAGCUGCUGCUACCUUCUUUGCUACGUGUUUUUGAAAAAGAGAUGCAAUAUCUCCGCCUCUCUUCAUAAUCCAACCAUUCUGAGAAAAACAAUGUCUAUGUAAUGUAAGUACGACAACUAACUAGACACUAUAGCAAAACAAACAUGCAAUGAUAGAAUCAUAUUUUAAACUUUCGAGUAGAAAACUUACAAAUCACAGCCUCACAAGAUAUGAAUUUAAAAAUAUUGAUGGAUUGAUGGUCUUUUCAAUAAACUCACGAAUUGAAAUAAAAAAAUCACUCAAACAUAAAUAAAUAAAAAUAUUUAAGAACAUAAGUUUUUUCAAAUAAGAAAAAAAUAGAAGAUAGAUUAAUCUUAAACCUCCGUCGCCCGUCGAAACUCUAGGACCAAUAAACAAAGUGAUGGAGCUUGUCUGAUACGUAGCUUCUUGAUUGAUUCGUGGAUCUUGUACCACCUGCAGGCCUGCAUACGGCAAACCUCUGAUGGCCUCCUGUGGUGGACUGUUAGCUGAUUCGUGGGUGGAGACUUACUAAUUGAUUGAAGCCAAUACCAGAUGUUGCGUGCCUGUGUCUCCACAAUACCACAACUAUCUGAUGUGAGAUGAAUCUGCGCUCCGUCUCCGUGGUGGCGUGGCCUGAGUGCCUGACACUUGAUUGAAGCCGUGCGCGUGGGUGGGCCCGGUGGGGUAUCGUCGACUCGUCGAGGCGGAGGCAAGUUAUGGCGUGUAGCCAAAUCAUUGGGCGUAUACUAGGUAAACUGAUUGUUGUUUUUUAUAAAUAAAAUAUAUAUUAUGUUUCACUUAUAGCUGGGCCCACAGGGUAUACCCACCCCUGCCACUCGCAUUCACGUAUUUUUAUCAGAUUAUUCAUUUAGUCGUAUGAGAAGUGCACAUCAACAACAAAGAUGUUCUUAGCGAUCUCAUAUAUCUGUUCCUAUCUCUAGAAGGUGUUUAUAGUGUUAUGGUAUUCGUAUGGAUGUUUAUAGGGUUGAGUAUAUGUGCAUGAUGUCUUUCAAAUUGUUAAAAAGGAAAAAUUAAAAUAAGCUUUUGUAUAAUUACUCUCUGGCCGUUUGUUUUGUCGAAUUGAAUCUCAUUCUAGCAAUUGGAUUCAAUAGGAAUUAAAUUACAUAGAAUCAGAUUCAUUUCAAUUUUCUUGUUUGGAUGUACAAAGAAACUAAUUCUUAGAAUUAGAUUCCAAAUAUUGUUUUGAACAGCUUCGAGCUGAUGACGGGCAAGGUCCCGUUCGAGGACAACCACCUGCAGGGCGACAAGAUGAGCAAGAACAUCCACGCCGGCGAGCGGCCACUAUUCCUGUUCCAAACACCCAAGUACCUAGUCUCCCUGACGAAGCGGUGCUAGCACGCCGACCUGGACCAGCGCCUACCGUUCGCCUCCGUCUGCCGCGCGCUCCAGUAUGUGAAGCGGUUCCUGGUUAUGAACCCAGACCAGCAACAGGGCCAGACCGACGCGCCGCCCGCCGACUACCUCGACAUUAAGGCGCAGCUGCUGAGGAGGAUCCCGGCGUGGCAGCGCGGUGAGGGCACCGCCGCUGCCGCGCGCGUCGCGGACGUGCCGUUCCAGAUGUUCCCGUACAGGGCGGUGGAGAGGAAGAAGGCCGCCGGCGCGCACGCCGGGGGCAAGGAUAGGGCCUCGGACUCCAGCAGCGAGGGGAACUCUCUGUGCGGCGAGGAGAAUGGGGCCAGGGCGGCCAUGCCGGACAACGUGCGCUCGCGGAAGAGGGGAUGCCGGAGGAGGUUGCGUCGGAGGGGGCGGCGGAGGGGGUGCCAGAGGAGGGGGUGCCGGAGGAGGGGCCGUGGCGUGGGAAGCGGCGGCACGAGGGGAAGGAGUCGGGGGAGUUAGGGUCGGGUGAGAAAACGAUUUCCUGUUUUUAGGAUUGGAAUAUGUGGUAGGCAGCGCUAGAAUCCUGAGGAAUCACUAUUUCCAAUUUCGAGGAUCCAAACAUGCUGGGUUUGGAAAUCAAUUCCAAUUCCAUCUAAUUCUAACAAAACAAACGGGACCUCUGAGUUUUUAGUCCAAUUCAUAGCAAGACACGGAAAAGAAAGAAGGAUGAAAAAUUAGCUCACCUAAACAAAAACCCACCCAGAACCCCUAAUUUUAAUGGAAAAGAAAAUAUGGGGAAAAAAAUAAAAACAACCACACUACUUACAGGAGUUCUUCCAGAUCCAGCCCUUGGCUCGCAGUACACCAGACCAGACCAGAUCUCAACGUGCCCCCUCUCAGAUCCCAAUUCCCAAAUGCCCUCGCAGUCGUAGCUACACCCCGACCGGCCGACCCCGCGCGCUCGCUCGGAUCCAUGGGCGGGCUCAGGGCAGCGUCGCCGUCGGGGGCGGGUGCCGGAGCCGACGCGGAGGCGGGAUCGGGCCCCGGGGCUCCGUGCGUGGCGAUGGCGUGCGUGCUGGCGUCCGAGGUCGCCACGGUGCUCGCCGUCAUGCGCCGCAACGUCCGCUGGGCGGGCGUCCGCUACGGUGGCGGCGACGGCGGCGCGGGCGACGAAGAGCACCUCGACCACCCGCUUGUCGCGGGGCUCAAGGCCCUCCGCCGCCGCGCAGCCGCGUGGGGCCACGGCCGCUGGGCGGGCGUCGAGCCGCUCCUCUACCUCCGCCCCUUCCUCGACGUCGUCCGCUCCGACGAGACCGGAGCGCCCAUCACGGGUGCUGCGCUCUCGUCCCUGCACAAGAUCCUUACCCUCGACCUCGUUGGGCCCGGCGCGCCGGGCGUCGCCGAGGCCAUGGGCGCCGUCGUCGACGCUGUCACAGCCUGCCGCUUCGAGGUCACCGACCCGGCGUCCGAGGAAGCCGUCCUGGCGCGAGUCCUGCAGGUGCUGCUCGCCUGCGUGCGCAGCCGCGCGGCGCCGGCGCUGGCCAACCGCCACGUCUGCGCGGUCGUUAGUACCUGCUUCCGCGUCGUGCAGCAGGCUGGGACCAAGGGGGAGCUGCUGCAGCGUGUCUCCCGCCAGACAAUGCAGGAGGUUAUCCGUUCUGUUUUCUCCCGUCUGCAGGAGAUUGAUGUCACUGUGGUUUCCGAUGAGCAGGUACGAUUCGAGCAUUGUUAUGGUGAUUAUUAUGUUUGCUGUGCUCAUGAGCAUGCAAAAUGUUGCCAUACCAUUCCUCCCUCUGCUUAAUAACUCUACUUACUAUGCUUAUGACACUGGUCCUAACUCUGAAGUAUAAACAUGUGAAAUGAUCCUAGGAUUAUUUUAUCUUCUUAGUUUCAACUAAUCGUUUUCAUCCUAGCAUUAUGAUCACCUUGCACAUGCUGACAGUCUGACACUAAGAUCAACUCUUACUUGCCUUUGCUAAUCACCUGUAACUGUAAGAUACUCGUCAUGCUAGUUUGGAAACAAGCUUUUGUUAGUAGGAACUUGGAAGCUUCUUAUGUUCCUACACCACAUGAAGUGUAUUAAUGUACUGAUAACGUUUGUUCUGCAGUUAACUGGUUGCAAGAACCAGGGUUUGGGUGCUGAGGAGAUGGAGAAUGGGAAGAGUGACUUCGUGUGCUUGAACAGCUCGGGUGAUGAGGUGGGGGAUGGAUCUGGAGUUGUGCAAGACAAAGCCAUGUUGGAGCCGUUUGGAGUUCCUUGUAUGGUGGAGAUAUUGCAAUUCUUGUGCUCCCUCUUGAACAUAGCAGAAGACAUUGAUGUGAACCCAAAGAUGAAUCCAAUUGACUUCGAUGAGGACGUACCACUCUUUGCUCUGGGGUUGAUUAAUUCAGCUAUUGAGUUGUCAGCUUCAUCUAUACACAGACACCAAAAGGUGAUGGCUUUUGUACAGGAUGAAUUGUUCCGCAAUCUAAUGCAUUUUGGCUUGUCAAUGAGCCCCUUGAUCCUGUCGACAGUAUGCAGCAUUGUUUUCACUCUCUUUUACCAUCUGCGCCAUGAACUUAAGCUGCAAAUAGAGGCUUUCUUCUCAUGUGUGAUCCUAAGAUUAGCACAGAGUAGAUAUGGUGCAAGUUAUCAGCAGCAAGAAGUUGCCCUGGAGGCUCUAGUGGAUUUUUGCCGGCAGAAAGAGUUUAUGGCUGAGAUGUAUGCGAACAUGGACUGUGAUUUGCAGUGCUCCAAUAUUUUUGAAGAGCUAGCUAACCUUCUGUCUAAGAGUGCAUUUCCUGUGAACAGUCCUUUGUCGGCCUUAAAUGUGCUUGCUUUGGAUGGUUUGGUUGCUGUCAUUCAGGCAAUGGCAGAGCGGAGUAAUAGUGCACCUCAACAUCAUGAGCAAACAGUGCCAGAAAUAAGUGAAUAUUUUCCUUUCUGGCAGUUGAAGUGUGAGAGUGGUAAUGACCCUGAUCAGUGGGUUAAAUUUGUUCACCAGCAAAAAAGCAUCAAGAGAAAGCUAAUGGUUGGUGUUGAACAUUUCAAUAGGGAUAAAAAGAAGGGUUUUGAAUACCUGCAAGGUGUUCAUCUUUUGCCUGAAAAACUUGAUCCACACAAUGUUGCUCUGUUCUUUCGGUACACACCUGGGUUGGACAAGAAUCUUCUUGGGGACUACCUGGGUAAUCAUGAUGAUUUCUCCAUUCGGGUCCUUCAUGAAUUUGCUAGAACCUUUGACUUCAAGGAGAUGAAUUUGGAUGCUGCCCUAAGACUCUUCUUGGAAACCUUCCGGCUGCCUGGUGAGUCACAGAAGAUACAGAGAAUUCUUGAGGCCUUUUCUGAGCGAUACUAUGAACAGUCACCCCAAAUGUUUGUCAAUAGAGAUUCAGCUCUUGUGUUAUCAUAUUCUGUAAUCAUGCUCAAUACCGAUCAACAUAAUGUGAGGGUUAAGAAGAAGAUGACGGAGGAAGACUUUAUUAGAAACAAUCGCCGCAUAAAUGGAGGGAAUGAUCUUCCAAGGGAGUUCUUGUCGGAGCUUUAUUAUUCUAUUUGCCGUAAUGAAAUCCGAACCAUUCCUGAGCAAGGAGCUGGUUGUUCUGAGAUGUCUUUCAGUCGUUGGGUUGAUCUGAUGUGGAGGUCAAAGAGAACAUCAAUGUAUAUUGCUUGUGACUCCUACCCUUUUCUUGAUCAUGACAUGUUCUCUGUCAUGGCAGGACCGGCAGUUGCUGCUAUUUCUGUAGUCUUUGACAAUGUUGAGCAUGAGGAAGUUCUUACAGGAUGCAUUGAUGGUUUUCUAUCGGUGGCGAAAUUGGCUGCAUUCUAUCAUCACAAUGAUGUGCUGAAUGAUCUCGUUGUGGCACUAUGUAAGUUCACCACUUUGUUGAGCUCUUCCUACAUUGACGAUCCUGUAACAGCUUUUGGGGAGGAUACCAAGGCUAGAAUGGCAACAGAAGCUGUUUUCACUAUAGCAACUACUUAUGGUGACCACAUACGCAGUGGGUGGAGGAACAUAGUCGAUUGCAUUUUAAGAUUGCAUAAGAUAGGCCUUCUUCCUGGUCGCCUCACUGGUGAUACAACUGAUGAUCAGGAAGCCACUUCUGAUUCGUUGCCCAGCAAGCUUGCUUCUUCAUCUGCUCCUCCUCAAGUUUUGCCAAUUACCACUCCUUGGAAAAGUUAUGGACUGAUGGGGAGGUUCAGCCAACUACUGUACUUAGAUGCUGAAGAACCAAGGUCCCAACCAACUGAGGAGCAACUUGCUGCUCAGAGGAAUGCUUCGGAGACUGUGAAGAAGUGCCAAAUAGGUACCAUCUUUACUGAGAGCAAAUUCUUACAAGCUGAUUCGCUCUCAAAUCUGGCAAGAGCUCUCAUUCAGGCAGCAGGCCGACCUCAGAAGAUCACCAGCUCACUUGAUGAUGAAGGCAUAGCUGUCUUCUGCUUAGAGCUUCUAAUUACUGUCACAUUAAACAACAGAGAUAGGAUUGUUCUUUUGUGGCAGGAUGUUUAUGAGCACAUAACCCAUAUCGUCCAGUCCACAGUGAUGCCCUGCAAUCUAGUAGAGAAGGCUGUUUUUGGUCUCCUGCACAUCUGUCAGAGGUUGCUUCCUUAUAAGGCAAACCUGGUAGAUGAUUUACUAAGGUCAUUGCAGCUGAUUUUGAAACUUGAUGCCCGUGUGGCUGAUGCGUACUGUGAGAACAUUACCUUGGAAGUAACACGUCUUGUCAAGGCGAAUGCGACCCAUAUUAAGUCCCAGAUGGGCUGGCGAACUAUUAUUUCCUUACUCUGCAUCACUGCACGCCAUCCUGAUGCUUCUGAUGCAGGGUUUGAAGCUCUGGUUUUUAUCAUGUCAGAGGGAGCACACCUCUCACCUGCCAACUUCAUCCUCUCAGUGGAGGCGUCAAGGCAGUUUGCAGAAUCUCGGCUUGGGUCCGCAGAAAGAUCUAUCCAUGCUUUAAACCUAAUGGCAGAUUCAGUGAACUGCCUUACGCGGUGGUCACGAGAGGUUAGAGAAGCUGGUGGAGAUGCAGACAGGAUAUUGGAAGGAAUUGCUGAGAUGUGGCUGCGGCUAGUGCAGGGUCUACGAAAGGUGUGCGGGGAUCAAAGGGAAGAAGUGAGGAACCAUGCGUUGUUAUCAUUGCACAGAUGUUUAGUAGUUGAUGGAAUAUUGGUUUCAUCUUCAACAUGGUUGAUGGCAUUUGAUAUUAUUUUCCAGUUGCUUGAUGAGCUGUUGGAGAUUGCGCAGAGUUACUCGCCAAAGGAUUUCAGAAACAUGGAGGUGUCGCUCUUGCAUGCUGUAAAACUGCUAUGCAAGGUGUUUUUACAGUCACUUAAAGACCUCUCAGCACAGGGCAGUUUUGGUAAGCUGUGGUUGGAAGUCCUUGACAUGAUAGAGAAGUUCAUGAAAGUGAAAGUGAGAGGGAGGAGGACUGAGAAGCUACAAGAGGCUAUCCCAGAGCUACUUAAGAACAUACUGAUGGUGAUGAAAGCUAGUGGGAUCCUGUCAAAAACGAGCACCAGUGAAAACAGUUUGUCGGAAGCAACGUGGCUGCAAGUUAACAAGAUUGCGCCCUCACUUCGAUCAGAAAUUUUUCCUGACAAUGAGGGUGACAGCACAACUCAAGGUGAAGAAAACAAAUUGGAUACUCCAGCGCAAUCUAACCAAAGCGCUAAUCAAUAGGGCAUUACAGAUUCUCUCAUACAAUCAAGUUAGUUGAGCUGCAGCUGGGUCUUUCAAGGGAGGAUUACCUUUCAAUUUUUUGUUCCAAAGUUAUACACAAAUGCAUGGCAGUGCUGUCAGUGGACAUUAGGGAGAGUAAGCUGGUAUAUUGUAAUUUUCUUAGUUAUAUAUAUUAUUUUGUUACUGACAAGGUUGCUUUUGGGCUUUAUUGUUGCAACUCCAAAGUUGUAUGACAUGUAUAUCGUUGCACUGAUGAUAUGUGUUAGCCUUGGGGAAUCCAUGCUUUUGGCUGUAAUUGUUUCGAUCACUGCACCUGCGUACUGUGGAAGAUUGCUUAUAGCAGUAGAUCUGAGGGUUUUUCCUUGCUAUCAUCUGAUGUUCCAAAAGUUUCAAUAUUGAUGUGCUUUUUAGUUAUUUCAUGCAAGUAAUUAUGCUGGUCCAUAUGAAUCUAUUGACCUGUGAAUGUGAAAAGGCUGAGAGCAUCCAAGGCUUCAUUACUCCUACUUUAUUCUUUUGUUCUUUUCCUUAUGUACCUCCUGCAUUCCUUGUUUCAUCUCUAAUCGUAUUUAUUUUUAAUAUGGUCAAAUAGGCAUGCUGCACUGCUGUUGAAAUAUGCAAGCAUGUUAUUAUUUUUUCUUUAAUGAAAUUCUACUUAUUUGCAGAUUGAAAUUUCAGAGUGGUUAGUCGGAACAAACAUAUUUGGUUUGCAAACUGAAGGAUAUAUCAGACCUUUUAGGAUUCAAUUUCCGGAAACUGGAAUAGUCUGUAUUGAAUUUGUGGGAAGUUUUGCAGAUAGGAAAUGUGGUUUAAUUUAUUCAAGACGCAAAAUUCAUACUUCCGUAAGUGAAUUAUAAGCAUUUGUUUUGGUUCCUCAUGGUUCUGCAGAUUCAAGCUUGUUUACAUUCUUUGGAGUAUUAGAAUCCUGCCUUGACCCUGAAACAUGAGAAAUGUGCAUGAUCUAAUUGCAAGGCUUUCUUUACAUAUUCACCCAAAGCGUUAAUUUGACACAAUUUCAUGAAAACUUGCAGAUAUGCAGAUAACACAGAUAACUAAGAUUGCUGAACAACCAAAAGUGCUUAUCUUCUUUCCUUAAAUGAGAAUAAGAGGAACCAAAGGGGUUUUCUUAAAAAAAGAGAGGAACCACUGUGAUAAAUCAUUCUGGAUUACUUAUUUAUUGCAGUCUGCUGAUAUGUGUUAUUAGGCAUCCUUAGCACUUCAAGAAACGUUAACUCAAAUGACAUUUGUUUCAACAACCCUAAGCCUACAGUUUUUACUAUUUAUCCUAGAAAUGCAGCUGUUGGUAGAGUUUUUAUUAGUUCAUUAUUUGAAGGGCGAAAAUUAUUCUUUGGUUUACUGUGGUUGAGUUGUGGGCGCAAUUUUUCGUGUCUAUGAAUUGAAUGGCCAGAUACAUAUUUGUUGUAAUUUGUAGGUAACAUAGAGUUUCUUAUCUAGAAUAGCUUUUGUUAGACCAUACAUAAGCUAGUGAAGUAAGCAAACUUUUGUUGGCCAAGGAUGCAUCAAGGUACAUAUGUUACACAGACUUGCAAUUGAAUUUGAUAUUUAACACCCAAAUUCAAUCAUGCCCUGCUUUCCUAUUAGGAAACUGAAAGAUGCACAUAUGUCUCUGUUCUUCACAAAAGGUUAUUCAGAGAAGAAUUAUAGUGAUGCUAAUUUUUCUGUUGGACUAGCAACUCAUGCGCCCAGAGAUUCUGACAAUGAAGUAUCAGAACCUGUGGUUAUUUAAUUCAUUUUUUCAACUAGAUCCUUGCACUGUUAGUAAUAUUACAUUUCACACGGUAAUGUACAUUGGUACAUUACACUUAUAAUACAACUACUACCAUAUACAGACUAGCGCAUUAAGCUCAGCCUGAUUGUAAUGUACAUCUAUGCAGUUCUAUAAAGUUGCCUUUGUUGCUUUCUGGAUUGCCAUUUUAGUUCUUUGUAAGCUGGCUGCCUACAAUACUGUUUGUAAGUAUAGUUUCAUGGAUUGCUGGUCAAUUAGGGUACCCUUUUAGGUAAAGACAGGCAGUUUAUAGUAGCAUCUAGAUCAUACUGUGCCCAACCCAUGCACCAAUCAGUAUAUUAGCUGCUCCCUCAAAACAUAGACUACGACCGUGUUCCUAACUGCAUACCCUUUCUGGGUUGAAGCAGCUGGCUGUGAUGAUUGGGUAAUCAUUUGCACAUUUAGCGUUUGUGCUCUUCAGGUGCAAGCGACUGGUGCUGUGGUGCAGGCAUUCACCCUUUGGGUUGGGGUCACCAUUUGCACAUUUAGCGUUUGUUUUGGGUUGGGGUAAUCAUUUGCACAUUUAGCGUUUGUGCUCUACAGGGUCUGUCUUAUUGGUACCAGGGCAGCAGAGAUGUUUUUUUUUUCAGGCUGAGUUGCAUGCCAGGCUGUAUAGAACUAUAGAUUAUAGAGGCCUGUGAUGGUCUCCCAUUAGUGAUUUCCGGCGUGUUCCCAAAACAUGAUGAACGGAGCAAGCAUGGUAUGUUACAGCUCAGGAGUUGGCGGCGGUUGUAUAUGAGAAGUUCAUGUUUGCAGUCUCGGUAACACAAAAGAGCCCUGCUAGAGAAAUAUGUAUCCUUCAAAGUGAACUGAAUCAACGCAAUCUCUGACCUCUGGGAAGCACCAAUCUGGCAUCUUUCCAUCUACAUGGAAUGUGCUACUCCGCCCUCCCUGCCCUGCCGCCGGAUUGAAAAAAAUGUGCUGCCUGUUCACCCAACCAGGGAUGCAAGUGGGUAGUGAAUUCUGGGUCAGCUAGUUUAGUUCAUUUCUCCCCCCUUAAUUAUGUGCCAUGCCAUUUUGGUCCAUUUUAGCAAGUUUUGGGUCGACCCAAACCCAAUGAUGACCCAAAAUAAGUGGGACUUGCAUCCGCAUGCCAUUUUGGUUCAUCCGUGAUGACGUAACAGAAUUGGUGAAGUGUGGCCAAAAUCCGCAUGUCAACUAUGCAGUCUGGUUCUGAUGUAUCUUGGCGUGGCGCACGGCACAUGCCCUGUCCCGCGGUGGGAAUAAUUUGGGAUGCCACGUUCGAUUUGAGUGGCAGUUCAGUUCGGACUCUACUAUAUUUGUAUAAAACUGCGUGGUGAACUCAUGAACCUAUGCCCGUGUAGUAAAAUUAAGUGCGUGUGCCUGAACUGCUAACUCAAAAUUGGUGCUCUGCUUACACUAACUUCUUUCUUGCCUUGAUGGCAGAUGGUCUUGGUUGUUUUCCUCGCAUUACUUUCCAGGAGUUCCGUGAAGCUACUUGCAGUAUGAGAUAGGGUCACAUCGCGGUUCUUAUACUAAAAUAUGAGCUGGGAACGGGAUGCAACGAAGUGCAUGCUGAAGAAAGGACAGGAGCCAUGUGAGGUUUGUGUAAUCGCGAGGCUAUUGCCUCAUCAUUAGAUUGACUUUAUGUACGUCUUGCACUCACCCACCUUUUCGUUGACUGCUGGCCGUGGCCGGCCGGCCGGCCACAUCUUUGGCUGCGUUUGUCAGCCGAGUCCCCGGGUGACUCGGGCCGCCGUUUGUUUCGCUUGCGCACGCACGCACGGACGCUUGCUGUUAUAGGCUAGCCGCCGCGUACGCUACACGUGAGCGACGCCGGCCGCGGCUGCGGACAACGGUAUCCUCCUCCGCGCCGCCACGCUAGCUACCAGGCUGCACGCGACAUCAUGAGCACAACAGUUCUUGCCAUGGUGUAGGAUCGUGUGGGGAUUGCACGGCACUUAGCUUGUUUUAGUCAGAUCUAUUUGCAAUUAACCUGGAACAUCUCCUAGAAUUAGAAAAGCCCGAAGAAAUGAUACUACAAAAAUCGACGAGUGAACUCGAUGAGAUGCAGGUAUUUGCUCUCGUGAUAAGGUAAAUGUGAUCCACCAAUCGUAGAAUUCAUGGUCACCCGAUCAAUUCAGUAGCAGCCGUGGGCUGUAACCACCGAAACAGUUCUUAAUAGUAGCCACUAGCUUAAGAAAGUCAGGGUCAGACGUAUAAGACGUCGAUGAGAAGUCUGACGCGCAGCCUUGUUUUCCUACAGUUUCACAGCGUCCUCUCAGUUCACACUACAUCUGUAAGUUCGUUGCACGUAACUACCGUAGCAUGUAUGGCUAGCACAAUCGUAAAGGAACAAUAAUACGGCUAUGAUGAUUGCUUCCCAUGAUCCAAAGGUUGAAUAACGUCCAGGCCGUUUCAUCGACCUGCCGGCCGUCCGAUUUUUAGUUGCUUGUGCCCGAUUUUCCCUUUUCCUAGGCUUGUCAUAACUAGGAUGGUGAUAUAUGUCGAACUACUGUCGAAAUUAGAUGCAACUAUACAAAUUUGUUUGUGUUUCGAGAGAAAAAAAAACAGGGUUAUUCUGCUAUCAUAGAAUCGUAGUUUCGUUUACCUAAAGAAAUGUUCCGGACUCAGCACCGUAAGAUGCAUAUAGUCCUAAGAUGGUCCACUGCCAAUCAUCGUCGUCAGGGCUUGGUGUACGGUCCGAGCGUACGUCCAUGACAAGCCACAUAACCGCCAAGACGUGAUCGCAUUUCGUAACGGCAGGCAGCGCGGUCGCGAGCCGCGUACUCCAUUUCGCCUGGUGGCCAUGUGACCUUGCACCUCCAACACGGCACGCCCCCGUCGUGCUCGACGAGCCAUAGCUGGCGACUCUUGAUGCCGAUUCGCUCAACCCGGCUUGCACCCUUGCCUAUAAAUGCACCGGCGAUGUCGUCUCCCUAUCGAUCAACACAACACACAAGUACACAACACAUAUACGAACACUAAUCCCGGGGAUCUCUGGUAAGCUGGUACUAGGAUCGAGCUGAGAUGGCCGCCGCCGUGAUCAUCUCCUCCGCCAAGGUGGCUGCUGCACUCGUCGCAGUGUUCGCCGUGCUUGCCACGUACGCCGAAGCUGGCGGCUGGCUCCCGGCCAAGGCCACCUGGUACGGCGCGCCCAACGGCGCCGGUCCCGACGACAACGGUAUGCACGAGCAGAGCGUGGCCGCGCCCCGGCCGUCGCGAACACGAUGCGUGUUGGCGUGCUAUCUUUCGCCGUCCCAACAAUGCUGUGUGUGUGACUCUCUGUGUGUGGCUGACGUAUCGUUUCUGCAGGUGGCGCGUGCGGGUUCAAGCACACCAACCAGUACCCGUACAUGUCCAUGACGUCGUGCGGGAACGAGCCCCUGUUCAAGGACGGCAAGGGCUGUGGCGCAUGCUACCAGGUACUGUAUUUCGUCCUGCAUGCGAGAAUCAGUCAAUCUAAACAGUACUAGUAAUUAACUGCAGCUGCAGGAGUUUAUCUGAUCAGUUGAUCUGAUCGGUCAACCGUAGCAGUAAUAAUAAGUUAAUAACUGUUUUUAUAUAGUUUCCUCGAUAUUCACGACAUUUGUUGAGUGCCAUGUCGUACGUUGAACUCGGGAGGUCAAACUAACCCCUGGCACGUCUUCUCACGCCCUGUCCUCCAAUUGAAAAAAAAAACAGAUACGGUGCCUGAACAGCACCCACGACGCCUGCUCCGGCAGGGCGAAGCGUGUGAUCAUCACGGACAUGAACUACUACCCGGUGUCCAAGUACCACUUCGACCUGAGCGGCACGGCGUUCGGCGCCAUGGCCAAGACGGGGCUCAACGACAAGCUCCGGCACGCCGGCAUUCUCGAGAUCCAGUUCCGGAGGGUGCCCUGCAACUACAAGGGCCUGAACGUCAACUUCCGCGUCCAGGUGGGCUCCAACCCCAACUACUUCGCCGUGCUGGUGCAGUACGCCGGCAAGGACGGCGCCGUGGUGCAGGUGGACCUCAUGGAGACCGACAGCACCACGGGCAAGCCGACGGGGGUGUGGACGCCGAUGCGCGUGUCGUGGGGCGCCGUCUGGAGGCUGGACACCGACCGCCCCACGCAGGCGCCCUUCUCGCUGCGCAUCCGCAGCGACUCCGGCAAGACGCUGGUGGCCAGCAACGUCAUCCCGGCAGACUGGAAGCCCAUGACCGACUACCCCUCCAACGUGCAGUUCCCUUAAAACGGCAUGCUGCUGCAAUCGUCUCAGAUCAUUGUUUAUUCGUCAAAAAAUACCGAUUCAUUGUUUGGUGUUGUCGUUGUACGUACGUGUCUUGAGAUGCGUGGGAAAUAUGGAGGAGGCAACGUGAUCUCCCGCCCACGAUCUCAAGUUUUGAAAUACCAUGCUAUGUAAUGUAAUACAGUACUACGUAUCAAGUUGUCAGUUCAAGAAAAUAUAUUCAAGUUUGUUCACAUGUGCGUGUGCGUGCAUUCAGCGCAUUCGUACCUGUUGUUACUGGCCGCUAUCGUCGGCCUGUUGCCGCGCGGCCGGCCCGUACUGAGCUGCGCUUCCCGUCCGUGGUCUCCGGCCUUGCGUCUGGUUUGCUCCGUGGGCCGUGGCGGCAAGCGGCCGGCAUGGUCUUGCGCACGAACGGCGCCGCGGGCUGCUUGCCGAGGUACGCUACGCUCCAUGUGAGCAACGCCGCGGCUACCGGACUACGGGCGGCGGCAUCCUCUGCUUGCCAUGUUGUGACCAGGUUGCAUGCAGCACAAGCAGAGCAAUUGUGGCCAUAAUCAUAAGACUGAGAGAAGUGUGUAGGACGUCUCCAGCACUGACACUUCAGGGGUCUUUCGAGAAAAAAAAAGAAGUAAUCAUACUUCAGCUAGAUAUAAGAAAUCUACAUUGGAUUUUUUUUCCCUUAUGUGGCGAAGAGAAUAGACAAGGGGAGAUGAAAAGCAAGAUAACAUCUUUCUAAAUAAGCAAGUCUGUUCAAAGAGAAUUUUCAUAUUGAUAUUUCAAAGGGGGAGAAUUUCAUCAAGAGUGAGAGCGUGCGAUUGAUGAUUGAAAUAACCCUUCAAUGCAUUGUUUUAUUUUUUAUAGGCAAUUUUAUUUUUGUUGUUUUACAGGCAACAUAAGCAAGAAAGUAUUGCAUUGGAAAUGGUGCACAUGUAGUUUCAUCUAAAUAAUAGCAUCUUGUGUUGACAUGGCAUCCUAUUUAAUGAAAUGAAAAACCCAUUGAAAUUGGCCUAACAGACAUAAUGGCCUAACAGACAUAAGUAUUACAAGUUACUCCAUAGAUUUGGGGCCAUGACUAUUCAAAAUUGCUUAUCUUUGCGUGCACACUGUCUCUCAUUUGUUCAUAUUCUAACACUAAUAUAAACUAUUUAUAAUCUUAUGUCCAAUAGUGGUAUACUUUAGCUACCAAUUACUCUAGCUUGUUUUCCCAUUCAUAGUCUGCAUGGUGAUACACAUAAUGCAUGUAUACCUUGAGUUAGUUUUUUUUUUCUAUAUUAACAAUAGCAGCAAUGAGGAAUUGGACCUUUUUGGCAGGGCUCCAGAUCCUGAUUCUCUGGUGGAGUGAUUCUCUAGUGUGAAAUAGUUUGGCAAGCUAGCUGAGAAGUGAUUCCUGAGAAAGAAGAUUGUGCUGUAAUUGUCCAUAGUACCCCUGUCUGCUUGAAUUAACGUUUGCUAGACAUUUAUGUGAUACAUUUAAGUUAAUUUAUAGUGAUCGUAUAACUGUGAUUACAAAUUCACCAUAAAGUAUGUAAAGUCCAUAUGUUAGUUAAUAAAUAGUUAACAUUUGCACAUUGAACGGUACAAGCAUCAUUUCAUUUCUACGACCAAACUCAUUGGUCCAAUAUAUUACAACCAAAAUACCUAAGACUCAAAAUAAUCCCAUACAUGGAAGACAUUAUCCCCUAGAUAGAGCAAUCGCCCUCGCAAUGUCGUUUGGUCCAAUGAAUUACAACCAAAAUACCUAAGACUCAAAAUAAUCCCAUACAUGGAAGACAUUAUCCCCUAGAUAGAGUAAUCGCCCUCGCAAUGUCGUUUGGUCCAAUAUAUUACAACCAAAAUACCUAAGACUCAAAAUAAUCCCAUACAUGGAAGACAUUAUCCCCUAGAUAGAGUAAUCUCCCUCGCAAUGUCAUCACGAAAUCUAUCCAUGUUUGUAUCAUUGGGUUGAGAGGUAGAUGCAUCUGAUGCAUUUGGAGAAGGGACAUGUUCCUUGUAUCUUGUUGGUAUGGUGGGCAUAUAAUCUGGUCCCGAUCACACCUACGAAAAUGCUUGUCAAGUGCAUGAUUUUCACGGAUAAAUUUAUGGAGACACAAGGUAGCCGCAACAAUCAUCUUUUGUUUGAUCAUUGGAUAGCUAGUCAUCUUGAGAAGAACUCUCCAUUUCAUCUUCCAUACACCAAAUGUGCGCUCGACAACAUUUUGAAUACUCAAAUGCAAAUGGUUAAAUACCUCUUGCUCACCACUAGGAGUUGGACCAUUUCUCUAUUCUGGAACAUGAUAUCUUUGCCCUUUAUAUGGAGCCAAGUAUCCGGGUCUAUUUGGGUACUCCGCAUCGACAACAUAGUAUUUCCCUAACAUAUAGUAGAGCAAAGUGAGUAAAGUUUAGACUUUCAACAGAAUACAAUACAUGAUAGGAGACAAAUAUUACCUUGAGGUGGAUGUAGAAAGAUAUCUUCAUCAGCUUGAAGUGCAUGGUAGAGCACACUAGUGUCAUGCAUAGAGCCUGGCUGACCAAUAGAUGCAUAUAUGAAAUUCAUGUCACAAUCAACCACCGCCAUCACAUUUUUUGUUGCUUUACCAGAUCUCCCUAGAUAUCUGAGAAAAUCUUUAGGAGGUGGUGUCGGUGUUUUAUAUUCGGCUACCUACCAAGGGUAUCCCGAGGUAGUAGAUUGGUUGGUGGGGGAUCGUCGGACCUGGAACUCGAAGGUAAAAGUGAUGACACAAGACACGGAUUUAUACAGGUUCGAGCUGCCAGAGUAGAGUAAUACCCUACGUCCUAUUUGGGAUGUUGUAUAUUGCACCCUGCACUUGGGUGUUGUUUGGUGUUGAGGAUUUGGUCCUCUGUUGUGGUUCUAUGAGGUCUUCAUCUACUGAUCUAGGGACCCCUGCCCUCCUUUAUAUACUCUAGGGGGCGGGAUUACUAGUCGGUUAUAAGGAGGAGUCAUAGCAGGAUUACAUGGUAUGAGUUUUAGUAGGAUUACUGUCCGUCUUCUUCCUUCCUUGCGGGUACCGGGGAUCUAUCCCCGAUAGGUGGUGUUGCACAAAUAUGAGUCCCGUCAAUGGCUCCAAUGUAAUCUUUGAAGUGUGGCCACAUCCUUUGAUCAUUCCUAAUCCUACUGUGCACAUCUCAAAAGUUUGGAUCUUUAGGUCUUAUGUAAUAUUUUGACAUUCCAACCAAACAGUUCAACACCUCAAAAAGUUUCCUACUAAUUGUCUCUCCAGAAUGCUUGAACUUAUUUUGGACAGCAGUGUUUGACCAACAAUGACCACAUGUGAGAAGAAAUAUAGCAAUAGACUCCAUAGAGCUCAUAUGAAUAGAGGAAGUUAAUCCAUAAGCAUCACCAAUAGAUCAUGCGAUUGGUAAAAGAGAGAUGCAUCCAUUCUUAUCAUGGUAAGUAGAAUAAUAAUUGUUGACAAAACAUGCAGUCAGAGAGAUGUUCAUUUGAUAUUGUCUCAGAAGUUCCAUAACCCUCAUAUUAAACAAAUCAUCUUCUUUAGUUCACUGCCAUCCCUCUCAGUUUCAGAAGAAGAGGACAUCUGUAUAGUAACAAAUACAAAUAACUCAGCAAGCAAACAUUUAUUAAAUACAAAUAGUUCUACAAGCAUAUACCACUAAAAGAUAGUUCUACAAGCACAUACCGAACAAUUCUACAAAUAGUACCAAGCAUUCAGUAACAAAUACAAAUAGUUCUACAAGCACAUACCAAACAAUAGAACUGGUACUGCAGAUAGUUUUAAAUUUAUUGAAAAAGAUACAAGUGUACAUGCACCAUGCAUGUACACAAAGCAUUAUUCCUCUACUUAGACCAAGCAUUCAUCAUCCAAUCAUGCUUCAUUGACAACCAUUGAAAGCGAUCUUCCGGUGUGUCUAUUGUCAUGAACAUCUCUCUCUCAGAUUUCUUGGUGAAUAUUUGAGUUGCUAUAAAGUGUUCUCUUGUACCAGGAACUGCACCACAUACCUUCACCAAGUGCAUCACAACCUUUAUGGAACAGACAGAGGACUCCUCUGUUUUAGCCAGGACAAUAGACUCACAAGAUGCUGUUGUCUUCUCAUUCAAUUCUACAAUUCUAGCCAUUUAUUCUUGCAUCCAAUGUCCUCCAGCACUUUUUGGUUUUUUUCCCUUCUCUUUUUCAGUCAAACGGCGUCUCUUUGAUGCUUUGCCACUAGUAGGUGUACCAUCUUCAGCAUCACUAUCAUCAUCUUUGUCGAGAUCAACAUCUUUGUCAUUAUCAUCAUCCUGCUGUCCAUUGUUACCUUGGGAAGGUGGAUCACCACUUGAUGGAGCCCAAUAAUCAUCACCAGUGUUUUUAAGAUCUUCAAACAUGAUGGAUAAUUGUUCUUCAUGUUCAAGUGGUUGGUCCUUAAACUUGGUAGUACCUUUGAAUUGCUACAAUCAUAGAGCCAAAUGUCAGCCAUAGAUGCAUAUCACAAUCUACAUUGAUACAAAACAAGUGGGGCACAACUUUACCUUGUUCAUCUUCUUCUACCACCAAUCUGGAGCAUCAAAGAUUUUUUUUUAUCCCAACCUGACCCUGUCUCCUUCUACAGUUGUUUCCAAUUGUUGUACGCUUUCCUCAACUUGUCCCAUUUGUUUUUGAACUGCAGCUUGGUAUAAGAUAGUCCAAUCUUUUCUUUAAAUAGGGAAAUCAUAUUGGCCUAUCCUUUCAUGUUCAAAUGGGUUCCAUAUCGAUUCUUUGCCUGAACUCUCUCAGCAAAUAACUGACAAACUAUCCUAAGGUUCUCAUCACACCAGUCCGCACUAUCACCCAUGUUGCUGUUCAAAAAUUUCACCAUGAAUCUCCAAACAAUAUAGCUUAACACAGUUAUCACAAGCAUCAUCCAUUUUUCCAUUCUAUUGUCCACCAAGCAAAAGCACAAACAUAUGAGGGAGAAAUGGAUAGACAUUACCUUGCCGGAAUGGAGGAGAACCGCCAGAAGGAGGGGUGUGUUGCAGGCCUGGAGAGGGGUCUGGCGCUAACUACUACUCCUUGCGGACGUGGAGCUUGCCCCUGCGGACGGAGAGGCGUGGGGCUGCAGCUCGCCCCUGCAGACAGGGGGUGCGGGGCCGUGCCGGACAUGGAGGCACGGGGCAGAGAUGGAUGGGGUUGAGCAGGGUGGCGGCGGGGAGGACCUAAACCCUAGUCUCCCAUGGCUAGGAGCGCCGAGGGUGGGUGGAGGUGGAGGAGUUAGGGGCGUUGGGCGAAAGAACGGGUGCGGGAGGAGGAGCGAUAUAUAUGAGUGGCAUUGAUGGGUAAAUACUAUUGAACUUGAAGCCUGGGUUCGUAUUCGGGAGGGUGGGGAGCGGAUGAGGAUUGGUGGGGAGUAGGUUUUUCUAGCUCUGACCUUGCAGUACAAAAAUGAGGGAGCGAUUCACCUGAUUUCACAUGAGGAGCUGGUCGAGUUUUUCCCGUUUGGCAGAGCUCCUCCGAUUCUCGUGUGAAUCAGGAGCCAGGAGCGGUGCCAAAGAGGCCCAUAGAAGUAUUCCCCGCGGUUACAAAAUGCUAGACGUUUACUUUUUUCCUAAAUAAAAAUCCCUCUAACUUCAACCAUGCUUAUUGAAAAAAAUAGCAAUGUCUACAAUAUCAAUGCAGUCUUGUUAAAUUCAUCCUGAAUUAUGUUUUGGUAAUAAAUUUAUUUAACAUUUUAGAUGUUAAUAUAUUUUCUAUAAACCUGGUCAAAGCUAGAUGUUAAUAUAAUUUGAAAUUGAGGUAGAUACUUUAGAUGUAAAUUUAUAGGGCCAUUUUAGGUUAUUUUUAUAAUGAUAUAGAUGGGUACUCUAGCUUAAAAUCAAGGGGUUACUUUAGAUUAUUUAAACAUAUAGGGGUUAGUUAAAUUUUUUUAAAUAGUUGAGGCGUGUAAUUUAGAUAUAAAUUUAUGGGUUACUUUAAACUUUUUUUUUAAUAAUAGCAUACGUGGGUAAGAUCUCAAAAACUAAAUAGCUUUUAUUGUUAAAAAAUACCUAGUAAAUACUUGCUAAGGAUUUAGGACAAAAAUUAGAAGGUGUUCCUUAAGAGCGUGUUAAAUCUAAAAGCCUUCCUAAUUUUGGCCUCAUGUCAUACGUUACCACACUCCAGAGUGCAAUUCUUUGUACUCACUGUUCUUUUGUCCCCCUGCUAUCCCCUCUAGACCUCAGGAUGGUGUGGCAAUGUGAAGUUCGUCGAAGAUUGCAGCUUCAAUUCAGCAUGUAAAGAUAGAGACCAUUCUGCUGAAGAUGAUAAUAAAUAUCUAUUUAUUCUUAUUUCAGACCUAUGGGUGUUCUAAUAAAGUUUGAUGAUUAUAUAAUAAAUUGGCUUAAUUCUCUAGUGAAGUUGUCAUAUGUAUGAGUAAACUGGUCCUAACAUACAUAUUAUUUGCAUUCGAUUUUAUCCUUAAAAUCAGGUGUGGCAACAAUGGAUGAACACACCACUAAGGUACUAUGUGGCAUGUGUUAGAUGCUAAAACUUAAACAUAUUUGAACUAUUUUGAACCUGCGAUACAACUUGUCGGUCCAAUGAACCGAGCACAUGAGCGGUUCGAUUGCCGAUUGGGUCCUAAUAUCUAUGGUGUUUUUUGGGUUCAUCAAUCGCAGGCCAUUAGCGUUUCCAUUGAUUUUCUAACAAAAAUAAAGAAUGAUGACUUUAUUGAUUUGCAGGCCAUCGGCAUUUUCAUCAAGUCCACGGCGCAACGCUGAAAUCCUGGAAGUUGACAAGAUGCAAAUCUUGGUUCUGUAGUGGCAAGUUAGUUGAUUAAGUGUAGAAAUCAUUGUGGCUUGAUCAAUUUAAGUGCGCUUUAAGGCAAAGGAAAGCUUGACGAUCUUGGAUGAUUUGAAAAAUACUGCAGAAAAAUAAUUAUAUCGAGUGCUUUGGAUCUCUAAAAUUCUUAUGAACUUUCUGUAAAAUUGGUUAUUUCAUAGGAUAGUUCAUAAAAAAUAUAGGAUUUUAAACAUGAGGUCUCUCUCACCUCAUAAGAAUAAUUGCUUUGUGUCUAUCUCUAAUCCCGGUGUUUUGUACGUUUUCCAUCCAAACGGGUUCCUCUGGGUUUUUUUUGUCCCAUAAUCCCAUUCCUUGCACCUGCAUUCCGAUAGAAAUCCAGCAAUUUCUUUUGCUAUGUUUUGCAUGUCCCAUGCCACAAAGAGGGCCGAAUAGGUUCAUACCUGAGGACUAGUAUCUAAGCAGCACCCAAAAGUCAGCUCAGAGUUGUGCCUUGCAUGAUCUAAAGCUUAAAAAGGCUUUUCCAUCGUAUUGCAGCAGCUGUAUGUUGUAACUACCGUAUCACAUUCUUAAAGGGAGAGCCAUACGCGAGGGAGCAUAUGCAUCACCAGAGUAUCCGAACGGGAUAUUUGUUAUUCUCUUUUUAAAGUCAAAACAAGUUUAGGUCGGUAACUUCGUACGUGGUGGCACAUCGUCUCUGUGUUUUUUUCCCCCUGAAAUACAUCGUCUCUAUUAGUUGCAUACAUGUUGGAUGGACACAAUGAAUAACACGGCACCACGUCGGGUGCGAGGGUGCUAGACUAUCGGCAUGCUGAAUUUCUCAUCCUUUUUCCAAUAAGCUACCCUUCCUGCCUAUAAAUUCCACGGCAAUGUCGUCUCCGACAAAAUCGAGCCGAAAGCAGUAGGGUCAAGCUGAGAUCGAUCGAUGGCCGCCGUGAUGAUCUCCUUCAAGGCUAUUGCACUGGUUGCAGCACUCCUCUCCGUGGUGGCCACGUACAGCGCUCACGCCGAACCGAACUACAACGAGACCACCGCCCGCAGAGAAUUGUACUACUCCGUCGGCUCCACCCCCAGCACCACCUGGCGGCCUGCCAGGGCCACCUGGUACGGCCGGCACAACGGCGCCGGCCCUGACAACAACGGUAUGUGCUCGUGGUAAUGCUGCCGUGUUCGUAUCAUCUACGUGCUCUUGUGCUGAUCGAUACGAUACGAUACGAUCUGCAGGUGGCGGGUGUGGGUACAGCAACACGAACCUGUACCCGUUCAAUUCCAUGACGACCUGCGGCAACCAGCCCCUGUUCUUGGACGGCAAGGGCUGCGGCGCAUGCUACCAGGUGCGAGCAUUAACCUAGCAAUGGACCGCACCCCCGAUCAUUUCGUCAAUUUGCUUGUUGGUCAAAUGCGAUAGGUAGCAGUGGCACAUGUAUGAUGUAUCGAUCUCUUCACGUUCUGUUUUCUCUGCCUACUUCAGAUAAAGUGCACCAGUAAGAACAACCCUGCCUGCUCCGGCGAGCCCAAGCAGGUGAUCAUCACCGACGUAAACUACGACACCAAGAUCGCCCCCUACCACUUCGACCUCAGCGGCACGGCGUUCGGCGCCAUGGCCAAGCCCGGCUAUAACGACAAGCUCCGCAAGGCCGGAAUCAUCGACAUGGAGUUCAGGAGGUCAGUGUAGUGUACUAGUGUGUACCAUUUAGAGUAGCACAUUUCUGACGAUCGUCGUGAGUUGGUUAAUAAUCGUUCUUUGUAACCUGAAGAUGUGAUCUCAUAUAUAUGCGGCGUGCCCACGCAGGGUGCCCUGCAACUACAAGGGCCUGCCGGUGAGGUUCCACGUGAUGGGCGGCUGCAACCCGUUCUACUUCGCGGUGAUCGUGUACUACGCCGGCAGUGACGGCGCCGUGGUGCAGGUGGACCUCAAGGAGGCCAACUCCAACACGUGGAGGCCGCUCUACGAGUCGUGGGGCGCCGUUUGGAGGAUCGACCCCGGCCACCCGCUGAAGGCGCCCCUCUCGCUGCGCGUGCGCAGCGACUCCGGCAAGAUUCUGGUGGCCAACAACGUCAUCCCGCUCAACUGGAGGGGCAACGCCGACUACCGCACCAUCGCCCAGUUCCGCUGAACGCUCGCUGGCAAUGGAUGAUCGCUCAUAUAAUCAUCUCGGUCCGGUUCGUAUUAAGUUGUUAUCGCUAUCUUAUGAUUGCAAAUUGGAAAUAGCUUUUGUUUGUUAUUACAGUCUUUUUGCGAGGUUUCAAAAUUGUUAGUCGUACUUUGCGACUUGGAGAAGUCUUGAUACUUUCUGUCGUUGUGUGCAUUGAGAUCAAUGAGAUGCAUAUAUACGUGGAAUAUAUAGGAGGCAAUGUUAUCCAUUGCUCCGCUAUCACAAGUGUUUACGCGUACCACGCACAGUGUGUAACCGAAUCAUGUUGGUAAAUUUGUACGCGGUGCACCGUGCUCUAUCUUACUCGCAUGUGCGUCGUAUAUGAGAAGCAAGCAGUUACAAGUACUACUGGGAGGAUCGGAGCUGCCUCGAUCCUGACUAAUCAGGUGUUUCAGAUUAUUUUAGUAUAUGCCGAUCUGAAUCUUGAACUUGCAAUUCACUGUCGCUUUUCAGAGCACUACUGCGCGCUUAAACUGCAGUAUAUAGCUCCAGCAUGUUGCUCAACGUGGAAAAACACGAAGGUUUACUAUCCCAAGUUUUUUAUUUUUUUUAAAUCAAGAUACACUUGCAUUUCUCAUAUUCAUCAUCAAAAUUGUGAACUAAAAUGAUCUAAGUACAUUACUCGUUGACAUAAACUGUAACGGUGAAGAAUAAUCAAAUACCAAUUAUACCGGGGCAUGAAAAUCUAAGGCUGCAUUUAGAUGUCAAUAUUGGAGACCUUGGCAUUGAAUUGGUUUCAAUACCAAAUCGGUCAUGAUGUUACAUUGGGCUACAAUUCGAAUUCCAUUGUUUGGAUGACUUUGCAUUGCCUUUUGGAAUCCAUGGAAGCAUCCCAAUUCAUUUCCUGUUUGGAUGUGCAAAAAUGAUGAAAUUGAAAUUUAGUCGACACCCCUUCUCCACCGCACAAUCCUCUACCCAGCCAAGUCCGUCGCGCCUCCCAUUCUUCGCCAGCGAGUCAAGGAGCUCUUGUAACCGCACAUGGAGAGGAGAAGAGCGGCACAUGGCUUGAAGAGACAGAGGGGUCAUGCAUGGGAUAGAGGUGGGAGAUGGAGCCGCGCUACGGAGCUCCUCCUUUUUCCGCUGCUGUGCUCGAGCUUCCCACCCUGGAGCUCCUCCCUUCUGUGCUCGAGCUCCCCAUCGUCCGUGAUGGUGGAGGGAGGUAGGAGAGGGGCAGCGUGGCCCAUCGGGGGAGGGAGGAGGGAGGGCGGCGCAGCCCAUCGGCAGAGGGAGACACAGGAGGAUGGGCAGCCCGCUGAAGAAGGGAGGUAGGAGAGUGUUGGCGCUCGUUAUCUACACACUUUAAGUGCCAUUUAAGUGGUGUUUUAUAUAUAUUUUUAUACUAACCCACCACUUGGCACCUGAAAUAACCCCAUUUUUGCAUAUGCAUUGUAUUUUGGAGGACAUUCUAUUUUUGCAGGAAAUUAGACCUAAAAGUAUAUUUUUGGAUAAAGUCCCAAACGAUCAACAAACCUAUCAAAGAUGAAGGCAAGCAGGCUCAGAAAGAGCCCAGGCCGAUCGGCCUGGUGGAGCCCAAGCCGAUCGGCCAGGGGUCUUCUAGCCUCCUCCGACACUCAUCUUUAGCAAGCACUCCUCCAAGAUUACUUAAGGGCUAAGUUUGUGAAGAUAUGGCAAGGAUCACUUCAGGAUCAAAGAGGAAUCAAAGAGGAUCAAGUGAAGAUUUGGAAAGUUAUUGAAGAUCAAUCUUUUUUCCCGGGCUAUCGACGAGCUAAGUCUACAUGCAUAAAAAGAUAAGGUUCCUAAACAUCAGGGGAGACUUCGCGAUGAAGGUGGGCACGAGACAAUGAAAGGUAGGCCCAGGCCGAUCGGCCUGGACCCCUAGGCCGAUCAGCCUGGGUUGUUCCUUCGCCCGAUUACCUUCCAAUUUCUGCCACGCGCUCUCCAGACUAUAAAUACUUUGAAAAUUCCCCGAGCCCCAGCAUCCAUCCAUCAGAACUUGAUGAAACCAAAGGCAUACACCAAAGGAAGCUGAGAGCCGCUGCAAGUCUUUAGAGUUGUCUAGGAGAUGGCUUAUACCGACUCUAGCCGCCAUGGCCUCCCUGCGCGGUUGUGCCAUUGAGUUCAGGAGAGCCAGUAGUAGAUCUUCGAUGGUAUGUACUCAGAGGUGAUGAUCUAAAUACAUCUAUUUGUUGAUGCUGGAUUUUAGCCAAAAAUCCCAUAAAAUUCAGAGUACGAGACAGUCGGAAUCACAUGCGACGAUGAGAAGCUAGUGUGCAUGCAGAGCCAUGUAUGCAAAAGUGACUUCAUCGGAUUGAGAGGUGAUUAGAACAAAGAAGGCAAGGAUGGUGUCAAGAAGGAAGGCCAGCACGUGCAUGCAAGCAUGAUUAAAAUAACUAGAAGCUCAGAUAUAUUCAUGUGAUGCAAAAUAUUUCCUAAUUGCAUUGGCCGAAACAGAUUCAAGGAGCAAGCUUCAUGAGCAGGAACUCUACAUAAGGAAAAUUAGAGUCUAUGUAUCUUAAUAUUUCCUUUUAUUUAGAUAUUUAGUGUUAGGCAAGUUUGUGUAAGGCUCAACCAGGAGUCAUUAGUCCGGGUAUAAAUAUGUACCCUGGCCAUUGUAAUAAUAAUCAUCAAUCAAUCAAUCAACCUUUCGGCACCACGCCGUCAAAACCCUGGAAGUAGGAGUAGAGUAGUUUCGACGAGUUCCUUUCUACGCACACGGCUACAUCGGCUUUGAUCUUAGGCGAGCUUGUAAGUACCGUCACCUGAUCAUCACAACCUCUAUCAAAACUUUCUAAGUUAAGUCUUGUAUUCUGAUAUUCAGUUGUGUGGCUAGUUAUCGAGUUAUCUUAGAUUACAAGGAGAACUUUCUAGGUUUUGUCCAAUAUUCAGUUGGGUCUUCUACUUACAAUGACAUCAGUUGCCUAGCUGGGUUCUUCUUUUGAAUCUCCCAUAUCCUUAUCAUCCAUUCCUUUCUACCCGAGUAAAUGGUGGACAUCAAGAAGGAAACUAAAGGCAACACCAACAUCCACAAAGCAGAUGCUAUCAUUACCACCACCGUGUGGAUGGAAGCAAGAUGAAGAAAAGAAGACCCUACUCUAGUUACUUGCCACCUUGUUGCUUGCUAUUCUUCCACCUUACUCCGAUGACGACUCCAACAACCAAGAAAGAUGAAGAUUACAGACUCUACACUGCUCAACAACAGAGGCUGAAUGUCUACCAACCUCGGCAACAAUAAUCUUGUUUACCUCAUUCCUUAUUUCUUCUCUCUUCGAAUCUUGGGACGAGAUUCCUUUUAAGGGGGGUAGUUUUGUCACACCCUAAAUUGUUUGAAUUUUAGGAUGUGAUUAGAAAGAAUAAUUAAACAAUGAUUUUCUCAUAAUUUCAAAAAUUUUCCUAACAUUUAUUUUCUUAACAGGUAAUUUAGUAUAGGAAAAACAAUUGGUUGUUUUUCUAAAUUAAAUAAAGUGGCUAUGUGUGUUGCAUUCAUGCUAUUGCAUCUUGGUGUCUCUUGAGUGCAAAAGGUUUUAAAAUGCAUUCAGACAACGAUUAGGUUCUUUUGAGAAUUUUCCAGAUUUUCUUGGAAUUCAUUCUCAUUUUCUUAGAGCUAAAUCCAAUAUUUGGAAUGCUCUAAAUCUUUUUUAACGAGCUCCAUGUAUUUUAUUUGGAUUCCUCGUAUCCCAAAUCCUCUCCAGGAAUUUUCUUGAAUUUUUCAAAGUGUUUGGAGUAUUUUUCAUGAUUUAAUUACGAUUUUAGGAUUUUCUUGAAUUGUUUUUGAAUCCGAAAUUAGAAAAAGGAGGAAAAUAAAAUUGGAUUCCAACUGGCUUAUAAAUACUUUCCGGUGAUAUCCUUGACGUCCUUUUUACAUAGCCGCAAAUCUCACCUCGUUUCGACAACCCUAACUCCCGCAUUUCGAUGCUAAACAUCUGCAUCUCCUAAACUCCGGCGAACUUUUCGGCAAGAACUCCAGCGAGAAAAUCCGGCGAGCUAGUAAGUAUUUGGCUGAAGGUGAGCAUAACAUCACGUUCGUCUCGUGGAGCUCGUUCCAUUUUGCCAUUCAUAUGUGAGAUCGAGCUUCGUUUCCGGUGAGUCCCUCUUCUUUCUCUCUCCCUCCAUCUUUUUGUUCAACCAUGGCCAUGGCCAUGGCCUCCUCCCGAGCUCCCUAUGCACCCGCCCCUGCCUGCCCUGAUGCCACGUGGUGCCCCUGCCCCUGGCCCGUGCCUGCACAUGCCAGUUGCCUUGCGCCCCUUGCCGCGCCCGUCCCGCCACCUCUGCUCGCCCCUGCUGCAGCGCAGCCGCCGCCGCUUGCAGUGCAACCCGCGCCGCCCGGGCACGCACGCCCGUGCCACGUCACCCCCGCCGCCGCGUCGCGCCACCGCCCUGUGCUGCCAAGCUCCACACGCACCCCUUGGCCAGCGCACCGAAGCCCAUCUACCGGCCGUACGCACGGCUUGAACCAGAUUGAUCGAACGGGAGGUUGAAGAUGAGAUGCCCGUUUUGCAUUUGGGCCCUUGGAGAAAUAGGAAAUCCUGAUUGAAAAGUUUGAGUCUUGCUAUUUUUGCGAAAAGGUCCUCAGAAAAGUUAGAUUCUCUUGAUCGAGUUCAGUUUUUGUUUCUUGCGCGUUAGCCCUCGGUUUCUCGCAGUUAUGCCCCUGGAAGUUUCUAAUCCUCACCAGCAAGUCCCUAGAGCUUAGUUAAGCCAUAUCUUUUGCGUUUUAGCUUCGUUUUGAGUGUUUCUUUUGCUUACACGUUCGUCUUAAUGUGUAGAUUAGUUUUGUAUAGCUUUUUAGUACUGUUUGUGAUGAUUGUUGUACUAUUUUUAAUUUAAUUCAUUUGUUUGCUUGUAUGUGCGUGCUCUGGAUGUUUGCUUUGGAUGAUUGUCACGAGUAGAAGAAAUGUGGUUCUAGAGUUUGGAGAACAAGAGCUGAAGAUAAUCUGAGCACCUAUACUUUAGAGAAAAGCAAGUGUGUCCUUAUGCUUUUGUCCCACUAACUAUAUUCAAUAACUUUUGCAUUACUUUGCAUUUAAUAUUGAUGGGUCCUAUUAGGUUUAUCCUAGUCUUUAUGAUCAUUCCUUGUCAAUCUAGGUUUAUCUUUCUGUUGGGUAGCUAUUGUAACGACUCAGGAUCAUCAGUCGAGCUAAUCUUAAGACAAGUUCCCAAAUCUGCAGUUUUAACUAGCCCCGACCCCUGAAACCGAACCAAAACCGCUGGUUCUCUCUAAGUCCAAAAGCUAGUGUUCCUCCAAACUUUGGAGCUGUGGAAGAGCCAGAGUCUGGAAGUUGGACCCACAACCAGAUCCCACGGAUCUCUCGGGUCAAGCGCGCCAGAGCAAGCGUGCGCCCUGCGUCAGAAUCUCUCCGCCGCAUGGCUUAACCUCCCCGAGGAGCCCCGCCUCACCCAGUCGCCGGCCACGACUAGACGGAUCAGCGUGCCUCCUUCCCAAUCGCGCGCAGAAGCGCCCUGCAGACUCUCUGCUUCGCCUUGUCUCGCUCGCAACCUCGCCGGCCGUGCCAGGCGCCCUGUCGCUAUUGCGACUAGAGAUUGGCCGCUGCUGCGCCAGACCGCCUCGCCUCCCGCGCUCAUCAUCUCACCCGGAUCCCCGGCCGCGCGCGCCCCUAUACGAUGCCGUUUUUGCCAACCACGGAUCCAGCAGUGACAGCUCCUUUUCCCGCCUCGCCAGUAGCGUGCCCCGGCAAAGCCGUUGGUCUGCGCCUGCUAGCGUCACCGCUCGCCCUGUCACCUCGCAUGCAGCGCUCUCGCCUGCAGCGCUCUCGCCUGCAGUGCUCCUUCCUUCCUUCCUGUCACAUGCUAGCCGAGUCACCACCCCCAAUCCGCCGCUUGAUGCGACCAGACCCGCGCUCGCCACCACCAAUCCUUUUCUCCAGCAAAACCACGCCUGCAUAAGCCUUGUCUCCAGUGCCCAAUGGCCGAAGACGCUAUCUUCGAAGCUCUGUUCCGCUGCCCAUCGCCGCUCAAUAGCCGCCAUGGCAGCGCACUCCAUCUUUUUCUUCUCGAUCUUCGUGCUGCUCCAACUCUCUCUCUUUCACACAGCUAUAAAAAGGAGUACCAGAGCCCUACCGGAGUUCCCUUCGCCAUCGUUGCCUUGCCACAUCUUCCUCUGUUUCGUGCUCAAGCGCUGCCACCUAAGUUCUUGAGGAACUCUCCUCUCCGCUCAACACCCGCCUUUCCCAACCCACCGGCCGCUUGUCUCCUCCGCACGGUGCUAGAGAUUACUUGUGUCAACAAGAAGCACCACCACCGUCGGAGCACCGCCGGACAUCGCCGCCGCCCAAGCCUUAGCACCUUUCAUCGCUCCGCCUGAGCCUGUUCUUUCCGACCCCAAGACUUCACCAGUAGGCCUAAAGGUAAACUGCUGACCCCCUUCCCGGUUUGCCCAACCCCUUUUUCCGUCUCACCCGACCCUGUCUGGUUCGCCCGGCCCCUUUUUCUAUCUCGCCCGACCCUGUCUCGUUCGCCCGACCCCUUUUUCCAUCUCGCCCGACCCUGUCUGUUUCGCCGACCCUUAUCCGCCUCGCCCGAGGGCUCGGUUGUAUCUUUUUCUUUGACCCAAACGUAUCUGUGUAAAAUUCGGGGACUUCUCUGUGAUAAGUUUGAGGACCCCAGUACAGUAUUCCUUAGGUCAGAGGGUCAGAUCAUAAGUUUCUCCCAAUCCGACCCUUUGUCUUGUUCUCUAUCAACUGAAGCUUGAACCUCCACACUUUUUCCGUAGCUUGCUACAAGUUUCUGGGCUAAAGCUUGCAAGUGUUGUUAAAAUAACCGUCUAAGUGUUAACUCCUGCAUUGUAUUCGUGUAGAACUAAAUCUCGCCGACGGUACAUACGAGCUGCAUCCGGUGCCAGAAGACGAAGCAGUAGCUGAGCCGCCAACCGCAGGAGCUGAAGCAGAACCCUUAGAGGACCCGUUCGCCUCCACCCCGCUCGAAGGCAAGCCCCAGAGCAUGAACCCAACUUUCUAAACUUACACAUGCCUUCCUUCAUUUGUAUGUGCAUUUACGUAAUAGGAGUUGUUUGAAACCAUAGAUGCAUGACUUAGUUUCCCUUGAUCUAAACACUAGUCUGAUGAGUCCGAGUAGUUGCAUUGCUUAAUAGGACUCGGUAAAAGUCGAGUGAUUUCCUGUCACUCGCGAGUUAUAGGAGUUGGUUAUUCUCCUUCUGGUUACAACUAUAAGGACGAUGGACGGGGCAGGGCCUGGUGAACUCUUUUGGUGGUCGGUGGAUCGCCUGUCUGUCUAUAUGAAAUUGCUUAAGGUCGGAAAGUGAUGGUGUUCGUGAUAAAGUGUUUGAAAGUACUAAUCUCAUACCUAGUAUGGGAUGGGGAAUCCUAGUACCUAAUUGAACUAGGGCGUGGCUUAUACCCCUGCUGUCCCUGGAACGAGGUUCCCAUGGUGCAUCAUGUGGGUGCAAGUGCGGUCACAGUACGACGAGAGGUUGGGACUGUGGAGCAUUGCAUGCCAAGGGAAGUUUGGACCUGACAUGUGCCUGGGAAUUGAUGGGGACGGCCGACACAGGAAGCGACCCUUUGUGGUAUGCGAAUGUCAUGAGAUUAGGUUCACCAUGCAUGGUUAAGAAACUCGAAUCGAUUCGUCUGCCUCUCACAGUUUGAGACUGCUUGAUCUCUAUGCUACACUGAGUAAAGAUGGAACAUGAUGAUGAUAUGAACUCGAUGCUUGUUCUAUACAUUGUUGUUGGAAACUGUGGUUGUUUAGCAUAAGUUGCCAAUGUAGACUGGUUAAUGAACUUAGAAUCUGGGCUAAAAUAUUGAAAGUAAGGACCCACUGUAGUCGAUUUUGGCAAAACAAACCCCUCAGCCAAAGAGCCUUGCAUGUCUAGAUGUUGGUGGAGUAGUUUCCCACUAGCCGGUUAAGUCUUGUUGAGCUUAGAAGCUCAGCCUUGUUUGUGGCUCUCUUUUCAGGUGAAGUUGCAGCUUCUGAGUUUGCUGCUGUUGGCACUUGGCCACCCCAGCUUCCUCCUAGGUGGACGGUCAAGUGGGAUCCCUCCUCAGACGGUGAGGAAAGGGAUCACUGAUGUCCUGAUCGGCCUCAUUAGGGACAUCCGACUCCGGCGCUAGCUUCCGCUAUUUUAUCUUUCCGCUGCUUUUGAAUCUUGUAAAACUAUGAAUUUCGAACCAAUGUUGAAAUAAAUCGUCGAACUUGUUUAACUUGGUUGAUCUGUUGUAUUCUCUGGAACCACUCACCUUCGUGUGGGUUAUGCUAACUCGGUCCUGUUAAGUGGUUAAAUCGGAUGAAAUCCGACGGCACUUCGAGUUAACUUGACUAAGGCAUGAGUGUCGCGUGUCAAGUGGCUUAACCGUGCUUUAAUUAAGUUAAUCCGAGGUGGUUCCGCCACAGCUAUGCUUAGCUGCUAUACUUGGGUUAUGGUUGUUUAAUAAACUUAAUAAUUAAACUUAUUUUAUUUAUGCUAUACCUUUCAUUAAUACAAGAUCACCAUGCAUAAUUGGAACAUGGAGAACCACCCAGGAAAACAGUGCAACCACAAGGCUAUAUGGCUCUGGCUUGGCUAAUUAAUUAGAAACACUAGUUUGGGGUGGCCUUACCGAAAGGGCAAGAGGGGUUGCAUCGUUGAGGUAUAGCCCGGUCCUCUUGAGUGGUAUGCUUGGCUAAGGUACUGCACUCACUAGGGAGGGUUAUGCUCUGAUUUGACUUAAAACCUUAGCGGGCUACUUUUUAUUAGGGAAUCUUUGUAAAGGCCUCGUAGUGGAUCCCAAGCCACUCACCUUGGAAGUGUUUAAGAGGCUAGCUACCUCGGGCAACAUGGGAAACACGACUUAUGGGUAAAGAUGUACAACCUUUGUAGAGUGUCUAAAAUUGAUCGAUCAGUCGUGCUCACGGUCAAGAGCAGCUUGGACCCUCGCAUGAUUAAUCUAUCGGAAGUUGAAUUGAAUUAUUGUUAUUUAUUGAUAUUAUCUUUAUUUAUGUUUAUGUUAAUUGUGGGUUGGUGAAAAUGCUAAAUGCAGUCAACCAGUCAGCCUUUCCUUGUUUAAGCCUUGCAUUCAUAUUUUCUCACUUGCUGAGUACGACAUGUGCUCACCCUUGCUAUAACCAAUGUUGCUCAAAAGAAAAAGCUGCUAUGAAGUUGUUACGAAGAUGGUGCUGAGUUCUAGGCAUACGCCACCCCCAUUCGAUUCCAUGUGAAGUUUGGAGUCUCCGUUUCUAGGAUUAAGUGUAUAUCUCUAAUAGACUCUUUUUCUUUACAUGAUACUGUUACUUCUAUUUACUUGUGAUGUCACUAUAUGUAUGAAACUAGAUCCUGGCAUACAUAUAGGUAGCACUUGGUUUUGUUUUAAAAUUGGGUGUGACAUAUACUUACCCCCUUCCAACUAAAACCUAAGCAGCUCACCAAGAUCUAAAACUUGCAGAUGGCACCCAUAAGAUCUGCAAGGAUUCAAGAGCGUUAAGAGCCAGAACAACAUGAUGAAUCUCAGAAUGAGAGUGUCCAUGAAAGGUCGGCACUUAGAAGACAUAGAAAUCCUCACCCUAACCUAGAAGAUGAGGAACAACUUGGGGUAGAAGCCAUGGAUAACUCAGAAGGAGAAAAAGAAGUCCACAACCCACCUCCACCACCUGAGAAUGAUCUAGUAGCCAUCAUGGCAAAUCAAACCUGCCUGAUGGAGCAAUAGCUCAAGGAGUAGUACACAAUCAAAACCCCAGACAAGGCAAUGGUUAUGGACAGCCCAGGAAAAUCAUAGAAUUCCUCUAAACCAACCCACCCACUUUUGACAGCUCUGAUGAGCCAUUAGAAGCUGAUGAUUGGUUAAAGACCAUCACCAAGAAGCUGGAUGCAGUUCAUGCAGAAGAAGGGACAGAAUAAUGUUAGCAACACAUCAGUUGCAAGGAUUGGCAAGUGAUUGGUGGGAUAAUUACUGAAUGGUAGGAAAUGAUGCUGAGAUAAUCACCUGGGAAGAAUUUCAGGAUGAAUUCAGAAGAUAUCAUAUCCCUAAGGGAGCUAUGGACAGAAAGGAAUAUGAGUUUAGGGCCCUUAAGCAAGGAGCCAUGACAAUUCCCCAAUACCAUCGGAAGUUCAUGAAAUUAGCUCGAUGCCCCUGAUGAUGUUAACAUAGAUAAGAAGAAGAAGAGCCGCUUUAAGGAAGGGCUAAAUAACCUAUACCGCUAGCAAAUUACCCCACAUAUCUAUCAAGACUUCAACACCCUAAUCAACCAAACUAUCCUAGCUGAAACUGCCCGUGAUGAAGAAGAUGGAAAGCAUAGGUAUAUGGCCUGCCACACCCAGCAGCAAGGAAGAACCCCCAGAACAUAAAACUUUGCCACCCAAAGCAACCUAUUUACCCUAAAUAAUCCCAUAAAAAGCCAGCCACUCCGCAACAUUACACCACAACUCGCAACACCUGCUCGCAGCCAAGCAAUUACACAACCCCCAAAAAGCAACGCUAGUGCCUCUGCCAUGAGUGAUAAAACUUGCUUUCAUUGCCACGAACCAGGACACUUCAUAGCCAACUGCCCUUAAAAGCCAAAGGAGUUGCACCAGCAGCUUCCGUCGGAAGCUCCCGUCCUGCUGCCUCAGGAGUUGGCUGUAAUGGCCACAAGCCUUCGGCCAGCAGCAAAGUAAGCCCAUCCAAUCCUACACCCAAGAACACCUAAACCACCUGAACACCGAAGAAGCCCAAGCCGCGCCAGAUGUUGUGCUUGGUAAGUUCCCAAUCGACUCCACCCCAGCAACUAUAUUGCUUGAUUCUGGAGCAUCGCAUACCUUCAUAUCCACAAAAUUUGUUAAAGAAAACUAGUUACCCACCAUCCAUCUAGGAAAACCCAUCCUAGCAAAAACUCUUGGAGCCAAAAUUCCUUUCCAACUUCAAAGUCUAGAGGUUAAAAUCAUUUUAAGUGGGGUAGAAUUUACCACCAACCCAAUAGUACUAAACUCUGGAGGAAUAGAUUUGAUACUUGGUAUGGACUGGUUGAAGAAGCAUAAGAGACAGGUUGACUGUGGAAAAGGAAAGAUCACUUUGACCAACACAGAUGGGCAAGUUGUAGAAUGCCAAACUCAGUUCAGGCACAUAGCCCCCAUGAUAUGUGCCAUGGAAGUCACCACCUUGGAUCAAGUGCCUGUAGUAAGGGAAUACCUAGAUGUGUUUCUGGAGGAAUUACCAGGGCCACCACCAGAUAGAGAUGUAGAAUUCAUUAUUGACCUUAUCCCUAGAACAACACCUAUAGCAAAAAGGCCCUAUAGAAUGGCAGUAAAUGAGUUAGCAGAAUUAAAGAAGCGGCUUAAGGAGUUAUUAGCAAAGGAAUUCAUUAGACCAAGCUCAUCACCUUAGGGAUCACAUGUGUUAUUUGUCAAGAAGAAAGAUGGAACCCCAAGAAUGUGCAUAGAUUAUAGAUCUCUGAAUGAUGUGACCAUCAAGAAUAAGUACCCACUGCCUAGAAUAGAUGACCUGUUUGAUCAGUUGAAGGAGCAUAGUAUUUCUCCAAGAUAGACUUAAGGUUUGGAUAGUAUCAGUUGAAGGUCCGGUGGGAUGAUAAACCCAAGACAGCAUUUGUAACAAGAUACGGAAAAUAUGAGUAUAAGGUUAUGCCCUUUGGAUUGACCAAUGCCCUAGCAUAUUUUAUGAACCUAAUGAACAAGGUGUUCAUGAAGGAAUUGGAUAAGUUCAUAGUAUUCAUAGAUGACAUCUUGAUCUACUUCAAGAUGGCUGAAGAACAUGAAAGAUACCUAAGACUGGUGCUAGAAAGAUUAAGAGCCCAUAGAUUAUACACCAAAUUCAGUAAUUGUGAAUUUUGGCUAGAGCAAGUUGCAUUCUUAGGACAUGUCAUCACCCAAGCAGGAGUAGCAGUGGACCUAGCUAAAGUUGAAGCAGUACUAAAUUGGCAACAACCGUGGAACAUAAUAGAGGUUAGAAGUUUUCUUGGAUUAGCUGGUUAUUACCAAAGAUUCAUUGAAGGAUUUUCAAAGGUAGCUAAGCCCAUGACAGAAUUGACCAAGAAUGGAAAAGUGUUUAAGUGGAUACCGGCAUGUGAGGAAAGUUUCCAUCAGCUUAAGAAGAAAAUGACUUCAGCCCCCAGUAUUGGCCCUCCUAGACAUUCAUCAAGACUUCGUGAUUUAUUGUAAUGCUUCACGAAGAGGUCUGGGUAGUGUGCUCAUGCUUCUAGGCAGUUAAGAACUCACGAAGCCAAUUAUCCAACCCAUGACCUGGAGUUAUCCUCAGUUGUUCAUGCUCUAAAUAUUUGGAGACACUAUUUAAUUGGAAACAAUUGUGAAGUUUAUACCGACCAUAAGAGCCUGAAGUACAUAUUCACUCAGAAAGAUCUGAAUCUUAGGCAAAGAAGAUGGUUGGAGCUGAUCAAGGAUUAUAAUUUGGAACUAAGAUAUCACCCGAGCAAAGACAAUAUAGUUGCAGAUGCGCUAAGCAGAAAGACAAUAUAUAUUGGAAGAGUAGAGGAAUUGAGAAAGGAAAUGCAAGCUAUGCACUUGCAUAUUGUAAUAUUCCAAAAAAUUUGUAAUAUUUAUUUGAGUGAAAUUUGCAAAAAUUUAAAACUUUUUUAUUUAUAUUGUGUUCUUGUUUGCAAAUGACAGUCAAUUCCCUUCUCAUCCCCAAAAUUCCAUUUUUAAAAACUUGUGUGGAUUGAGUUGGAUCUUUUUGGAUUUUAUUUGGACCUCAUGUUUGAGUGUUUGUUUGAAUUUUGAAUCUAAUUCAAAAUUCAAAAUAAAACUAAAUCUAAACCUAUAUCUAAAAAUAAACAAACCUAAUCUAACCUAACCACGCCGACCGCAGCCCACCAGCCUGGCCCACUAACUUCCCCGCCUUGCUCACCUCGCCUUCGACCUAGCCCACACGUGCUGGCACCGCUGCCGCCCUGCUCCAGCCCAGCUUGGCUGCUGCCUAGCCCAGCAGGCCACCAACCCGCCAACUAGCCAACCAGCCCAGCCCGCUCUCCCUCUCUUUCUCUCGCUACCGCCUGAGCCCACCCAUCAGCCCACCGCUCCUGUGCUUCUUCAACUCCCAUCUGUACCCCUCACGCGCACCUCGCUGUCCACGCUGGAGCGCACUACCUCGCUCGCCCGCGCACCCAUGACCUUGCCUGCGCCCACCGCUUUUGCGCUGGCGGACUCAUAUGGCCGCCACGCCGCCCGCGCUAUGCGCCGCCGCAUCGUGGCCGCCCACGCCGCCGGCGCCGCGCCUCCAAAUCCUAGCACGCAGCCGCGCCCUUCCUCCGGAACCCUAGCCACCUCUCCGCUAUAAAUAGGAUCCCCUGGCCCCCUUCCUCACCAUCCAAAGCAACCAAGGCUCCUUCUCAUCAUCGCCACCCAAGGAGGGAGAAAGGAAGGAGGAGAGGAAAGAAGGAGGAGGAAGGGAAGGCGGAGGAGAAGAAGAAGAGAAGGAGAAGAAGGGGAGCCACCCGAGGAAGGAACCGGAGUCACUGUCGUUCGCCAUCAGCGCUGCGCACCCCUUCAACCUCUCCCCACUUUGAGCACCACGACCUUUCCCUUUCCCAUAUCGUGCUGCCUGACCUUCGAGCCGCUACCUGCCGUCAUUUGUAAGAGUCCCGCCUCGUCUCGCUGUGGGCCACUGCAGGCCUGGGCUACCGGGACCUCGCACGCUGUAGCGGCUGUGCCGCGGCCAGGGGGCAACCUCGGGACCAUCCGCGCACUCGCACUGCGCCGCGCUACGCGCCGUCGGGCGCGAGGCCGGGGCCAAGCGCUGGCCGGUUGCCGCAUGCACGCGCCGCGCGCCACGCACGGGCAGCGCCGUAGCGCGACGUCAUGGGUGCGGUCACCACCACUUAGGCCCCACGACGUCGCGCCGCGCUGCGCCGCCGCGGGCCACGUAGAUAAAGCGCGUCAUGUAGCUGCCACUUGGCCCUGGCGUGUCCAAAGGCCCGAGCCCACAUGUGGGGCCUACUAACAGUCUAACAGGUGACCCGUGGGGCCCACUGACCGGUGGGACCCAGUUGACCGUUGACUAGUUAACGCUGAUGUCAACAUGAUGUCAGCGGACACAUGGCACAAACGUGUGCUGCCACAUGGCCCAAUCAGAUGUGUCACUUUAAAUGUUUUAUGGAAUUAUUUAAAUGAUUAAAUAAAUCUUUUAAUCUUUAAAAAUUCAUAACUAAUUUAUUUUAAUUCGGAAAAAUAUGAAACCAGUUGCAUUAAAUUUGUAAAAUUGAGCCCAUGCUAUUUGUAUCUAGUUUGGUGUUAUUUGGAUAUUCUAAAUUUGGAUUUCUUGGAGUUUUUACCUACAUGUAAUGUUGUGUAAUUUACUUUACGUUGUAUCUCAUUCUGUUCAGACCCGAGCUACGACCCGAAAGACCUUCAAGACCCUGACUACACCGAGAAAGAUCCCAACGACUAUGGACAAGGUGUCAUGUCACUCUCAAUCAUAUAGAUCCUAUGCAUGCUUAGUUGCUAGCGCUUUAUUUAUGAUGCAUGAUGAUGAUGGAUUGCAUAGCCAAUAUUUUUAGCCAUGCCUUGAUAAUUGUUUAUCCUAUUUUCCUUUUUUACCUAUUUUUGUGGACUAGCUACUGGCACCUAGCUAGUCCACCGCUCAUAUAUCCAUAUACAUACUUUUGAGUUAUGGAAGGGAAUAUGCCAUGGUUUUCGUGAUGGGAUUCCUUGAACACUCUCGCGGUGUUUUGGGUGAGUGUGACUCCUUGAUGUGUUCUUAGCGGGAGCGAGCCAUGCUUGGUACUGAGGAGUGCCUUGCCGGGAGAGAGCUUUCUGGACUCUCUCUAUACCCUGUACCUGUGCUGGGUACCUUGUUUGUUACUGAGGAGCAGGUGGUGUACUUGUACGUUGCAGGUGCUUCGGCACAUACUUGUUAGUAGAGUGCUCACUCUCAGCCGCUUAAGGACCGAGUCAUUUUACCACCAGUCACAGCAGCUAUUAUACGCACUUAUGCUCGCUUACGUUAUGGGUGGGGUUUGGUCUGAGACUAGUGGUGGAUAGUGCUCUGCCUGUAGGCAGAUUGGAGGAUCAUGUAAGGAGUUCAAGGUGAUGGCUUGCUCUGACCAGACUGCACCCCAGUGUGGGUAGGUUUCAUAGCUUCGAGGUCCUCACUGGUGAUGGCGUGCCCUACAGGUGAGGAUGGUUCUAGACUCGAGGAAAUAGGAGAGAGCUAUCCACCUACUAGGGCUCUGGAUGUUAGGUGGGAUUUGGACGGAUUGCUACCGUUCAGGCUCGAUCCAUGCGGGUACAGUUGUACAAUCUCUAUAAAGUGUAUAAAGCUAUAGCUGUAGUCCGUGUCCACUGGUUAUGGACAGUGCUGUUGACUACCGCUACUUCUGACUAGCCUUUUCCUAUUCUUCUACCUUGAGAUAGGAUGGCGUUUGCUGUUGAGAUGUGAGGGUAGGGAGCUCUCACAUCGCCUAGUGUGUUUGGGUGCUGGACCCUUGGGUGAAGGAUCCAAUGAUUUGUGCCGACUUCCUUGUUUGAGGUGUUGACCUCGGAGUUGAUGUUGCUUUACUACUUCCUUGAUUGUUGCUGUUGUUGCUGCUGCAUAAACCUACACAACCAUAUAUAGGUUUUACUCAUGCAUAUAGUAUAAUUCCCCCGUUUCCUUAGCUUGCUUCUUUUGGGAGUUGACAUGGCCUACCCACUUCUCGGGUAGAUGGUGGCUUUUCAAGGUCGGAGCCCGACUAUGACUACAACAACGAUGGAUGGGAAGACUAGGGAUGGUUCUUCGCUAGAGUCGUCUCUGGAGAUGGAGUUUGCCAUAGCUUUUGUUUCCGCUACGUAGAUGUUUUACCUUUCUUGAUUCCGUCCUGAUGGACUUGUACCGGCAUGUGCCGAAGAGAUGUACUCGCUACUCAUGUUAUUUAUGAUAUUUGUACUCUGUUGUUGCUUUAUAUUUCUGUGUUGGUAUGGAUUUGUACUAACUGAGACAGGAAUUCGCACUUGAUAGCCUUCCUAGGACUAUCACCGAGAUGCGUAUGCUUGAAUUCUCAAAAAUGGGAAUUCAGGUCCGUUUCAUAUAUGAUACCCCUUGGAUACCUCACCAACAUACACAUUCAACCUAUGCUUGAGCCCCAGGUCCAAGAAGCCCAGAAACAAAGUAAGGAGAUAAUGCUACUCCAAGAUUCCAUAGGAUUAGGAAAAGGACCUGAGUUUAGAAUUGACAAGAAUGGGACCUUGUAUUUCCGGAAUCAAAUUUGUGUGCCACCACAAAAUGAUUUACGGAAGACCAUCCUAGAAGAAGCCCACAACUCAGCCUAUUCCAUACACCCCAGCUCCACUAAAAUGUAUCAAGACUUGAAGGAAUCAUAUUGGUGGCCAGGGAUGAAAAGGUACAUAGAAGAAUUUGUAGCUAAUUGCCACCUAUGCAAGAGUAUCAAAGCAGAGCAUCAGAGGCCAGCUGGAUUAUUGCAACCUUUGCCAAUUCCCGAGUGGAAAUGGGAAGAAAUCAGCAUGGAUUUCAUAGUACGUCUACCUAAAACUUCAAAAGGAAAUGAUUCCAUAUGGGUCAUUGUUGACCGAUUGACCAAAGUAGCUCAUCUCAUCCCAGUUAAUGCCAAUUAUGGAGGUGAUAAACUAGCAUGGUAAUACAUAGAUAAUAUCCUCAGGUUACAAGGAAUACCCAAAAGGAUUGUGUCAGACAGAAGCCCACGGUUCACCUCAAAAUUUUGGAAAAGCUUGCAUAAAAGCUUAGGGUCAACCUUGGACUAUAGCUCUGCCUACCACCCUCAAAUAGACGGCCAAACAGAAAGAGUUAAUCAAUUGUUGGAGGACAUGAUUAGAGCCUAUGUUCUGACUUAUGGAAAGAACUGGGAAGAUAGUUUGGCUUUUGCCGAGUUCUCCUACAACAAUAGUUAUCAGGCUAGCCUGCACAUGGUACCCUUUGAAGCACUAUAUGGCAAGAAGUGUACGACCCCUUUGAUGUGGUCAGAAGUUGAAGAAAAGUCACUGUUUGGACCAGCUAUUAUCAAGGACGCAAAGGAAAAGACAAGACAAGUGAGGGAGAACCUGAAGGUAGCCCAGAGUUGGCAAAAAAGUUAUGCUAACACCCGAAGAAGGGAAUUGGAAUUUGAGGCAGAUGAUCAUGUAUACUUGAAGGUAGCACCAAUCAGAGGCACUAGAAGAUUUCAGAUCCAUGGCAAGCUGGCAUCACGGUAUAUUGGGCCUUAUAGGAUAAUCAAAAGGAUAGGAAAGGUAGCCAAUCUUUUGGAUCUGCCAGAUGAAUUAAGAGAUGUACACCCAGUAUUCCAUGUGUCUCAACUCAAGAAAUGCCUAAGAAUACCAGAAGAACAGACCCCUUGGAAGUAAUGGAUCUACAACCCAACCUACAGUACCAAGAAAGACCAAUACGCAUCUUGGAUACAGCGGUACGACACACAAGAAGGACUGCAGCAAGGUUCUGUACAAUACAACGGAGCAAUCACACAGAAGCAGAAGCCACCUGGGAAAGAGAAGAAAACCUUAGGAAAGAAUUCCGCUACCUAUUCGAAAGCCCAGUCAAAUCUCAAGGAUGAUAUUCAUUUUAAGUGAGGUAGGUCUGUAACAUCCCAAUUUUACAUGCAUUUAAAAAAUAUGGACCCCAAAAAUUUUGUAUCAUAAAAUUCAUAUAGCAAAUCAAACCUUAGUACCUUGCAUUUGGAAUUAUGCAUCAAAAUAAAAUUUUCAUGACCGCAUGAGCAUAUGUUUGAGCUAACCACCUAACCCUAUCCCCCAAAUAUUCCAUCUUUCUAGUACCUCCAAACCCACACACCAAACCCAACUCAAAUUUGAAACCCAUUUCAAAUUUGAACUUCAAACCAAACUCAAACAAAUAGAAAAGCACCACAAACUAAAUCUGGGCCAACAACUAUGUUCUCAGCCCAAACUCCACAACCAGCCCGGCCUGCCUCUGUCUCCUCACGCACGCGGCCUAGUAGGCCGGCCCAGCUCUCCGACCUAGCCCACCAAGCGUGAGACGUCAGCCUGACGUCACCAUCUUACUCCCUAGUUCUUCCCCCUUCCCCCUCUCCGUCCGCGACACCACCGCCGCUGCCUGCCACCACGUCGCCUCCACCCACUCCCACUGUUCCCUGAUGAGUGCGCCGCCAUCGCCCGUACUCCCACCAUCGCCUGCACCUGUCAGAGAUCCCCCUCCGGCUCAAGAACCCGGCCACCCCUAUCCACUCACCCGCGCUCCAGAGGCCACCGGCAAGCUCAUGCUGAUCUCCUCCACCCCCACCUGAUACACCCUCCCCCCCGGCAGGCGCACCACAUGUGCUAGCACCAGGCGCACCCACGACCGCACUCUCCCCCUGCCAACACUCCCUCCUUGACCCUAUUCCUCUCCCGUUAGACGUGCCACACGCCACCGUGCCAUUGACGGCCGGCCGGCCUGGUACAGGACCACCUCGGCCUGCCCGAGCUCCCGAGCCCCGGCCCUCCGCCGAGCUAUAAAUAGCCCCUCCCUCCACUCCUUAUUUUCUCACACCUACCCUUUCCCUCUCCAUCCCACACUGGCUCGCCGGAGUAAGACCAUGCUGCAUCGCCCCCACCCACCGCCGUGCUCUAUCCCCUAGAACCAGGCCGGGUCGAAGUCAGGGUCACCUCGCAGCAUCAGCCCCCUUCCCGGUGUUGUAGUGCUGCGCUACCGGCCGCUCUUCGCCAGCCACACCCUGUUGCCCGCUCGCCGCUGGCUGGUCCUGGCUGCUGCACCGCCCACUGGAAACACCCAGGUAGGGCUGUUAUGCUGCCUAAAUGCUUAUUUGAGCUUCACACUCUCUCCAGCCCCUCUCUCGUUCUUUCCCCGCGCCGCCACAUAAUGUUGGCAAGCUCUAGGCUCGCUGCUGAUCGCCACCCAUCGUCCACACCACCCUCCACUGGUUCGCUGUGCCCUGCACCAUCACCACAACCACCUCUUGCCCUACCCCGAGCUCUCCUCUACCCAGCGCAGCUCACUCCGGCAAGGGGCUCUGCCCCGGACGGCGCCGCCUCGGCCUCCACUCCCUGCACCUUGCUCUCAUAGACCAAAGACACCAACCCCCCUCUCGAUCCACACACACAAACACACACCACGGGCGCACCACGUGGCCCGCCGCAUGGACCACGUUAGCUGCCACGUAGGCCCAUGCGCCGUAUCACCCUCUACCCCGCCUGUCAGCCCCUCUCCACUCUCCCCUUUGCUUUGCUACGGCCACUAGAGCAAAUGCACACCAACACUUGCAAACCUUAGCUAAAAAUUCCCAAAAAUCACCAAAAAUACUAGAGUCCAUUUCAAACCUAACCAUACCUUAUUUGUCCAAAUAUCACAUCCAUAACCCCUAUAAUUAAAUCCUCCUUCUCCUCAAUUAAUGAAAAACCCUAUAUUUCAUGUGGCUAAAAUAGGAAAAACAUCCCAAAUUAAUCCUAGAAAAUUCGAGGAAAUUCUCUAAGCCCUCUAAACCUCAAUUCUACUCUUUUAACCUAUGUUUGGUGUAUUGCUUUGAUUGCUUGCUUGAUUACUUAUGAAUAACUAUGAUUAUGUAGAAAUGACGACACCAAUAAUGCGUUCAACGACCCAGAUUACGAAGAAGAAACUCUGAACGACCCGGACUACGAGGAAGGCAAGUCCCACAGAUCAUCAUCAUAUUUUGAUCCCAAGUACUUAUAAAUAAAAUAAAUCUAGAUAAUACUGGAUCACCUACUUUCCUUUAUUUCUUUUCAUAGCUAAUCCUAAUAAUUUGGAGCCCUCCUUGAUAUCAUGAACCCAAUAUAUAUUAGGUCCUACCAUGAUACACAAAUCCUAAGGAAGAGUGAGAGUACCUUUAAAAGUAGCAUAAGAGCAACUAAAGUGAGUCUAGCAACCAGUUAAGGUUGGACCCGCGAGUAACAGGGUAGCCUCAUCAGAGGAUCCAAUCCUAAAAAGCCUACUCUGGUCAUACGAGGACCGGCUCAUGGGAAAGUCUUUCUAGUGGACAGUUUAGCCGCACGUGCCAAAAAGGUACAGCCUUCCUGAGUGCCUAAACAUGUGAGGCCUUGAUUCACACCCCACCAACUAUACCUAAUAAAUUGUCCCAAGGGGCCACGAUGGGCAACAGAUAGACUGGAGCAGGACCUUCGCAGAGUCCCAGGUAUGGUCAGCAUGGGUCACGACUUGAGGUCUGGAGGACCUGUUGACAUUGUAUGUCAAGUUAUGAUGCAUCUUUCCCUGGGAUUGAGUCCACGAGUGGACAUAGUGUGACCCCUGUUUAGACCCUAGCCGUGUCUGUGGACGGAGUUAGGGAAUGUUGUCUAGGAAUAGACACGGGUAGGUAUGGGUUUCGUAGGUCAGUACCGCCUCCGUACAAGGUAUGGAUUGAUCGAACGUGCAGGUAAAGUGUACACCUUUGCGCAGAGUUAUAAAACUAUUCGAAUAGCCGACGCUCUCGGUCAAGAUCUCAUAGAGUUAAAGCUCCUAUUGAUUAGUCAUAACCCGCUCUAUGAAAAGAGUGAGGUCCAGGCUCAUCCUAAGAUGUGUCUAGAAAUGAGGCAAAAGUCGGCUCAGGUAAUCCCUGACGGAUCCUGAUGCUCUUAAAACUUCAGGACUAGUAGGGAGGUAGAUUCCCCUCCAGGACCAACAACUUAUAAAUACCUGCAUUCCAUUCUCUUUCAAUUUACAACUGUAUACACUAUGCAUAUUGUUAGCCUUCAGGUAUAUUUCAAACUAGCAGCUAUUCCUUGAGAACCUACAUGAAAUAAUACAGCAAAUGUGGGAUUUGCUGAGUACCCAUUGUAUGGUGCACACCCUUGCUUCCUCUUCCUUUUUUUCUUCAGAGGAAGAGGUUGUUGGUGAGGAAGAUGAGAACCUUGAGGAUCUGCCCUAGGAGCCAAGCCACCUGUAGGCUUGGGACUGCUACGUAGGACUCUGCUGACGCUCAUUAUUGACACACUUUUAGUGCCAUUGAAGUGGUGUUUCCAUACAUAUUCUUAUACUAAUCUGCCACUUGGCACCUGAAAUAACCCCAUUUUUGCAUAUGCAUUGUAUUUUGGAGGACAUUCUAUUUUUGCAGGAAAUUGGACCUAAAAGUAUAUUUUUGGAUAAAGCUCCAAAUGAGCACCUGUCAAAGACGAAGGCCAGCAGGCUCAGAAAGAGCCCAGGCCGAUCGGCUUGGUGAAGACCAAGAUGAUCGGCCAAGGGUCUUCUGGCCUCCUCCGAUGCUCAUUUUUGGCAAGCACUCCUCCAAGAUUACUUCAGGGCUAUGUUUGUGAAGAUAUGGCAAGGAUCACUUUAGGAUCAAAGAUGAAUCAAAGAGGAUCAAGCGGAGAUUUGGAAAGUUAUCAAAGAUCAAUCUCAUUCCGAAGCUAUCGACGUGCCAGGCCCACAUGCAUACAAAAAUAAGCUUCCAGAACAUCAGAGGAGACUUGACGACGAAGUUGGGCAUGAGGGGAUAAAAGGAAGGGCCAGGCCAAUCGGCCUAGGGCUUUCCUUGCUCCUCUCACCUUCAGCCACGAGCUCUCCAGACUGUAAAUACUCUGAUAUUUCAUCGAGCACGGAGAUCCAUCCACCAGAACUUGACAAAUAGAGGGACACACACUAGAGGGAGUUGGGGGCCACUACAAGUCUUCAAGGUUGUCUAGAAGAUGGCUUAGGCUAGACCCUAGCCGCCAUGGUCAUCCCCGUGCGGUGAAGCCAUGGUGGAGUUCUGGAGCCGAGCCUUGUGAUCAUCAAGGCUUAUGUACACACGAUGGUGAUAUCAAUCUAAUCUUGUGCUUACUUUGAUCUACUAUGAUGCAUUAUUAUUCUCAUAUGUUUAGCUAGCAUAUGUUCUUAGUAGGAAUAGAUGUAAUUGUGGUGAUUAGCCUAUGUCUUGUUGAUACAUCUUAGUAGUGCGUAGGAAGUCAGUUUGAUUACCUUCGUGUGGUGACAACAUGUGGGAACGGAAAGCCCGGACGAUUGCGUAAUGUUGAGUAGGAUCGAUGGCGAGUAUUGUGAGAGUUUUUUGAGGUAAAGCUUUGGGAAAUCGGAGGUUUCAACACACUCCUCGUAGUGGCAACCACAAGAAAGUAGGCCGCUUGCGAGUCGUCUUUCUGAGUGAUGACUCUUUAUCAAGGUGUUGCAUAGAUUGGUUACCACUUUGGCUGGAACUACAACAAGAAGAUAAUAGGCUCAUGCUACCUUCGGUUAUGUUACCUCAUAUAUAUGGAUGUGAUCUUUUUACCCUGUCUAUAAUACUUCUCACGAUUGGGUUUACCUUUAUAUGCAAUUCGUGCUUCAUGAUACGAUUAGAUCCGUUUAGCUAGAUAGAGAACCCUAGUUAAUUCGCUGCCAAUCCACGGAUUGAUAAACCUUGGAUGGAGUACUCUAAGGGAAAAGCUACGAUGAUCCGUGCGCUUGCGGUUCACAACUUGGCAUAUUAAAUACCGUCAACAAGCUUUUCUGGGGCCGUUGCCGAGGAUCGGCAACUCGAACCCUGGGGCGAUCUAUCUAAUUUUUCGGACUAACCCUAAUUUUUCUAUUGUAUAUAUCUUAUUUUUCCUGUUUGUGUCCUUGAAAGCAGGUAAAUACUAGACGCUAGAUAAUCAAACAUGGACUUCAUCAAAGUCUCAAUUCACUCUGAUAAGGUGAUAACAACAUCAAGCCCAACUCUUUAGCAGUAGGUGCUAACUUUGUUAGUAGCCAAGCAUCUGCUAUCGAGUCCAUACCAAUGAAGACAAUACAAAUGCUUAUAAGCAAAGUAUGCCACAUGUCAAUUAAUUUUUAAGACUAAUACUUUUUGGAGAUUUGUUUGUUCAAGUAACAGGUGUUGGAAGCAACCAUGUCAAGCAAAGAGGAAAAAAUUGGAGGACCUCUCUGCACAGAAGGAGAUGAUUUGGAGUUGAUCAAGACUGGAGGCUCAAGAGCUUCUCCUGUGUGGAUGCUCAAGAGCUUCUAAUUGAGUGAUGCAAUCAAGGAAGAAAACUGCUUAGAUCGUCGACAAAAAUCAUAGGAAUCUCCUCUGAUCCCGGCACCUUGGCUAAAGCAAGAAUUAUGGAGAAGGUGCAUCAUUGCCACCAUGCUACUUGCUGGUGCAGCAAUGGUGAUGACCUUGAAGCCAAAGGAUGUAUGACAUAAUGCCCAACGACCACAGGAUCAAGAUCAUCAACAUCUCCAAAUCAAUUCACGAGAAGCUACUGUUGUCAUUAAGAUUUUUUCUCGACCUCAGAAAAAAAUAAUAGAAUAUUUUUAGAUAUUCAGAAGCCCCAUGAAGUCUAUGUUCCAACAAAUCCAGAAUCAAGGUAAUCGGAGAUUCCUACCAGCAGUUAUGGCCAAAUCAUCAAACAUCGCACGUUCUGAAAUCAGUUUUGGACAGUACGCAGAGCUGAAAUAAAAUGAGCAUAACUCUCUCAAUUGAACUCCAUUUUAGAUGAAUGACCACUCGUUAGAAAGGUAAUUUCAAAAAAAAUUAAUAGAUCUAUAUUUCGGUAUAUGUUCUAUUCUGGACGCAGGGGAAAAUCCACGAAGAAGAGGCAGCAGCAAGCCUAUGAGAACAAGACGGAGGAGAUGAGGAUGACAACAAUGAAGAGGAGCUUGGACAAUGCUUUUAUCAAGCGUACAUGAUCAAAUUCAGAAGAUUAGAACAAAAUAAAAAUCUCUGGAGCAUUGGCACAUGAAGACACAAGCAGGCUACAUCCAAUACAAAGAGGUGUUAGAAGCAAACCCUGAAGGAUUACAAAGAUGACAUCAAGUUGCAUGGGCACUUUGGAUUCACACGCAAAGAACCAUGGCUUCGCAUGAACAUGAUCAAGGUAAGAAGUCUAGCUAUAUGACUAUAACUAAAGCGCUUUGCGGGAAGCAACCCAUCUUUUUAUUUUCUUUAUUAAGAUGACGGUCUAUAUUAUGCUUUUUAAUUGAAACCAUCAAGUAACAUUGUACCAUUGCUCUAACAAAUUCUGCAACCACAUGUUGUAUGCUUUAAAAAAUAUUGAGGCAGCACUUUGUUAUUUGAUCUUGGAAAACUUGUAGACCCUUUUUGCGUGCUUUUAGUGUUUAAAGUAUUUUUCUUUGUGUAUUUUUAGAGACAAAUAUGAAGCAUGGCACCACCCCUUUGAUUCUAAACUUGUGGCUAGUUAAUUUAGGCUAACUUUUAUUUUGUUUUAGACCACCUCCAUAUCAUGUCAUAUCAUUUCAUUUAUCCACCUCAUGUUGCAUUGCAUUUUCAUGUUAUUUUUAUCAAAAUCCUUUUCCACCUAAGCCUUCCUAUCAGCCCAGCUGAAAACCAGAGCCAACAUAGGUUGGAUUAACUUGUAUUGAUCAGCUUGCUGUUCAGAUCGAUCUAAGUUAUUUUUGCCUCUGUUCUAACUACACCCUUACCCAGAGCCAUCCUAAAACCAUAGGUUUUUGCAUUUCAUCCAAAAAAAUAGGCCCUUCCUUUUCUUUUUAUUUUACAAGACCCCCUUAGUUACAAUUUCUAUGCUUGAUUUCUCUCUUCAAAAUUCUUGUUUCAAGCCAAAAAUAUAGGAUACAUAUAAACCUACCCUUAGCCUUGUUAGUUUGAUUGUUGGGGAUUUUCGAUGAAUGAUUUUCUUGUUGACAUUGCUUGACUUCUUAUGAAGUGGCUAGCCAUACUUUGUCAUUCAACUAACUGCGGAACAACAUCGAUAGUCUUUUCAAACUUGCUAGCCUUUGUUUUUCCUAACCCUUUUGAAUGUGCAUUUGCAUUUAUUCCAUCAUUCAUGUGUUAGCUUGACUUUCUCCUAAAAACUUUUAUGAUGAAUGCUUUCAUAUAUAUGUUAAUGCUUCGAGGGCAUUUUUCCCUUGCAAUCUUGUGUAAACAUGGUGUUUAGACUUGGUUGCAGACCAUCAUCAUUCGGUUUAAUAAACCUUGCUAGCUUUUUAUUUUGCAUUGGUUGGUUUAUAAGUUUUGCAAUGCGCUCUAUUUUUCUUAUGCUGAAAGGAGUUAUUGAUCUUUGGAUAAGCAUGGUGUUUGACCAUGAUUAACAAUUUUUUUAUGGCUAUGGAGGAUUUCAGCAACCUAGUUGUAAGCAUGUUGCUUAGAACUUGGUGCAAACAUUGUCUUUGUUUAUGUUCCUACCUAUCAUUUGCAUUCACACUUGCACUCACGUACACUCAUUAGAUUUUUUUUAUUUUACUGGAUUAGCUAUGCUACAAGUUAAAGUCUUAAGGAAGUUGUUGGUUUGUUGGCGAUUGCUUCUACUCCCGACAGUUACCCCAAGAGUAGUAUGUGCACUUGAAUUGUUUUGCAGGCAUGGUGAAGCAUUUUCAUGAAAGGAAAAGAGAAGAAAUUGAAGGACAAUAAAGGCAACAAAAGUGAAGAAGCAUAAAGAUAAGCUCCGGACACGUAGCACAAGGAUUUCAAUGAUCAUAAAAUGCUUCAUCUUCUUCUUCCAUGACUAGCACAAUGCUAAGCGUGGGGGAGGACUUGGCGGAUGAAGAAUACAAGGAUCACGGUCACUAGAAGAUGCUUAUUUUUCUUCUUCCAUGCUAAGCACAAUGCUUAAGCAUGGGGGAGGCUGCCCUACACUUCAUUACAAGCAUCGAAAGGAUGGUAAAUUCUUCCUCAACCUUCUCUUUGUCCAUCUCUUAAUGCCUGUGUAUAUAAGCUCGAUGCAACCUUUGUAUAUCUCUCCCUAUAAUAAUAUGGCUACUAGGAGUACAACCUAGUUUUUGUUACCUUUAAAUCUUGAUCACCAUCACCUUGUGCUCACCACAAUGUUAAUAAUUUUGGUAUAAUUUUUCUUAUGGACAAAUGAUCAAGGUUGCCGCUUUGUUUUACUUACACAAUGUUGUAUAUGACUUGACUAAUUGCACUCUAUUCAAUGAACCUAAAUUGAUUAAAUACCGACUCUUUUAAUUGUGGAGGUUAAAUGACUAAAUUCUAGACCCACAAGCUAUAUGUUGCUCUUUGAUUUAAGUUUUCUAAUGACCUGAUACCUUAAUUUAUUUUUAUUUAAAAUUAAUUCAUAUGCUAUCUACAUUAGUGAAUCUCUUGCAAAAUUCUACCUACCAGAGCCUAUAUACAUGCAUGAUAUUUCAUGAUGAAACCUUUAGAUUGCAAACUUAUAUUUUGAUGGAAAUCCCUAGUCAGUUCGCUGCCGAUCCACGGAUUGAUAAACCUUGGAUGAAAUACUCUAAGGGAAAAGCUACAAUGAUCCGUGCGCUUGCGGUUCAAAACUUGGCAUGUCAACUACUGUCAACAGGGAGCACGACGCGUGCCCGCCGAUGGAGGGAGGAAGAGGAAGGUGGCACAACAUGUCGGUGGAUGGAGGCAAGGGAGGACGGGCGGUCUACUGACGAAGGAAGGUAGGCGAGCAUGACGCGUGCCCGCUGGUAGAGGGCAGGAGAGGAGGGUGUCUUGUCCUAUUGGUGGAGGGAGACAUGGAAGGACGAACGAAGCGCGCCCGCCAGCGGAGGAAGGAAGAGGAGGGUGGCGCAACCCACCGGUGAAGGAAGGUAGGGGAGGACGGCGUGCGCCCACUAGCGGAGGGAGAGAGAGGAUGGCGACGCCUAGCCAUCGGAGGGAGCGAGAGGGCGCGAGAGAGACAGAGAGAUGCGAGGGACGAGGGGAAGACAAUUCAGUGAAUAUAGAGCGGGUUGGCUCGGUAUUGAGGGUAUUGAGGAUGUGGGAGUUAGAGUGACAUGAAUACCGAUUGGUAUUGGCGUUGAAUUCCAAUUCUGGAUUGUAGUGCAUCCAAACAGUCGACAUUUGAAUCUACCAAUGCCAAUUCCGAAUUCUGAGGUUGAAUAUCUACAUCCAAACAUAGUGUAAGAGUAAAUUGUGGGGGUAGUCCAACCUUCCGUCGCGAUUACAUAUCAUCGUUUGAAGAAAUUCCUUCUAAGCCAGAGGCAUUAUUUCAACCCCAAAAAAUUUCAACCUGCACGGAUAUAGAAUACACCAUACACGGGAGGUAAGAUGAUAAUCGUGCUACUCGGGAGGUGAGAGUGUGAUUGGACUGACAACGUGCAUUCGGCCCAAGGCACCCGGAUACGGUACAUACCAAAUUUGGCCCAUGUUUUUUGUUUCUCAUUUUAUUUUUUCCAUCCUUUUUCUUCUCUUUUGUUCAUUUCUGACGCGUUCUUAUUGUUUUCGACAAAACUAAAUUUUCCUAUUUUCUUGGUUUUUUUGUAAUUAUACCUUUUCUUUAUGCUUUUUCAUUUCCAUUUAUUACUUUUUUAUUUCUUCUUUUCUUUUAUUUUUAGUAAUACUAACUUUUCUAUUUUAUACCAACUUUCUUACCAUGUAUUGAUAUUUUAUUUGUAUUUUAAAAUAACUUAUUCGUAAUAUCGACGUAUUUGUUCUUCAUAUAAAACCACUUUUGCAGACUAAUUUGUUUGUUAUGUUAAUUUUUUUGUUUGAUUUAUAGAUUAAAUUGUUUCACUUGUAAGAAUAACUCAUUCGUGAUGUGGACAUAUUUGUUCUUUAUGUAAACCAAUUUUUUCAUGUGUGGAGCCAUUUUGUUUACUUUUAUAGACUAAUUUGUUCGUUAUGUUGCUUUUCUAGAAUAAAUUGUUUGUCUGCGCGAAUAAUAUGUUUUCAAUGUGUACAUGUUUGUUUUUCAUGUCAAACAAUUUAUUCAUGUGUAGAGUAAUUUUAUCUACUUAAAAUAUUUUCAUAUCAUGAAUAAACAGUGCAUAAAUAAUUUGUGGAAAACCAACAAUUAGGUCAAGUUGUGAUAAAUAGUGCGUUGGCAGCAAAUAAGUACACCUGCGGGCUGCUGCCCAAUAUGAACUAAUGAACCUAUUGGAGGAGCAGUAUGCGGCCCGCUUGUGUGCUUCUCAUGCUAUGCAAUCCGCUUGAAAUGCUCAUAUGCUCGCAGCCCGCUAGUGCCCUUCUCCUGCUCGUGGCAUGGUCCUAACCCCCCUCUCCCCGCUGUGUGUGACCCGCUCAAGCUUUAGGUAAUGGGUUUCCAUAUAACUUCAUUUGCUAAAUUCAAAAAAUUUGGAAAUGAAGUGAGUAAAAAUCCAAAACACAAAUUCCUCUUUUCUAUUUUGCAUAUGGAUUACCCGAGACUCGAACCUGGAACUAGUCGAAUGUUAGUGCUUGUAAUGAUGAGUUUAUACAUGAGAUUCAGUUAAGGAGUUAUGUGGAUGUAAAGGUUGCAUGGUUUGAUCACUAUGAGUCCAACACACAAUCUCCUUUGUGUUUGAGAAUUUCAUAGAGUAGCUUGAAUUAGGGGUGCAAUAGGUGCACCUCAGUGUAUCUCCUCUUUAUUUCAAUUUUUCAAAAGAACUAAAGAGGGUCAGUGGAUACCCUUAGGAUCACUAAUUCUCACCUCUAGGUUGGGUAUGAAAUGACUGAGAAUUUGAAGAUAUACUAAUUCUUACAUGGGAAACAACUUUGAAAUGGGUUGAGAAUAAUUGCGAGUGAUAGAGACAUAAAUGUGAUGGUGUACUUUGAUCAUGAUGACAACAUUGCAAGCUUGAACUAGGAUGAUAUUGUAGCCAACCUAAUUGUACAUUUGCCCAAUAUUGUAAACCACACAAGGUGGACAAUGUGCUAAAGAAAGUUAAUGAGAAACUUUCUAAGUUUUACUCUAAUCUAGAAAGUAGCAGUAGAGGCCAGUUGUUGGUGAGAUUCAACAAGAGUUUCAGCGGAUGAAGAAAAUGGUAAUGGCUAGGGAUGGUAGCUUUUAUAAUUUAGACUUUGUGGCCCUGAUUAUGAAUUAGUGGAUGAAAAUAGUGACUAUUUGAAGAUUAUGUUGAUCAAUAUAUAGUUGAUGAUGGCAUAGUUAAUGGAUAGAAGAUAGCAAAGGGCAAGAAGGCUAAAGGUAGUCAACUGAAUAGAAGUGUAGUGGUAAUACGACCUUUACACUGGUGAUGAAGGCUUGGAUCUUCUAGAAUCUGAUGAUGAAGUAGUUUGAUAUUUUAGUCAUUCUGGCUAGAGGACCUAAACAAUCCAUAAAAUUGGGAUGGUAUUUCCUUCGAUUGAGGUCUAAAGAAAAUUAAAAAAUCCUAAAUACAAUGUGAAGAGAAUGGGUUUAGAGAAAAAUGCCAAGAGAUCGUAGGAUAAGGAUUAAUGCCAUCAUGCUCUAGGCUCCAUGAAAUUUGUAUGCUUAAAUGGAUGGCAGGGGUUAAGUUUUUGCAAUAAAUACAUGCCUUGGUGAGCACAAUUGUUAGAAGGAAUGGGUGCUCCAAAGGUGUAUUUCAAAGUGGCUAGCUGAAAAGUACAUUGAGACAUUUAUGACUGAUGGAAUCAGUCCAUGUCUGUAUCUAUGUGGUGUGCUCAUGUUCUGAUUAUUUGAUUAUCACAUUCCAAAUUUCUAUCUGGCAACUGAUAAGUUAGUAGUUGAUAACUAAAUUUAGUAUUGGACUUAAGCAUGCUUUUUCUGAACACCAUGGAUUCUUAACUAACUCGACUUUGGAUCCAUGGCAUCAAUCUGAAUUGGGGGGGAGGGGGGUAGUAUAGAGCACGAGGAUGAGAAGAUGGGAAUGAUUCAGGAUGAGACAGAGGAACAAGAUUAUAGGGAUACAUAGGGAACAAAUUUUUUAAGAGGGCAAGGAAAAAAUGCAAAUCCCAAACCUCAAUCAGGCUCCACGGCACAUAGCUCAUGUAGGAUCCGAUGUGGCAGUCCACCUAGGAUCCGAUGUGGCAGUCCACCCGUUUGGACCUCUAGUGAUCCACUUAGGUAGUUUAUGUGACUCAAUCAAUGCACUUUACUCAAACCACGAUAAUAGCUCAUAGAACCAUAGAAAUCAUCUCAUAAACUAUUAAAGGAAAAAUGGGAAAGCUUCUUGUGUCGCAAACUAUAGCAAAAAUAAGGGAAAAUGCAAACCACCUAUUUGUUGGAAACAUAAAAACCUCUAUAAAAAAUAUAGUUAGAAGUUUUCAAAAAAUGAAAUGAUGCACAUCCUAGUGCAUCCAUGUAUGUACUUUUUUAGAAAAGUGCAGUUGCAAAGUCGUUAUGUAAAAAUUAAUACAAAAACAAAAAGUUUUAGGACAUCUGCAACAAAAGAUAAUUUUGUCUUCUAAUGCACGUGUACUUGAAAUUUAUCAUUUAGGAUAAAUUUUAUAGAUUAGUUUUCAUCUCAACUUUUGUGACAAAGUAUGUAACACCCUGUCCUCCAAAGCUGCACCACCCAACCCUUCCGAGGGGUGGGCACGAGUACACAUAGCACCCUGCUUACACUUUCAUCCUCGCUUCGUGUAAAAGGGUUAACCUGAAGAUACUAUGGUCAGAGGAUAAAGACUUAUAAUAAAUUGGCUCCACCCUUACUCAACUAGCAAGAUGGUACUAAACAUGCGCACCUGUGCUCAUGGACCACUACUGGGCCAACCAAAUUGGGCCGACCAAAUUGGGUCGGGUGUCACAUGCACCCCCUCAAAGGACCCAACAUCCUCACUGGUCCAACUCACCCACACUUGGGCAAAUGUCCAGAAACGUUCCCUCUUAGUGCACGACCGUACGUCCAGUGCCGGCGCCAUAUGCCACGCCAUGUGUCCCAUCCAGAGUCCACACGUGCAUGGGCCAUAUGCCCGUACACUAACCCGUACAUGCAACCGCGAGGGUCUAUGAAUGCACUAUGGAUGUGUAUCGUUUUAAAUUUUUUAAAAAACUUCUAAGUAUAUCUCUUAGGGGUUUCACGUGUUCCCCAAAAAGAUGGUUUGUUACUGAAUAUUUCCUAGAAACUAGUGGGGUUGGCCCGGUUGCGCAGAUAGUAUAAAAAUCCAUAGUGGGUAAUAUCGUUCUGGUUUUAUCACCAAUUUAUAUUUUUACCUUACUGUCACUUUUCUUUCUAUCACCACUAUGCCUGCUCCAUGAUAUAUCUUUUUCAUUUGUUUGAGUUCUACCGCCUAACCAUACCACGUUGUUUUAUUUCAUAAAGGCUUUGUUCUCCAUGCAUCAAUUCUCAUUUUCUAUGCUAUUCCUAUCACAUAGUUUUUCUCUAUCACCUCCCUAAUGUUGUGAUCUUGAGUUACACGUUUCAAACCAUGUGCAACAACAACAUUUUCACUUCCAUGUCUGGCUCUAUGCCAGAGUUUUUGGUUCCACCAUCACCAAUCUAUUUUUCUUACAGACCCAGACAGGUUAAUUAUCGGUCUAAAUAUUAACAGAGAAGAGAAAUAUAGAAAAAUAGAACAAACCAAUCUUUGUCUUCGUCGAUGUUAGUGGUCCUGUUGAAGAGAAGACAAUAAGGGCGAAAGAGAGAUGGAAAAUAUAAAAACCGCUAUCUAUAUACAUUAUAUUUAUAAGGGUUGGUGAGAGAAAUGCACUAAGCAUUGAUUGUGUGGUAGCUAAAUUUGUCUGCAUGAUAUUAAAUAGCAUGGUUUUAUCUAAGGGAUACCAUUUUGUUUGUGGGACGAACACUAGAGCAGGGGUAAAGACUAUUAUGCUCAAUUUUGCACAUCUUUUAAAAAAUUAUCCGUGCAUAGAUUAAAAUGUAAUCUAUCCUCAAAUUCCUCAUACGUGUAGUUCUUUCAAACUUUCCAUAGAGAUUUUGUAAAAUGAAGGUGAGGGUAUGGUGAUCUUUCCUUCCUCCUAUAGCGUACUAUAGAAAACCACGGUUUUGCAAUGUCCUCUGGCCAAUUUCUAACAAUACGGUGUACUAUAGGCAAUACCGAGUUUUUUUAGUGUACUUGACACAAAUAUAACCAAAUCAAACUGUGAUUUCAAACAUGGACGCUACAUAUGAGUGCGUGUCAUUGGUGUACGUAUGCACGGCCCUCUCUAAAUAUACACAAAAAAGGUCACAAAUAUAAUCUUAGGCGCAUUGCAAUACCCUCUCAAACUUGAAGUUUAAGCUCAAUCUCGUGCUGUCGUGCAUCAGUGCAUGCUGUGUACAAUUAAGAGGGAUGCAAUGCACUUCCUAACUCCAACUGGUCCUUCAAGAUUGGAUCAGAUGCACGAUAGAAUUCACACGUGGUUCACCGUUCACCAAUACACCCUUGUGCAUCUGAUAAUUUAAUUUCCUCUGAAAAAUUACACUAGUUGAAUUCACAAACUCAAAUAAAGUAGGGUCUAGAGAACCUAGCUGAAACUAGUUUAGUUUUUCAGCUAGUGUCAUAUCUAGCUGCAUAGGAAAACUGACUGCUACUGCAUAGUUUAAAGAAGCUCGGUUUACUUUUCUUGGCAUCCGUCAGAAGCCAAAGUCAGAACAGUCGUGUUUCCCAUGCCUAGAACGAUAAUUAAAUUCAGUGUUGGGCUGUUGGCUUACCCAUCAUGUUCACAUUAGAGGAUACUAGUCAGUAAGUUGUAACUACCAUAAUACCACUUUUAUCAAUGAUGUGCACAAGUGUACUGUAUAGAAUAGCAGAGUCCCACUGGUUUUUCCCCUUCAGAAAUGAGACAGAGUUCAGACUUCAGACUGGCCGGUGGCUGACUGGCUGCAUAAUGCUUUCGUCUAAAAACUAGUUGGUGGGUGGACAUACCUGUCAGCUGCAUAAACGCUGCAUCGGAUCAACAAAUUCAGUUUAAAAAUAACAACAGAUGCACACAUAAUAAUAGCUUUGCAAUGAUGCGAAGAUUAUCCACGUAUUGUACGUGACAGGCCUGCGGUUCUGUACUGGCUCCCGGCCGGUUGCGCCACAUAUCCUAUCCUGCUUAUAAUGGAAUCUAUCCAUCCUCCCCAUCCAACUUCGAAGAGCUGUGCGUAUGGUGCACUUCGAUCUGAACGAGAUUAUUUGCGCGAAUUAUUUGCAGGUAACAUGCCCAUAACUGCCAUGAUGUGAUUGUAUAAUGGUAUGCGCCCGCGAACCGACACCUUCCUUUCCUCCAUGAUUCGCGCGGUGGCCAUGUGACGCGACGGACCUCGCGAGCUCCUCUACUCCAACGCGGGCCAGGCACGUCGGGUGCAGCGAGCGACCAUCGACGACGCCGCGGCCGGCCGGCCGAUUGGUAGUUCGAUCGCCCCGCGCCCGCGCCGCCCCGCCCCCCUCUCCCCCCCCCCCCCCCCCCCCCCCCCCCCCCCCCCCCCCCGACUUUCCUGUCCUGCCCUGCCUAUAAAUACCCGCGGCAAUGUCCUCCACCUCACACCAUCGAAACACAAACCAGACAGCAGGUGCCAGUGCCAAGCAGCAGCUAGCUAGUAGUUCCAUUCGGUCCUAGCUAGUGCAGGCAUGGCCGCUGGGCUCUCCUUCAAGGCCGUGGCGCUUGCCGCGCUCCUCUCCGUGCUCGUCGCCUAUGGCGCUCGCGCUCAGCAGCAGCCGAGCAACGCCACGGAGUCCCAGGACAGGUCCUUGCUGUCCUACAGCGGUGGCUGGCUCCCGGCCAAGGCCACCUGGUACGGCGCGCCCACCGGCGCCGGCCCCGACGACAACGGUAUGGACCAAGAUACCUCUCCGCGUGUCUCAUCAGCAUUUGUUGUCCGGUCCUGGGCAAUGUGGCAUUGUGGCUCAUCCUGUGCCGUGUCUUGGUGCUGAAUCUUUGCCAGGCGGUGCGUGCGGGUUCAAGCACACCAACCAGUACCCCUUCUCGUCCAUGACUUCCUGCGGCAACGAGCCCAUCUUCAAGGACGGCAAGGGCUGCGGCUCAUGCUACCAGGUGCGUUGCGUACUGAUCCGGUUUCGCCAUGGCGCCGAUCGCCAUGCACGAUUAUAGCAGUUGGUGCCCGGUCAUUUUAUUUGGUUGGUCAAAUAAAGAUGCCAGUUAGCGUCCGCAGCGCCACAGGUUGCUCAUCUUUAUGAUGGGCAGCUAGCUAGGCUAGGACUAGGAGUACGUGCACCCGUUGACCUUGUGCUUGGCUUCCUCCAGAUUCGAUGCCUCAAGAGCAACCACCCUGCCUGCUCCGGCGCGCCGCAGACGGUGGUCAUCACCGACAUGAAUUACUACCCGGUGGCCAAGUACCACUUCGACCUCAGCGGGACGGCGUUCGGCGCCAUGGCCAACCCAGGCCUCAACGACAAGCUCCGCCACGCCGGGAUCAUCGACAUGCAGUUCAGGAGGGUGCCGUGCAACUUCCCGGGCCUGACCAUCAACUUCGUCGUCCAACACGGCUCGAACCCCAUGUACCUGGCGGUGCUCGUCGAGUUCGAGGACAAGGACGGCGACGUGGUGCAGGUGGACAUCAUGCAGCACAACUCCGGCUACUGGGAGCCGAUGCACGAGUCCUGGGGAUCCAUCUGGAGGAUCGACCCCAACCGCCCGCUCCAGGGCCCUUACUCGCUGCGCAUCACCAACGAGUCCGGCAGGCAACUCGUCGCCAAGAACGUCAUCCCGGCCAACUACAUCCCCGACACCAACUACCGCUCCUACGUCCAGUACUAACUGCUCGCGUCGAUCGAUCAGAUAGCCGCAUGAUGAGCUCCAUCAUCGGCUUAAGUGUUCUCGCUUAGUGGUGGCCGGCCGUUGUUGGCAAUUGCGCUGAGGAUUUUUCACCUCAGUUCCAUUGUUGGUGUGUGUGUGUGUGUGUCCUGAAGAUUUGUGGGAAAUUAGAGGAGGCAAGCAUCAAUGUGCUCUCCCGCCCACUGUCACUCUACCAUUACCGGUGUGUAACCAGCAAAAUAUGGUCAUAAUUUAUACGUGUGCUGCUAUUUAACUAGCAUGCUGUCUGAAAAGCAGGACUCCCUGCCUUUUGAGCAUUUCAGCUUAUUCACUACUCCUGUACUCCGGAAAUUACUAGUUUCGCUGCACUUGCAGCCUAAAUUUUCCAUCCUCUUCGUUUCAAAAAAAAAAUACAUCUUCUGUAUACCAAUUUUCAUGUACGAUCAAACCCUGAACUUUGAGAACCUCAAUGUAGGAGUAUCACUAAAGCAGUACUGUUAUGUGGUUCUCACUUCUCACGAAUUACGAUGUCAGGGCCUCCAUGGCUCAUAAAUGGAUUGACUUUCUACCCAGAUGAUUCUGGUCUGUAUUCUAGUACAGGCUGGUCUGUAGCUGACUCGGAAAUGCACCUCUUUUCUUCAUAGUACGGCCACCCACCAGAGAUUCAGAGGACUGUUAACGAUAAGCCUUUUUCUAUCCGAUAUUGUUCCAGCAGAUUUGUCGGUUGAGAAAAGCUCAUGAAAGUUCUCAAUCCAACUCCAAUCUAUCACAAAGCAAACAGCACUGCUCUCUACUCUACUACUCCUACAUUACGGUGGUAAGUUCGCUGGUGAUGGGAAAGCAAAUCAUUCUGCAGAUCUUCCAACAAAAGUCCCUUUCCCGCCAAAGCUCUUGCGCAACCGAUUCCAUAACCGUCAAUCCUCGAAGUAAUCAUGGACGGGUCUUACUUUCACGUGGGACCCGCCAAAGAAAUCGUUGCCAAAAGAAAUUAUCGCAAGGCCCCAUUGGAUUCGCGCCGUGAUUACAGGCGCUAAACCCCAAGGUAAUUAACAUGGCUGACUUGCAAUUAAUAGAAGCUUCGGCGAGCCAGACGACUUCCUUCGCCUGUGUCAGUAAAUGUUACUAGUAAACACGAUCACGUGAUGUUGCUCAAGAAAAAAUGCCGAUGGAAUUGUGAACUGAUUAUGGCGAUGAUCGAGGAUGGAUCUGUGAUAAAAGGGAAAAUUUCGGGACACGUUGCCGCCGCUUGAUGAGCCAUGAUUGUCGUAGUAUACGCAUGGAUGAACACACUGCUACCCUCACCAGUCACCAGUGCUUGCUUUAUCUCUGAAACAAACUGACAGCAAUAUCUAUUUUAAUGCAUUUUCAAUGGUGAUAGAAGGAUAGUAUUGUAAAAUAUUUUUGCACCCAUAUUGUUUUAUGGAAAGAUUAUUGGUUGUUCAAAAGAAAUAUAUUCAUAGUGAAAGCUUAAAUGUUUAACUAUUGCCUGACACGCUUUUUUUUAUCUGAAUAAAUACAAUUUUUAGAGAACGAAGCACAGGGAUGUACUUCACGUCCCCUGAACUCCUCUCGAUGAGGUCAUACUUUUAUUGAAUGUUUGAGUUCUCCAUCACCUGAAAAAGAAAAACAUGUUGCAAUCCAGGAGUACCAAUCAAGUUGCACUCUAUUGAACCAUUUCCAUCUCCAUUUUUCUUUUACGGAUAAACUUGAGAUACGCGUAUCUCGCCUACCAGCCAUAUAGCCAGCACUCGAGCCCCCACCAUUUUAUCCCUUCUUGUCGGAGCAGCGAUAUAGACGAAGAAGAAGCCCCCCGGAACGCGACGCGACGAGCUCUCGCGUCGGGACAACUUGACUUGGGGGCGCGCGGCCACGGGGCCGCAUGUGCGGGGCGAAAGGCCGGACGCCGACGGCGCGGUCGCCCGCGCCGCGCGCAUGUGAGGUGCGGGGCCACCGCGAGAGCAACCCGCGGAAACCCGUCCUCAGCCCUGCGCUCAGCGGAUCCUGGGGACCCGCCCUCAGCCCUGCGCCGAUGCGCACACUUGCUGGCCGGCCGCGGCCCCGCCGGCUAGCUAGCGAACUGAGCUCUCAGCUGCCCGCUUGUCUCUCCCGGCGGGCGGCCGGCGUCGCCACGUCCGGGCAAGUGGUUGCGCCCGCGGCGGGUGUUUGUGCCGCGCACGCACGGGCUUCUGUGCUCUCCCGGGGUGUGUCCGCAUGUUACUCGGGAGACUAGCAACAGUCUUGCACGUACGUACGUCGUGUGUGAUUUGACGCUUUUUCAGUGGCUCCCCGUGCGUAUGCGUACGCAGAAUUAUCGGGCACCAGCAGCUUGGAUAUGAUGUGCUGUGGUCAUGCAUGGCCGUAAUUGGCUAGUACUAGUAAGCAGUAACGAAACUUGUAUGGCACUCCAGGAUAUCAUGGCGGAUGAUGAUGGUACACGAUACGAGUUGAUAGGAUCAAGUUGCGCACGUACGCUCAAUAAUGAUGGCACUCCGAGACCCAAAAUCGGGGCCUGUUUUCAGGUGCUGGGUGCGUGCUGCCAAGCUAACUUCCUUCGCUACUUGGCAGACGGAAUGUUUGAACAACCAAAGUUAAAAAAAGAAUGCAGGCCCGGUCGGCCGCAUUAGGAUCGAUCAAAAUAACCGAAACCAGCGUACGUCCAAAACGGGAUUCCAGAUAUCGGCAUUCCUUCUGCCCCACGGAGCUAGUAGAAAACAAGGCCGAAUGGGCGACUGGCCGGGAUGCCAUGCGCCACGUCACGCCUGCGUCCAUGGCUCCUUGCAAGCUAGCUCCGACUCUGAGUUGCCCAUCACGGCAUCACAUGCGUGGCAGCUGAACUUGUGGGAGUGCAGUGAUGAGGAGGCCGGCCGGGCCAGCGAGGUUCAACAGAUGAUGCCGUCGCUUACAAGCUUAAGCAAGCAUCCAUGCAUGCUCGCGGGCAGCCGGGCACACAAGUUCACGUGGCAGGUUUUUUGCAUCGUGGUCAGGGGGAGAAGCACACAAACCGGGGGCUGUGCGUGGACUGCGGCGGCGGCGAACGCCGUGGCGUGCUCGGCUAUCACGGAGCCCGUGAUCGCCCCGGGUUAUUAGGGGGUGGCGAUGUGAUGUGAUGCGCUCGCUGAUCGUGGCUGGUCAGGAAAUUCGUUACCAGCUCACAUGGGUCUGCUAGCUGCUGAUUGCUGAAGAAGAAUCGAGAUGUCAUUAACGCAAUAUGUCACCCACCUAUACUGUUAUGUGAAGUCUGCAUCAGGUGGGCAGCUCGUGCGUUUUCGGCGAUCCCGUGCUAAGGCAAACGCUUUUUAUUUGGUCAGGGCUAGCUAGCUAGCUGAUGGAGGAGAUGGCGGACGUGUCCGUGGCCAACCUCCACGUCGUUGCAAGAACGGAGUCUCUCGGACCCUGACAGAAAAUCCUACACUAAGCUGCACGGGGACCAGUAUACACUGCAACAGCUACUACCUGACGAUACGGUACCCUAGACCCCUGGAGUACGUGGAUGGUACGAGUAUAUCAGACGGCCAAGGUAGCGGCGAAUGCAACAGUUCGUUGUCCGACUCCGUUUUCGGCACCACUUUAAUGGGCUUUGGCGGCACCACUCAACCAUCAGCAGCAGAAGAGGCCGCGCGCGCGCAUUCAAGGGGAUGAAAGCGGCCACGGACCGGCCGGCUCCCCAUGUGCGCCUGCGCUCUCCUACGCCCCCCACCCGUCGCGCUCACCUACGUCUCCCCUGCCCCGUCCGUCGUCCUUGCCCCAUCCAACCGAUGGAUCCACGUCGUUCUCGCGCCCGCGGACGCGAGCCUCCCGCGGUGCCGGUGCGUGCCCGCUGACGGCGCGCCUCCGGGUCGCGGCCGGUGGCGCGUCCAGUCCGAGCUCGGUGGGCUGGCGGGUGGUGCGGGGCAGGAUAGAUAGAUGGGACCCGACCGAGAGACCAGACGACGAAACGAGACAGGACGGGGCCGUGCUGCAGCCUGCAGGUGCGCCCUGUUUUUUUUUCCUUUUUUUGUCCACGGCGAACCGAUCGAACCGCCCGCACGGGACGGAGCCGCACCCGCACGGCGCGCAACAGGGAGGGAGGGAGAGGGAGACAAGCGGAGGAGGAAGCGACUGGAGGCGGUGGGACCACUAACUACCGGCCCGACGGCCCGACCGGCCGGCCGGCCGUUGAAGCAUGGUUGGUCCGGGAUACAACGACCGGCUAACGGUCGGGGGGAGGAGCCUUGAUGAGCCUUUGUCGUCGGUGUUUUGCUUUCUCGGGGGUCCGUUGGUUCUUCUGCCCGCGCGCUUUUAAUGAUGACUUGUCUCGCCAUGUGAGCGAGCCGGCUGGUACGUGGCCUGUCGCUACCGUCGGCAGGGACGUGCCAUGCGUGCAUCACAUACGCCCGUGUUUGGUUCUCCAAGGACAGCUCUCGGGGCCGGGCCGGCUCCCACUGAGUCCCAUUCCCAUCACGAUGCAACAGGUGUACAGCCGCAUGGGCGUAUAUGAGAUGGCAUGUCGUUGAAUCAAACCCGAAAUCUGAUUGCCAAUCCUCCUGCCAGUAGAUCUAGGUGCAACUGCUCACAGCCGAAGUUUCUGGCACGGAAGAAGUGUUCAUAAAGUAGGACAUAUGGCUAUGUUUAUAAGGUUGAGUGUAAACUGUACAUCUAAACUGUUUUCUUUUUGAUGUAUUGAAGUUCAACGAAGCCACUGUUACCAAAAAGAAAAAACAGAGAGACAGAAGGGCUAGCAGCCUUCUCGUAAGUCACUGGUGAGCUUAGCCCAAUCCGACUUCUUCUAGAGUACAAAAUAGAGCUUUGAUUUGGGCCAAGCUGUUCUGAGAUGGAACGAUUACUUUAGGCCCACGCGAUAUAUCUAAAACACACACACUUUGCUCAUACAGUACAGCCUGUUGUGGCCGCCGCAAAUACACGCACGUUCCCAACAAAACGAUUUUUUUUAUUUUUAUAUAUAUUUUUUUCGAUUUUGUAGAAAUAUAUAGUCGAAUGGAAAAAUUGCAAAUCUAAGCUAUUGCCGCCGGCCCAGGGCGGCCGCCGCCUUAGCCGACGAUAAGGCCCUCCCGCCAACCGUCAGCAGCCGUCGUAACUGCGGCGCGCGAGUCGAGGCGUCACCGCCACCCCAGGCGGCGGUAAGACCCUUGGUAAGGCCCUUCCGCCGCCAGGGCCGGCGACAGUCGCCCCCUUUAUGACCCGCCCGCGCCCCUCCCCUCCUCCGCACUAGUGCGCGCCAGUAGCGAGCCAGAGAAGGAAGAGGGAAGAGAAAGAGGAAAGGAGGGAAGGAAAAAAAAAAGAAAGAGAGGAGAGGAGGAGGAGGGAAGAAGAAAAAAAGAACGGAGGAGGAGGGGGAAGAGGGAAGGAAUUUCUUCCGUCUUUCUCAGGUAAAUUUUUUUUUUAAUCUCGUAGUUUAGUAUACUAUAGUAUAGUUUAGUUUAGUUUAGGUUAGAUCUAGAUUUAGAAAUAUUAGUGGAUCUGAGAUUUAGAAAUAUUAGUAGAUCUAGAUUUAGAAGUAAUAGUGGAUCUAGAUCUAAACUUAGAACUUUUAGCUGUUUUUAGAUAGGAAAAUGUAGCUUAGUUAGUAUAACUGAUUUAGCUUAUACAGUAAAAUAGAGUCAGCAUUAUUAGAUUUAUUUGUUAUGGUAAAAGACUAGAAUAAAUGUAGUUAGUAAAUUUUGAUUUUUUGUUAGGUAUUUGAAUAUAAUUUUUUGGUAACAAUAUUAGAUUUGUUUGUUCUGGUAAAUCACUAUGAUAAAUGUAGUUAGUAAAUUAUGAUUUUUUGAUUAGGUAUUACAAUAUAGUUUUUCGGUAACAUUAUUAGAUUUAUUUGUUGUGGUGCAUGGCUAUGAUAAAGUUAGUUAGUAAGCUUAGUUUAGUGUUACAUAGUUGUUUGUUUAUUCAAUUGAGGUCGUUAUUGUAGUUAACUUAUGUAUAGUGGUGAGAAUAAUUUGGACUGCCCGUUUCAUGUAUGUUGCCAAGCAUGUCGGAUAGUGUCAAUAUUCAAGUGUACUAUGGGCUGAGGGAGGUUAGAUAUGGUCCAGAAGGGGUAGAUUUGAGUGGAUUCCCCUGUUUCACCAAGUGUGUUCCAAGAGCAAGAGAAAGAACUUGGGGGGCAUAUGCAAGUGGCUCUGUAGGGACUUAGGUGUUGAUAGAGAUCAAGCGGAUGUGUGUGUGAGGGUUGCAAUGCAAAGAUGGCCGGACAUAAACUUUUGGGAGUUAGUUUCGCUUGAAGGAACUUCGAGAUAUCGGGUUUACAUAGAUGGUUUUACGAGAAGAGGUUUACCAAUCAUAUGGUAUGUCCAAUUUUUCAUGAAGGGUGGACCUAGCACUCAUAUUGAAGAAUAAGUCAGAGGUGAUGAAGUUGAAGCGGAAGAAGAUGUGCAGAGUAGUGCGGGUGGAAACGAAGAAUUUGAUUACAAAGAAUAAGAACGUGAAGAUGCAGAACAUGAUGUAGCAUCUCGGGAACCAAAUGGAGAAGCUGAUGAGGGCGAAGAAAUUCCUGAGUUAGUAGAGCAGAUGGAGAUGGAAGAAGGGGAGGCCAAUGGUGCCGUGGAGGAGGACUCGUCGGAUGAGGAAGAUGAUUAUCUUGUACCGCGAAAUUGGUCAAAUUACGACCAUUCUGCCCUACAGGUCAAUGUUGGGGAAAAUAUUCCUUGGGAGUACAAGGAGAAUGAGGUAUGCGUGGGGGCUGUGUACCAAAGUGGGGAUGAAGUGAAGGUGGCUAUUAAGAGAUGGUCCACUUUGUGUUUGCAGUGUUAGUUCAGGGUGGAAAAGAGUAGCCCGAAAGUGUAUGAUGUCCGGUGUGUGCGAAAUGAUUGCCCAUUCAGGGUGCAUGCAUACAAGGGCAAAUGGAAGGAUUACUAGGAGGUGACUAAAGUGGUUAAGCACCAAUCCUUGCUGGUUGAAUUGGAAGGAACACACCGCAACCUCACUGUUGAAUUUGUUGCUCAAUACAUGUACCCUCAGAUAGUGGAGAAUCCAAGCUUCGAGCCUAAGUCCAUUAUCUGUGCCAUAGAGGAGAAGUUCAAGUACAAGAUCAGUUACAACAAAGCUUACCGUGCUAAGCAGAAGGCGCAUGAGAUGGAGUGGGGUACGUUCGAAGCAUCCUACGACAACCUCCCUGCCUUGUUGCACACCAUUUGCCAGAGAAAUCCUGAAAGCUUCUACGACUUGAAAUCAUAUCCAGUUCUUUAGUUUCCAGAAAAACAGGUCCUACAAUGGUCAUUCCUCACGUUGGGUCCUUGCAUUUAGGCUUUCCGGCUUUGUCGACCAGUCAUUUGCAUUGAUGGCACAUUUCUGACUGGAAGGUACAAAGGGACAAUAUUGACAGCUAUUGGGACUGAUGCCGACAAUCAGGUGUUGCCGCUUGCGAUCGCUUUUGUGGAGGAGUCUGGAGAUAGCUGGUACUGGUUCCUCGAGAGGGUGAAGAACAUGAUUGUGUUGGACGUCGAGGGAGUCUGUCUCAUUCAUGAUCAGCAUAAAGGCAUUAUACAAGCAAUCGACGACCUACAGAAUGGAAGUCAAGAGCGUUUCAGGGCGCUGAUAUGGCCGGACUUGAAGAGUAGGUGGUGCAUGAGGCAUAUGGAUGUGAACUUUCACAGCCAAUUCAAGAAUAAGACCCUUAUGAAAUUGUUCAAGCGCCUGUGCAGCCAGAAUCAGAAGAGGAAGUUCAACCUGCUGUGGAAGAAACUUGAGGACGUCACAAAGAAGCAAUGCGAGGAACUAGCGAAGAGGGCGAUCAAUAGUGAGGCCGACCAACCUGUGUCUCUGGAGGACGUCGGGCUCGACGGGCCAAACGUUAGGCGAAGAUGGGGAAGAUCCAUCAAGUCCUUCUCAUAGUGGAUUGAGAAUGAACCGAAGGAAAAGUGGGCAUUACUCUUUGAUGAAGAAGGUGUACGGUGGGGUAUAAUGACGACAAACCUAGCUGAGGUUUACAACUGGGUCCUGCACGGUCUUCGGGGCCUACCCCUUGUUGGUAUUGUUGAAUUUUACCUUUACCGCACCAUGAAGUAUUUUAGGGAAAGGUACCAAUUGGUUGAUAACUCAAUGCGCGACAACCACAUAAUAUUUGGGUACAAGAUGACAGAGUACAUGGAGGAAGUAAUUAAGAAAGCUCAUUUGCAUCGUGUGAAAGAAGUAGGAGCCGUGGAACGCCGGUUUGAAGUUGUUUUGCAGGGACAAAGUUCGAAUGGACGGGAGGCGCGAGAGACACACACAUGAGUGCAUCAUCAGCAAUAAAGGUUGUGUUUGCUCUUACCACAAACCAAGGUUGCUUCACAGGCCUUGUACCCAUGUCAUUGCUGCAUGCUUUGAGGCGGGGGCCUCCAACCUCGUCGUUUCGUGCCGCACUAUUUCCUCAAAGAAACCAUAUGGCAAACUUGGAGGAAUGAGGUUUAUGGAUAUCGUUUGCUGGGAGACUUUGUCAACAAUCCUGGGAAUGCCGCCCGCUACAUUCCUGAUCCUAAUCCAGAAAUGUGCCAAGGAGUGGGGCGACAUGGGAACAGGCGUAUCCAUAAUGACAUGGAUCAAUCUGAAGCUGGUCCUGAUGUCCGUCUAUGCUCCAAGUGCCACGAAGCCGGUCACACCUACAAGAACUGCCCGGCAACGACGUAUCGAAGUGCUAGCACCCAAGCUGCAUUUAAGAACUAGUAAUGUAAUGUACUGUCUUCCUUGAGUUGUGUUAUUGUAACUUGAGCUGUCGUCCUUAGGUAGUGUAAUAUAAUGUUUAUUUGGUGGUGUGGAAAAGGACAUCAAGUAUUGUAAUAUUUAUCGUGGACCCUUCUAUUUGUAAUGACUCGUAUGUGCCGUAGAGUUAUGAUGUUUAUUUGCAAUGUAACGUAAUGCCAUGUUAUAUUUUCUUUACGUGUUCAGUGCUUAUUUCUUUCAAUACUUGUGUUGCAGGUAUGGCGUCGCACCUAGGUCCACAGGGGGACCAGACCCCUGAGUUGCUCGACCCUACCUUGGAUGAUCAGCACAGGUCGUUCCACUCGGCCGUAGUAGGUACCAACCUAGACAUGUUUCGGGCUCGUAUCCCGCUUGCGACCAUGCCGAUCAACCGACGUUGGAUCCUAAGAUAGAAAUAAUUAGUAAUACUUGUGUGUUAAGUUCAACGAUUAAUUUGUGUAAACUAAUUAAUUUUUUCCAUGGUACAGGUUGAGUGCGGCAGGCCUUCUCCCUGUGGCUAGGCUUGUGGAGGGCGACAUGGUCGACCGUUCAGCGCGACGUGGCCGCGAGAGACCCACACGGUUCCAGUUCGACAUGUCACUGAUAGCAGCUUUGCUGGACCAGUGGCGGCCGGAGACGCACACCUUCCACCUCCCGGUCGAUGAGUUGACCCCCACACUAGAGGACGUCUCGAUGCUACUGGGCCUUCCUUGUGCAGGGGCUGUCGUAGCCGCGAUGGACGUCCCCCCUGCCUGGUGCGAGGAGCUACUGGGUCGCUUUGCGGACGUUCCCCGCGUAAACGAUGCCCCGCAGUACAGCACUUUCAGCAGCUCCCACAGCCCGACGAAGGCUUGGCUCCAACAGUUCAGUGUGAGUAGUUAAUUAGCAGCAAGUACAAAUAAUUUUUGGCCAUUUUUGUUAUUGCUAACAGAAGUCCAAAAUUGUUUUGCAGGCUGAGUACAUGAGAAAGGACGCAGAUGACGCCACAGUAGCGCAUCACUUGGAGGCGUACCUGUUGUGGCUCUUCGGCUGGACCCUCUUCUGCACGUAGUAGGGGAACUCGGUGCCUAAGCACCUUCUUCCUUUCGCGAGGCCCAUUGCGGAGGCCCCACUCAACGAGGUUCCACAGUAUAGCUGGGGUUCAGCUGUGCUGGCGGCCACGUACAGGGGUCUUUGCAUGGGCUGCGUGAAGGUGACGCAGACGGAGCCUAUCUUCCUUGGCUGCCCGCUGCUGCUUCAGCUUUGGGCCUACGAGCGGUUCCCGAUAGGACAACCUUGUGUGGACAUAUCCCUCUACCCUACGGGUUUCGACGAGGACGUCAUCGACAGACCCACGAUGGGGUCGUUGUGGUGCCUGAGGAGGGUACGGUUCUUGUACUACUUUUUUUCGAUUCAUAUUACACUUUGGAAUUUUCAAGGUCCUAACUGAGAAAUUGUGAUUACAUUUCUUGCAGGUGGUUUGGACGGGAGUGCAGACAAAGAAGUCGUACCCGAACUUCGUCGGUAUGUUCGACGCUCUGGUCGACACCGACAUGAGGUGGAGACCCUACAACUUCGAGGACGUGGAGGCUCGUGCCCCGCAUGGCCUGUCUUUGCAAUGCCAUCGGGACAUGGCGUACUGGAUGACGAGGAGGCUAGUAGUCUACGACAUCGACGUCGAGGACUACGCGGUUCACCGUGUGAUGAGGCAAUUCGGCGUGUAUCAGGACUCCCCACUUUCGACUACGUCAGCCGUUCUGGCUUUCGUUCACAGGUACAAUCCAGCAUUUUCCUUCUCCUUGCAUUAAGAAUUUUUCAUUUAUGUAACUCGUGUAAGGAUGGUUCCAUUAGGGCUAGCCAUCAGGGUAGUGGUGGUGGUGGGCCUGGAGUCCUAUGGGCUCCGAGGAUGGUUCACUGGGUCGCCCUGUGGGCGACCGCACUAGACGAAGUGUUCCAGGAGGCCUGGCCACACGACGCUGAUGCUUUUGCAGCGUACCUUCGCUGGUUCUUACCAAGGACCAGGACGUGGGUCCAGCAUGUUCCGGCCGAGCCACCGACGGAGACCGCUCCAGUCAUGCAGGCGUACCCUCGUGCGAGAGACGUCAACUACGACCGCGCGGUAAGCUACUGUAAUUUUUGUUGUUACUAAACUUGCAUCAUUUGGUGUGACUAACUUCAAAUUUUUUCGCUCCCCAACAGAUCAACAUUAUUGGGGAUUUGGACAGGAAGCUGACGUACGGCAUCGAUAACUUCCACGUGAUGAAUUCCGUUAAGCAAACGUUCGCUACUUACAAGGGCCAAAGACGGCUGCAGGAGGUUCCUCGGUGCCGUUAGCUACCGUGGCGGGCACGGGGACGUCAUCCGUCCAUCACGACCUCUGUACCCCCCGUGUGCCCACUCCAGCUCCUACUCAGCAGGCUGGUAUGUCCACUCACCAGCCCGUUCGUCCGCCAGCAGCCAACACGUCCUACAUCAUACCACCACCACCACCACCGUCUUGGCACGCCACAGUAGGUCCGUCCACCGUUCCGCAGAUGCAAUCCGCAUGGUCCUCUUGUCCUUCUUCAGGUGCACCAGAGAUACGACCAGUAGGUGCGUGAUGCAUACAUUUUUUAUACUCCAUUUUAAGAACGCAAUGAAACUAACAAAACCGUUUCCUUUGUGAUUAUAACAAGCUACGCAGACCAGGGAUGGCUUUCGGAGGACUCCCACGACGAGGCAACGAGGUCCAGCGCCCAUGCUUGGUUCAAUGACCUUUUCAGAGUGGACCCCGACCUGCUCGGUCUCUCCCAACUGGUAGACGCCCUGGGUCCUACAUAGGGUGUGACCCAGUACCUCGGGACACCACAGGGUCCUACACAGGGCGCAACCCAGUACCUCGCAACACCUCCUGCGGAGGGAGUGGGAGGACGGCCGACUCGCGACGUUCACCCGCCGGAGCCGUGGACGUACGACCGGCAACAGACCAGAGCAGCGCAGCAGGCAGCGAGGCAUAGUCGUGGCGCCGGGGAGCCUCGUUUCAAGCGAGGACGCAUUUAGUGCGUAGGGCGAUUUCUUAUUUUUUAUCUUUUGUAGGAUUAUGAUGUGUACGAUUAUCUUUAUAUGAGAGGACUGCUCUAUCUAGAUAAGUUAAAUGCUUUUCAUUGUUCGUGUGCGUUCACUAUACAAGUCUAAACAUUUCCCAAUUAAGAAUUAAAAGCACACAAUUAAAAUAAUCAAUCACUACGAAUGAAAAUCGUGCGGCGAAUAACGGAGUACAUGACCUAAGCACAACACAAUGAAAGGUCCAACAACACACAAUAUUAUCCAUGAAUAAACCAUGGACACACAACGAAAGGUCCAACCGCACACAACGGAGUACUAGCCAAUAACAGAGCCUACUGAGUACAACGAGGCCACUUUCCCUUCCUCAGGGCAUCGGGGUUCUCCUCCAUCGCUGCUUUCGCUCGGCGUGCACGCUCAAGCUUCCUCUCCCUCUCCUCCCUCUCCGCAGCAAGACGCCUCAUUUCCUCCUCUUUCUUGUGCUCCUUCUCUGCAGCCUCCUCUCUAAGCCUCUUCUCCAUCCUCUCCUUGUUCUCUGCCACCCAACGCAACAUGUACUGCAUCUCCUCCUUGUCCUCAGGUUGAUCUCAGUGUCAAUCCACUGCUCAAAAUCACAGAGCGGUGGAGGGGUUUGCAACAAAUGUAAUUAUUACAAAACAAAAAAAUCAUGCAAAAUGUCAUAUGACACAAAAUAAUUAUUGCACAACAUCAAUUCCUUACCAUCUUGUUAAUGUGGCGCUGACGAAGUGUAGGCUCAAACGCAAAAUAGGAACACAUCCAAUACCUCUGCCUAUACGUGUCCUCUUCAUCGGUCUUGGCUACCUUGCAAGGAUCGCCGCAGAAGCACAUGGGCACUCGAACACCACUAGUCAAAGGUAAAGGAUCGAAGGCAUUUCCGGUCAACCGAACACCACCCCACCUUUACCAUUUUCGUUGUAAGAACCGGAAGCAACUAAGAUUAAAUCAUACGACUACCAGUUAACAUAAUAACGUGCACUGAGAUUACCUUGCUUUUCCAGCUUUUCCACGCCUUGGCAUCCUACGCUUGUAUAAUAAAAAUAUUAAAAUUUCAUGAAACUAUAAUAGUAAAUACUUCUAGAUCUAAAUACUAAACUAUGAACUGAAAACCGAAUCUACUAUACUAACUAAACUACAUUUUUAACAUCUAAAAGCACACAACCUAUCUGUAGAUCUAAAUACUAAACUACGAACUAAAUACCGAAUCUACUGUACAAACUAAGCUAGAUUUUUAGCAUCUAAAAGCACAAGAUAUUUUUAGAUUUACUAUACUACAAUAAUGAAAAACUUACCUGAUGACUAGGAGGUUUCUUCCCCUUCUUUCCUCUCUUUCUUUCUUCCUUCCCUUCCUUCUCUCCCUUCUCUCCCUCUUUGGUUCUCCUCUCAAUAACAACAGGUCUGGAUCAAGAGAGUUGGGUGGCCUAAGGCCUAGCUGCGGGCGGGUUAUGUAGGGGGAACCCCCGCCAGCCCAGGUGACGGCAAGGGUCCUUACCGCUGGCCCAGGCGGCAGUAAGGACCAUUACCGCCCGUGCGCUGGUUGUACCGUGAUGGUGCAGGGGGCCGGGUCCUUACCGCCGGCCCAGGUGGCGGUAGGGAGUUAUCACCGGCCCAGCCGGCGGUAAUGACAUGGGCCGACGGGGUCGGCGCCUUACCGCCGGCUGAGGCGGCGGUAAGGCCCUUCUGCCGCCUAGCCCGGCGGCAAUAGCCUAGAUUUGCAAUUUUUCCAUCCGACUAUAUAUUUUUGCAAAAUCGAAAAAAAAUAUAAAAAUAAAAAAAUUCCAACAAAACACACACGCGCGCGCAUUCGGAGAUGCUGAUGAUUGAUGAUUGUUCAGGCCUAGUAGUAGAGCUCGUGUAACGGUGUAAGAAUCAACCAACAAGGUCAUAGAGAUGGGCCUGUAUUAUCAACGUAUCUUUUGUUGGUUUCCAUCAAAAGAAGUUUGAAAAGGGUUGCUAAAACUAGUCAUGCAAACACUAUUCAAUGGCCGAGCCCCUAUCCAUAUGCAUUGCAACAUGACAAGGUUUUAAAGCGUUAUUAUUUCAAACGUGAGCAUCACGACACCCAUGCCUGGGGAUACAAGUUCAAAUCCACAGACCAAAAGAGUUCUCACAUCUACUGCAUGCUACCUGACCUCCCACGAAUAGGGAUAGAGUUUUAAACGAUAGACAAUCAAACGAUAGACAACCACAUGUUGCUGCUUAAGUUUUCGAUUAAUCACCGUGUGCAGAUCAAAACGCACGCUCCAAAUCACCCAGGCAAAGGGCCAGCAUCACCAGCUUGUGGCAAGAGUUAUCCAGGCACCCAUUGGAUUGACAGGUGAUCCAUCAGAAAGGACCAAUCGUCCAUGAGAGCUUCCCUGGCCUUGAACCAAUGUCUUUAAUUCGUGACACCCAAAGCUCGAAUUGCUCCACGUAUUUUAUUGGGCACAGAAUUGCCCAACCCUGCAUGCCACUUGCAGCAUGUUUGGUGAAGAGCACGUUUGAAGAAAGUACACACGAAUGGGAAACAAAACUCUCUUAGGGCUUAUAUUUCUCAAAAAAUGUGAACCCUUGUACAGUAGGGGUGCCUCCCCUUUUAUAGGAAGGCCAACCGACUUUUACCUACCGAAUUUACCCAUACUGAACCACUACAUCCUAGGAAUAUGCUGUACAUUUUAGUAAAGAAAGAGUUCUAAUCCAACUUGUACACCCCAAACGGAUCACGCUAUUCACGCUAUCAAGGUCAUAUUCGCAACGGGAUCCCAAUCCUCCGCACCUUCUCUUGAGCAACUUGGAUUGGCCGCCGGAUUCUUCCUCGAGGGAGUUCACGGGUCCUUCGCGCUUCCCAACUUGGUCUUCCAUAGCGAAGGUGCCCCGAACCUCCGCACCUGCCUGCGAAAAUGCCCUGAACCUUCGCGCCUUCUUCCUUGAUCUUACGAAGCGAAGGUGCCCCGGAUCUUCGCAUCUUACUUUGCUCCGUCCAAACAUCGUUUCCUGCAAUCAUGCUUAAGUAAAACGCUGCUUACCUUCGCUAGGGGUUCAGCGAGGGUGGCAUGCGAGGGUGACAUUUGAUAUCCUUGAUCCAGAUCCUCAACAGUAGCCCGUCGUGGGCGAGGUCCUACUCCAGCGGGCCGAACCCUCGAAAAAUCAUUUGAUCUUGAUCAAGGAUAAAAAACGUCUCCUUCACGUGCUGGAGCGGAGAUCACCACAAAGGUUGUUGAAUUGACACUUUUGCCCCUACUUUUUUACCGUUGAGCACGGUUAUCAAAACGGCUCCUUUUCAUGCCUAUAAAUAGAGAGGGGGUUGCGGUGACUUUUUCGCAUUCUCAUUUGUUUGGAGACCUUCACUGCUUACAUUUGCAGUGCUUUGAGAUUCAUGCUUUCCGUGCCACUGCUUGUUCAGCUGUUGCGAAGGUGCAUGUGCUACUUCUUUUUCUUUCUCCCGUAAGUUUCGCUGAGUCUCUUUUCAUUAACAUUUUUCCACUCUUUUCUUCAUUCUAGAAUUCAUCGUGGCUCGCACGAAACAAAAUGCUAGACUCAUGAGCUCCCAGGAGUUAGCCGCUGCUGGGCUGGGAGAUGCUGUGCAUGAUGCGAAUGUGUCUGAUGACGAUUUGGGUGGUUCUCGAUGAAUUCACAAGGGUGAUGAUGCGUCUGGCACAAAAUAUUUUGAGAGCAAAUCUAGAAAUAUUGGUGAUGAAGAAGAAGACGAGGAGGGGGAAGAGGAGGAUCUUGAGAAUGUUGAAGCUAAUGUGAUGAGCUUAUCCCCGAAUGUCCCAAGAUUUGCUUCUUUGGUCACUCGUUGGUGACCCAACGAGGCAUUGACUUUUAUGUGGAGAAAUGUUAUUUUGCCGAUGGUGAUUGCAGACCUUCGGACGAAGAAGAAAUUAUUGUUCCGAAACCCAAUGGGACCAUAGUAUUUCGUGACUUCUUUGUUGCUGGACUGAGAUUUCCUUUUGAAAAUGUCGUUGUUGAUAUUCUCAAUGCCUUCAAGGUUCAGCGGCACCAACUAACACCUAAUUUCAUUCCUCACCUUCUGAAGUAUAUUUGGAGUUGCCGCUUGUUUGGUGGUGAGUCGAGGCAGACUCUUUUUGCUGCCAUUUUGAAUUGCAUCAUCAAAAGAAGCACAUUUUGGUUGGCGAGGAGGAGAUGGAAACUCAAUAUGGGUGUUGUACUUUUCGAACAUGUCAAAUCAGCGCUGGUUUAAUUCAUGUUGCCUUAAUCCUUGCUCAGAAAAACAUGUGGGCUGAUAAGUGGGACUCAUAUUGGUUCUAUGUGACGAUUCCCGUUGUUACUGGACAAGAUAGCGAGGGCAAACCCAUUGUCGAGUACCCACUUGCAAGCAAGAUUGAGGACAUAGAUGCAGAUUAUUGUCCUCCUUUUUCAAAGAAAAGCUGAAAUUCUUCAGUUAGCAAUACUUACUAUAUUGGCAGCCAGAUCAUUACUGCACGAGAUGCAGUUGAAGAAUUCUUGGCUGCUGAAAUUUGGCCUUCGCGACACAGAUGGUGUCCCAAGAGUUUUUAUGAGAAAAAUAUUCCUGGUAUGAUAGUUGCUGUUAAGUUUCCUAAAUUUGGAGUGAAAAAACCUAAGGGGAUGACUGAUCAACAAAUUGUUGAUGAGAUUGAACGGAGAGUUGUUGCUUUGAUUGGUAAUUAUUUGCAUAAAGAACAUGAACAAGCUCAAAAAACUUUGAGGAACAAAGGUAGGAUCAAUCGCGUCUUUGAUGAAAUGGGCAUUACGUGCGGUCCUAGUGCUCGUCCUAGCAUCGCCAGCAAGAAGAUGGUUGCGGUCGGAAAUAUUGGCUCUGAAAUUCCUGAGGUUAAAGCAAAAAUCACAAGGAAGAAAAAAUCAUCCAAGAAUCUAUCUGAUGCUUCUAAGCAACCAAGCUCAAAAACCGGCGGCUCCUCCACUGUUUCGAGAUCUGCGAAGGUAAUGGCGGUGCUGACAAAAAGGAAGCGUGAAGUCGAUGCUGUUGGCAAAUAAUGCAAGGUUGUGCCCAAACUAUCAGUUGUUGCUGAGGAGUCUCCCUCAUCUAAACUUGUUGGAUCGUCUAGUGCUAAAGUUGGUGAACAAGAAACUUUACAGACGGAAUUUGAAUGCCAACAAUGCCAGGACAAAAGAAUACUACCAACACAUGGAGGAGAACAAUUUUUCUCUUGACAUUGAGAUGCUCGGAGCUUCUACCAAUGUCCAUGCUAGUAUGGUAGAUGUUUUGGAUGACAAUGACAGUUUGAUCUACUUGGACGAAGAUGUUGCCGACGUGGACUAAGGCAUUGUUGUUUCUAAACUUUCUUUGAUGCCCGAGUCAGGUAUGGCUAAGCCUGUUGUUGAUUCUUUGGAGAACUUUCCAUUUCCAUUAUCUUCGAUCAUUGGAGGCCGUACAAGUGAAAAUGAUGGAUUGUCUCCCCUGCGAGAAAAAAAUUGAGAAGUAGCUGUUGUAUCAAAGGAGUUUCCCUCUGUGACCUUUGAAGAAGACUUUCUUUCCCCAAAGUUCAUGAAAUUCCUCCGUCCGCUAAAGGAAGAGAUGUCUUGUCUCCCUAUAAAGGUGAUUUUGGUUCUUGAAGUAUUUCUUGCUUUUGGUACUGAUUUACUUUAUUUCAUAUUUUUAUAGUUUUGUUGUCUUGUAAUGUUUGCAGAUGGUGACGCAACUGCUCAGACUCUACUUUUAGUGAGUCACCUUAGCUCUGACGAGCUGAAAUUGAUUAGGAUGUCAGAGCGUUUGAGGGAAGCUUGGAAGAUCAGCCUACUUUCAAGGGAGUUCCCGAGGUGGAUCCUGGUGAGACUAACAAUGACAUUCCACCUUACUAGUAUUUCGAUCCUAAAGGUUAAAAUUUUUUAAUGCAGAGCAUUAUUAACUCGGGUCCUUGUUGAUUUUAUACAGACAUGAGUUUGUGCUGUUGCUUGUAGAAUUUGAAGCCAGCAUUCAAGGCUUCAGUGGUCUUGAACUCUGCACUUUGAUGACCACCUAUGCAAUGAAAGGUGUUAUUGCUGGAAAACUUGGUUGCCAGAAGGUCUUUGAUAAGAUGGAAGACUUUCGCAUUGAAAAAGAUGACCUUAAAGCGGAGAACCAGAAAUUGAAGGAUCAGAUUUCUCAGAUGGAAAGUAACAAUAAAGAUCUUUCUGCUGAGGUUAAGAGCUUAGCGAAUUGAAACCAACAGCAAGAAGAAGCUUUGAUAAAUCUUCGCGCGGCUAUUGAGAAAGAUGUCGAAUGCUAUCAACAAGUUUGCAAGGAACUUGAGACAACCAAGACGACCGCAACUGCGCGUUGGCGAAAGACUUGGUUGCUAAGCAGAAGAUUAUCUCUGAGUUAAGGCAAGUUAACCUUUCUCAAGAGAAAAUUCUUGAAGAACGUGAAUCUAAUAUUUGGCAGCGAGGUCUACAUCUUAAUCGCCAAUAUCAAGAUGGGCUAAAUCAAUUUGCCGCUGAGCCCCAACCAUUCCCUAGUACUGGAGACACUAACAAAUUCUUUCAAUGGCUCGAGGAUGAAUUGAAGUUCUUGCCUGGUAUCUUGUCCAAGGUUGGUGAUUACGGUGCGGCUACGAGCGUUGAAACAUUGCUCCAUUUGAUGGAAUGCGAGGGCUGUGAUCAUUUCAAGAAACUUGGCUCUCGUAGUUACGAAUUUCUAACUCAUUCGGAUAUUCCAUCCCCUAGCCAAAAUGUUGGUGUUGUAUCAAAGAUAUUUUUUAAGGAGUACUGGAUGAAGAGCGGCCGCGAGGGUGCUCGCAAAAAGGCUGUUGACCGUCUUGCGCAAGUAUUUUCUAUCCUUAUUCUAGCUUUUGUAAACUUGAAAAUGAUUGAAAUACCUUUUAAUGCUAUGCAAUUACUUCCUCACAGUUCUAUCUUGGUCAGGCAAAGUAGACAAUGGAGACUUGCAAGCUUCAAACUCUUCACGGGGAAUCAGCUACGCAAGGCCCGCACGCUGCUCCGCACCAAUGGCUAGUUCCAGAGCCCUGCCAUCAACCAGUUGUUGCGGAGGUGGCUCCAUCGUCUUUUGCUGCUUCUGAUUUUGCAGAACCGUUAGCGUCGCAUGCUGCCAGUGCAUCUCAUGAUUCUCUGGCCCAAGGAACACUGCCACAUGAAAUUCAGCCUCAAGAGCCGCCCUCAAUUGGGGAGGAACUGAAGGUGUAAAGUUUGGAACUGAUUGAAAAAUUGAUUGUUAGAUGAAAACAAAAAUGUAACUUAUUUUGUUGUAAAUAUCCACUGUGGCGCAGGUUCCAUGUGAUGGAACUGUGUGUGAUGUAACUCCUGAAACAUUCUGCCAAGAACGCUUGUACGUUAGCGGCCAUUCUUGGACGGUUUAUCAUGCUAAGUAUCCGGCCAAGUCCUUUGAAGAUUUCUAGCAUUUUGUUGUUCCUAUUAUCCAUCACGUAGUUAUGCACUUCGUAAUUUACUCAAUUGUAUUGGAGGCACUCGGAUUAGUCAAUCCCAAGCUGCGAUCUAGAAUCUUGCACUGUGGAAGUCAAGAUCGAAAACGAAUGCUCUAAGGAUAACGAAUACUAUUUUGUGUAUAACGCUUGUGAUCCUUACACAUCCCCUGUCCGCAUAGGUUGUGUAAUUGAACUUCCUUUUGAAUUGUAAGCUUUCGAUUUUCUUCCAAUCUCAAUCACUUUUGGAAUAAGUUUUUGGUAAAAAAAUGUCUCCCCCCUCCCCCUUCCAAGAAGUGAUUGAGAUGCAGUGGAAAAUCCUCCUUUGUAAGUGUUAAUGUUUGAACAAUAGCCUGAGAUGGAUUUUAGCUGAAAGCCCUCGCAGAUCUAUUUUUUGGGUGUCGAAUUUGGCAACCUUUAAGUUAAUUUCGACAUUAAUUUUCUCUAUUUAUUUGCUUUCAACCUUUUAAGAUGUCUUUCUUUAACACUUUCGCUGGGUGUUUUAGAAAAGUAAUUUCAUUGCGCUUCGGUGCUUCUUUGCCACCUUACGCGAAAAUUCUUUCCCUAAACAGGAAAACAAAACCAUCAUUUCUUGGCUUUUUCUUUAACACCUUAUGCGAAGGUGCAUUCUUAUCUUUUCCUCUUUUUAGAAUAUUGAUAAGUUUACAAUGCGUCUCAGACGCAUUCUUUUUCGCCUUGUGCGAAGGUGUUUUCUUAUCUUUUUCUCUUAUUGAAAGAUGAUAAGACUUGUGUCACAGACGCAUUCUUUUAACACCUUGUGCAAAUGUGUUUUCUUAUCUCUUUCUCUUAAAGAAAGAUGAUAAGACUUGCGUCACAGGCACAUUCUUUUAACACCUUGUGCGAAGGUGUUUUCUUAUCUCUUUCUCUUAUAGAAACAUGAUAAGACUUGUGUCACAGUUGUAUUCUUUUAAAACCUUAUGCGAAGGUGUUUUCUUAUCUCUUUCUCUUAUAGAAAGAUGAUAUGCGAAGGUGUUUUCUUAUCUCUUUCUCUUAUAGAAACAUGAUAAGACUUGCGUCACAGGUGUAUUCUUUUAACACCUUGUGCGAAGGUGUUUUCUUAUCCCUUUCUAUUAUAGAAAGAUGAUAAGACUUGCAUCACAGGCGCAUUCUUCUAACACCUUGUGCAAAGGUGUUUCCUUAUCUCUUUCUCUUAUAGAAAGAUGAUAAGAUUUGCAUCACAGGCGCAUUUUUGACACCUUAUGCAAAGGUGUUCUCAAGCAUAGAAGUAAAUUUAUCGCGUCACAGGCGCGUUCUUGAACACAAUUUCAAGGGGAAUUUCUUUACUUCAUAAUGUAGAUGAUUACAUCGGAAUCGCCUCAUUAAAAACCUCACCUCCAAUGUGGACCCCCUAGUGAGGAAAAGAGUACGACCCAUUUUUUUUAAAUGUAAAUUUGCAAGAAUGUAAAAAGGAAUCCGAUUGCGUUUAUAACUCAAUGCUACCGGCCCUGCACUUACACUUUGAGGUGAAGUAAAUUGCAAGAAAGUAAAUCUAUGCUACUUUUAGGAUUCGAUUGUGCUUAUAACUCCACGCAACUGAUCCUGAACUUUUCUUAUGCUCAAGGAUAAAACCUGCGGAGGUUGUCCACAUUCCACGAAUGCGGCAGCUCCUCCCCCUCUUCAUCGACAAACGAUAAGCCCGUGGCUUGACGCUGCUCAUGACCAGAUAUGCUCCUUCCCAAGCUACUUGCAGUUUGCCUAUUGUUUCUGCAUUCUUUUUUCUCUUAAGGAUGAAAUCUACCACUUUGAUGUCUUUUUUGACAACCUUUUUGUCUCUCCACUUUCUCGUUUGUUCUUGAUAUUUUGUUAAGUUCUCAGCUGCCUCAAGCCUACCAAUCUCAACAAUAUCCUUGUUCAUUGCUUCAUUUUCCUCGUUUUGUUCAGCUAUUACCCUCACACUCUGGUGUGCUAUUUCUUCAAGACACAUUGCCUCAGCCCCAUACAACAAUCUAAAGGGGGUGAAUUUAGUGGUUUUGAAUUUAGUUGUAUUGUGCGACCAAACUACCCUUGGCAAUUCUUCUGCCCAUUUUCCCUUUUUCUGAUCGAACAGGCAUUUUUUUAUGGCAGUGAAGAUUUCACCGUUUGCUCUUUCUACGGCCCCAUUAGACUGCGCAUGGUAUACUGAUGUGAAAUUCAAUUUUGUUCCAAUCAUUACACAAUAUUGUCUGAACUCAUAGCAAUCAAACUGCUUGCCAUUAUCGACAGUAAAUUCCCUUGGGACUCCGAACUUGCAUAUGAUUUACUGCCAAAAGAAUUUUCUCAUGGUUCCGGAUGUGAUUGUUGUUAAAGGCAUUGCCUCAAUCCAUUUGGUAAAAUAUUCAACAGCCACAGCUGCAUAUUUGUUAUUUCCUUGAGCUGUUCGCAAUGAACCCACUAUAUCCAUUCCCCAUCUCUAUAGCGGCCAGGUGGGAGCAAUUAACUGCGAAGGUAAUCCCGGUACUCGUUGAUGUUUGGCUGCGAAUUGGCAUGCCUUGCAUGUUCUGACAAUCUGCUCAGCGUCUAUGAUUACCAUUGGAAAAUAGAAUCUCUGCCUAAAAAGCUUUCCAACUAAUGCUUUGACCCCGAUAUGAGAUCCGCAAUACCCACAGUGGACUUCUCUCGGCAGCUCAAUUCCUUCUUCCUGUGAGAUGCAUUUUAGCAGUGGUGCACUCACUCCUAACUUGUACAAGUUUUCUCCUUUCAUAAUGUAACCUCUUACCCUUUGCUUCAUGCACUUGAGCUCGUGUUCCUCUACUGGCUCAUAGUUGUUGCGGAGGUAGGCUAUGAUUGAGGAUCGCCAGUCCUCACUGUUGAUUGCAUUUACUAGACUCAUGGGCUGCUUGUCUCGCUUAACUAAGGGAGUGGUAAUGACUUCAAAGAAUACAUCGGGCGGUAACUGCUCGUUUCUGGAGGCUUUCUUUGCUAAAUCAUCAGCCUCGCCAUUUCCUUUUCUUGGUAAAUGCUCAACUGUGAAACCCCUAAAAUGCCUUUCCAUUCUCCUAACCUCCGCUAAGUAUUUUAUUAGUUCUAGCUCUCUGGCCUCACAUUCUUUUUUUGAUUUGCUCUUUGAUUACUUUUGCGUCCGACUUCACCAAGAAAUUCCUUGCCCCCAACGCUUUGACUUUGCGUAGCCCAAGCAAUAGUGCCUCAUACUCUCUAGUGUUGUUUGUGCACUUAUCUGCUGGAUCUGAGUAUUGUAGUAUUGCAGUGUAUCUAAUUUUCGCUCCUGAUGGUGACGUUAUGAUUGCAGUGAUUCCAGCCCCUUUGCGACCCUAGGCACCAUCGCAGGUGAUCUCCCAGACUGGAAUGACCUCUUCACCUUCGCAACAAUGAUUUGGAGCGGUCCAAUCAGCCAUGAAGUCUGCCAGCACUUGUGAUUUUAUGGCCCCUCUUUUCUCAAAAUCUAUGACAUGCUUGGACAAUUCAGUUGCCCACUUUGCAAUUCUACUAGAAGCUUUUCUAUUUGCAAAUAAAUCAUUGAGCGGCUGAUCUGAUAGUACAGUUACCUUAUGGGCCUCAAAAUAAUGCCUCAAUUUUCUUGAUGCCAUAAUUACUGCGUAGGCAAUCUAUUCCAGCUCUGAAUACAUUAACUUGGAGCCUGAUAAUGCCUUCGACACAUAAUACACAGGCAGUUGCUUCUUGAUACCCUCACUCUCAACUUCCCGUACUAAUGCGGCACUUUCUGCUGAUUGAGAGGCAACAAUAUACAUCAAGAGAGGUUUCCCAGGCUGCAGAGGUGACAAUAUAGCCAUUUUCUCCAAAUAGUCUUUUAGUUCUACAAAUGCUUUGCUCUGCUCAGGACCUCAUUCUAACUUUCCAUCCCCCCUUAGCACCUUGAAGAAAGGCAAGCUUCUUUCAGUUGAUUUUGAAAUAAAUCUGUUCAACGUUGCGAUUCUUCCAAUGAGAUUUUGGACAUCCUUUCGGGACUUAGGCUCUUCCAUGAUUCUGAUUGCCUUUAUUUUGUCCGAGUUUGCUUCUACUCCCUUGGUGGACACAAGGCAGCCCAACACUUUUCCUUUCUAAAUUCCGAAAACACAUUUUUUCGGAUUCAACUUCAAGUUUACUUCGCGGAGCCUAGUGAAGGUCUCUACGAGAUCUUGGAUAUGAUCCUCUCUUUGAACACUUUUCACAAUGAUGUCAUUGACGUAUGCUAGUAUGUUUCUAUCAAUCUGAGGUUUGAACACUUCACGGUCAUACAAGUGAAAGUUAGCCCAACAUUUUUGAGCCCCUCUGGCAUUCGAACGAAACAAUAUGUUCCAAACGGGGUGAUGAAGCUAGUUUUCUCUUCGUCUUCCUUUCUCAUCCACACCUGUUGAUACCCUGAGAAACAAUCGAGGAGGGACAUGAUUGCUACCCUUGCUGCUCCGUCAAUCACUUUGUCAACUCUAGGUAAAGGAUAAUUAUCUUUGGGGUAGGCCUUAUUUAGAUAAGUGAAAUCUAUGCACAUUCUCCUCUUUCCAUUAUUUUUCUUGAUAGGAACAGUGUUGGAUAGCCAUUGAGGAUACUCAACCUCUCUAAUGACCUUCGCAUCGAGCAAUCUCUGGACUUCAGAUUUAACUGCUGCUACCUUGUCAUCUGACAUCUUUCUCAACUUCUACCUCUUUGGUCUUAUUGCCUUUUCGAUGCUUAGCUUGUAUUCAAUAAUAUAUCUGUUGACCCUAGCUAGGUCAUUUCCUGACCAUGCAAAUACAUCUUUAUUCUUGCGAAGAAAUUCGACCAAUUUCUUUUCCUCCUCAGGAUCAAGAUCGGUCCCAAUGAUUACUUCCUUGCCAAAAACCAUGUCAUCCAAUAACACCCUUUUGGUGUUACAAUUUUUCUCGAUGUUUACUUUCUCUUUGUCUUGUUUGGGCUCCUUGAUAACCUUAUUUACUUGAUUCUCUACCUCAAGUGCAUUUACAUUUCUUUGACCCGGAGUUCUCCCCCUUUCUAAGUUUCUUCCAUCACCUUGAUCUCCAAAGAUGGUGAUAACACCAUUCAAUGCAGGCAUCUUCAUACACAAAUAGGCCUCAUGAAUUGCAGCUUCAAAUUUGUUCCAAAAACCUCUACCAAAAAUUCCGAAAUAUGGAUAAUACAUUUCCAACACAUCAAAUCAUAUAUACUCUAUUCUUGCAUUUUGGACUGUCCCGAAUGAAACCAGUAAAGAAAUCUUUCCUAAUUCAUGGAUUACUUUUUCUCCAAAACCAUACAGUGGCGUGUGUGGGAGUUGCAACAGAUACCUGUUUAGCUCCAUCUUGUCGAAGGUGCUAGCGAACAUGAUGUCCGCGGAAGAGCCAUUGUCUACCAAGAUUUUUCCAAUUGCCCAAUUUGCAAUGUUUGCAUUGAUUACCAUGGUGUCGUUGUGAGGAUAGCUUUUCAACUGCAUGUCAUCCUCCUUGAAGGUGAUUGGGACAUGAGACCAUUUGGUUUUCUUCACUUUGCCUUCCACAAAUAUGUUGCCCACCACUCUAAAGUAAUUGCUUCUUUGUUUCUUACUUUCGAAUGCCAAGGCUGAUCCUCCGGAUAUUGGCAUAAUCAUCCCGAUUGUUGGCAAUGCAUCUGACUGCUUUGACUACCCUUCCACCUUCGUUGGCUACGGAGGUGCUGACGCUCCAGAAUAUGGUGGUGGUUGUGGGAUUAUGGGGUGUUCAUGUGGAGCUCUUCUUUCUACAUUCUGAGCUUUAAAAGUCUAAGAUUGCCAAAUUGGUUCGUGUUUGAAAGUGGGAGUUGGCUGAUAAUUGAAAGCUUGUGUAGGUUGGAACGAUGACACCAAAGUCAUCUACUUCCCCAUCUACAUGGAGGCAGUGCCACUCACAUGACUCGAAUCAUUGGAUAAAAACUCCAUCGACUCAUGGAAGGACCUCAAGGUAGCAUUCACCAACAACUAUGCAGGGGCAAUGCAGCGUCCUGGCAAUAGGAUCGAUUUGUCUCAAGUUAAACAACAAGAAGGCGAGACCCUGCGGAGCUACUUACAUCGCUUCUUUGAUAAGAAGACCACAAUCGUGGACAUCACGGAGCGCGACAUCAUAUACUGCUUCCAGAACGGCGUCCAUGACCACCGGAUGUUCCAGGACUUCGACAGAAGAUGCCUCACUGAUGUCAAAUCUCUCAAGAUCAUGGUACAGGCAUGGACAGAUAAAGAAGACAGGGAGAUCGAAAGUUUCAAAUCCAAUCGCAACAAAGGCUAGAAUAGCAACAAUCAGAACAAUGGCCAAUGCAACGACAAGAAUCGCAACGAUCGCCCCAACAAUGACAACCGAAAUAACUACUCGGGAGGCCACAACUGCAAGCGAAAGCUAGACAACGCUUUCGCAGCAAUUUCGCAGUCAUCCAACAAAGGUGGUGGCAAGAAUAAAGACAGACCUUUGUUCAACGAGCUCCUGAAGAAACAAUGCCCAUGGCAUCCAUACCACAAACACUCUAUGAUAGAAUGUUUUAGUCUACGCAGAGUCAUGAAGGUUCUGUCAGAGCCAUUCGACACCAAAGACAAGGGCAAGGGCAAGGAAGACAAAGAUGAUGGUGGCAAUGGUAAGUUCUAGAACCCAUCCAACACCAUCAAAGUCAUCUUCAGCGGAACCCCGAGUACUGCUACUAAGCGGUCCCAUAAGCUCGCUCUUCGAGAGAUAAUGUCCAUUGAACCUGCAACGCCAAUGUUUCUCAAAUGGUCCAAGGUGCCAAUUACCUUCUCUAGGAAGGACCAAUGGACUAGUUUCUCUAGACUUACUAAAGUACUCAUCGAUGGUGGUAGCGGUCUCAACAUACUAUUCACCAAGACAAUGAAGAAGAUGGGCCUCGACAGCACCAAUAUACUCACCCCAAUGAACUCUCCGUUUAUAUAGGAUCAUCCUGGGCAACGCAGUGGUACCCCUCGGACAGGUGGUUCUGCUAAUUAUCUUUGGGACCAAAGAACACUACUGGACAGAAUACAUCAGGUUCAAGAUAGCGGAUUUCGAAACAUCAUACCACACCAUCCUCAGAAGACCAGCAUUGGCCAAAUUGAUGGCCAUCCCGCACUACGUGUACUUGGUACUCAAGAUGCUGGGACCCAAGGGAGUACUCUCCCUGCGCGGAGACUUGAAGAGGUCGUACGACUGCGACACAGAAGCCAUUGAGCUAGCAGCAACUAUCCAAGUACAAAACUCGAUGAUGCAAGUCUUCACUGCAUCUAAGAAGUUGUCCCCAUCUAAACUCGAAAUCCUAGAAAAGAAGUCGAGGACAACCAAAAUCAAGCCGGCAAGUGAAGUAGACGUUAAAGCCAUUGACCUGGAGAUUGGUGAUAGCUCCAAGAUAGCCUUGAUUGGCACAAGGCUAGAUCCUAAAUUGGAAAGCGUGCUCGCCAGCUUCCUCCGGGCCAACCGAGACAUUUUCGCGACGAAACCAGCGGACAUGCCAGGACGCCCAGGGAGUUGAUCGAGCACUCACUCAACCUGAAUCCAAAAGCUACACCAAAAAGAUAACGCCUACAACGAUUUGCCCAGGACAAAAGGGAAGCCAUCAAGAAAGAGCUAGCCAAACUACUCACGGCGGGCUUCAUAAAAGAAGUCUAUCAUCCAAAGUGGCUCGCCAACCCCAUCCUGGUGCGAAAGAAAAAUAACAAUGAGUGGAGGAUGUGUGUCGACUACACAGAUCUCAACAAGCACUGUCCAAAGGAUCCUUUCGGGCACCAAUAGAAAGAAAAGAAAAAGGAAUGAAAAAGAAAAGAAGAAAAAGAAGAAAACAAAUAAAAUGCUCCUCAGUUCUUUGAGCCUCAUUAAAGUUCCCAGUACUCUCAAGAUUAAGGAUUGAUCCAUACUCAAUUUUUCAACCACGUGCAAUCCGAUAACGAUGACUUCAUUUGUGCCUCGAGAUCAUUCAUUUGUCACUUGCACAUGUCCACUUAUAUAAAUGUGUGUGUUUCAUCCCUCUCCUUCUCCACAUCUAUUUUUCAUGGUCUUUUUGACAAGUCUCAAUAAUCCUAAUAGAUUUCUCUCUUAAUUUAACAAUAUUUCAGAUAUAAUGUUUUGCUAGGAUUGUUUCUACCUACCAAGCUCCACAUAAGCCUUCCACUUUCAUAAAUGAGUAGAAUAGGUUGAAAAUAAUCUAGUACAGGCUUGAGUGACUUGAUGAGAUAAAUGUUUCCAUGAGCUGUUGCAAGAGAAUCUCACUUGUGUUAUAUUUGCAUCUUUUUGAAAAACUCUUCACGAUGAAAUAAGGUAAAGGUCUGAAGUUCACUUAAGUUCAAGAGCAUUGUAUUUAUUUUAUUGCGGUAUGUUCUUUAUUGCUAGUCUAUCCUCCAUGAUGAAAAUUAGCCGGUCACAACUUGAACUUAUGCUAAAUACUUGAGAGAGAAAUGUGUCUUGUUAUGUACAACUGAGUGCAGGGACGACAUCAAAAGGCAAUGUUGAUUUCCUGAUUAAGUAAGUAUCCUGGACUUACUCGACGACGAGCAAGGUUUAAGCAUGGGGGGAUUGUUGACGCUCGUUAUUGACACACUUUUAGUGUCAUUUAAUUGGUAUUUUCAUAUAUAUUCUUAGGCUAAUCUGCCACUUGACACCAAAAAUAACCCCAUUUUUGCAUAUGCAUUGUAUUUUGGAGGACAUUCUAUUUUUACAGAAAAUUGAACUAUAUUGGAGCAUAAUUGGACAAGGCCCUAGAUGAGCAACAAUCCAGAGAAACACGAAGGCUAAUGGGUCCAAAAAGGGCCUAGACCGAUCAGCCUAUAGAGGCUGAGGCCGAUCGGCCUAGGGUCCUCAGGGCUUCGAUCAUGCUCAUGUUCAGCGAGAAUUUCUCCAAGAAUACUUAGGGGCUAAGUUUCACAAGAUAUGAUAAGUUCACUUUAGGACCAAAGAUGGAAACAAACAGGACUUUGAAAAGAUAUCAAAAUCCAUCCUUAUCCCGAGGCUAUCAACGUGCAAUUCCCGCAUGCAAGUAAAAAUAAGUUUCCAUAUCAUCAAAGAAGACUUGACGACGAAGUAGGACGCGAGAGGCCACAAGGACCAUGCUGAUCAGCAUGGACCCCCCAGGCCAAUUGGCCUGAGGCUUUCCUUGCUCCUCUCGCCUUCCAAUUUUCACCACGCUCUCCCCGGACUAUAAGUACCCCAAAAAUUCACCGACCUCUGGCAUCCAUCCACGAGAACUCGAUGAAACGAAGGACAUCCACCAGAGGAAGCUGAGGGCUGCUGCAAGUCUUCGAAGUUGUCUAGAAAAUGGCUUAGGCCGACCCUAGCCACCAUGGCUUCCCUGCGCGAUUGUGUCAUUGUGGAGUUCAGGAGCUAGUUAUGAUCAUCAAUGGUAUGUAAUCGGUGGUGAUGAUCUGAAUACAUUUCUUAUAUGAGCAAUGUUUUUCAUGUCAUCCGAUCUAUUAGCGACUCGUAUUCUCCUUUUAUGCUUUCUUCUUAUCAUGAAUAUGUUUAUUCCUUAGUCUAAUUGGAGGUUAGACUUCAUAGAAUGCUUUAUGUAAUCAUGGUGAUUAGAUCUAGUAUGUUGACCCUUCAUGAUAUUUAGACAUGUUCACUUGUGUUUGUGCCCUUAAACUACCUGCCCUGAUAGAGAGGAUCGUGAUAGGAUCUGGCUUGUGUAAAGUGGGAUUUUUGGGAGGUUGAUCGGAGGUAGUAGUUUAAAGAUUGCUUUGGAUGAGAUGCAUAUUGUGCUUGCUUGUUAGCUAGAACUACAACUAGAAGACGAUAGGCUCUUACUACCCUUGGUGGUUUUUUAUCAUAUACAUAUCUAUGGAUGUGAUCUACCUAUUCUCAUGAUUUACUUUUACACCAAGGUUACCCUCUUCAUAUGCAAUAUAUGUUUCAUGUUAGGAUUAGAUCCGUUAGAUUAUAUGGAAAAUCCUAGUUAGUUCGUUGCCGAUCCACGGAUUGAUAAACAUUGGAUGGAAUACUUUGAGGGAAAAGUCACGAUGAUCCGUGCACUUGCGGUUCACAAACUGGCGUGCUAACUACCAUCAACAAUCCCAAUCCUCCACACCUUCGCUUGAGCAACUUAGGUUGGCCGCCGGAUUCUUCCUAGAGGGAGUUCACGGGACUUUCGCGCUUCCCAACUUAAUCUUCCAUAGCGAAGGUUCCCACGGGACCUUCACGCUUCCCAACUUAGCCUUCCAUAGUGAAGGUGCCUGGGACCUCCGCACCUACCUAUGAAAAUACUUUCAACCUUCGCGCCUUCUUCCUUAUCCUACGAAGCGAAGGUGCCCCGGACCUUCGCGUCUUCCUUUGUUCCGUCCAAACAUCGUUUUAUGCAAUCAUACUUAAGUAAAACGUUACUUACCAACCGAGGGUGACAUUUGAUAUCUCCGAUCCAAAUCUAAAACAGCAACAACAUGGAAGAACCGCUCUAGUUUCCAUUCUGAAAACAAAUUCGAGCUUUUGAAAGUCAUAUCAUAGUGCGUACCGAGUCCUGAACCAGUUGGUCCAAGAAGCAGCUAGGUUCACUUCAUUAUUUCGGGAGCCUGUGUCUUAGUAAGGAUUUCCAUUCGGCCCAGAGACAAUUUGUUGGGCGCUUGUGUGUAAAGUUGGCCAGUUGGGGCUGUUUCUAGGACGACGACAAGGCUGCCUGCUAAAAUUUUAAUACCAUCACCAGUCUUGAGUCUUGACUCUUGUGCGUCUUGAUCUCGAAGAACCAUGGCUGCGGAUGAACUAUGCAUUCGUUUAGGUCACUUCCUUUUGAACUCAAACUUUAGGUCUCAUUCGGAUUACCUGGACAUGAAGGUGUUAGUACUUGGUUACAGGAAGGCAAAGCUAUGGAAGACAUAGAAGGGGGAAAAACCUAAAAAAAAGACGAACGGUUGCCAGACCGCAGACUUCGUUUUUUUCUAAAAUUUGUGUAUAAGGUCAAUAUCAGUGCACAGUUACCAAGUUAGUUACCAAGAUAAAAAACUGUAAUUGUGACAGUUGAGUUUCAUGGGGAAAAACUCUAUGAAACUCCUCAUAAUAAUCUUGCCAAGUUAGCAAUUUUGCUAACAUGAUAAUAAAUUUAAUGCUCAUGAAACUUCCAUUAAGAUCAGCUUGGAUUAGCGGGCAUCAUGAAGUAGUUAGUACUUCGAUUUCGUUGCAGAAACACAAAGCUUUGGGAAAAGAAAAAUCCCGAAAAAAGAAAGUAAAAGGAUAUUGACGAGAAAUCCGAUUUGGUUGCAGAAACACAGAGCUUUUGGGAAAAAACAUCCCGAAGCAAUUAAAAAGAUACACUGACGAGAGUGGGAUUUGAACCCACGCCCUUUCGGACCAGAACCUUAAUCUGGCGCCUUAGACCAACUCGGCCAUCUCGUCUCUGUGAUUGACACUGAACACAAAUAGUAAUGAUUAGAGUAUAUUCUUGCCACAAUCACGUGUCCUACUUCGAAUCUGACGGAAUAACUAACCGAAAUUGUCUCAAACGAACAACAAAUUAUACAAAGGAGAGAGUAUGGGUCUACUUCUAGAGAGUAACACACCAAUCAUACAUUCACCAACGUGUUAUAUUAUAAGUAUACACAAGUGGACCUUGAUACAGAUCGAUCUACUAACCUGUCAUGCAUGCUGCGGCCCAAGUGAACCCAGCCCGACUGCUCGUUCCAACCUCCAACUAAGGGUCCCUUUGGAAUUCUUGCCGGACACUCGCCUCACCUUGCUGUAAGGCCGCUUGUAGCAAGCUUGCCUGGCUGGGCAAGGAUUUCCUUGCUCACGUAGGAGAGCCGAUUCCGCUCUCCUGCGUUGGUAGGUUAGCUUGCUCACCGAGAAGAACACAAGACAAGCACGAGAUGUCACGGAAUCCAGAUCUGCCGCUGUCGAAUCGAGUCCGGUGCCGUUGAAUCGAACUCACCGGCACCAAAUCAGACCUUGCCGCCACUAGUUGGAGUUGCCACAUCCAGCCUCGCGCCACCGAAUCGGGCCAGCGGCCGUCAAAUCGAACCUCGCGGCAGCCGAAUCGAACCCCGCCGUCGCCGAAUCGAACCCCGCUGCCGCCGAAUCGAGCUGCUCCACCGCUGAAUCGUGCUGCUCCACCACCGAUUUGGUGAGGCGAGGCGAGCGGCGGCAAGGGAUCCGAACGGACCCUGAGCCUGUUUCUCUACAGCUAAAAAAAUUAAAACUAGAAAAAACAUCGUAGGUAAAUCGCGUUACGCGCUUUGGGUCUGCCAUCGAUCGAUGCAACGCCGUCCAUAGCCCUCCGCCCCUCCGCGCACAAACCGCCUGCCGUUUGAUCCCCCGCAUCCCUCCGAGCCGUACUUCGCUCCGCCCGCCGCGCUCCCCCCUCCUUUCCGCCGUUCGUUCGCCUCCCGUUCACCCUCCUCACGAUCUCUUUCUCGAGCCGCCGACGGCGCCCGUGCCGCGCCGCCGCCGUCCCCCAUCCUCUCCGCGCCCCGACCCCUUUCUCGAGCAGCCGCCGCCGCCCGCCCUCCAUCGCCAUACCCGCGCCGCCGCCGUCCCCGGUCCUCUCCGUGCCCCAAUCGCCAUACCAGCGCUGGCACCACGAACGCCAGCACGCGGCCCAGCCUCGUCGCGGCCGCUCGCCAGCCGGCCUCCUCGGCUCAAGGAGACAUUCUCCGUGGACGUCGCGGCGGCUGAGGCGGCCCCGCUCGCCGUGCCCCUCGCCGCGCCCUUCGCCAUCGCGUCCUCGCGCCUCGACGCCGUCUCCAUCGUCGCCGUGCGCGUCGAGCUCCGCAGCGGCGCCGUCGGGUGGGGGAGGCACCCGUGCUGCCAUCCGUCGCCGACGAGGACCAGCCGGCCGCGCUCGCGGCCCGCGGCGUCGCUCGGCGCGCUGCUCGACGAGGUCGCCGGUGUCCUCCCUGGACACGCCUUUGCAUCGGUGAGGAAUCCGCACCUUCCCUCGCCCGGCUCGCGGGGUAGUAAAAUUUGCAUUCUGUUGCAGCUGGGUUGACAGGUGCUUGAUCUUGAGAUGAAGUGAAAAGUCUAGGAUGUUGUGGAAAUCUUAAAUUGUUGAACGUGGUGAUCCCGAUGUUGAUGGGGUGACUGCACUUUGAAGUAUAGGCUUUGAUGUAGAUGGGAAUUGCCUUUCAGGCGCUGAAUUACUGAAAGAUUUUGUUUCUUUCAGAGGAUCUAAUUUGUUGCCAUCCUUACGAGGUGAGUGGCAUGAAUUUUGCCAUCAUGUGAGAGGGAUGAAUGUGAGAUGGCCUUCAGAGGAAGCGUAACUGAAAACCAAGCUUGGUUAUAACCGUUAAUAUUUGCUCUGGAUGGUAACUGGCCUGGUGAAAUCAUCCUUGAAAACCCAUUUAACCUGAAAAAAAAAUGUUUGGUUAGUUAUAAGCUUAGAGCAGUUCAUUCAGAAUACAAGCCCCUAAACCAACCAGUUUUGUAUCCCAAAAAAAAAACCUACAUAAGCAUAAAGGUCCUUUCCAUGUGAAAAAUCAAUUAUUUUGUUUUGCUCAUGUAGAAAUGUACCAUUUAUAAAAAAAGACCGUUGAUGAAUAAAUGGAAAAACAGGCAUGGAUUAUUGUUUGUUUCUGAUAUUCAUAUGUGUACUCAAGUGUUCGGUUGUUGUUUACACAUCAAAUACAAGAUUUCCCAUUCCAUGUGUAUUUGAUUGUAAUUGUUUUCCAAUUAAGGCUAGAGCAGGAGUGGAGAUGGCACUGAUUGACGCGGUUGCUAACAGCAUUCACAUCCCUCUCGUGAUUAUUUGGAGGGGCAUCAGAUACUGUGACCACGGACAUAACGGUAUAUUUUUAUCCCAUCAUAGUCUGCACUAUGUCCAGAAAGUUAUAAAUACCUUCACCAAAUAACAUAUUCCAUAUUUCCCAACCUAGAUUCCAAUCGUGGCCCCAAAUGAAGCUGCUCAAUUGACUGCAAAAUAUCGAGGGCAAGGGUUUCAAACACUGAAGCUCAAGGUUGGGAAAAACUUGAACUCAAAUAUGGAAGUUCUGAAGGCUAUACGGUUUGUCCAUCCAGACUGCUCAUUUAUCUUGGAUGCGAAUGAGGGAUACACAGCUGAUCAAGCAAUUGAAGUUCUUGAUAGACUAAAUGGUUUGUACUCCUGCAAACUCUGUGCUACUAUAUCAAUUCACCUUUUAAUCUUGCCUCAAUAUGUUGAAUUUAUUAGCUGUUCAUGAUCUGUAUAUUCCAACCUUCUCCCAGUAGUUCUUCUAACUUAUUUUUGUUUCUAUUCUGUCACUGGUUUUAGAAAUGGGUGUGACCCCUGUACUCUUUGAGCAACCAGUUCACAGAGAUGAUUGGGAAGGUGUCCAUGAUGUUAGUAUUGUUGCCAUGGAGAAAUACAAAAGUCGCUGUUGCUGCUGAUGAAAGUUGUCGGAGUUUACUUGAUACUCAGAAAAUAAUACAUGGGAAUCUGCCCCAUGUUAUUAACAUCAAGCUAACAAAAUUAGGGGUUCUUGAGCCCUUGAAAUAAUCGACGCUGCAAGAAAAGCCAAUGUCACUUUGAUGAUUGGCGGUAUGGUUGAGACUAGAAUCGCUAUGGGUUUUGCUGGUCAUCUAGCUGCUGGGCUUGGUUGUUUCAGGUGCGUUUGUUGUGAAAGUAUGAAAUCAUUUUUAAACAUUGUGCUUAGGUUGCUCCAGCCAGCAAAUUGAAAGAAAUAUUACUUUGUUCAAGACCUUAUAUAUGUUGAAUCAGCUGCUAAAAUUGUUCUUGAAGCAUAUGGAUGCAGUUUUGUUGAUCUGUACACACCUCAUUUACUGUCGGAAGAUCCAGUGUAUGGCGGCUAUGAAGGUAGUCUUACUCUCUGCACAAAACUCUUUAUAUGUCUGCAGCUCCUUUUUAAAGAUAGUGGCUACUGGCGACUACAUUCAUGUCUACUUUUAUUAAAAAUGGGAAACUACGGUUGCAGGUCCAGUAAUGGUUUCAGGCCCACAAAGAUUCAGUAAUGCUUUCGUAUGAUGUGUCAUAUGUGUUCUUUCCUUGACUCAGCCUGCUGAACCCAAACCCUUCUGUAUCUCAAUUCUCAUUUGAGGAAACUACUUAUGUCGUGGAAAAUCUGUAUCUCAGUUGUCUUGAGGCUGCUAUGCUUGUUGGGAGAUUGAUCCUUUCAAGCUGCUGACCUUCAUAAAACAAAUUAAGUCUCAAACUGUAUCUCCAGUUUAUUGUUUAUACGACUCAUGCAAAUUCUCUCUCCAGCCUUUGAACCUCUGUCGUACAAGUUCACAAACGCCCGAGGCCAUGGUGGUUUCCUUCACUUGGACAACGAUGAAUCGGUAUAUCACAGUUAUCCCUGAUGCUUAGUUACCCUCUGGCUUCCUGUAGAAGUAUUGUGUUCUUCUCCUUGUUUCAUGUGGGAGCAUUGUAUUUUUUCCCCUGAACUGACAAUGUAGCUAGCUGAUUUGGGGGAAAACGAGGGAUCUUUCCCUUCCUCUCAUCUGUCACAUGAUGCUUGUGGGGAAUUUCCCUGCGUUUAAUUCCUACGUACAAAUCCUGCUAAAUUUUGGUCUCACCAUUCCAUAGUGGGUAUUAUUUUUUUUCAUGUGUGCCUAUACCUAUGUGCAACGUCAAGUUGUAGCUUCUUCUAUUUAUUUUUUGAACUUUCAGGUACCUUGAAAAUAUAUUAAGAUAUUGUGGUCGAUGCAUAUCUUUUUUGUUCCCCCCUUUUGUUGCACUCUUGUUAAAUAAGAUUUUUUUAUACUUACUGAUAUGCUUGAGAUCAAAUCAGAUUAUAAUAAUGAUGCUCAGAGUAGGGUUUGUCAUGAAAGAUGGCCACCAACCUCUUAAUAACAUCCCUGUCUUUUUGGGCAGACUCCUCACGGCACAUGGUAAACCUAUGCUAUUAAACUGCCUUCACCAGAUUACAAUGAACUGUGAACUUCAGAACUUUAAUUUUUGAUAAGUUGGAGUCGAUGCUUAAGACUUCAGAACUUUAUUUAAUAUAUGACAAUUUUAAUAGCAGUUUGAUUGUUUUACUCCUGAGUACCAACAGCUCUAAAUUUUUGUGCACUGCACCCUUAGUUUUUGAGUAAAUAAUACUGAUUGCUGAGGUUACAAUGCAUCUUUCUAUGUGGGACUAUAGUUUUGUCAAGUAAGGCUAUGUACACAUUGAUAAAUCUGCUUCAGAAUAAUAUGGCUGAUACAUUGCAAUCUCAUUAUCUGAACAAAAUUAGGUCUAUCUGUUAUUAGUAGAAGGCUUACUUGUUAAAAAGGACCUAAAUAGGUUUCUUUGUCUAUAUGAAUCUUCGGGGAAUUCUGCUUAUCUUCCAUGGAUAGAUGCUACUUCAUGUGUGUGUCAGCUUUUUGCUUGCCAAAGGAGCUUGUGACUUGCAACUACUACUUAUUCAAUGAUCUCUAAUAACUGAAUCAUUUUGUUCAGAUUCUAAUUAUCAGAUCUUUUCCUGAUCUCUUUAUGUUUUGAGGUGUUGGAUGAGAAAGGGUUAAUGGUGGUUGCUACCAUGCUACAAGAAAUCAGAGCUUGUCGUUAUGAGUGCUGUAGUUGAAGUGAGGUUAGUGUACGUUAAACCAUGAUGGGCCUAGGAGACUUCAUCAUUCUACACUCAAGAAGCAGAAAGGUGAUUGUUGCCCCCCACGACUUGUUGGAUGCAGGUUGGUUUGGUGUUUGCAUUCGGUUGGUGUUUGCAUUCGGAUCAGGUACGAUUCAUAAUGCUUUGAUCCGCGAUUCUUAGAAAAUGUUGUGUUUCAGGCAGCCAGUGUGUUGACGCAAAAAUCAGACGAUGACCUUCGCGUACUAACACACGUCUCUCGAUCCAAGGCGUGCCAGUCAAUUUGACUUGCUAAUUGACAAGGAUAAAGAAGAUGUUAAAUUUGAGAGCGAAUCGGCUGAUGUUCCGAUUAGCUCCAGGAGAUCGUAACGGCCGGGUAGCCGAUACAGAAAAAGGACGAUAGGUUAGGUUAGCCGAUGUAUGCAUAUUCAAUGCAAAGGAAUUGUUGAAACGCAACCUAAACAAUGCUACGUGAACAAUACUUGAAACAGAUCCGAUCGAAACCUAUUCCAAGCUGGAUAGUGGUGAUAGCAACAAGAUUUAUAUAAAUAAACUUGCAGAUCUAGUGAAUAUCGAUAACUUGAUGAAUAAAUCUAGACGAAACAACAGUGAUGCACUGGAAGUUAAAGUCUAGAAAUUACUCGUUAAAACGGAACUUACAGUCCAGCUGGAGAUCAAGAUGAUACAGCCCUGCUAGCUUGGAGAACUCGUGAAGAAAAAGAAAUCUUUGGCGAAGUCACCAACUUGAAAGUAAAUUACGAUUAAAAUAGAUUUGUUUGUUUGUGCGUACCUAUUUUUCAGACCUUACAGGGUUUCUAUUUAUAUCCUAAACUCAAGACUUCUAAUGGGUUUCUAUUUAUAUCCUAAACUCAAGACUUCUAGUCCUAAUUGAUUAGGACGCAAUACAAUAUCUGUCCUAAUUGAUUAUGACGCAAUACAAUAUUUGUAAGUAAAGAAACAAACUUUUCUAAAUAAAAUGACUCGUACAAGAGUCGGAAAUGAAUUUGACCUCCCUUGACCAACUCUACAUCCAUUGUCUCGCAAUAUCUUCGCCGAUCAAGACUCUUGCCUUUUAACGGUCGAACCCUAAUAUCUCCGAUCAGCUGGAAUCCUCUUGCUCGCAUCGGUUAGGUCUCCGUCACCCUUCAUCGGCUGACACCUUCCGUCCUCAUCGGUUGGGUCUACAUCACCUUUCAUCGGCUAAACCUUUGUGACUCUAUCGAUCGUUUUCACUAGCCGUUGCCAUUUUGUCAUGCAUCAACAUCUCUGCUUCCUUUUGACGUCAGUUUUGACACGUGUCAAAAAACGGUGUCAACAAUGUUAAUCGGUUGCUUGGGAUUCUUUUGCUAGCAAGUAGUAAGGUUGCAAUUUCGUCAUCACCUGCAGAUAGGCAUCGAGGUAUUUUCCGCAUCCAGGAGUGUGUGCACCGCGUUCGUGGGAGCGGUGGAGAAGAAAGGCCAUGAAGCGGCUCCCAGGACAAUGUCGUCGACGUCCACGGGGCCUUGUGCAGGUCAGCUUCUGCGGUUCUACCCAACCUUGGUCUAUGUGAGCUCUGGCUUUGCGAGCGCAUGGAGACACCCCCACGGCACAUGACCGGUUGGAGCAAUUGGCUGGUAGCUUGCCAUGAUGUGCACUUUCGAUCAGUUCAUGAUGGCCUCCAUGCGCGUGAAGGUAAUGUGCUCGUGGAAAUUCUCCUAGAGCAAUGUCUGGAUUAAGCCACGAAUGUCAUCAUAUUGUGUGAACUAUGCAAGCGUUUUCUGAAACAUUACAUGUGCGGUAGUACAGUUAAAUAUGAUAAUAGAAUGAUGCUCGUUUUAUGAUUUACAUGGAUGGAUUUCAAGAUGAAUUUAACAAUUGUACUGCAUUCUGGCUUUAUUUUGUCAUUUAUAAUGACCUGUUGGUUUGAAACUUGCUCAUGCAUGGCAACUGAUAUAUCUUCAUGAAUUAGCAUGGACCUAGAAAACCCAUGGAAAGAUACCGAGUACAGAAAAUUUCAUAUUUUGGGUGUUCAAAACAAGUUAUUUAAGAAAGCAAAAGGAUCCUUCUUUAAAUAAGGGCAUAUGAUUUAAAUAAGGGCAUAUGAUUUGUUGUAAAAAAUAUAGGUUUCAUGUCAUCCUUUGGUUUCAGACUUUCGGGCAUGCGAUAGAUUUGGUUUUGGGCUUGAAUGCUCUGGCGUAUAUAAUUUUAUUUAAUUCAUUAACUACGUUCUUGAUUAAUUUUUUUUAAUAUUUAGAUUUAUUUUCACAUUAUUAUUGUCUCGUCGAAUACUCCAUGUAUUUCUAUAUAUAUUGCCCGUAGCAAUGCAUGGGCACGAUCCCAUUAGAUGAUUAAAAUUUAAGUUUAACUUUAACUAAAGUUUAGACGUCUAAACUUUAGUUGGCUAAAAUUAGUCUUGUCUGGUUUGGAGCGGACCUAAUUUUUAGGUAAAAGUUCAUUCUAUCCUUAGAGGGUGUAGGGGAAAAAUAGCAAGAUUUCAGUGGGAGGGUAUUUUUUAUCUUUAUGACUAAAAUUAGCCCCCAUUAGCUGAGUUUGGAGGAUUAAUAAAUUAAAAUUUAGUUGGAGAGUUGGCUAAUUUUUAGCUCACCUUUAGUCCCAAACUUGUCCCACAGUUUGGAUCAUCAAAAGCUAAUUUUUAACCUGAUUAAGUUUGACCUUGGAUCCAAACCGAACCUAACCUAGUCAUGCGAGCUUAAAGCCAGCACUGUGUUAACUCUUGGUCCAUCCAUCUACAUAGGCGUGCCCGUUUUUUUUUUUGCAUAUUGCAAAAAUGCAAAGUAGCUUAGGUACGUAUCCUAAUUAAGUAUUUUCUUCCAGCAAGCUUACGUUGCACACUUGUAUAAUGUUAGAAAUAGGGAUAAUUGGUGAUCAAUUAGUGGUUAAUGGUGCUGCUAAUAAUGACAUAUUUCACUAUGCUAAUUUUAUGUUAAAAAUAUUCGUGCAUCCUAUAAACUCGGUCAAUUUAAGUUAAAGAAAUUUGGCUUAAAAUAAAACUAAAAUGUUCUAUACUUUAAAACCGAUGGAGUAUAAUUAAGCUUGCACGUUGUACGCCGUUGGCUUGACCUAGUGGAUGCAUGGUUGGCACGGCACGACCUAGUGGAUGCAUGGUUGGCACGGCACGUGCAUACGUAUAUAUGCUACAUGCAGAGGUGGAUCCAGGAUCUCUAGAUAUGGGGGCUCAUUUCCUCCUCCUUCCUUCCUCCUCUCCGGGGGUUCCAGCCCCCACACUAGAUCCGUCCCUAGCUACAUGCAAAUCUUUUGAAAUUAGAACAAACGAUUGAGUAAUCCACUAGCUCUAGAACCAAUUUGGCUUAAUGGUCCAUUACUCGAUGUGUCAUGUACAUCAUGGAGAUAAUAUACUCCAUCAUGGUACAUAGGGACAUAGCACGCCCCAUCCAUCUUAUUAUUUUCUCAUGAUGUUCUUUAUUCCUUCUUGCAUCUUCUUCUUCCUCUUUGACAACCUUAGCUUUGAUCACUCUUGUUAGCUUCACAAAGAUACUGACUUUGACACCCUUGUCUCAUGCCACCCUUGUGAAGACCUAGGUUAACAGCGGUGAGGGGGCCGCCACUCAAGUUUGAAAAAACAUAGCUAUUUUACAAUGUUCCACCGUAAAACCCAAAUAACUUAUAGUCUAAUUACUCUUACUGUUGACGUAUGUCUUUUUUUGGCGCACCCCUUGGACCUCUUCGCCGCUCCAGUAGCUCACGUGGGCUAUCAUAACAUGAUACUAUAUCUUGGUGACAUCAUGUGGUGCAGGAGCCUCCUGCUAUUUGAAUAGUGUUUUCAUGCAUAUUCUAUACUAACCCAUCACUUGGUACUUGAAAUAAUCCCAUUAUUACGUAUUGUGUUUUGGACCAUAUUGCAAAAUCACAGGAAAUACGAUAUAAAUAAAGGGUUUUUCUACAAGGUGUACUUGGGUCCGGACUUUGGAUAUUGAAAGGUCCAAAUCAUGAACAUUGAAUUGCAGGCCUGCAGAAGAAACUGAACUUGCACGGGCUAUAUCUUCCUCAUCCGAACUCCGAUUGGGGCGAAUUUACAAGAAAAAUUGCAUGGCUCAACGAGAUAUACAACUUUCGUAUGAAGCGCUCGGGCAUUAGAGGCCAAUAGGGGGUGGGCCGAUCGACCUCCCCUUUCACCUUUCACCAGGAGGAAGCUCGUGAUGUCCUUAGGGUUGUUUUCCAGAUACUUGGCCUCAAAGGCACCCUAACUGACGCCGCCAACUAUAAAUACCAAGACAUGCAACAAGGAGGAGGAUCCCGACGAGUCUAGACCUAGCCACCGCCGCCACAAGAUGAAAAACAGGGAUUAGAUCUAUCACCGCGACGACCAACGCCGACCAACGCCGACGGAGGGCGGGAGGCACGAAGAAUCCCUCAGGCCUAUCGACCUGAGGAGCCCUAAGCCAAUCGGCCCAGGGUGUUCUUACACUCCCUCGCCGCCAUCUUCGGUGACGACAUUCUCCAGAGUCUUCUUCCCCCCCUUUUUGCGUCAAUCUCUGUAAGAUGAUGGGGUAAAGCCUCCGUUCAUCCCUAGGAUUGUUUGGAUCCUUGAUAUGUAACUACUACAUGUACUUUAUGCUUAUCAAUUCUUCAUGGUCUAUAUCAUUGCAAUGCUUCAUUCAUAUGUGUUCUAAUCAGCCCAUAUUCUUAGUAGUGUGUGUGGUAAUCGUGGCGAUUAGCUUAACUAUGUGGACGCUUUGAUAUAGAUGUGUGAGCGAGAUUGUUGAGUACCCCUGUGUAGUGACGGUAUGCAGUAGGGAAAGAGCGGAGCAAGCAUAUAAUCGUUGUGAAGCUAGUGAAGGUAACACCCCUUUUGUAUUGUAGAUGUAUAUUCUUGUGAACCUAGAUCUUAGGAAGGGAACGCAUAUCUAUCUUUAUUUUCCAUCUUGUAUCACCCUUUGCUCUUUGUUAGUUUAGAUUAGUUUGUCUCUCUACACAACUCAUAGUCUUAUUUCGUUAGUAAAGUCACUAUAAAGUGAGAGCCAGCAUCCCACUUAUCCACGGAUUGAUAAACCUUGGAGGAUACUCUAAUGGAAAAGUUACAAUUGAUCCAUGCAUUUGUGGUUCACCAAUUGAUGCGUUAACUGCCAUCAACACCUUCCAAAAUGCAGCUAAGGAACAUAUUUUUUAAAGUUCAUGUACAAACAUUUUUCUUUACUAUUUUUUACAUCCAUUAACAUUUGUUGACAAUCAUCAACAUUUUUUAUAAAUUGUCACCAACAUUUCUUGGCGUUGACAAACAAUUUUUAUAUGUACCAACAUUUUUAUUCAAAUUUUUUGCAUUCACCAAUAUUUUUGGCUCAACAUUUUUUUGACAUUCACCCAUUUUUUUAUGAGAUAGUUCACCUAAAAUAAUGUUGACUUUUAAAAAUGCAACAAAAUAUAGUCAUACUGGAUCUCAUUGUAGUAUUAAUCCAGCAAAUAUCAUGGUUCAAAUAUAUUUUAAAUUGGAAAUAGACUUUAAAUUGGAUGCAUGGGUUAAGAGAAAAAUAAAUCAAAAUUUCAGAUUCAAAAGGAAUCCCUCCGGUCAUGCAUCCCGAGCAGCCAACUAGGCUCUGACGCGUGUCCUGCUCCCCUCCUCUAACCGGUUGUGCGUGGAGCAACAAUUGCAUGUGCGUUGAUCUCGUCCAUUCAUUUCGGUUUGCACGGAUCUCAAAUAUUGGAAGGUGGAUAACAAAUUUUCUUUUGCAAGAUAUAUAGGUUUGCUGGUGGUACAACCGGAUUAUCAAGGGAAUGGGAACAGAAGGCCCAAUGCAUGUUCAACUCGUGGGCCUAAGCCAUUAGCAAGCCCAAGCUUAAGGAUUCCACUCAUUCAUUGCUAGAGGCGACAAAAUUGCCUGAUGUCACCUGAAGCACAACUCGGCCUGCUCAAUAAACAGUAGCAGCAUGCAACCCAAAGAAGGGAGUAUGAACGUGGUAUGCAGUUGGACCAACCCAAAAUGUAUAACAUUCUUUGACUGAAAGUGGGAUUUUUUUUGGCUGAAAUGGCCAGUCAAAAUAACGUAACAUGAAGAAAACUAAUAUAACCAUUAAAAAUUUAUUCUACAAAGUGAACAAUAAGGUUGAACACAUGAAAAAAUACUUUCGCACUUAGAACAAAUUAGUCUUGCAUGUGACCAAUUUAGUCAACAAAACUACAAAAGUGAACAAAAUGACCCUGCAUGUGAGAGAAAAAAAUACAUGAAGAACAAACUCAUCAAUAUUACAAACAAAUUAUGUUUUCAGGCUAACAAAGUAUGUAUACAUGGUGGAAAUGACUAGUAUAAAAAAAGAAAAGAAAAAAUAAGAAGAAAGGAUAGUACUACAAAAAAUAAAAGGAGAAAGGAGGAAAGAAAACUAGUAUUACUGAAAUGAAAAUAAAAAAAUACAAAUUUUAAUAAGGAAGAAAAGGAAAAAUAUAAAAAAAAGCAAAUGCUUGAAACGGAAAAUGAAACAAAAGGAAGAAAAAAAUAAAGGUAGAAUAAAUAUGAACUAUACCAGUAUUAAAUGACUGCACGAUUAUUUUGAAGGGAAAAUAAAAAAUAAAUAAUGAAUAAUAAAAUAAAAAUAAACAAAAGAGAACUAUAGAAGAAAAAGCAAAAUAAAAAUAAAAAAAUACAAUAAGAUGCAGGAGGCGCCAGGCUUGCGCAGGCCACGGCAGUGUAUCCCCACGCGGCCGAAAACGUUAUUGGUCCGGCACCUCUUUUGCGGGCUAAAAACGUUAUUGGGCUGAAUUCCUUCAACCAUCGUGUGUGCGCGCGACAAGAGAUCUCCACGGGAUCUUUUCUUAAAAUUUCUUGAUCAGAACUACUACGAACGGAUCGGUACGAGUCGCAUAUGUUUCUAUGCGCAGUGUUGGUCUAUUGGCAGGACAUCCGUAGAAGGAACUCUAAUCGCCAUUGAUCUACUGUUACUGCGUUCCAAAAACAAUAGGGAUGAGUCUGCGAUGGGAAGUAAUACCUACCGGAUGCGCAGGGAAGCAAUUGCAUGGACGAUUCUGCCAACUAAUAAAUCCCGGGUGCUGAAACUGAUGGCCAGCUGAAUAAUAAUUACUCUAUCCGUUUCAAAUUGUAGGUUAUGUGUACGUACCUAGACAUACACUAUAUUUCGGUGCAUAUAAACAUCUAUACACUUAGAAAAGUCAAAAUGUACCUGCUAGCUGACGCCUCGUGCUGCUCUUUCUGGUGUGGUCGAUACAACCAAAAGGAAAGUAGCAGUGGCAGCAGUAGCAGCAGCAAAGCAAGACAAACAGCUGCAUCAUUUCUUGUUCGUCUAGGUUGGACCCAUCAGCCGAUCCCCGUCCAUGGCUGGAGCUAGCUAGCUUGCUUGCUCAUAUUGUAUAUUUCCAUGCCACUUCAGGAGACUUUCUUCGUUUUUUUUAAAAAAAAUAGAUAGACAUUUGCAGAACAUUUUUCAGUGUGGGAUGCACGCACUCGGUAUGCAUGCGCCGACAGGAGAAGGGCAAGGCGUUGCAGGUCCAUGUGAGCCACCCGCGUCGAUCCCCUGCUGCCUCAAGCAGCAAGCACCGAGGCAUAGUUGAGUGUGAUGCGAUGGACGGUUGCGCACACAGCUAUCACGGUUGCAGUCUUUGCCAGUUUUGCAAGUCUGUGUUUCCAAAAGAACGGAGCCUAGCUAGCCUUGGAGGCAUCAGGGGAUAGCCAAGACUUUUGGGGUUGUAUGCAACAGAACGCAUGGACUUUGUGGAGAGAAUCUCGCGGCGUUAAUACAUUCGGUUAAUCUUCGGUGGUCAAAUGCAAUGUACCUUCGAUUUGCCAAAAUACUCCACCCACGCAAUUAACUAGUUUGAUUGUGUGUUGCUUAACUUUUUCCACCAAAAAAAAGUCUAAUGUGUAAAAUCUUAACUCCUACAACCUGUAGCCUUAUGUGGAUGAAUCCAAGAAUUGCCAAGCCGUAUGCCCAAAUCCUAUUGAUCUCGUAUUAAAUCCGGCCAGUUAUGCAAAUGCAAUUUUCCAUUCUAUGGCCGUGACAUUCAUUCACGCGCGUGACAUUUUUCCUUGCAGCAGUUAUUUUCUGUUUAUUUUGUGGAUCUUCAGUUUUACAAAGUGCCUUGAACGCCCUUAAUUUUCUAACCCUGGCACUGUGCGUAUUUAAGUGCUGUGCUUAAGCAACUUUCUCACCUCCCCCCCGAUCCCACUUUUCAAUUCCUUCCUCUCUCGCUCUUGCUUGUGGAGAGGAUGCUUGUCACCUACUCCUUUUAAGUUCCCCACUCCCCCCUCUCACCUUCCGCCUCUUUUCCAUCAUAUUAUUGUUAUCCUUGAGGCCCAAAGCCAGCACAGAGCAAGCAAAGGGAGAAAGAAAGGGAGGGUGGGGGCCAAAGGAAGCAAGCAGAAGCAGCAGCUCACUCCUCGAGCAUUGCAGUUGCAGCGCUUGCUCUGUGCUGGUCUUGCUCAAUUGGUCUUCAGGCAGGAAUCCCUGCUUGCUCGGUGAUGGACAGGCACACCUGCAAGCUCUGCUUCCGGAGGUUCCACAAUGGCCGCGCGCUGGGCGGCCACAUGCGCUCCCAUGUCAUGGCUGCCGCGGUGACGGCAGCGUACUCGCCGCCGCCGCCACUGCCGCGGCCGCAGUCGCCGCCGCUCUCCCUGGCGUCCACCUCGUCGACCGAGAUGGACGACAAGCCGGCGCAGCACAAGCCGGUGGCGUCGUGCGGUUUACGCGACGGCGCCAAGAAAAGGUCCAGGAUCGGCGCCCCUGAAUUCUCCGGCGGUUGGGCGGCCGGCGGCGAUUCGUCGGUCGUGCAGGACGGCGAGAGCGACACGGAGUCACCCCCGCGGUUCGCCGUGAGCCGCCGCCGGUCGAAGCGGUCGCGCCGUCGCGCGCAGCCACCGGAGUCCACGCCGGAUCCCGAGCAACCGGCGAGCAGCGUCUCCGACGCGACGACCGAGGAGGACGUGGCCAUGUCGCUCGUGAUGCUGUCCCGGGAUUCGUGGACGCGGUCCAGAUCCGGGCCCAAGCACCACCGGGCCCAGGCGAGCUCGGAAGCCGAGCAGAACAACGACGACGACGCGGACGAGGCCGAGCACGGCCACGACGUCGCGCGCCCGCGCGGCAGGCACCAGUGCGGCGCGUGCAGGAAGGUGUUCCGUUCGUACCAGGCGCUGGGCGGCCACCGCGCCAGCGUCAAGAAAGGCAAGGGCGGGUGCGUGCCGGUGCCGUUGCCGUUGCCGCCGCCAACGCCUCCCACCGCGCCGCCGUCCAAGGCUCGGCGCGUCGAGACCUCCCCGGUGAUCCACCAGUGCCCGUUCUGCUUCCGCGUGUUCGAGUCCGGGCAGGCCCUGGGGGGCCACAAGCGCACGCACAUGCCGUACGCCGGCGCGCCGGCCCCUUCGACGCCAGCGAAAUGCGGCGACAGCUCGGGGUCCAUCGAUCUCAACGUGCCGGCCGCGGUGGACGACGACUUCGAGCUCUCCGCCGUGUACGACGCAGAGUUCGGCAGCAGCACCAGACAAUGAGCUCACCUGCUGAUGCUGAUGCUGAUCGAUACAUGCUACCAACGCCAUCUUCAGAUCGGAAGAUGUACUUGCACAAGCGCAGGAACUGCAGACUAGCUGCUGGCUGCUGCUGCAUGCUGGAAAGAGAUCGAGCACUCGAGGUUCGAUGUAAGGGCUUGGGAGUUGGAAUCCAUGCAAGAACCAGAUGGAGAACGACAGUUGAGCGUUUUAUUUUCUCUCUUAAUUCUCUCUGUUACUCUAUUGCGAUUGUUAGUGUAGCAGUUCGUGCCUAAUUAGAUGAACAGCAUAUUCAAUUCUUUUUGAUCUCUUGUACCUAAAUCAAAUUGACCCAUUUACUUCAAAUUUCUCAUUGAAAAGUGGGGGCAAAAGAAAAUUGCAUUCACCAUGUUCUUGACCUGUCCCAUUAAACUCUGCUUCAUUGAACCUCAUACUCACAGCACUAGCAGCAAGCCAGCAAAAGCAGUGGCAACAGAUGCAUGUACUAGCUAUAGUAACUUAUGCUCGCAAAACCACCAACGCUUUGGCUCCAAGAAUUUGGCUGUAGUACAUUGAAAUUUCACAUGCCGGAUCAAUCGUACUAAUUACUAGUAAGCCAUACCCCGGUGGUUUUAUAGCUAACUCCUCCCCGCUGUUCGUCGUUAGCCUUUCCAGCUGUUGGCCACACUGCCUCCCGCCUUGGCACGUACCAGAGCGCUGGUUCGUGCAUCACGCGACUCAUACCGCACCGUACCAUCUCGUUCAAAUGCUUAGUACUCUCGGUUGAGUACUCCCACCAUUCACCAAGUCAUGAGCUGUGUGUGUGCUUGUGCCACAGCAUCAGGCUCCACCAGAACAGUGCCAUGAGUACCUGAGCUUAGCUUGGCUUCUCUCCUAGUGCUAGUGCUAGUCCAGCUCGCUUUGCUUGCCUCAGACUCCGAUCAAUGCAGCAGUAGCAGCCUAGCAGGCAGCUGCUCGUGCUUGCUUCCCAGCCAAAAAGGCUCCCCUGCUCUUGCUCUGCUCGCGGCUCGCGCCAUUCGUUUCCACCGCCGCUACCGGCCGGUGCCCCGCUCGUGCUCGUGCAUGUGGGCUGUGGGGAAGGGCACCUGGUCCCCCGCCCCCGCAUGGCAGCGUCGGUGUGGGGGUGCGCUUGCUCUGCCGGUCUGCCCAGUUUGGUGGCUGGCUGUGGCUGUGGCCUGUGGGAGCGGGUUCCGCCUGCGCCCAACUGCCCGCCGUCGCUUCUUGUCCUGACUCCCCGCCUUGGCGGUUGCCUCCCGCGCAUUUCUGGUCCUGGGCCCUGGCGCCUAGCGACCCGGUCGGCUUCGUGCCUUCGUCUCGUCUCGUUCCCCCAUGGUCUCCCACUCUCCCCUCUCAUCUCUCGUCUCCGGCUGCCAUUUGCCCGAACUAGGCACGUCCGAGGUACGUAAAACACACUGCCGCUCGCUUUCAUUCGCACCACCAUUUCGCAAGCAUCUAAAGCAUAUACGCGCGUAUAUGUACCCGGUCUCUUGAAGGAGCGUGCUUGCACACUGUCCCUAUCUGUGUGUGUUGUGCCGACUGCCGAGUGCCGAGAGCCCAAGACUGCCGACACAGCGACACAGCACACUACUGGCAGGUAGGGCGUCCCUGACACGCGACGAUACUACCAUGUGGGGCGCAGUGGGGCGGACCCACCUGUCGGUGUCCGUUCGUAGGAACUAAUGAGAAUAUUCUACACAGCAGCGCGCAGCCGAUCUGCCAGGAGUCAGCGGUGGACGGGAGCCACAUUCCCGCGGGUCAGCGUCGCCGUCGUGUUGAGUUCAGUGGAGCGAUCACUGCUCGGUGUUUGGUGUACUAGUAGUGGCCAUCAGCGGCUGGUGGGGCGGUUAAGCCUGCGUAAUCCGCGGCUUGACUUGUACUAGUACGAACCUGCCUGAACCUGAAGGCCUCGACCUCAACAACAGGAGAGAUCUUGACUCGCGGCCUGACACGCGCGCUCGUGGCGCUAGGGCUACCACCAUGCCGUGCCAGGUCGGACCAACUAACUGCGACCCGUGCCGUGAGGUCCGGGGUUGGCCGACUCCACGACCGGGACCUGGUGCUGGCCGGCGGGGGCAUGCAAUCGGCUCUGCGCACCGUUGAUCAGGCAGUGCGACCCCCGUACUCGUCGGAUCCCCGUCACGGUCGGCCGGCAUCGAUCGUUGACGCGUACAUACCUGCUUCGUCGUCUCGUCGACACCUCCGGCGUGCCGGGUGGGGCCGGUGUCAAUGCCCUGGCCCCGUAUCUGACACACCGUGUACGCGCGCGUGGACGUAUGCUAUAGGUCGCUAGCUAGCUCGCCAGUGCCUUUGCGCCUACUCGCCUCGCCCGCCAGCAGCGUUGAAUCAAGCUCGGCUGCAGUGGCUCGGUGACGGUGAGACGUUCACGACAGUGAGAUCGAUGAGGGCGGCUAGUCGAACUGAUGACCGGGGCCGCAAACUGCCGGUCGUUGCGUGCGCAGCAUGCCAGUACACAGUACCCACCAUGUACGCAAUAAAAAUAAGAAAUCAUGCAUGUACCGAUAAAACAAGUGCUAGUGGCGCGCGGUCUGUUGAUGAUAUCUAGGCACGAAGCAGUGUCCGUGGAGGUAAUCAUUGAUUAGGCGUAGCUAACCGGUCAGUGUCUGUUUGACAUCUCAAUAACCUAACCUAGCAGCAAUUCGCCGCCAAAACCGAGUACAUGCUACCACCACCUCUCGCAUAACGGUGGGAGGAGCAUAUCGAUCUGCACGACGGCGAUCUGGAUCCGCGCCGGCGGUGCCUGUGGCCUGUGCCUGCCUGUGCGCGUCAACCGCCGUGCUCGCGACAGGAGAAGUAAAAGCCACGGCGAGAUGCGCGAUGCGUUGGGUCACGGGCUCACGAGCAGCUAGACUGGCAAACGUACAGCACAAUCAUACAGCGCGACGCGAGCGCGAGGAGCUACCUCCCGUGGUACGUACCAGCUACGGUAGCUUCAUAAAUUUCUGCAUCGAUUUUAAACGGCCAGCGAUGACUGUGCGAUCUAGAGCCAUCAGUGGUAACUGAGCGCCCGAGUCUGCUGCUCUGUUGGGAAAUGGUGGCAGAGCGCUGCCAAACCGGCCUGUAUCAGCAUAAAAGAAAAGGAGAACAGCAGAUUUUGCCUAGAUAAAAAAGGGAGAGAAUCUGGGUCAGCUCCUUUGAGUAAGCGAACGACUAUUUCGGUUCGGAGUUUCAGAGUUCAGACACGCUAUCAUUAUCAAGCGGCGAUGAUGUAUAUAUGACGUACCGCCAUGAUUCGCUGCUAGCAUGACAGGUCGUUACGGGAGACGAAGCUGAUGACAAGAUCAUGUGGAAUAAUGAUAAGCUCCAGGCCUCCUUUAACUGCUCAAUGGCCGGAAGACUGGUAGCUAGCUGCAUGUGUUGCCAUAGAUGAUGUUGCGAGAAAGUGGGCGCUUCCUUGCUGACUUCACAACGAGUACCGAGAGCAGAGAGAGCUCCAUUCGCGACGUGAAAGGAAAGUUCAGGAGCACCCACUGCUCGUGCGUAGCUCGCGUUGUCUCUGCUCUUCUUUUUCGUGCUGGUUGCUGCUUUGCUGGGGCAAAGGAAUUUGCCCAAGCCGAGGAUUAUAACAUACUGAUGGAACCAGACAAAAUCCCGCACUAGCAGACUAGCGGUUGACUAUGAAAUUCUGAACACAUCUGCCCGCACUAGUAGUGGGAAUAAUUGACAACGCGUCUGUCAAGUCAAGAUUCCGAGCCCGUCGCGCAUUGUUUACAUGAGAGAUUUCUCUAUGCAGAGGGCAGCAGCAAAAAGGCCGGAGGAAUGUACUAUUCCAUAUUCCACAGGCAGAAUCACUGAAUCAGGGUCAAGUGGAGUCUACAGGCAGAUGAAAUUCGGACUGGUUCCGAUGGUCGCAGAAGUUCGUAGGAACGCGAAGAAAUGAUCGCCAGUUCUUCCCGUGGCCGGUUCAGCUGCCGCCCCAACAUGGCCGUUGCGUUGCUGUGCUCAUCACGUCAGGUUAGCUAAGCUGGACACCACAAGAAAUAAAAACAGAGUCCUGCGUCGUCGUCUCCUCUGGGGGCGACUCGGGGCACCGCGCCGCCGCCGCCCAGCCCCCACCUCCACCGAGCCCUGUGCGGCCGCCGCCGCUAUCCCGGCCGGCAACGGCGGCCAGCAGGCCCGGGCGCAUGGGCGUGCAGCCGGUACGCCGGUAUAGGGCCCCCCAAUUUUCAGGGGCCCAAAAUAUUUCCUACGCAGCCACGCAGGACUGCAGCCCAGCAGGCACCCGGAAGCAAAACACCGUCUCCGCAAGGCCCUAACUCCACCGUCUCGCACGCCUCCACGUCUUGUCUCCCCUCCACGCGAUCACUUUUUUAUUUUCUCGUCCGUCCACGCUAGGGCAGCGACGAAGAACUGUGCCAGCGCCGGCGCCUGGCAGCCUGGGUGGCGAGACAGCGAGCAAUUGAGCGAACCACAAGCCAGCAAGCAAGGAGGCCGGCGACAGGCCUGAGCAGAGAGAGGGAAGGGCAACGGACGUCGUCAGGCAGCCAGCAGGAGCCCUCCGUGUAAGUUAUUUACCAAAUUUUUAUUCCUCAAUUCUGUUAAUGUACCCUUUAAUAAUUAUAAUAGUUAAAUGUUCUUUUCAUCUUUUGUAUGCAUGUUUAUUAAUUUAUCUAGACGUCUAGUGUUUCAAGAUCCAAGCCAUGUCUUUUGCAAAUCGAUUUAGAAAGUACUAGAUAUAUUUGUUGUAAGGAAUCACAAAUGCCCUCUAGUAAUCAAGAAACACCGCAAGAAUAAAACUGUUCAAGUAAAAAUUAUGCAAUGAAGAUUAAAUAGGUACGAUUCUUGAUACAUUCGAUUGCAAUUUAAUACAUUAUACCAUAUACGUCAUUUCUUGUUGUAUUUUGCCGGUCGCUCUUUAAAAUUUUGUACAGGACCUCAGUUUAUGCCGCCCCAGCCCUGUGGCCAGCUACGGGAGGCCGUCGCGUUCCCCUCCCCUCCUCUCCCUUCUCCUCUUUCCCCUUCCCUCUCUUCCUUCCCUCCUCCCCUCCUCACCAGCGUGCGGCGUGGCUAGCGGGGAUUCGGUGGUGGAGUGCCAGAUCUGCGCGUCGGCCGCUGGUCUCGCCCAGAUCUGGUGGUGUCCGCCGCAACUGGUCGGGCGGCGGCAACGUGGCUCGUUAACCUAGGCGCUCGCGGCCUUGGUCGUCAUCGCCGUGGUCCUCCUCGCGGCAACAGCGGUCGGCCUGUUCGCGCUCUUGUGACGUCAGUGGCGUGGGCAGAAGGUCGUCGCGAGUGGCUCGUCGUCCACGGCCGGCGGCGGCACCGAGGCCGUGGCGAAGGUGUCGUCGGCUCACAAGAGCGUGUCGUCAGUGUUAGCGAGGCUCGAGUACUCCAACACCUGGGACCCUCUCGCUGGCACGGGGGACGGUGCCACCGCGGGGCUCGGCUCCCCCUCCUCCUCGCAGGCGACGCCGGAUCCGGUCUUCCUUGGUCUGGAUCCGUGUGGGGGCCCGUCGCGUUGGCCCAUAGGGGUUUCGUCCGUCGGGGAGCCUGCCGCCACUCCAAGAAGCCCGAUCUGCGCCGCCGCGGGUGGCUGCUCGUCGGGGAGCCGGCCCCACGCCACUGCUCCCGCGGGGGACAUGACGUCGAGGGCCCGGCACGCGCCGCUAGGGCCUCAUCCAUGACGCUGGGCGGUGACCGCCGUCGCCAUUGCCGGGUCCGGUGUUGCCGAAUCGCCUCCCAUUGGCGCAGUCUGCCCUCCCGGGGCCCGCGUGCUGCCGCUACAUGUCGCUGCCGCUCCCUCCACUCCUCGUCGUCGCCUGUAAGAGGGCGACUGCGGGGAUUUCCAGCCGGGGCAGCGCGCGCUCCAAGGUCGCUUCUUUCUCUUCCUUCUCCUCCUCCUCCCUUCACCCCACCUCACCCUGGUCGUGUUCAGGUCGCUUUUCAAGGAUGGCCCGGGGGUGACCCGAUUGACGCCGGUGCCUCCCGCCCUGCCGCUAUGGGUCGCUCGCUCUUGGGUUGCUUGCUCUUCUGUUGAUGGUUGUCACUCGUGGGGCCAUGCCUCCUCCAGCCAUUUUCUUCGCUGGCAGGGAUGAGAGGAUGGGUCUUCGUCUUCCCCAUGGUGCUUCGGGUCGCCACCUCAUCGUCGAGUGUUGCUGGGAGGAGAGCGGGCUUCGGCUCCACUCCUCUCCCUCCUGGUCGUCUUUUGGUCAUCGCGGUCGCCCGUGGUCAUCUUUGAGUCAUCGUGAUGGCGGUCGUUGGUCUGCGGAUGUUCCCCAUCGUCAUUGUUGUGGACUGCUCGCUGCCAUUCCAUCGAUUUGGCUCUCAUUCAGGCCUUGGCGGUCUGCUGCGUGGAGUUGGUUCUGGGGGCUUUAGCGAAAGUUUUGCCCGGUUUUCGCCGGUGCCAACAACGAUUGCAUUCCUUAACGUAGCUCACCUCGAUGAGGACAUUGUUGCGGCCACCAAAUCCAUUUGGUUUUGCCAGGUGAAGACUUGGUCUAAUCCUCCGUGGACAGAUGGACGAUGGCGGCGUUGGUGUCGCUUCCCCCUUGGAGCAUCGUCUUGCAUGACAUUCUCGCUCUACGUGCGCUGACUCCGGGUUAUUAGGCAAUCGGUGCUGUGCAUGUGUUUAUGGUGGGUCAUGUUUAAUGUUGUGGUGGUGCGGUGGCUUCCUUUUUCUGUUGUUGUGUUUAUGUUCCAUGUCGCAGAUGGUGGUUCUUGUAUCUCUGCACAUUGGAGUUUCUCUUGAAGUUGCAUCGUUGUAACUAAACUCUAAGAAAAAUGUGCACGUCUAUUAGGUAAGCUAACGGCAUAAUUGCUGUAGCCCUAAUUGUGUAGGAAAAAAUGGUAACUAAAAUAUGGAUGAAUAAAUCAUGCACGUAUCAUAUUCAAAAUGUUCACAUGCCUAUUUCUUUAUAUUUCGUGUUAAAUAAAAGCCACAUCUAGAUGAUUGCAUGUCAAUCUAUACUUAUAUUAGCUCGCCAAAAAAAAGUUACAAAUCACUCGAGUAAAUUUGAUUUUUGCUUUUCGAUCGAUUUUUCUUACUUGCCUUCAGCAGGUGAAGCUGGGGCUGUUUGCCGGGUCCGCUAGUGCUGUCGGCCUGCGGCCCAUAACUCCACCUCAAAAAAAAAG